rnacentral:lncRNA from 1 species
UGUCCAUGCUUGCAUCGACCACUCGCAUUGUAUAAUCUUCGUAAAAGAUUUGUUGGACAGAGAAUUUCCCUCCUCUUCCAACAAAAGUGGUGCGAUUAUUGUUUUCACACUCUAAUUCAAGGUUAAUGUAACCACACUGGGGGGGUUGGCCUUUUAUUCGGAAGGGAAAACUGAUAUUCAAAUUCCCACAGAAAGUAGAGCCACAAUCUUGGUUAAUAAGAUGCCUAGCAAAGCAAACACCAGGGAGUAGAAUUACAAAUAAAGCAAACAACGGUAGUUUUUCUUUUAAUUUGGGCAUGUUAAAAUAUUGGGUAGGAUUGAAGAACAACAAUGGGGGUUAACAAUUAAGUUUCCAACUAAAUCAAGGAAAUAUAUUAAGUUUCUAACUUCAAUGUGAGAAGAAGCAUUAUUGAGGACAGAAGACCCCAAUCAAAGGAUAUCAGAUUCCAAGAACAGAGCCAGGAUUACGUUACAAAGGGGACCAAGGGGCAAGACUUUUCAAAAAAGAUAAAUUUCUUUUUUCUUAGCAUAAAACUUCAUAAAUAAAAAUGAAAAAGAGAGAAGAGGGGAGAGUACCUAAGUAACAAGCUUUAUUUUAAUACAUUCUCUAUAUUUUUAUUUUAAUACAUAUAAUUUAUUAUCUCCAUCACUUACACAUAUUAAUAAUAUUAUGAAUUGAGUUAGUAUCAUAAGUCAAUUCAACACUAGUUCACAAUUAAAGAGAAGAAUAUGUAUUUAUAUGUUUAAAUUUUAUUUUAUGCAUAAUUUAAUUUAAUCUUUUUAAUUCAAUAUUUCUUAUGUUAUUAUGAUUAAUUAAUUUUAAAUUAUAAUUUCUAUUAUUUAUUAUUUUUGAAUAUAAAUUUAUAUUAUAAAUUUAUGAUUUUUACAUGAAUGCAUAUGCUAUGGAAUUUUUAGUAUAUAAAAUAUUUUAUGUGAAAAGAAGUGUGAACGAAAGACAAAAGGCGUUGACGAGUAAAAAUAAAGUAAAGGCCGCCUUACAUGACCCAACAAUGGGAGUUUUACUUUUAAAUCGUGAUAUUAUUUUUAUCUCUUUAUAUGAACUUUAAAAAAAAUGCAUUCACUUUAUAGUUGUUGAUCCCAAAACUUCCCAAAAUUUAAUUACUUAAAAUUUACCUUAUCAAUCAAAGACACUUUUAGUUUUUAUAUAAUUUCUUUCGCAAAUUUGUUAUGUAUUUUUUUUUCAUCUAUAUAUGCUAUAAUCUAAUACAUAUUUUUAUUUUAACAAUUAUUGGUCAUGUAUGAAAGAGUAUAAAAUUAAGUUAAGUUUAGAAUUUAUUAUAAUAAUUUUAGAUUCAAAUAGUUUAAUCUAGCCAAUUAUUUUGAAUUUCAUUAUAAUUACUGACUUAUUGAUGAUAAAUUUUACAAUUUACUACGAUUAAUUUGAUUAUCAGAAAACAAAAAUAAAAUAAAAUUUUAAUAUCAUUAAAAAAUUUUAAAUAAAUUUGGGCUAAAUAUAAACCUUUAUCACUUUAAUAAAUUCCAACUACAAUGAGAACGACCAAGACAAUGCAAGUCUCCAAGUCUUCAUGGAAAUACAAAAACAUUGAAGUGGCUGAGAGACGACCAUUAUCGCUUUGGUCCUUUUGUGUUACGUAAGUCCAUCAUUUUUUAUAGUUAGAACCGUCAAGCAAGGCACAUUCCACCUUAACUCAUGCAUCACGCUAGACGAGAUACAAUGCCCAAUUAAAUAAUUUUUUAUUUAUUUUAUUCGACGAACACUUAAGUACUCUUUAAAUAAUUUUUUAAUAUAAUUAUAUGUGUUUUUAUCCUUUUACAAGAAUUUUAAAUAUAAUCCAGAGUGGUAAAUAUUUUGCAUUGAUUCAUUGUUGUUGGGCAACCCGAGGUGACAGACUGAUUGAGUUGAGAAAACCAUUGUUGUUGGAUAAUUCGGGGGUGACAAAUUUGUAUAUCCGUUCCGAGGUCUACUUGAAUACGAUUGAGCUUAUAGACUCGGAAAUUGUUGAUAUGAUCACAUGGAAUUGGGCAUAUAUAAAUGUGUAAUGUACACUGAAUGAUGAACUUAUGCUUGUGAUAUGAAUGGUAAGUUUAAUAAUUUGUUUUCUGUGCACAGAUUAGGUUCGAUUCGAGAAUCUCAAGUAUUAAUUUAGCAUCCAGUGGAGAAUCCUAGACUCAACGAUAAUGCCCUAUAAUAUCAUGUCAGUACGAGACGAGGAACCCGUCGCCCCAACAUAACACUUUGUAGAUUGAGUAUGGGGUAUUACAUUUAAUAUAUUUACACAUAGCCCAAUAGGUAAACCCAAAUUAUCCACUAGGCUAGGCACCCAAUUCAAUUAUCUAAGUAAUUGUAUAUUUAAAUUUUUUAUACUCAAUAUUUAUUAGUAAUGUAGGAUUACUAAAAUUGUAAACUAAUAACAUAUAUAAUAUUGCUCGAUCAAUAAAAUUUAUUUAAAAAGAACCAAAUGAGAACCAUUAUACAACUUUAUAAAGUCGACAACACAUCCAACAUUUAAAGCACAAAGAAACUAGAUAUGUCAACAACAAAAUAAUAAUGCCAACAUUCUCAUAUACGAAAACAAAAUUGUUCUAAAAAUAGAAGAUAGAGCAUCGCACCUAGAGUGUAGAAAUACUUGGAUUCAAUCAUUGUAACAACGAAAAUGGAAACAAGACGGUCAGCAUCCUCAUCAUCACAAUGAAUUCUCCUCUGCAAUGCAAUAACACAAGAAAAUGCUAUUUUAAUAGAAACUCUUAUAAAUAUUUAAAAUUAACUUUUAAAUGCAUCAUAUCUUGAUCUAAAGCAAAAGUUUUAUCAAAACAUGAAAAAUCUAACCAAUACAGAUCAAUUCAACCAAACCUCAAGCUAUCUAUGUGGUUACUUUUAAUUUAUAUAUGAUUUUAAUUACGGUUUAAAUUUAAAUAUUUUUUAACAAAAAUUGUAAAUAUUUAAUAUUGAACAAAUAGCCAAAUUAAUGAAAUUUUUAAUUAUGAACAAUAACUUAACACAUAGGUAGAAGUUUUUUUUUUUUAACUUAAUAAUAUUAAUAGCAAUUGGACACUAUUAAUUGUAUAUGAAAAUAAUGAAGCUUAAAAAUUAAAUUGUAAAGGUAAUAUCAUUGUCAAAUUUAUUCAAAAUUUAUUUUUAACUAUAGUUAUCUAUUUGGAUAUGUGACACACAUCAUAAUAUACAAGUGUAUAUAUAUAUAGGCAAAAUAAUAUAAAGCUAAAAGCUGAGAUAAUGAACUGAAAUAUUUCUAACCUUAUGCAAUAUUUGAACUUGUUAUAGUAACAGUAUCCAAUGAUGUACUUGGCUCAUCAUUAGAGUUCUCACAGUUAUGAACCUCCAUUGUUGUUACAAGAGGAAGUUGAUGGAAUGGCUUAGGAGGCAUCUCAAGGAGUUCAACAUUAGAUUCAAGCAUCUUCAAACUUUACUCAUUGCUGGAUCAGAAGGCAGUAAUUGUAUACAUCCAAAGGCUGUUAUUAUCAUCUUCUUCACCAUUACUUUUUCAUCGUCAAAAAUAUCUCCCAACUCCAAGUCCUCUCCUUGAUCCAAUUUGUCAUAAAUCCAAGAUGGAAAAUACAUUUGACUAGUGUGGUCAGCUAGUCCAUUCACGUUCUUUCUCCUUCCUACUAUUUCCAUUAGUAACAUUCCAAAACUAUAGACAUCAGCUUUAUAUGAGAUGCCUCCAAGAUUUUUGUAAACCAAUUCAGGAGCAAUAUAUCCUAUCGUUCCUCGUGAUGCAGUGAGAGAGAUAAUGCUAUCAUCUACUGAAUACAAUUUAGCAAGACCAAAAUUUGAAAAUUUUGGAUUAAAAUUCUCAUCAAGAAGAAUAUUGUGUAGUUUGAUAUCAAAAUGAAGAAUUUGCAUGUUACAUCCUUGAUGCAAGUAGUGAAUUCCUUGAGCCACCCCAAGCACAACAUCAAACAUUUUUUUCCAACCCAAAGUGUUCUUAUUUUCUUCUGUAAAUAUGAUUUUAUCUAAAGAUCCAUUAGACAUAUGAAGUCAUAUACUAGAGCUUGCUUUGAUCCAUUCACGCAAAAUCUAAUAAGUUUUGUCACAUUAGCAUGAUGAAUUUUCCCAAUAUAAGCAACUUCAUUUCUGAAAUCUUGCCAUUACCCUUUGAUUUGCCCAACGAUUUUACUGCUACAUGAUCCUUACUAUGAAGUUUUCCUUUAAAUACAGAACCGUAAACCCCUUGACCUAAUUUAUUUUUAAAAUUUUUAGUCAUUUUCCUAAUUUUUUUUAAAAUACCUUAUCGGCACCAGAUUAUUUUGGCUUUAAAGAAGCUCUUUAAUCGUAUCAUCCAUAGAUAAAUGUCUUCUUCUCCAUUUGUACGUAACAAGAGCAAGCAGACAAAUUAUCCGAGAAAACGACCACAAAAAGUUAACUCCUCCUUGAAAGGAUUACAAUGCAACACGUCAAUACUUUUGAAAUUAAUCAAAUAAUAUAUAUCUUACAUUCCCAAAAAAGUAUAUAAUGUUAUAGUUUUAUGCUCUUUUAUAAUUAACUACUACUUGAAAGAGGGGCAUAUUUCACUACUUUAUGGAAUUAAUUUAGAAAUAACAGUUAGUUUGUUAGAUAGCAUCAUUGAUGCCUUGCAUUUACUCUUCUAUACCAAAUGAAAAACUUUGAAAGGCCAUUGAGAACCCAAGAAAAAUAAUUUCGAAUUAUGUGUUAUGUUUAUAUACUAGUAGGUGCACCUCAACAAAUUCAAACUUAAAACUUCACACACAAAGAAGUAAAUCAAUAAAUCAUGCAAAUUGGAUACCAAUUAUUUUAACCUCACCAUGGUCCAUCAAGGAUACUCAACUUAUAUAUUCAUGUCAAAUAUACUUUGAAGAAGGACAAAGUACAAAUAUGAUAACCUUCUAUCUUCAUAAAUGAAUCACAAGUCCAGAAUCACCAAAAGAUGCAAGACAACCAAAAAAAAAAAAAGAAUUGAUCGAUUCAAGAGCUAACUUUGUUGGAUGUUUUAGCAAACUAACUUAUAACCUGUGAAAGUUCUAAACAAGAUCAUUAUGAACACAAACUUAACCAAAACUCCAACAUCUUUCUUUACUUGACAGAAAUAUUCUUUCAUAUAAUAGAAGAAGAUUGUUUUCAGCAUUCAAACUCCUUAAAGAAUGCUAUAGAUUUCUUAGUUUUGCAGUGAAAUUACAUAUAAACUUGUAUAGAAUGAUAGGCUCCUAAUUCUUUUUUUGUUCUCCCAGAAUAUAGCUAAUAUUUUUUCUCAACUAGUGCUAGAAUUUGUAUCUGUGCAAAUGUAAAUCUGCAAAUCUAAAAUUAAAUAUACAGUUAUUGCCAAACAGAGAAUAUACGUUCCUGUAAAAAAACACCACGAAUGAAAACGAAAUAUAAUUAUUUCAAGAAAGCAAUGAAACAGCACUAUCAAAGCACUUCUAAUGAAUUUUGGGAAGCAUACUUCUUGGUCGAUACAAUGAAUCGUAGACAUGGAAAGGGAAAUGUUCAAAGCUGUCCAUAUAGUUUCUGAAGGCAAUUUCCAACCCUGACAAUCUGAAUUAUAUAUUCAACAAAUCAAAGUAAAAUUAAUAAAGGGAUGUAAAGGAAAAUUCCAAAGUUGUGUAAAGAAAAUCAAUGUAAGGUAAUUUAAAACAUUAAAUUCUGUUUUGUGGUAUAUGCUAAAAAUAUUACAACAAUUCUUUACAUAUUUUUUUUUUGGUACAAAGUAUGCAAUGUCUAUUACAGUAUUAAGAAUUUUUAGGUAACGAAAGUUAUUCUAUAUAAUGAAAGGUGAGACAAAUUUUAUUUAAAUUAAUUAAUACAAAAUACAAAUUAUAGCAUUAAAAGAUUUUUUUUUUAUUAUGCUAUAAAAGAAUUUUGCGAUAAAAUUUAACUCAUCCACAAUGGUGGAAUUUUUGCGUACUACCAACUAAAUUGAGAAUUCAUGAUAUCUCUUCUUCAGAUAUAUCAAAAAUAAAAAUAAUAUACUUAAAAAAGACACACAUUAUAUGUUAAUAAGGUUUACAGAAUCUAGAAACAUCAUGGUUGUAAAAACAUAAUAAAAUUUAAUUGCCAAAAAUGUGAAUACAAUAAAAGGAGAAAAAACACAGCAGAGGCAGUUGCACAUUGAUCUGUCCAUGCCUCAGUUCGCCUAUUUCUUAUUAAUACAACCGAGAUUGGAUAUGGGUUUUUUCAUUUUAGCCCACGUUGAAUUCAAUUUAAAGGAAAAUAUUUUUUAAUUUAAAUUUAAUUGUAUAUAAUUAAUAAAAAUAUAUUUAAUUUUAUUAAUAUAUAUAGUGAAACAGGCCAUUAAUUUUUUAUUAAUAAAAACAUGCAAUUUUGAACCGUUGAAAAAGAAAAAAAAAUUCUAGUAAUUACUGUUAAAUGAAAAUGGAAAAGCCUUUUGAAUAUUAUCUUGAUUGAUAUUGUAUUAUUAUCAAUGUAAGAGAAUAUGAGUUUGAGUACGCUGAAACUCAUUACCCUCAUAUUUAUGGGUUGGAGAGGAACUAUCGAUAGUUUUAAGUAUUAUAUAAAAAAAAAACAGAUUUUAUCAAACAAAAACAUGAUGUUUAAUUUUAGGUCUUCAUAAAUUUUAGGCACAAAAACAUGAUACUUAAUUAGCAUGAUAAAAUUUAAUAGCGAAAAAAGGUAACAUAAAAUAAGAGAAAAAAAGGUAGGUCAUACAAAAAGCAAAGACAUUUUGUAACUAAAAAUUUCAGUACUCUAAUGAUAUAAUUAGUGAUCCCACCACUCAGAAUGUAAAUUAAAAUCAUUCAAAAAACUUACACAGCAUUAAAUGAAACUUUGUCUUUGUCGCAUUUGAUGUAGUAGCAUACACUCCAUCCAUCCCAAGCACCUUCUAAUAAUUUAGAAUAGAUAUCCAUCGAAAUCACCACUUUCACUAUGCAAGCUUGAUUUAUAUCAGUUGGGUAAGUAUUUCUAUUUAAAAAAUAGAAAUGGGAAGUUGGAAGGAAAGAUGAAGUAUUAAAUUUGAUGGUACAACGAGAAGCCUCAAUAUAAAGUGAUGAUUUUAUAGGUUUCGUGUAGUUCACAACAUACAUGAUGUUAGCCUUUAACUCUCUACCAUAAUAAAAAGGAAAAUGAUCUAAAACAAUAGAAAAAGAAAACAGUUUAUAAUAACUAUAAUCAUAAGAAGAAUAUGCGGAACUAAGAGAAAGGGAGUUGCAAUCAUCCACAUCCAAACUCGCAUCGACCACUCGUAUUGUAGAAUUUUCGUAAAAAAUUUGUUAGACAGAGAAUUUCCCAUUCUCUCCCAACUAAAAUGGCGUAAUUGUUGUUGUCACACUCAAAUUCCAGGUCAUACCAACCACACUGGGGAGGUUGGUUUUUUAAUCGGAAUGGAAAACUGAUAUUCAAAUUCCCACAGAAAAUAGAGCCACAAUCUUGGUUAAUAAGAUGCCUAGCAAAGCAAGCACAGGGAAUAGAAUUACAAAUGAAGCAAAAGCGGCCAUUAGGUGACCAAAGAAUGGUAGUUUUGCUUUUAAUUUUGGAAUGCUAAAAUAUUGGGUAGGAUUGAAGAACAUCAAUGGGGGCAAGGAAAUAUAUAAUAAAAUAUUUAAAAUAUUUUUAGUUGAUAGUUUUUAUAUUUUAUAACUAAAUUUAAAUUUAAAAAAAUAUUUCUUUUACUAUUUAAAUUAAAUUUAAACCGAACUAAUCUAAAUAUAAAAAUAUUUAUCCAAAUCUAACUCAAAUCAAGUUGGUGGGGUCACAUUAGCAGAGAUUGUAGAAAAUGAAGGUGUGUAAAGUUGAAGGAUUAGAUAGGGAUUUGGACUUCAUUUAUGAAAAUGAAAUUGAAGGUAGGUUUAAUUUUUAACUAAUAGAAGAUGUGAUUGAAGCCCAUUCUUUUAGGAAUUUUGGGCUCUUUGAUUUCUGUAUUCCCACUUCAUCACCCAUUCAUUUAUUUUAAUUCUUGGCAGUGUGUGGCCCACUAAAUUUAUUUUAAUUUUAUACACCCGUAUUGUUAUUAGGGAUAAUAUAAUUUUUGACCCCUAAUCUUGAUAGUUAAGUGCACUUCAGUACAUAUUUGUUUUGGUCUAUUUUGUCACUUGAAUUUGACUAUUAGGUAUAUUUUAAUUUCUAAACUUGAAAAAUACAAAAGUUUUAUGAUUCGACUUUUUGAGAUUGUGCUACAUCAUCACAUUAAAAUUAAAAAAUAUAUAUUUAUAUAAAUUUUUAGAGGAUGACGUGGUACAAUCUUUAAGUGCCACGUCCAUUAUUUUAAUAAUUGGAUUUGUGGUUGAAUCAGUCAAAACCACUAGUUCUCGAUUCAACCAGCUUGAUCAGUUUGACUAUUGGACCAACAAUAAUUAAAUAAAUCAUUAAAAAUUCAUAAAAAUCUAAAAAAAUAAAAUAAAAUUUUGUUAAACCGAAUAAUCAUGGUCAACAAUCGAGGGGUUUUCUCAAUUUUCGAUUUUUACCAAUUUCAAGCAAUUUCUUAUUAAAUUGGUUCAACUUCUUUGUUCAAAUCAUUAUAUCGAUUGAUUCUAAAUCCAGCUGGUUUGAUCAUUAUCCCAUGUGAGAUAUUUAAAUAAAAAGAUUUACCCUCUUUCAAAUCACUUACAAAAAAACUCUAAAAAUUCGAGAUAAAACACAAAAAAAAUUGAGAUCCAAAAGAAAAUAAAUGCAUUAAAAAUGUUAUUUGUACGGGUAGUAAUGUAACCAAUUAGUCUUGAUAGGUUCCAAAUCAAUUAGCUUGAUUCAGUGUAAAGCGUAAAUUAUAGUAUAUUUUAUUUGCUCGAUUAAUAAAAUUUAUUUAAAAAGAACCAAAUGAAAACCACUAUACAACUUUAUAAAGUGGACAACACAUCCAACACUCAAAAGCACGAAGAAACUAGAUAUAUAAGUCACCAAUAAAACAAUAAUCUCAACAUUCUCAAACAUGGCAACAAAAAUAUUCUAAAAAAAAGAAGGAAAUAGGACAUCCCACCUAGAGUGUUGAAAUACUUGGACUCAAUCGUUAUAACAACGAAAAAGGAGACAAGACAUCCAACAUUCUCGUCACAAUGCAUUCUCCUCUAACUCACCGGCAAUCUCUGCAAUGCGAUAACACAAUUAAAGGCUACUGUGAUAGCAACUCUUAUAAAUAUUCAAAAAUUAACUUUUAGACACAUCUUAUCUUAAUAUAAGGUAAAUGGUUGAUUCAAACAUGAAAAUUUGAACCAAUUCAUCUCACCUCAAUUCAAUUGAACAUAACUAAAUUGAGACAAAAAUCUAUUCAUAUGGUGUACAUUUAAUUUAUAUAUGAUUUCAAUUAUGGUUUAAAAUUUAAAUACUUUUAACAAAAAUUUUAAAUACUUAAUAUUGAACAAAUAAUCAAAAAAAAUUUAUUAUUAUGAAUAAUAACUUAACACAUAGGUAAAAGUUUUUUUUUUACUUAAUAAUAUUAUUAGCAAUCAGACAUUAUUAAUUGUAUAUAAAAAUAAUGAAGCUUAAAAAUUAAAAUUCAAAGGUAAUAUCAUUGUCAAAUUUACUCAAAAUUAUUUUUAACUAUGGUUAUCUAUGUACAUAUGUGACACACAUAAUAAGAUACUUUUUAUCUAUAUAUAAGACAAAAUAAUACAAAGCCAAAAGGUUGAGAUAAUGAAGUGAAAUGUUUCUAACCUUAUCCAAUAUUUGAACUUGUUAUAAUAACAGUAUUCAAUGAUGUAGUUGUCUCAUCAUUAGAGUUUUCACAGCUAUCAACCUUUAUUGUGAUGUUUUAAGGGGAAGGUGAUGGAAUGUCUUAGGAGGCAUUUCAAGGAGUUCAACAUCAUAUUCAAGCAUCCUCAAGACUUUAUUCAUUGAAGGACGAUCAAAAAGAAGUAAUUGUAUACACCAAAAGGCUGUUAUUAUCAUCUUCUUUGCUAUUUGGACAUUUAUAAUAAUUUUUAAGUCUAAACCAGAAUUGCUUAAACCUAAUUUGUUUUCAAACCUAUAGUAGUCUAUAUCUGUAUCUAUAUACACAAAAGAUAUAUAUACAUAUAUGAUUAAUAAUUACUAUUAAUUAAAACAAUGAAGGCCAAUGUAUUAUGAAAUACUUUAUGAAGGAGAAGAUAUGCAAAGUUAAAUUCCCCUAGUCCAGCUCCUCCUUUUCUUCAUCUCCCUAGGAACCAAGAAUGACACAACUUCUUCUUCCUGAAAAAUGAUAACAACUCCUUUAGUUUGAUACAUGCUAAUUCAGUUUAGUUAAUAAUAUCCUCUUUAUCAGCCUUUCCUUCCACAAGUUUAGUAAUAUUAUAUUGAUUUCAAUCGCUUAGCAAUAAUAAAAUUCUUUAAACCUCAAAACAAAAUUUAUAUAUAAAGACUUACCUUAGAAAGUGCACAAUCUAUAUGAGCAACAAAUAUUCCUGGGCAUUCUUCACAAUAGUAAACAUGAUGGUUUGGGUGUCUUUUUUCUUCACAUGCAUCACAGUAAUGCUCAUCUGAAUCAUCUUCGAUAUACGAAUCUUUAAGAGUUAAAGGAUGGAUGUGGCAUUUGGAUUUGAUAAUUUGAGGUAAGGAUAGACAUUCUAGGUGGAAAUUGAUGAAACACUCAAGACAACGAUAGAAAGAUUGCCCGCUGCAAAUUUCACCACAGUGACUACAAAAUAGUCCAGCAUAGAUAUCAAUGAAGUCACGGUACAUGGCAAAGAAUCGAUCAAAGUCCGUCCCAAAAUAAUAAAGAUGGUGCAUGUGAGAGUCAAGUUUUAGAGGGCGUGUUAGGGAAAUUGCACAUGCAAUAUGGUAGUUGACGCCACAAUCUUUACAACCAUAGUUAUAACUCUUAUGAUAGCCAGAUGGUAACAGCUUUAGUGAACAUGCAUGGCACCCUCCAUAUCUCGUGUAGCUUAGAGUCAAAGUGUGUUGGGAAUGAAAAGGUACUUGCAUUUCUUGUGGUAACCUAAGGCAAGAUUCAUGAAGAACCCAACCACAGCUCAUGCAAUGGUAUGUUGGACCAAAGAUUUGCAGUCGACAAAGAUUGCAUUGUCUUUUAACUAGAGGGUCAGUAAAAUUGCAAAACAGUAGCUUGUGCUUGUGGGUGAAAUGGAAUAGCUCAGUUUCCCUCUCCGACUCUUUCAAUGUUGUGCGCCCACUUUCAGAGGGUGCUCGAGUUGCGCAUUUCAGAUCGAGCUUGAAAUCACAGUGCUCGCAAAGAUAAAAGAAGCCGAAGUACAAAUCUUGACACUUAUCACAUAUAUUUUGGUCCAGCGACAUAGAUGUAGCGUAGAGGUUGAGAUGAUGUUGAGGAUGAAGAGGGUGUUGUAUCACAUCGGGUAAUUUAGCACAGUUUUCAUGUAGGAUAUAUAGGCAUCCUUUACAGAUGUAGCCUGGACCACUAAGUUCUAAACGACAAGCUCCGCAAACCCUUUCCCCCAAGUUUUCAGUUACCUCGCAAAAUUUCAAUGGAUGUUUAUGGAAGACUGGUCGGACCUGUACUUGUAAAUAAACAACCAACAAACCUGUUAAUUCAUCAUGUUAAAUAUAUGUAAAGAAAAUAUAUAUAAUUCCUUUGUUUCCUACUAACCAGAAUCGUUUCAGUCUGCUCCAUUUCCUUCAGCUCCGAAGCUUUAGCAUCCAUGGAUAUGGGAGGGGAGGAUGAUGAGUCCUGUUUUGUUGAUGUUUCCUCCUAAUGUACAGCAAACAUUCCAUUAUUAGAAAACGAGGAAUAAAGUAAUAUAUAAAAGUAAAGCAAACUAAGGAAAGGGUGCGACCUGAUUGAGCACACAUUCAAUAUGAGCAAUAUAUGUGCAUUUUUGGCAAUAAUAAACUUCAUGUGUUGGAUCUCGUUCUUUCUCACAAAUAUCACAGUAAUACUCUCCAAUCUCAUCUUCUCUAAUUGGUUGAUUAAGGAGGAGUGGAUGUCUAUGAUAUCUGUGUUUAGCUAAAGGUGGAACUGGAACACAUUUAAGAUGGAGAUUGAGAUCACACUGCACACAACGAUAAAAGGUGUCUAAACACAGCUCAUGGCAGGAGCUGCAUUGGAAAUGAUAUUUGAGAAUUGGAUCCCUGAAAGUGGGACCAACAUAAGUGAGACCGUGGUUGUGGCCCUCAUGUUUAAGGGUAGGUAAUAGUUUUGCACACCCAAAAUCAAGGUUGAAAUUGCAAAUUUGGCAACCAUAGGCGGCGGUGGAGAAGUCUUUACUCAUACUAAUCCAUUGUGUACAAGCAUUGCAAGUUGCGUCAACGAAAUCCAAGCGAAGAGGGUGUGAUGGAUGGAAAGGAUGGUUCAAUGUUUUGGGUAUCUUAUCACUGCAAAAUUCAUGAAGGAAGAAGCCACAACUUUUACAACCGUAGAAAAUGCCCGCCAGUGGCUUGUCACACCAACGACAAUUAUAAUCAUGUUCUCCCUCAUUGCUAUACUUGUAGAGGACCAGCGGGUGGAUGUGGCAGUAAUGCUGCAUUGCCUGUUUCCUAUCUGCAUUGGAUCUCUGCCUCUUCUUCCUAGCUACAUGAUCAUCACUGCUUGCAAAAGCGCAAACUAAAUCGAGCUCGAAGGCGCACCGACAACACGUGUAAUUGGUGCCCGAAGAAAUCUUCAAACAUAGAUCACAGGUAAAUGGUGCGAAAGGACCAGACCAAUCUAACAUAAGAUGGUGGUGUGAGUGGAGAGGAUGUGUAAUCUCUCGAGGCAGAUAUUGUAUAGCUUUGGCGCACAAUUCAUGCAACCAGAGUUCGCACCUUACGCAUGCAUAGGCUGCACCACAGAUUUUCUCCGUGCAUUUCUCACACCAUUUAUCAUCUGUCUCAUCAUCGAGACAAUGAUAGCCCAUUGAAUGCUCAUGACUGGCAAGUUUGAUCUCCAUAUCUCAAACAAAGAUAAGAUUAAAUGAUAAAAGAUAAUAUGGGAAGAAAACAUUUGAUUUCUAAUUAUAUAUAUAUAUAUAUAUAUAUGUAGGUAUUAAUAGACACUUCAGUUUCAAUCUUUAGUAUUACUUUUAUCUUUGAUAAAAUGCCAUUUAUUGAAAGAUUUAUAGCUUUCAAAUAAUUAUUUAUUAAGUUAUUGGUGAUGUAUCUUAAUAUUGUUCAUAAUAAUAUAUAAACCUGUCAGUUAAUUAAAUAUAAACUAUCAUUAUUAUUAUUUCUUUCUACUAUUGUAUUUCACUAGAAUUAGCCUUUAAAGGACGCCAAUAACUUUUUGAACUAAUGAUAAAAGUAUUAGGUUGUAUGUAUACCUUAUCCCAUACCUUAAUUAUAAAAAAAAAUAAUUAUUCACUCCCAUAUAUAUAUGAAGAAAAUAUUGAUAGUUAAAAAGUAUAAGUAGUUUUUUAAAUUUAAAUUUAAAUUUUAAGAUAAUAACUAUUCACUUUGUGUUUAGAGUACAUAAUUUUUACACAAAUGUGGUAGAGUUUUUAGUUUAAGAUAAUAUUUUAUAUAACUUUUUUUACUUUUUACUUUUUUUUUCCAACUGAAUUAAUUUUCAGUUAACUCAAUUAAAAUUAUAGAAAUGAAUAAUUUUAUGAUACUAUAACUAAUUUAUAUUUUUUAGAAUUAAAAUAUAUUAGGUUGGAUUUUAAAGUAGGCAUAUAUUUCCCAUCAUACAAGAAAAUAAUAUUAUUUUGCGAUUCAUCACGCAAAGAAGUAACAUAUAUUCUUUUUAAAGACAAAGGGCAUAUUUUUAUUUUGGGUAGGACACAACGUUAAGGAAUGUAUCUUUUUCCUUUUGCUUUUUUGGAAUGAUUCUAUUAAUUCUUUGAUAAUAUAUCUACUUGAUUAAUUAGCAUAAAACUUUUUGUUUAAUAUGGCAAGGUUCAUUGGGAUUUAACUUAAGUUUUUUUUGCUUCAUUUUGCUCCAAAUUCUCAUAUAUCAUGUCAGAGGCACUUUUGAGGGGAUUGGCAUUGGCCUCGGCCCCUCUUAAAAUAAAAAAUUAUCAUUUAGGCUCUCUAAAUUUUUUUUAAAAUUUUAAAUUAGUAAAUAUAAAAUUACACUUUGGCACCCUAAAAUUAUAAAAAUUCAAUUUAAUCCUUUAAAAAUUAUAAAGAUAUAGACUAUAAAAAAUUAAAAUUUCUUUUAGCCCCCUAAAAAAUUGUUCUGGCUUCACCCUUGUAUCAUGUUAACUUAUUAUUAGACUAUAAUACUAAAUUUUCCUCCUCUCCCAACCAAAGUGGUGCGAUUGUUGUUCUCACACUCAAAAUUCUAAGUCAUAAUAACCACACUGGGGAGGUUGGUUUUUUAAUGUGGAAAACUGAUAUUCAAAUUCCCCCAGAAAGUAGAGCCGCAGUCUUGGUUAAUAAGAUGCCUAGCAAAACAAACAGCAGGAAAUAGAAUUACAAAUAAAGCAAAAGCGGGAAACAAUGUCAGUUUUGCUUUUAAUUUUGGCCUUUGGGUAGGGAAGAUGAAUAAUAAUGGGAGCUAACAAUUAAGUUUCUAACUAAAUUAGGGAAAUAUAUAAGAAAGCUUCAGUGGGAGAAGAAGCAUUAAUGGGGACACAAGACUUUGACUACUCUUCAGUUUUAGUUGGGAUGAAUAUUUUAUUUUUAUUACAUAUUUUACACCUUUUAUUCUCUCUUAUUUUCUUUUCUGGGAAACACCUCAAUCAAAGUACAUUUAGUUCCAAGAAGAGAGCCAUGGUUAUCUCACCAGGAGGACCAAGGGGACAAGACUUUAAAAAAUAAAUAAAUUCCUUAAGUAUAAAGAAAUUAGAUUUUCAAUUUAGAAUAUAUAAAAUACAUGUAAAUAAGAUCUUACAAUUAUUUAAGUUUAUUUAUUAUCAAAUUAAUAUUUAAAUAUUAGAUAUGAUAGUCAUUUAACCUUAUUUUUUAUCAAAAUAAUAUUUGAUAUUACUUUGUAUUAGUCUAUUAAAUUAAAUUAAAAAUAUUACUAAAUAUUGUUGUUACCGAAUGAAUAUUUAGAUACUACUUAAUAUUAAUUUAUCAAAUUAAAAUUAAAAAUAUUACUAAAUUUAUCAUAAAAUUUUAUAAUUAUAUAAAGAAAUCAAACUAAAAAAAAAUUAUCAAAUUAAAUUAAAUUUAAAAUUAUUACUUGGUAUAUUGUUAGUGAAAAGGAAAAAAAUUCAGAAGCAGAGUUAAAAUAAUUACAUGUGUCCAUUUAUUUAAUUUUAGAUUUUUUAGAAUAAAAUUUCAUAAAUAAAUAAAAAAAUGAUAGAAGAGAGAGAAUCUAAGCCACACGCAUUUAAGCGCUCAACCAAAAUUUUAUUUUAAUGCACAUUAUAUAUUUUUAUUUUAAUAUAUGUAAUUUAUUAUUUUCAUCAUUGCACAUAUUAAUAUUGUUGUACGUUAAUUAAAAUAAUAUAAUGUCACAAACUAACUCGACAAUAACUCACAAUUGAAGAUUAUAUCACAAUGAACAAUUAUAGGAAGAUUGGAAGCAUGUUUUGUCAGCAGUGGAUGCAUAAACCUUUUUAUGGAGUAUGUAAGUUGAGUUCUCCCAACUACAAUGAUUGACCAAAACAAUGCGAGUUCGUCAGAGUCUUUUUUAAAGAAAAAUAAAAGUAUUAUGAGACGUUGAUAGCUAAUUAAGAGAUAAACCCACUAAGUCAAUGCAAGUCAAUUCUUCUUAAAAAAAAUAUAAAAACAAUUGAGGCUCUGGGUUUGACCCACUACGCCUCCUUUUGCAUCAAUUCAUAAGAGAUUUUGUUGCCAAGGAGCUUGAGAAUCCUAUAAAGGUAUCACUUCAAUGAUACAAAGCUACAUAAAUUUUAGUUGUCUUUGAGAUAUUUUCAUAAAAGCAUGUGCAAAAUCUUUUAGAUUUUAAACAAUAUUAUUUAUUUUUAAACAACAUCUAGCAAUGUAUUUUUUAAACAUUUAUUUGAAAAGAACCAAAUGAAAACUAUUAUAUAAUUUUAUAAAAUUGACAACAUAUCCAACAUUUAAAGCACAAAAAAACUAGAUAUGUCAACAAAAAAAUAAUAAUGCCAACAUUCUCAAAUACAGCAACAAAAUUAUUCUAAAAACAAAAUAUAAGACAUCACACCUAGAGUGUAGAAAUACUUGGAUUUUAAUCAUUAUAACAACGAAAAAGAAAACAAAACAUCCAGCUUCCUCAUCAUAAUGGAUUCUCCUCUCACUCACCAAUAGCCUUUGCAAUGCAAUAACAUAAGAAGAGGCUAUUGUGAUAGCAACUCUUAUAAAUAUUCAAAAAUUAACUUUUAGAUGCAUCAUGUCUUAAUCUAAGACAGAAUUUAUCCAAACAUAUGAAAAAUCUAAUCAACUCAACUCAAUUCAAUUCAACCCAACCUCAAUCUAUCUAUGUAGUUUACUUUUAAUUAUGAUUUAAAUUUAAAUAUUUUUUAACAAAAAUUUUAAAUACUUAAUAUUGAACAAAAAAUAGUAUUAAUGAAAAUUUACAAUUAUGAACAAUAACUUAACAUAAAAAUCUUUUGUUUUAGGAAUAAAACUUCAUAAAUAAAAAAGACAACUUUUUUCUUUUUUAAAUUUUAAAAGGGACAAAUAUCAAAACUAUACAUAAAUUAUGGUUUAAUAUGUAAUUGUAUACAUGAACUUUGAUUUUAUGUAAUUUUAUAUAUGAAAUAUUGAUUUGAUCCAAUUUUUAUAAAUUACUAACACAAUUAUUGUUAUAACAUCAUUUUAUAUUUAUAUAUUGCAUAUAUAAAUAAUUAUAUUUAUCCAAUAUAAAAAUAAAUUGAUGUAUUUAUUUCUUUAAAUGUCUAUGAUUAAAUCAAAAUGAAAGUUUCAAAUAUACAUUUGAAUUACAAUUAGAGCUUCAUGUGUAUAAUUGGACCAAAUUGAAGUUCAUGUAUACAAUUAUACAUCAAAUCAAAAUUCAUGUAUAAUUUUGAUAUUUAUCUCUUUCUAAAAUAUAUAGAAACAUUGGCAAACAAAUUUCAACUGUUAAAUCUUUUCAUUUUAUGGUCUCUCCUUGAUUUGUUUAUUUAUUUGAACUUAGGAAGGUUUGAAGUUAUUUCUCUCAACAAAUGAAUACAUCCAUACUAUGUUUAGGAGUUUAAUUGAGAUGGUGCUAUUGUCACUUAUCAAUUAAGUCUCAAUUCAGUUGUAAAAUUAAUAAAAAAGUUCAUUAUUUUUCAAAAUGAAAAAGAAUAUUUUUGAGAUAUUUUUAUCUUUUAUAUGAACUUUAUAAAAAUACAUCCAUUCAAUAAAAUUUAAACUCAAAUAUCAUAAUUUACCUUUUAUCACACUACACCAAAACAGGCUUUUAGCGGCGCUUUUCCCUCAAACGCCGCUAUAGAAUAACCUUUAGCGACGCUUUUCAAACAAACGCCGCUAAAAAUAUAUCUUUUAAAAAAUAAUUUUUUUUCAAAUAAUAUUUAUUUCUAUAAUAAAUAUUAUAUUAUGUUUUAAGGAUAAAUAAAAAAUAUUAUUUAAAUUAAAUUUUCUACAAAAAUUUUAACUUUCAAACUAAAUAUAAAUAUAAAAAUUAAUGAAUUUAAAAUUUAGAAUUUAAAAUGAUAAAUUAAUAACACAAAUAAAAUCCAAAAGUUAGAACACUUAAGUAAAAAUAAAAAUUUAGAAUCAAAACUAAAAUAAAUAAUACAUAUGCAAGGUAAUAAAAUAUACAAUGAAUUUUCUUAAUCAAGUAAAUCUUGGUUACAGAACUAACACAGUAUACAGUAAGUUUCGUCUUUCACAUUUUACAAAAAAAAUAAUAGCAUGUUUGUUUGCAUGCUACCAUGAUCAAAACACAAAAAUGAAGUUCUCCACCUGAUACAAAUUUCUCCUACGAAUGUGUAGAAUCAGAUCUCUAGAUUCUUGGAGUUCUUCAUCUGGUGUUGUCUCGAUGGUUUUGAUUAUUGUAUCAUCUAGCUGGAUUCAAAAAAAGAAUAGAAUGCAAAGCAUGUUAUACAUUUGGACUCCAAAUUUUUAGCAACUCAAAAGAAUGCUAAGCAUGUUGUCCAACCUUCCAGUACUCACAAGGAUCCUGAAUAAAAAUGAAAUCAGACCUCACCACUUCAGAUAAGAAGCCUACACAACUAAUUACACAAAAGAAAAAGAUGAGAAAAAAUAACAAUGUAAAAAAGACAUUUGAAUGAGAUAAUAUAGAACCCAGAGUUAACUCUGUGAAUACCUUCACUUUGAGUGGGUGUACACAGUUCGAUAAAGAUCAGCAAAAAUAGCAAAUCACUUGUGGAUACUAAGAUCUAGCAAGAGCACCCAUUACCAUUAUUAAGGAGGAGUAAAAAAACACUAAAAGAACUAAACAUGUAUUUUGCAAGUAAAUGAAAUAGAUGAUACUAACAGUCUUUAGCACGAUAGCAGAUCUCAUCACCCAAAACUCGCAUAGUCUUCAUGAACCUGCAGGUGGUGUAGCAUGUAUAUUAAGUUUCGCUUACUUAUCCACAUCAAUUCCAUUCUGACCAUUUGCAACAAUAUCAUAUAAGAAUUGCUUCUCCUUUGCACUCUUCAAAGUAAGCACAAAAUAGUGUAUGUGUUAGAUAAAGCAAAGAAACAAAGAAUGUCUGUACUUCAUACUGGAGCAAAAUAUAAAAAAUCCAGUGAUCAACAUGUGCCUACACUUAAAAUAUAAAAAAUCCAGUGAUCAACCGAAAUUAAACUAUUCAUCAAAAUGAUUGCAAUUAACUGAGUUAAAACAUGAUUUUUUUUUCUUUUCUAGCAAAUAUCCAAAGUCUUUUAUACCUUCCCAAAUGGUGAAACAAGCUGGUGAAGUGCUUGAAUUCUGUCUCCUAAUUUUUCUUUCCUCACCUGCCAUAUAACAUAUAUAUGUAUAUAUAUACAAGUUAGAAAAAAAGAAAAAGUAGGUGAUUAAUUUACUAUUUUACUUUCACUUAAACUAUAUUCUCUUUUUCAUACAUUAAUAGAAUAUGAUAGUUACAGCAAAAAAAAAAAAAGAAUCAUCCCUCUAGAAAUCGACAACCAAACAAGGACAACAGUUUUUACCACCCCACAUGUAUUUUGUGUAUGUGUAUAUACACAUAUAUAUGCUUGUAAGUGUGCGUGUGCGUGCAAUCUGUAUUGAGAUAAAAAAAACAUAUAUUUAAUUAUAUAAAAAUUAUGGUAAAAGUAUCAUGGAAGUCCCUGUACUAAAAGUUGGAUUACAUUUUGCCCUUUUACUCAAAUGGUUUAAUUUAAUCACUCAUUCAAUAGCUAUUACCUAAAAUGCUACCACUUUUGAGGUAUAAAAUCAGUGGAAGUCUAAAUCAACAAAGUCCUAAGCCAAUCAAAACAAAGUCACCAUGAAAUGAAAAGAACAAUCUGUUCUUAUCCUUUCGAAACAGUGACCAAAUACAAUGAAUUCAAAAGGUUGUUCUUUUCAUAUCUGCUUAUCAACCAAAUACGCAAUGAGAAAAAAAAAAUCAUGAUCCGCCAGCAGAAAAGCUUGAAAUUUGAAUGGAUCAAAUGAAACAUAAAUCUAAUGUAAAACACACCUGGAGAAAGCUUAAAAGAAGAGCUUUGAUGAGAUUUUCUGGUGUGAGCUCUGGCUGACGCUGCUGAUAUCUUCCUUCUAACUUCCCCAUUAUCGUCCCUCAAAACCCAAUAAUCUGUAAAAUGAAGACUCCCCCAAAUUACUUCAGAUGUCUCUCUUAAAUUCUAUUUAAAAAAAAUUAAAAAUCUAUAAAAAAAUAAAUUACUAUAAAAAAAAGAUAAGUAUGAAUUAAAAAUAUAAUCCCAAAUACUGAUUCAAUUGCAGACUGGGAUUUAUUUCUUACCUCAAAGGUACAGCAAUGGUUGUAACCUCUGUAACCUGUUUGUGAAACCUCUGUAACCUGUUUUACUAGUAAAGCCGAUAAUAAUCCAGAAACUGGUUGUAACCUCCUUGUAUUUGCCUGGGAAACCAGUAAAUCUUCUCAUUAUCAGCAUAUGUUGAUUUUUUUUAUAAUGUCGCAGGGAGGGAGGGAGGGACAGAAAGCAAGAGAGACGGCGUGUUUGCAAAGUUAAGAGUUUUAGGGGGGAAAAUUAGGGGUUUCACGGGGGAAAUUUGGGGAUAAAAUGGGGGAGAAUUUUUAAAAGUGAAAUUAGGGCUUUUAGGGGAAAUUUUGGAAUAAAAUGGGGCCAAGUGAAAUUAUUUUUGCGGCGUUUUUAUAAAAAAAACGCCAGUAAUGCACUUUUUGUGGCGUUUUUUUGAAAACACUACUAAAAAAUUUAAAUUCUUCUAUUGAAAUGGCAUCCUUUUGAGAAAUAUUAAUACAUAGUAACGGCGUUUUUUGCUGAAAAUGCCGCUAAAGCUCUCAUAUUUUUUAUAUUCAAUUAUUGUAUCUUUCAUAUAAAUUAUACAUAAAAUAAUUAUUAAAAUUUUAAGUAAUAUUUAAAAGAAUUAAAUAAUAUUAUAAAUUUUAGUUUUUUUAUUUCAUUUUUAUUUUUGUAUUUUUUUCUUAUAAUUUGGUCCUACCCAAAUUAAAUAAUUACCUAUAUAUCCAUAUCAAAUAUAUCAAAUGGUUUAAAUUAAAUAUUUUUAAAUAUAAAAGCAUUAAUUAAUUGUAUAAAAUUGUAUCAUUUAACAAAUCUCAAAUAAACCUUAAACCCUAAAUUAACCAUUCAAUAUACAGAAAGUCUAUCUAUUAUAUAUCUCUUAAAUAAUAUAAACUAUACCCAUAAUUUCAAUAUAUUAAAUUUAUUAUUAUCUCUUUUACAAUUAUAUAAGAAUAUAUUUAAUAUAUAAAUUAAAAAACUAAUUAAUCUAAACCCUAAACAUUAACCCGACCCUUGAAACCCUAGAUCCCUAACUCCUAACCCCUAAACCUUAAAUCCCAACCUUUAAACCAUAAUCCCUAAAUCUAUAUAUAAUCCCCAAACCUUAAAAUAGUAACUCCUAAACUGACUUUAAAUAUUAAAUUAAUCAUAUACCGUAAACCAUAAACCCUAAACUAUAAUGAUAAUUAAUUAAAUAUUUUAAAAUUAAUACUAUCUUAUAUUUUUCAAUUAUAUAUGAAAUUAUUUAAUAUAUAAAUUAAAAAACAUCUUUAAAAUAUAAAUUAAAAUGCUUUUUUGGAUGAUUUAAUGAAUAUGGUAGGAUUAACUCUAAACCCCUAACCUCUAAAUCCUAAACCCGACCCUAAACCUUAAACCCCAACCCUUAAACCGUAAACCAUAAAAAAUAAUCCCUAAACUAUAAUGAUAAUUAAUUCAAUAUUUUAAAAUUAAUACUAUCUCUUUUACGAUUAUAUAAGAUAUUUUUAAUAUAUAAAUAUCAAACACGUCACAGACACUUAAAACUUUGAGAUAGUUAUACUAUUUUUUAUUUCACUUAUAGGAACCUCAUAUACUCAAGCACUGCAAGUCUUUUGUGAAUUAACCAAUGCUUAUGAAAAUCUACUACUUCCUGUUAUCAAUGCCAACUGGAAUCACAAAUAUUAACAAGAAUCAGACAUAGAUAGCAAAAUUAAUCAAGCACUUUCAAGGGACAUCAGGGACAUCAUUCUAGCAGUUCUUUAAAGAAAUGGAUUUCAAUUCAAAAUUCAGUAGUUCUGUAACUAGCCUAGCAGACAGAUGGAAAAAUAAUAUUUAUUUUAAAGAUCAGUCUACCUCUUAACUGGAAUAACUUUUUGUAAACUUUAACCUUUUGAACUUUUUUUAUUAAUAUAUUUCUUCUAAUACUUGUUAGAGAUAAUCACAGUCAAGAGAUUCAACCAUUAAGAUUCAAUGGAUGGUUAAUAUAAGACCAAACAAAGACAAUGCAUCUAAUUUAAUAAGCUAAGCAGUGCUCAUGAACAAAGCAAAACAGUGUAUAAUAAAUUAUUUAAUAUGUAAAUUAAAAAACACUCAGUAAUGUACCCGAAAAACUUAAAAAUUAUUUUAAAUAAUGUACCCAAAAAACUUAAAAAUAUUUUUUGCGGCCCUUUUAAAAAAACGCCGCUAAAAAUAGAGCAUUAGCGGUGCUUUUUCAAAAACGCCGCUAAAGACCCGAGCAUUAGCGGUGAUUUUCAAAAAACGCCGCUAACGCCCCGAAAAAUCAAAAAAGACAUCGUUGUGCUUGGGUUUUUUGCGGCGCUUUCUGAAAAAUGCCGCUAAUGCUAAUUUUUAGCGUCGUUUUCCAAAAAACGCCGCUAAUGCUUGAUUUUUAGCGGCGUUUUUUAUCCAAACGCCACUAAAAAUGCCGCUAAAAGCCUGUUUUAGUGUAGUGUCAUUAAUCUAUACCAACUUGAGUGAGGAGGACCAAGACAAUGCAAGUCUCAAGUCUUCUUUGAAACACAAAAAUAUUUAAGUGGUUAAGAGCGACAAGCCUUAUUGGUCCUUGUUGGUUAUGUAAGUCAAUUGUAGAGAACGGUUGUUGGAUAUUUCUAAGAAGUAAGUUAAUAGUUAGAACGGUCAAGGAAGGCACAUUCCAUCCCAAUCCAAGCAUCAUGCUAGAUAAGACUACUUAAAUAUUUUUAAAUGUCCUUUUAAUAUAUUUAUAAGUGUUUUCGUCUAUUUUACAUGAAUUUAAAAUAUUGCAAAUUAAAUUUUAUUUAAUUAAAUUUAAACUAAAAACUAAAUUAUAAUUUUAAAUUUAAAUUUAAUUAUCCAAAACAAUUGACUUAAAUUAAUUCAAAAACUUGAAUUUAGAAUUACAUUAAUAGAUUUCAAAUUCGUUUCAUUUUAAAUGAAGUCAAUUUAGUAUUAAGAUGACAAUAGAUCGGGUCAAGCUGAAACAAGAUCCAAUUCUAAAAAAAAAAAUUUAAGUAUUUAGUCUUUUAUCGACCCAACCCUCAAAAGCUAGAUUUUUUUUCUUAUUAAAAAAUAAAAAAAUAUUAAAAAUAUUUUAAUUAAUAUUUCAUAAUUAAAUUUAAAUUUUAAAAAUAUUUUUUUACUAUUUAAAUUAAAUUUGAACCAAAUUGAUCUAAACACAAAAAUACUUAUCCAAGCCUAACUCAAAUCGGAUUAUACGGGAUCAUAAGUGUAGUUUAGCAGAGUUUGUUGAAAGUGUGUGUAAAGUUGAAUGAUUAGAUAGGGAUUUGGAAUUCAUUUAUGAAAAUGAAAUUGAAGGUAGGUUUAAUUUUUUAACUAAUAGAAGAUGUGAUUGAAGCCCGUUCUUUUACGAAUUUUGGGCUCUCCCGCUUCAUCACCCAUUCAUUUAUUUUAAUUCUUGGCAGUGUGCGGCCCACUAAAUUUAUUUUAAUUCUACAUACCUUCGAUAUUGUUAUUUUAGGGACAGUAUAAAUUUUGACCCCUAAUCUUGAUAGUUAAGUGCACUUCAGUACAUACUUGCUUUGGUCUAUUUUGACACUUGAAUUUGAAUAUUAGGCAUAUUUUAAUUUCUGAACUUAAAAAUUAUGAAAGUUUUAUGAUGCGACUCUAUAAGAUUAUGUUACAAUCAUCUCUUGAAAAUUAAAAAACUUUUUAUAUAAAAUUUUAGAGCAUGACGUGGUACAAUCUCUAAGUGCCAUGUCCAUUAUUUUAAUAAUCGGAUUGGUGGUUGAAUCAAUCAAACUAUUAGUUUUCGGUUCAACCAAUUUGAUCAGUUUGAUUGUCGGACCAACAAUAAUUAAAUAAAUCAUUAAACAUUCAUAAAAAAUCUAAAAAAAUAAAAGAAAAUUUUGUUAAAUCGAUUAAUCAUGGUCAACAACCGGGGGUUUUCUCAAUUUUUGAUUUUUACCAAUUUCAAGCAAUUUCUUAUUAAAUUGAUUCAACGUCUUUGUUCAAACCACUAUACCAAUUGAUUCUUGAUCCAAUCGGUUUGAUCAUUAUCCCAUGUGAGAUAUUAAAAUAAAAAUAAUUACCCUUUUUCAAAUCACUUGCAAAAAAACUCUAAAAAUUCGGGAUAAAACACAAAAAAAUUUAAGAUCCAAAAGGAAAUAAAUGCAUUAGAAACGUUAUUUGUACGGGUAGUAAUGUAGCCAAUUAGUCUAGAUAGGUUCUAAAUCAAUUGGUUUGAUUCAGUGUAAAGACUAAAUUAUAGUAAACUUUAUUUGUUUGAUUAAUAAAAUUUAUUUAAAAAGAACCAAAUGAAAGCCACUAUACAACUUUAUAAAGUCGACAACACAUCCAACAUUCAAAGCACAAAGAAACUAGAUAUGUCAACAAUAAAACAAUAAUGCCAACAUUCUCAAACAUGGCAACAAAAAUGUUCUAAAAAAAAGGAAAUAGGACAUCCCACCUAGAGUGUUGAAAUACUUGGACUCAAUCAAUAUAACAACAAAAAAGGAAACAAGACAUCCAACAUUCUCAUCACAAUGUAUUCUCCUCUAACUCACUAGCAACCCUUGCAAUGCGAUAACACAAUUAGAGGCUAUGUGAUAGCAACUCUUAUAAAUAUUCAAAAAUUUAACUUUCAGACACAUCUUGUCUUAAUAUAAGGUAAAGGAUUGAUUCAAACAUGAAUAUUUUAACCAAUACAUCUCAACUCAAUUCAAUUGAACAAAACUAAAUCGACACGAAAAUUUACUUAUGUAGUGUACUUUUAAUUUAUAUAUGAUUUCAAUUAUGGUUUAAAUUUAAAUAUUUAGUAUUGAAUAAAUAAUCAAAUUGAUGGAAUUUUAUAAUUAUGAACAAUAACUUAAAACAUAGGUAAAAGUUUUUAUUUUUUUUACUUAAUAAUAUUAUUAGCAAUCGGACAUUAUUAACAAUAAAAUACUUAUAUAUAUAUAAAAGGAAAAAUAAUUCAAAGCCAAAAGGUGAGAUAAUGAAGUAAAAUGUUUCUAACCUUAUGCAGUAUUUGAACUUGUUAUAAUAACAGUAUCCAAUGAUGUACUUGACUCAUCAUAAGAGUUUUUGCAGCUAUCAACCUUCAUUGAUGUUUCAAGAGGAAGUUGAUGGAAUGGCUUACGAGGCAUUUCAAGGAGUUCAACAUCAAAUUCAAGCAUCUUCAAGACUUGAUUCAUUGAAGGACGAUCAGAAGGAAGUAACUGUAUACACCAAAAGGCUAUUAUUAUCAUCUUCCUCACCAUUGCUUUUUCAUCGUCAGAAACAUCUCCCAACUCCAAGUCCUUUCCUUGAUCCAAUCGGUCAUAAAUCCAAGAUGGAAAAUAUAUUUGACUAGUGUGGUCAGCAAAUGCAUUCACAUUCUUUCUCCUUCCAACCAUUUCCAUCAGUAACAUUCCAAAACUAUAAACAUCAACUUUGUAUGAGAUGCCUCCAAGAUUUUUGUAAACCAAUUCAGGAGCAAUAUAUCCUAUCGUUCCCCGUGGCGCAGUGAGAGAGACAAUGCUACCAUCUACUGAAUACAAUUUAGUAAGACCAAAAUCGGAAACUUUUGGAUUAAAAUUCUCAUCAAGAAGAAUAUUGUGUGGCUUGAUGUCAAAAUGUAGGAUUUGCAUGUCACAUCCUUGAUGCAAGUAGUGAAUUCCUUGAGCCACCCCAAGCACAAUAUCAAACAUUUUUUUCCAGCCGAAAGUGUUAUUAUUUUCUUCUGUAAAUAUGAUUUUAUCUAAAGAUCCAUUAGACAUGAAGUCAUAUACCAGAGCUUGCUUUGAUCCCUCCACACAAAAUCCAAUAAGUUUUGCCACAUUAGCAUGAUGAAUUAUCCCAAUAGAAGCAACUUCAUUUAUGAAAUCUUAGCAAUUACCUUUUGACUUACCCAACAAUUUUAUUGCCACGUGAUGCCCACUACGAAGCUUUCCUUUAAACACUGAGCCAUAACCUCCUUCACCUAAUUUAUCUUUAAAAUUUUUGGUCAUUUUUUUAAUUUCUUUAAAAGAAUACCUUAUUGGCACCAGAUUAUUUUGACUUUGAAGGAACUCUUCGAUCAUAUCAUCCAUAGAUAAAUGUCUUCUUCUCCAUUAGUACGUAACAAGAGAAAGCAAACAAAUGAUCCCAGGAAACGACCUCAAAAAGAUAACUCCACCUUUAAAGAAAUACAAUGUAACACGUUGAAAUCAAACAAAUAAUAUAUAACUUACAUUCUCAGAAAAAAGUAAAUACUGUGAUAGUUUUAUGUUAACUAGUAUUUGAGACUAGUCUAUGGACUAAUCGAGAGUAGUCUGAAUUAUAUGUUAUGUUUUGGUCAUUAGCAGGUAUAUCUCAACAAAUUAAAAUUCAGAAUUUCAAACACAAAAGGAGUAAAUCAUGCAAAGUGGAUACCAAUUAUUCUAACCUCACACAUUCCAAUAGAUUUGACAGGGUCAUGACAUUCACCCAAAUUAACACCUUCGUAACCCCAUCCACUUAGCAAAUUCUAAAGAAAGAACAUGAUUCUUAACCAUGAAGGAUACUCAACUGUUGUCUCUAUUCAUGCCAAAUAAACUUGAAGAAGGACAAAUUAAAAAUAUAAUAACCUUCAAAUUUCAUAAAUGAAACAAAAUCUAGAACCACCAAAAGAUGCAAGAGAACCCCCAAAAAACAGGUUUGAUAAAUUCAAGAGCUAACUUUGUUGAAGUUUUAGCAAUAUGAAUAUCCACCAAACUUAUAACCUGUGAAAGUUCUAAACAAAAGCAUUAUGAAAACAAACUUAAGUAAAACUCUAAUAUCUUUCUUAACUUGACAAAAAAAUUUCUUUUAUAUAGAAGAAGAUUGUAUUCUGCAUUCAAACUCCUUAAAGAGUGCCAUAGGUUUCUUAGUUUUGCAGUGAAAUCAAAUAUAAACUUGUUAAUAUGAUAGGCUCCUUAUUCUUUUUUUUCCCCCAGAAUAUAGCUAAUAUUUUUUCUCAACUAGUGCUAGAAUUUGUAUCUGUGCAAAUGCAAAUGUGCAAAUCUAAAAUUAAAUAUACCUGUUAUUGCCAAACAGAGAAUAUUUCCUGUAAAAAAAACCACGAAUAAAAACGAAAUAUAAUUAUUUCAAGAGAGCAACGAAAUAGCAAAAUCAAAGCACUGCUAAUGAAUUUUGGGAAGCAUACUGCUUGGUCGAGACAUUGAAUCGUAGCCAUGGAAAAGGAAAUGUACAAAGCUGUCCAUAUAUGUUGCGCGGAAGCGUGUGAAAGAGUAAAAUUAUUGUACUGAAAAAUCACACUAAGUUCAAUUCCCAGGAAAGAGAGGUGGAUCACGAGGAUCGCUUACAUACCAGAUCUUUCCUAGCCAGAAUAUCCCUCUAUCGUAAUUUAAUAGCACAAUAAAUCACUACAAUGACACUUGCAAAAUAUGCAGAACAAAAAUAAAGAACACUAGAAUUUUAACGAGGUUCAGCAAAUUUUGCCUACGUCCUCGGGCACUACCAAAUAUAUUUCACUCCAAAAAUACAAGUGAAAGUUUACAAAUAGGGAGAGAGAACAAUUGCCUUAAGUAGAGAAUGGCAAGUGUGGGAUGAAGAAAGUAAGAAAUGGUUAGGCCUAUUUAUAGUUGAGGUUCAAGGAUCAACUUGCAAUGUCCCUAUACAAUUAGGGACCAAAAUUGCAAUUAUCCCAUGCCAACUUUUAACCCAACUUGCCAACCAAUUUUACUUUCUACUUUCGGUGCCCACCCUUUUUGACUUUUCAAACAAUGGGUGGGUUCCAAUAAUCUCCACCUUGAAGAUUUGAUUAGGAUAAUCUUAUCUUCACACAAUUCUUUCUGCCUUUGACAACAAUACUUAAUAGUGCCUUCUUCAACUGUUAAACUUGCAGGAUAUUAAUCAAGUUCAAACAAUGUUCGAACUUGGUUGCUGUUACCACCUUGGUCAUCAUAUCUGCGGGAUUAUUUGCAGUCUUGAUCUUCUGAAGACAAAUUUUCCCCUCUUCAAUAAUUUCCCGCACAAAAUGGAAUCGUACGUCGAUAUGUUUUGUACGUGCAUGAUAGACUUGAUUCUUUGCUAAAUGAAUAGCACUUUGACUAUCACAAUACACAUUAAUAUGCUCCUGAACCAACCCCAAGGUUUUAGCCAUACCUUGUAACCAAAUAGCCUCCUUUACAGCCUCUGUUACAGCCAUGUACUCGGCUUCUGUGGUUGACAAUGCAACUGUAGACUGUAGUGUAGACUUCCAACUUAUUGGUCCUCCAGCAAGUGUAAACACAUAACCGGUGGUUGAUCUUCGUUUGUCCAAAUCACCGGCAUAGUCAGAAUCAACGUACCCAAUAACACCUUUACCAAGUGUAUUAUCCUGCUUGAACAGUAAUCUAACAUCCACGGUCUUCUGAAUAUACCGUAGAAUCCAUUUCACAGCUUGCCAAUGUCCUUUUCCAGGAUUAUGCAUAUACCUGCUCACUAUACUAACUGCCUGUGAAAUGUCGGGUCUUGUACACACCAUUGCAUACAUCAAGCUACCCACUGCAUUAGAAUAUGGAACUUGCAACAUGUAUUCUCGUUCCGUAUUCGUCGAAGGAGAUAGUUGUGCAGAAAGCUUGAAAUGAGAAGCCAACGGGGUACUUACAGGUUUGGUCUGCUCGUUCAUGCCAAACUGCUGUAGUACUUUCUUCAAAUACUGCUUCUGAGACAAGCUAACUCUGCCAUGAGCUCUAUCUCUACAUAUUUCCAUGCCAAGAAUCUUCUUAGCUUCACCUAGAUCUUUCAUCUCAAACUCGAGAUUGAGUUGAGUCUUCAAUCUCUCAAUCUCAACUUUGCUCUUAGAUGCUAUCAGCAUAUCAUCAACAUAUAAGAGCAAGUAUAUGAAAGUUCCUUCUUGUAGCUUCUGAAAAUAUACGCAAUGAUCAAAUUUACUUCUUGUGUACCUUUGCCCUUUCAUGAACUGAUCAAAUCGCUUGUACCACUGCCUCGGAGAUUGUUUCAAUCCAUAAAGCGACUUUGUCAGUUUGCAAACCCAAUUUUCUUUAUCAGCAACAUUGAAUCCAUCAGGCUGAGUCAUAUAGAUUUCCUCUUCCAAAUCACCGUGUAAAAAUGCUGUCUUCACAUCAAGUUGAACUAGUUCAAGAUCGUAUUGCGCAACCAAGGCUAGCAAAAUUCGAAUAGACGAAUGCUUCACAACUGGAGAAAACACUUCAUUGUAGUCUAUUCCUUCUUUCUGAGCGUAACCCUUUGCUACCAAUCUAGCCUUGUAUCGAAUUUCAUUUUUACCAGGAAAUCCUUCCUUCUUUGCAUAUACCCAUUUGCAUCCAAUUGCCUUCUUUCCCUUGGGCAGUCUCACCAACUCCCAAGUCCUAUUUUUAUGAAGAGACUGCAUUUCUUCAUUCAUAGCUUGCUUCCACUUUACACCAUCAGAGUUACUUAUUACUUCUGUGUAAGUGGAAGGAACAUCAUCAUCUGCAAUUGGAAGUGCAUAGGCCACCAUAUCAUCAAAGCGAGCAGGCUUACGAAUCUCUCUUCUUGGCCUCCUAUAUGCAAUUGAAUCUUGUUGCUGUAGAAGUUCUUGGGUCGAAACUUCUUCAUCAUUUGUUCUUUCAAUAUUAGCUGGAUCAUCAUUAACCUUUUCAAACUCCACCUGCUGCAAAGUACUACUGGUUUGGUCAUCCUUUUGUGAAUCCUCGUUCUUCAUCAUGGUUGAUUCAUCAAAAGUUACAUCUCUACUGAAAAUAAUCUUCCUUGUAUCAGGACACCAGAGACGGUAUCCUUUUACACCACCAGUUAUACCCAUGAAUAAUGCUUUCUUUGCUCUUGGGUCUAACUUAGAUUCUUUUACAUGAUAAUAUGCAGUGGAACCAAAAACAUGUAAAGAGUCAUAAUCAGUAGUAGGUUUACCAGUCCACAUCUCCAUAGGAGUUUUUCCAUUUAUUGCAGCUGAUGGCAAUCGGUUAAUUAGAUGGCACGCAUAUGUAACUGCCUCAGCCCAAAAUUCCUUGCCCAAUCCAGCAUUGGACAACAUACAUCGAACUUUCUCCAGUAUAGUCCGAUUCAUGCGUUCUGCCACCCCAUUCUGCUGUGGUGUAUCUCGAACAGUGAAGUGUCGCACAAUGCCCUCAUCUUGACAUACUUGUAGAAAUGGAUCGUUUUUGUACUCAGUACCAUUAUCUGAUCGAAGUCGUUUGACCUUUCGACCAGUCUGAGUCUCCACCAUCUUCUUCCAUUUCAGAAAUGCAUCCAAAACUUCACUUUUUCUUUUCAUUAGAUACACCCAUACUUUUCUUGAAUAAUCAUCAACAAAAGUAACAAAAUAGUGCAUACCUCCCAAAGAAGCUACUUUGGUAGGUCCCCACACAUCACUGUGAACGUAGUCCAGAAUUCCUUUCGUAUUGUGAAUUGCUGGACCAAAUUUUACCCUCUUCUGCUUGCCCAGAACACAAUGUUCACAGAAUUCCAUUUUGCAAGAAUUUGCACCUUUCAAUAAGCCUUGCUUCACCAAUGUCUGCAAAGCUUUUUCACCAGCAUGUCCCAAUCGCAUAUGCCAUAAUCUGGUAGCCUCUGAAUCUACAUCUUUUGUAGAAACUGUUGAUGUUGAUCCAAUAACUGUACUUCCAUUUAAAAAAUACAAGUUAUUUCUUCUUGUGCCUUUCAUCACCGUCAGUUGCCCAGCUACUACUUUUAGUAAUCCAUCUCUCAAAGUGAUUGUGAGCCCUUUAGAUUCUAGGGCACCUAAUGAGAUGAGAUUUUUCUUCAGGCUAGGUACGUAGCGAACAUCUGUCAAGACUUGGAUUGAGCCGUCGUGAUUCUUCAAUUGGACUGUACCCACUCCCAUUGUCUUACAAGCACUAUCAUUGCCCAUAAGAACAAUUCCACCUUCUAGCUCUUUAAGACUAGAAAACCAGUCCUUAUUAGGACACAUAUGGUAAGUACAUCCUGAAUCCAAAAUCCACUCAUCCGUUUGACAUGCCAUUGCCAUGCCAACCAAGCUAAAGUCUGACUCCUCAUCAUGCUCCGCUACACAUGCAUUAGAAAUAGCCUUGCCCUUUUGUAGCUUAGGACAAUUCUUUUUCCAAUGCCCUUUUUCACGGCAAAAGGCACAUUCAUCUUUGGCGGGUCUCCCUUUGGACUUUCCCCUUCUACCAGAUUUGCUGCUGUGUGAACGACCUCUUACUGUUAAGACUUCUGCGGUUGUAUCUCUGUGAUCUCUUUUAUCUUUCUUUCGAGUCUCAGAUCUAUACAACGCACUACAGACUGCAUCAAAUGUGAUCGUGUCCUUCCCAUGAAGCAAUGUGGUGGUAAGAUGAUCAUAUUCAUCAGGAAGGGAAUUCAACAACAAUAAUGCCUUGUCUUCAUCUUCAAAUUUCUCAUCCAAAUUUAGCAAGUCUGCUAAAAUUUUAUUGAAUGAGUUCACAUGGUCAUUCAUCGACAUACCGGGUGCAUACGUGAAUCGAUAAAGUUUCUUUUUCAUAUAAAGCCUAUUUUCAAGACUUUUCGUUAGAAACUUUUCUUCCAAUGUAUCCCACAGCUUCUUCGCUGAUGUCUCCCUCAUGACGGAGUACUUCUGCUCUUUGGCCAAACAUAGGCGGAUUGUACCACACGCCUGUCUAUUGAUCUUGGCCCACUCCUUGUCAUCCAUCUUGUCAGGUUUUUCUUCAAGGGCUAUAUCCAGCUCUUGCUGACAUAAGACAUCCAGGAUCUCACACUGCCACAUACCAAAAUUAUUGGUACCGUCAAAUUUCUCUACUUCAAAUUUUGCAUUUGUCACAGUAGUCCUUGCUGAUGACGAUGCUGCUGCCAUUUUUCUCCUCAAUCCCAACUACUGUAUACGUGAACAGUACCGUAUACGUGAAUAGUGCCGUAUACGUAAAUAGUACUGUAUAUGUGAAUAGUGCCGUAUACGUGAAUAGUACCGUAAACGGUCGUAUUCCCCAAGUACGAACCUGGCUCUGGUACCAAUUGUUGCGCGGAAGCGUGUGAAAGAGUAAAAUUAUUGUACUGAAAAAUCACACUAAGUUCAAUUCCCAGGAAAGAGAGGUGGAUCACGAGGAUCGCUUACAUACCAGAUCUUUCCUAGCCAGAAUAUCCCUCUAUCGUAAUUUAAUAGCACAAUAAAUCACUACAAUGACACUUGCAAAAUAUGCAGAACAAAAAUAAAGAACACUAGAAUUUUAACGAGGUUCAGCAAAUUUUGCCUACGUCCUCGGGCACUACCAAAUAUAUUUCACUCCAAAAAUACAAGUGAAAGUUUACAAAUAGGGAGAGAGAACAAUUGCCUUAAGUAGAGAAUGGCAAGUGUGGGAUGAAGAAAGUAAGAAAUGGUUAGGCCUAUUUAUAGUUGAGGUUCAAGGAUCAACUUGCAAUGUCCCUAUACAAUUAGGGACCAAAAUUGCAAUUAUCCCAUGCCAACUUUUAACCCAACUUGCCAACCAAUUUUACUUUCUACUUUCGGUGCCCACCCUUUUUGACUUUUCAAACAAUGGGUGGGUUCCAAUAAUAUAGUUUCUGAAGGCAUAUGUCAAGCUUGACAUUCUGAAUUAUAUAUUCAACAAAUCAAAGUAAAAUUAAUAAAGGGGUGUAAAGGAAAAUUCCAAAUUUGUGUAAAAAAAGCAAUGGAAGGUAAUUUAAAACAUUAUAUUCUGUUUUGUGGUAUAUGCUCAAAAAAAUUAUAACAAUUCUUUACAUUUUUUUUGUUUGCAAAAAGUAUGCAACAUGUAUUACAGUAUAAGAGCUUUUAGGUAACUAAAACUAUUUAAUAUAAUGAAAGGUGAGAUAAAAUUAAUUAAUCCAAAAAGUAUAUAUUAUAGCAUUAAAAGAGUUUUUGCAAAAAAAAAAUUAAACUCAUCCACAAUGGUGGAAUAGUUACGUACUACCAACUAAGUUGAAAAUUCAUCAAAACUUAAAAAUGAAAAUAAAAAGAGAGCCAUUAUAUUUUAAGAAAGUUUGCAGAACAUUGUGGCUGUAAAAACAUAAUCAAAUAUAAUUGUCCAAAAAGAAGACAAAACAGCAGAGGUAGAUACUAAAUUAGAAAUGCUUUUAGUUCAUUUGAUUGUUAGAUGUUGAUCAAUUUUAGAUGCAAAAUCAUAAUACUUUAUUAGCAUCAUAAAAUUUAAUUGCAAAAAAAGUAACAUAAAAUAAAACAAAACAAAAAGUAGUAGUUGUAACUAAAAAUUCCAGUAUGAUGCACACUCAAAAUGCGAACUUAAAUUAUUAAAUAAACUUACAUAUCUUUCAACAAAACAUUGUUUUUAUAGUCGAAGCAACUCUGGUAAUCGCAUUUAUCCCAUUCGACCCAAAAACCCUCUAAUAGUUUUUUGUAGAUAUCCAGCGUAGACAUGCCUGUUAUAUUAUCAACCAUAAUUGGAACCUCCACUUCGAUGGUGCAAGCUUGAUUGAUAUAAGAUGGCUGGGUGUUUCCAUUUAAAAAAUAGAAAUGGGAAGUUGAAAGGGAAGAGGAGGUAUUGGAUUUGAUGGUACAACGAGAAGCCUCAAUAUAAUUAUGUGAUGAUUUUAUAGGUGUCGUGCAAUUCAUAACAUAAAUAAUGCUACCCUCUAACCUUCUAUUGUUGUAAUGACUAUAAUAAUAAUAAUUAUUAGAAGAAAGGUAAAAAUUUGAUAGCUCAUAAUCAUAAUAAUCUACAGAAGUAAGAGAAAGGGAGUUGCAAUCAUCCAUGUCCAAGCUCGCAUCGACCAUUUGUAUUGUAUAAUUUUCGUAAAAGAUUUGUUGGACAGAGAAUUUCCCUCCUCUCCCAACCAAAGUGGUGCGAUUAUUGUUCUCACACUCAAAUUCAAAGCCAUAAUGACCACAGUGGGGAGGUUGGUUUUUUAAUCGGAAUGGAAAACUUGUUGGGUAUGGGUCCCAUUAUGUGGAAAACCCAUAUUUUCUGCCACAAUGUUUUGCCUUCUUUUUUGGUUUUGUCAAAAGCCAAUUUUUUUAGCCUUUUAACGUGGGAGUUGGCAGAAAUUUUAGUAGAGCUAAAACAAAAAAAAAAAUCUCAAAUUAAAACGGAGAGAAAGAGAGAAGAAAAUUUCAGUUUUUCAAGUUUGGUGCAGCAGUGAUCAACUCUUCGAUCGAAGGUUCAUCCGUGGUUCAAUUGAGCUAAUUUUUGGACAGCAGCUAGGCGAUAAGGUGUUCUUGACUUUGUACGGUCGGAUUUUUCAUCCGAGUCUUGUAGCGUCGGAAAUACCCAUUUUUCAGCAGCUACAUUUUUGGUGAUGUUCUCUCAUUUUUCUCUCUUUUGCUAAAGAUUACAUAUUGUUAGCCUUGUCGGAGUUGAAUGCUUGUUGUAGGCUUGAUAUUGUGAUCUUGUAGUCGAACAUUUGAUGAUAGUAGAGCUCUUUAUCGGACUCUAAAGUCCCGUGGUUUUUACCCUUGAUUUAAAGGGGUUUUCCACGUAAAAAUAUCGGUGUCUCUAUUUAUUUUUGUUGUGGUUCCAUUAGUUGAUUUGUGGUUGAUUAAGGUUGCUAGAGAACAUAUCUUGGGCUAUUGUGCUUGCCAUAAUUUUUGACAGGAGUUAUAAGGAGAGAAAGAACACCGGUUGUGCUUUCGCUUUGUUUCGGUUGUUCGGUUUCUUCCCAACAAACUGGUACCAGAGCUUGGUUAUUGUGUCAGAUAAUUAUGGAAAUUAAUACGAGCAAGAUGAUUAUGUUGAAUGGCACAAAUUAUCAACUUUGGCGGAAUAAAAUGAAGGACUUGUUGUUUGUGAAGGCUUUGCAUCUUCUGGUCUUUACUACUCAAAAACCCGAUUCGAAAAGUGAUGAAGAAUGGGAAUUUGAGCAUCAACAAGUGUGUGGCUUUAUUCGGCAAUUUGUUGAAGAAAAUGUUUACAACCACAUUGAUCAGGAGACACAUGCUCGAACAUUGUGGGAGAAGCUUGAAAGCUUGUAUGCUUCGAGGUCGGGCAAUAACAAGUUAUUUUUGCUGAAGAAAAUGAUGGCGCUGAAAUGUAAAGAAGGAAUGUCUAUAGCUGACCAUGUUAGUGAAUUUCAGAGUGUGAUGAAUCAGUUGCUUGGUAUGGGUGUCAAAUUUGAUGACGAGAUUUUAGGACUUUGGUUGCUUGCUACUCUACCAGACUCUUGGGAGACCUUUCGAGUCUCACUCAUUAAUUCUGCCCCACAGGGUAUUAUUACUUUGGAUUUGGCUACGAGUGAUGUGUUGAAUGAAGAGGUUAGAAGAAGAUCUCAGGGCUCUACAUCACAGUCCGAGGUGUUGGUUAUCGAGAACAGGGGGAGAAAUAGAGACAAAGAUGGAAAUGGUAGAGAUAAAAGCCGAAGCAAGUCAAGAUCGAGAUACAAGAAUCUUGAGUGUCAUCAUUGUGGUAAGAAAGGUCAUAUCAAGAAAUAUUGUUUCAAGUGGAAGAAAGAGAACAAAGGUGGUGGUGAUAAACACGAUCGGAAUGACGAUGAAAAAUUCGAGCGUGUUGCUACUGUUACUCGUGAAGAUCUGUUAGUUAUUUGUGAUGAGGAUUUGGUCAACCUAGCAUACGACAAGACUAGUUGGGUGAUUGAUACUGGUGCAUCACUUCAUGUCACGUCGAGGAAGGAAUUCUUCACAUCUUAUACUCCUGGUGAUUUUGGGGUAUUGAAGAUGGGUAAUGAUGGUUUGGUUUCGGUUAUUGGUAUGGGAGAUGUUAGCUUGGUAAGUAACAAUGGAACAAAGUUAACUCUCAAGGAUGUCAGACAUGCACCGGAUGUCCGUUUGAAUUUGAUUUCUGCAGGAAAACUUGAUGAUGAGGGAUUCUGUAACACCUUCAGUGAAGGGAAGUGGAAGCUGACUAAAGGCUCCUUGGUUAUGGCUCGAGGAAAGAAGAGCUCAAAUUUGUACUUGAUGCAAGCUUUGACUUCUCGAGAGACGGUGAAUGUGACACUGAAUGACAACUCAACUGAGUUGUGGCAUAAACGACUCAGUCACAUGAGUGAGAAGGGGCUUAGCUAUUUAGCGAAGAAGAAUCAACUUUCGGGUUUAAAGAAUGCUACACUGAAGAAUUGUGCUCAUUGUCUAGCAGGAAAGCAGAAAAGAGUUUCAUUUAGAAGCCAUCCUCCUCAUAGGAAAUCAGAGUUGCUAGAGUUGGUCCAUUCAGAUGUUUGUGGUCCGAUAAAAGUAAGAUCACAUGGUGGUGCACUUUACUUUGUGACUUUCAUUGAUGAUUGUUCAAGAAAGCUAUGGGUUUACACUUUGAAGUCUAAAAAUCAAGUCUUUGAGGUGUUUAAACAGUUUCAAGCAUCAGUUGAAAGGGAAACUGGGAAGAAGUUGAAGUGCAUUCGUACUGAUAAUGGUGGCGAGUACACAGGGUCAUUUCAUGAGUAUUGUCUGCGACAGGGAAUCAGACAUCAGAGAACACCACCAAAGACUCCACAGUUAAAUGGGUUAGCUGAAAGAAUGAACCGAACAUUGAUUGAGAGAGUCAGAUGUUUGUUGUCAGAUGCAAAGUUACCAAGAUCGUUUUGGGCUGAAGCUUUGAAUACAGUGACACAUGUGAUAAAUCUGUCUCCUAGUGUUCCUUUGAAAGGUGAUGUGCCAGAUAGAGUUUGGUUUGGUAAAGACGUGUCAUAUGAUCACCUACAUGUGUUCGGUUGUAAAGCAUUUGUUCAUGUUCCAAAGGAUGAAAGAUCCAAGUUGGAUGCCAAGGCUUGACAAUGCAUUUUUAUUGGUUAUGGUCUAGAUGGUGAGUUUGGUUAUAGACUCUAUGAUCCAGUUCAGAAGAAACUCGUGAGAAGCAGAGAUGUUGUCUUCAUUGAGGAUCAGACCAUUGAUGACAUUGAUACGACGGAGAAAGUGGAAUCACAAGGUAGUGGUGACUUGAUCGAUGUGAAUCCAGUUCCCCUAGACUCUUCACCAGAUCCUAUCCAGGAUGAUGUGCAUGGUGAUGUUAGUGGUGACCAUCAGACUAUAGGUGACUUUGAUACUCCCAUGGAUGAUGUUGUGAAUGAUCAACAACAAGCACCUAUAGCUCCACCAGCAGUUCCACUUCGAAGGUCUUCCAGAGAUCGACGAUCUUCUGUCAGGUAUUCUCCUGAUGAAUAUGUUCUUUUGACUGACGGGGGAGAACCUGAAUGUUAUGAAGAGGCUAUGGAGAGUGAAUGCAAAGAUCAGUGGGUUGAAGCGAUGAAAGACGAACUUUAAUCCUUGCAUGAGAACCAUACUUUUGAAUUGGUGAAACUGCCUAAGGGCAAAAGAGCUUUGAAUAAUCGGUGGGUUUACAGGUUGAAGCAAGAAGAGAAGUCUUCAUCUCCACGAUACAAAGCUAGAUUGGUCGUCAAGGGUUAUACUCAGAAAAAGGGGGUUGAUUUUGAAGAAAUAUUUUCUCCGGUUGUGAAGAUGUCCUCUAUCAGAACAAGUGGAUGUGAAAACUGCUUUUCUUCAUGGUGACUUGGAAGAAGAGCUUUACAUGGAGCAGCCAGAGGGUUUUGUUGCACAAGGGAAAGAGGACUAUGUGUGCAGAUUGAAGAAGAGCUUGUAUGGUUUGAAGCAAGCUCCAAGGCAAUGGUACAAGAAGUUUGAGUCUGUUAUGGGGGAGCAAGGCUACAAGAAGACUGCUUCUGAUCAUUGCGUGUUUGUUAAGAGAUUCUCUGGUGAUGAUUUUAUUAUUCUUUUGCUCUAUGUUGAUGAUAUGCUUAUUGUUGGUCAGAAUGCUUCUAAAAUUGAGAAGUUGAAACAAGAGUUGAGUAAAUCCUUUGCAAUGAAGGAUUUGGGGCCAGCAAAGCAAAUUCUUGGCAUAAGACUGACACGUGAUAGAAAGGCCAAGAAAUUAUGGUUAUCACAAGAGAGGUACAUUGAGAAAGUACUUCAAAGGUUUAGUAUGGACAAAGCUAAAGCGGUGAAUACUCCCUUUGCUAUGCACUUUAGAUUGAGUGUUAAGCAUAGUCCUUCCACAGAAAAGGAGAAGGAAGAGAUGCAGAAAAUUCCUUACUCUUCAGCCGUGGGUAAUUUGAUGUACGCAAUGGUUUGCACGAGACCAGACUUGGCUUAUGCCGUUGGUACAGUUAGUCAGUUUCUUUCUAAUCCAGGCAGAGAGCAUUGGAAUGCAGUGAAGUGGAUUAUGAGAUAUCUUCGUGGCACUUCCAACAUGAAACUUUGUUUCGGCAAUGAGAAACCUGUUCUUGUUGGGUAUACAGAUUCAGACAUGGCCGGAGACAUUGACUCGAGGAGACCUACUUCAGGUUACUUAAUCACUUAUGCAGGGGGAGCUGUGGCAUGGCAAUCGAGACUGCAAAAGUGUGUUGCAUUGUCCACCACCGAAUCAGAGUUCAUUGCAGCAACCGAAGCGUGUAAGGAGAUGCUUUGGAUGAAGAAGUUUGUGCAUGAGCUUGGUUUUACUCAAGAGAAGUAUGUCCUGUACUGUGAUAGCCAGAGUGCUAUUCAUCUUGGUAAGAACUCAACUUUUCAUGCUAGAUCUAAGCAUAUUGAUGUGAGGUACCAUUGGAUACGAGAUGUUCUUGAAGCUAAGCUGUUAGAGCUUGAGAAGAUACACACUAAUGAUAAUGGUGCUGAUAUGUUGACGAAGGCCUUACCAAGAGGAAAGUUUGAAGCAUGUUGUUUGACCUCCGGCAUGGAGGCAUUCCCCACAUAGUUGGAGGGGGAGAUUUGUUGGGUAUGGGUCCCACUAUAUGGGAAACCCAUAUUUUCUGCCACAAUGUUUUGCCUUCUUUUUUGGUUUUUUCAAAAGCCAAUUUUUUUGGCCUUUUAACGUGGGAGUUGGCAGAAAUUUUAGUAGAGCUAAAACAAAAAAAAAUCUCAAAUUAAAACAGAGAGAAAGAGAAGAAAAUUUCAGUUUUUCAAGUUUGGUGCAGCAGUGAUCAACUCUUCGAUCGAAGGUUCAUCCGUGGUUCGAUUGAGCUAAUUUUUGGACAGCAGCUAGGCGAUAAGGUGUUCUUGACUUUGUACGGUUGGAUUUUUCAUCCGAGUCUUGUAGCGUAGAAAAUACCCAUUUUUCAGCAGCUACGUUUUUGGUGAUGUUCUCUCUUUUGCUAAAGAUUACAUAUUGUUAGCCUUGUCGGAGUUGAAUGCUUGUUGUAGGCUUGAUAUUGUGAUCUUGUAGUCGAACAUUUGAUGAUAGUAGAGCUCUUUAUCGGGCUCUAAAGUCCCGUGGUUUUUACCCUUGAUUUAAAGGGGUUUUCCACGUAAAAAUAUCGGUGUCUCUAUUUAUUUUUGUUGUGGUUGCAUUAGUUGAUUUGUGGUUGAUUAAGGUUGCUAGAGAACAUAUCUUGUGCUAUUGUGCUUGCCAUAAUUUUUUACAGGAGUUAUAAGGAGAGAAAGAACACCGGUUGUGCUUUCGCUUUGUUUCGGUUGUUCGGUUUCUUCCCAACAAAACUGAUAUUCAAAUUCCCACAGAAAGUAAAAGCCAUAAUGAACACAGUGGGGAGGUUGGUUUUUUAAUCGGAAUGGAAAACUGAUAUUCAAAUUCCCACAGAAAGUAGAGCCGCAGUCUUGGUUAAUAAGAUGCCUAGUAAAACAAACACCAGGAAAUAGAAUUACAAAAAAAGCAAAAGCGGGCAUUAGUUUUGCUUUUAAUUUUGGCAUGCUAAAAUUUUGGGUAAGGAAGAAGAACAAUAACGGGGGUUAAUGAUUAAGUUUCUAACUAAAUCAGGGAAAUAUGUAAGAAAACUUCAGUGGGAGAAGAAGCAUUAAUGGGGACACAAGACUUUGACUAGUCUUCAGCUUUAUUUGGGAUGAAUAUUUUAUUUUCGAUCAAUUUUUUACACUUAUUUUUUUAUUUUUUUUCUGGGAAACACCUCAGUCAAAGCACAUCUGAUUUCAAGAUGGUUAUGUCACCAAGUUAUUUCUCUAAUGCAUCUGUAUUGUUUAAGAGUUUAAUCUUUCCAUUUUAUGGUUGAUUUGAAUAUUUACUUAAACUUAGAAAGGAAGGUUGAAAGUUAUUUCAGUAAUGUAUUUAAGAGUUUAAUUGAAUUAAUGUCAUCUGUUUCAAUUUAAUUGUGAAAUUAUAAAAAAAAUUGUAAUUUGUACAAAAUAACAAAUGUUAUUUUGAGAGUAUUUCGGAACAAAGUUAGAAAUAUUUAUGGGACCAUGAUAUUUAUAUAAAGUAGACGUAUAAAUAAAGUGUUUUUAAAUUUGAGGUAGUUUUCAUCACCCAAAACAAAAUUUAUAAAAGUAAAAUAGGUUAAAUGCUCAAUCUAUAUUAGAUAUUGCGAUUAUUUAAGUUCAUUUUUUUAUCAAAUUAAUAUUUCAAUACAACUUCAUUUUUAGAUAUGGUAAUCAUUUAACCUUUUUUUUUACUAAAUUAAUAUUUAGAUACUACUUUGUAUUAGUUUAUCAAAUUAAACUAAGAAUGUUACCAAAUAUAUUUUACCAAAUUAAUAUUUAGAUAUACUACUUUAUAUUACUUUAUAUUAGUUUAUUAAAGGGCCUAUUACGGGGAUCAUAUCCCCUUUGGGGUGCCUUGGAAAGUUUCCAACAACAUUUGCUUGUUUUGUCGGACCCUCGUGUAAAAUGGGACAUGAGUUCGUUGGGUGGUCUGACAUGACACACAUUCCACAUAACCGUGCUGGGCUUGUUUUAUCUGUAAGUAAAUUUUGAACAACGCUAGUAAGCUUAUCACAUAAUCGUGCUGGGCUUGUUUUAUCUAUAAGCAAAUUUUGAGCAACGUUAGUAAGCUUAUCAAUUUUGUCUUCUAGAGAUAGAGUACACUUAACCUAUGAUCCCGUCUCGUGAGUUCUAUAGCCAGUCGGAAUUGUUGAGUAUUUGUAGCCAUGGUUGAAAUCAACUCACUCACUUUCUGGGGCAUCAUAUUAACAAGUGCCCCUCCACUAGCAGCAUCUAUCAUUUUCAUUUCCAUUUGGAGUAAUCCCUAAUAGAAAUAUUACAAGAGUGAAUGUUCAAUCAGUCCAUAUUGUGGGCAACUUGCACACAAAUUUUUAUAUCGCUCCCAGUAAUAAUAGAGCGAUUCAGUCUCCUUUUACCGAAUUCUUAUGAUGUCUCUCCUUAAUUCAACUACUCCAGCUGCUGGAAAGAACCUUUCAAGAUAUAAACGAGACAUGUCAAAUCAUGUAUUGACAAACCUUGGAGGUAAAUAAAAUAGUCAUUCUCUAGCAGAAUCGGCUAAAGAGAAAGGAAAAACACAAAGUUUAAUUUGAUCAUUGAUUACUCCCUGAGGUUUCAUGCUUGUGCAAACCAUACGAAAUUCCUUGAGAUGGGUAUGUGGAUUUUCAUUUGUAAUCCACAGAAGGUAAGCAAUAGAUAAAUCAAGUCUGAUUUUAACUCGAACGGUGUUCCUCCCACCGUAUAAGUUAUAGAUGGGGGAGGUUGUUCAUCUGGGGCUGCUACGAGUUGGCAUAUAGUUUGCUUUACCAUAUCGUCUGGUUCGUCAAAUGAGAGAAUGUCCUCAAUGUAAAAUCCUAUUUCAAACUGGGGUUAUGGUCGUUUAUUGCAUCGAGUGGCUUCUCUUCGCAGUUUUUGAGCCAAAUUCUUUAUUUCUGGUUCAAAUUCUAGAGACCCCGAUUCUGACACGGUCAUAAGGAAAACAAACGAAAAUUUAAAAAAAAUUUAAUCCCCGACAACGGCGCUAAAAUUUGAUGGGUGUCGAAACCACUAAAUAAAUUAAUUCCUACAAUAAAAUAACUCUAAACAGUAGUAAAGAGUAGUAAGGUCGAUUCCACAGGGAUUGGUGAUUAUGAUCAACUUUUGUGUUUUUCUUAUAAACAGAAUUUAUGUCGCGGCGAUAAUCGUGGCAAUAGACAUGUCCACGACUCUAAACGACCUACUAAAAAAAAGAAAUUAGGGGAGUUUCGAAAUGUUUAGAAAUUAAAUAAUUGAGAUAGCAUAAAUAAACAAUUAAAUAAAUUAGAAAUUAAAUUAAAUUAGAAAAUUAAAUUCGAAUUUUGUAAACAGAAAUAAUAAGCCUUAGCCUUCGAGUCGGUGAAUUUCGAUUUCUGAACUGAUCCUCGAAAAUUAGUUUUCUCCUCCAAACAAAAAGCUAGUUAUAGCAGCUAGAACGUCCUAACUCUCAAUUCUUUCUCUAGUAGUUGAUUUCGGUACUACCUACAAACCAACCCUUAUUGAUUAUCUAAUCAGAAUACACGCGUUCGCAAUUCAAGAUUCCGAUAGCCUUAUGUUCUGAAGAACCCAACUCGAAUUAACGGCCUCAACCAUGCUUGACGUUUAAAUUUAAUCACUAUCUCCCUUGAUUUGUUCGCGAAAGUCUGAAUACAGCACGGCUGACUCGUCUCUCCAAUUGUCCGCCAAAACAACUCCAACCCAACACGCUUUUUUAAUUGAAAUCAAGUUAACUUUAAGGAAUGAAUUUGUCAAUCCCGAUAUUUUGGAGAGAUGGUGAAUACCGAUUUGAAGAAUUUUUAGUGCGGAUACAUUUCUUACGAUUCCUAACUGGAAAGAAUACCGGCCUAAAGCUAAUUUAAAAUUAGUGAAGCCUGAAAUUAAUCAAACUUUGGUUGGUUAUAGAAGUGGAUUUGAAUGGAAAUGGUGGUUGGUGAAAGGGAAAGGGCCUGGGAAACAAUUAAGCUAAAACAUUGAAAUGGAAACAAACUCUUACACGCAAAGUAAGAAAGAAAAUAAAAUGAUUUUUUUUUUCUAUUCACUUGCCAAGCAAAUCAAGGUGUAUUUUUUCAAGUUCACCAUGGCACCUAUUUAUACAUAAAUAAUAUGCUAAAAUUAGGCUAGUCUCACCUACCCACUAAUUACAUGAAAUAAAUAUCAGAUUUUUUUUUCUAAUUUUUCCUUUUACAAAGUCAAAAAUCUUAUCAGUCCCUAAAUAUCUCCAAAUUUUUAAUUCGACUCCUCUUCAAUUGCUUAUCAUUCAAUUUAAUCAUUUUCUUCUUGUUUUCGAAUUAAAGCAUCCGAAUUUCAUUCUUGACAAUAUUUAAACAUAAAAUUCACUAAUUAGCAAAAAUUAUUCAAAAGCAAAUUGAUUUGAGUACGUAAAAUAUGCAAAAUAAAUAUACUAUCAUUAUAAUAAUUUUAUAUUCAAAUGGUUUAAUCUAACUAAUUAUUUUGAAUUUCAUUGUCAUGAAAAUAUACAAUUUAUUAUGAUUAAUUUUAAAAUUAUUAUUUGGAACAUUGUAAGUAAGAUUAAGAAGAUCACAUGUCCAUUUAUUUAUUUAUAAAUUUUUAAAUAUAAUUUAAAGACCACUUGUUAUUAUUUAACUUUUGCUUGUGGAAUUUUUAUUUCUAUCAAAUAAUAAUCCUUAAAAUCAUUAUCUAAAAAGGAAAAAAUAUUAAUAUUUAAAAGGAACAAAUCAAUGAAACUUCCUUCUUCUUUUUUUUUUUGAAAAAAAGUCAAUGCAAGUAUUAAGUCUUCUUUGAAACACAAAAAAAACAUUUAAGUCGCUAAGAGCGACAACAACCUUUAAUUAAACAAAUAUAAUGAUAAGAAUAUAUAUAAUAUAAUAUUUGUCUAGUUUUCUUUUGGACGUACAAUACUUGUCUACUUAAUUUACUUAUUUGAUUAUUUUAUUUAUAAAGUAAUAAAAAUGUUAAUAUUUUUAUUUCAAAUGAAACAUUAUAAUGUCAAAACAUUUUAUAAAAAUACUUUUUAUUGUUGUGUCCUGUCAUACUCGUAUCCUUAUUUUAAAAAAUUAUCAUAUCACUAUGUUCGUAUCAUGUCGUACUCGUAUUACAUGUCUUUGUCCGUGUUUCAUAAAUAGUUUUUAAAUUUUAUUUUAAAAUAAUUAUAUAUAUCUUCAUUUAUUUUGCGUGAGUUUAAAAUAAUAAAAUUUAAAUAUAGAUAUAAGUUCUAUUAAUUUGUAUAAAAAAACCAUUUAAUUAAAUUUAGAUUCAAAUCUAAAGUCUAAAUUUAAAUUUUAAUUAUCACAACAAUCAACUUAAAUUAAUUCAAAAGCUCAAUUUCAAAAUCAAAGGUCUACAAAAGUUGAAUCAUUAUAUGUGUGCUUCGGGUAAUUACUUAUUUCGCCUAAAUUGAAGCCCCCUUUUUUUAGGAAUUUCGGGUCUCUUUAGUUACUUUUUGAAUCAUUAGAUAUUGUAAUUAUUUAAAUUUUUUUUAUCAAAAGGAAAAUUCUUUUUUUUUUAGAAUAAAACUUCAUUAAUAAAAAAGAUCAUGAGAGAACCCAAGAGGAAGUUGAUGUUUACUUGACUCACUACACCAAAACAGGUUUUUAGGGGCAUUUUUAGUGGCGUUUAGACAAAAAAUGCCGUUAAAAAUCGAGCAUUAGCGGCGCUUUACAUAAAAUGCCGCUAGAGAUUGAGCAUUAGCGGCGCUUCCAGGAAAGCGCCGCUAAAAAUGAGCAUUAGCGGCAUUUCUUGGAAAAACGCCGCAAAAAACCUAAGCCCAAAGGCAUCAUAUUUUGACAUUUCGGGGCAUUAGCGGCAUUUUUGAAAAAGCGCCGCAAAAAGAUAGAAAAAUAUUUGUUAAAAAUGGAAAAAUUAAAAUACUAUUAUUUAAAAUAAUGUUAAAAUUUUAAAAGAUACGAUUGAUUCUUAACAAAUAUAAUUGUAAAAGAUACGAUAAUAUUAAUUUUAAAAUAUUUAAUUAAUUAUUAUUAUAAUUUAGGGUUUAAUAUAUAUGGUUUAGGUUAUAUGAUUAAUUUAGGAUUUAAGGCUAGUUUAGGAGUUACAGUUUUAAGGUUUAUAGAUUAUGGAAUUAGGGAUUAUGGAAUAGGGAUUCUGGUUUAAGGGUUGUGAUUUAGGUGUUAGGGGUUAGGGGUUAGGGAUUCGGGUUAGGGUUUAGAUUAAUUAGUAUUUUUUAAUUUAUAUAUUAAAUAAUAUUUAGGGGUUAGUAGUUAGGGGUUAAGGGUUUGGGGUUAGGGGUUAGAGGUUAAGAGUUAGUGAUUUAAGGUUUAGAGAUUCGGGGUCGGGUUAGGGUUUAAGGUUUAGAUUAAUUAGUAUUUUUUUAAUUUAUAUAUUAAUUAAGUUCUUAUAUAAUUGUAAAAGAGGGGUUAGGGGUUUAGGAUUUAAGGUUUAUGAUUUAGGGUUUAAGAGAUAGGGGUUAGGGUUUAAGGCUUAGAUUAAUUGGUGUUUUUUAAUUUAUAUAUUAAAUAAUUUCUUAUAUAAUUGUAAAAGAGAUAAUAUUAAUUUUAAUUUAUUAAAAGUAUGAUUAUAGUUUAAAUUAUUUAAGAGAUAAUAGAUCAAUUUUAUAUAUAUUAAAUGGUUUAGGAUUUAAGGUUUACUUUAAAUUUAUUAAAUGAUAAAAAUUUAUACAAUUAAUUAAUGUUUUUAUAUUUAAAAAUAUUUAAUCUAAAUUUAGAUUAAAUAGUUUAAACCAUUUCAUAUAUUUAAAUAUUAGAUUUAAAAAAAUUGAUAAAUAAAUAAAUUAAUGUAACAAAUUGAUAUGGAUAGGUAACUAUCUAUUUUGGAUAGGACCAAAUUAUAACAAAUAAAAAUAAAAUACAAAAACUAAAAUCAUUCCACAUCGAACAUCUAGCAAAAUAGUUAUAUUUUAGUUAAGAAGAAAUAUCUCUAAUAAAAUGAAGAUUAGAUCGGAAAAGAAUAAUAUAAAAUCAUGAUUAACGUCUCAAUCUUUAAUAGAAAUUUGAUAUGUGAGAGAUUGAUUGCUUACAUUGGAUAAUUCUAACUUAAUAAUUAAUUACAGUCAUUUAAUCAUUUGUUUUCUUAUUAAAAUAUAUAAUAUUUAUUUUGAGAGUACUUAUUUUUUUAUAAAAAUCCAAUUUAUAAAAAAUAGUAAUAAUCAAUAUUUUAUAAAAUCACUUAACUAAUAAUUUUUAGCAGACAAAAUAAAAGAUUUUUAGCAGAGCAAAACGACGCCAUUUUGUUCAAAAUAAAAUUUUUUUUGCGGCGUUUUUAAUAAAAACGCCGCAAAAGAUAAGCAAUAGCGGCCGCAAAAAUCAUUUUACUUUAAAAAAAAGGCGCGUUUUAUCCCCAAAUUUCUCCACCUGAAAUCUCCAAAAGGAGCUCCGCCACUAAAGCAGAUAAGGUUUUUGGAAUUCCUUUUGUGCUUGCUCUUUGUUAAAAAAGACUUUUGUUCUAUUCGGUAUUUGCAGGAAAAAAAAAGAUAAUGUGUUUGGUAUUUUUGUUUCCGUUAUAAAUUUUUUAAGGAAAGGGAGAUGAAGAAAAAGGGAGAAGAAAAAUGCUGCAACUAUGGGUAAUUUAUCCCUACUUUGCCCUACUUUUUAAACCAUGGUAUGAGAUAGGCUGGUCUCCUAAUAUUUCCUUAACAGCUAAAAAUAAGCAUUAGCGGCGCUCUUUAAAAAAACGCCGCUAAAGAUUAAGCAUUAACGACGCUUUUAAAAAAGUGCUGCAAAAAAACCUAAGUCCAAUAAUAUUUUUUUGAGUUUUUGGACUUUAACAGUAUUUUUAAAAAAGCGCCACGAAUGUUCUAUUUUUAGUGGCAUUUUUUAAUAAGCACACUAAUGCUAAUAUUUAAUCUAAAUAUAUAAUUUUUUGCUUAAAGAAAUUGGCGCUGAUUUUUUCCCCAAAUUUCCCCUAAAACCCAAAAACUAAAAAAUCCCAAAUUCGCGCUGAUUUGUUCACAAAAUCCCAAACGAAAAAAUUUGGAGGAGCAGAACGAGGCGCUGCGAUUCCUCCCUCUGCGAUUCGAUUGUUAGCUUCUCACUGUUCUCAGCUCGUUAAAUCUAAUGGAAAGCGAUUGUUUCUCAUCGACACUUUAGCUUUGGUAAAUUACAAUGAUUCCUUCUUUUGUUUUAGAAACUGUAUUUUUGUUUGAUAUUUGGAAUCUUGAAAAUAUCUGAAGACAUGGUGCAUUAUACUUAUAGGUUAGAGGAUUAGAGGCGGAAGGUCUGCCGUCGAAGCAAGCCGAGGCAAUAACAGCAACCAUGACUGAAGUUUUGAAUGACAGCUUAGAAAAUGUGUCUCUUUCAGUUGUUUCCAAGUUUGAGAUGCAGAAAGUAAGCUCUUUUUUUUAAUGCUUCCAUACGUUGUAUUCACUAUGGAAACUUAAUUUUUGUCUUGAUAGAGUGAAAUGACUCAAGAAUCCAAUCUGUCGAAGCUCAAAUCAGAAGUUCAAAGCUCUCAGGUAUUUACUUUUUUGUAAAUGGACUUUGCGAACUUAUCGAUUUUAGUCUCCUUUUUAUGUGUUUUCGACUUUUGGUAUUAAUGAAGUCCCUUCUAGUUGGGUUUGUUCUUAUUAAUGGAAGAAAGCUUAACAUUUGGCCCAUUGCAAAUUGCUAUAGAGACAGUGUUAACAUGUCUAGGCCCUUCUUCACGCUGUAGUAAGUUGAUUUGAGACUCCUAAUCUUAUUUUUAAACAAUAACCGUUGAUUGCUUGACUAGGGAAACAGUAUUGAAUGAUUGGCUAUGAUCCAAGAAACCAUCAAUGGACUUCGAUAUUUACUUUUAGAUUAGAUGAAAUUGCUUCAGUAGGUUGAUUGAUAGAGAGGGUUGUGCAUACAGCUGAUCAGAACUCAGGACUACUGCAUUUUAGGGAAAGAGGAAAAAUUACUAGCUCAGAUUUUGAAUAUAUAUUACUGCAUUUUAGGGAAGGAUAUAUUCUUGUUUUCUGGUAGGACAUGGCUUCAUAACUCUGUUAUGCUCUUGUUAAAUAUUAUUUUGCCUUCAUCUUGUGUUAGUACAUGGUGGGUUCACUCUCAGUCUUUAUAAUUUGUUCCUUGUCUUUAGCCUUGCAACUGAGGAUUGUACCUAUUUGAUUUUUGUACUUUUAAGGUCAUAGUGCUGGUCUAUUUAAUCUGGGAAAUACCUGCUACAUGAAUUCUACUGUACAAUGCCUCCAUUCUGUUCCAGAGUUGAAGUCUUCUUUAGUAAAGUAAGUGCCUUCUUUACCUAACAAUGUAUUAUGAGAGAAUAUGGAACUGGAUUUGUAUGUUUUUUGUAUGAUGCAGAUGUAACGUGCACUGCCUUAAUUGUGAUCAGAUAUUCACAUUCAGGAAGAAACAAUGAUGUGGAUCAGACUUCUCAUAUGUUGACAAUUGCCACACGUGAUAUAUUUGGUGAACUUGAUAAAAGUGUAUAGCCAGUUACACCUAUGCAAUUUUGGACGGUUUGUUCCCUUUUUCCUUGUCACUUUUAUUUUGAAUCCCUGUGUUCUCUUUGAUCUCUGAAGCUAUAGGAUAUCACUAGAUGGAAGAAACGCAUCUACUAGAAUUUAGGUGAAAUAUUUUUAUAUUGCACGCAACAUAUUUGUAGGUGUACCCGAUUUUAUUUUGGUAAUUUUAUUCACAUAAGGUAAAGUCCACGAAAACAGUAUUAUUGUGCCUUGUUUAACCAUUUUUGCUAAUUCUGUUGAAUUCUCUUUCCUUAUUGAUCUAAUCUUUUUACCAUUUAUUUCUAGAGCUUCAUGCAAAUAUUUUUCUAUUCUGUUGUCAACAGAAUUGUUGCGUUGUAUUUCGAAGUUCAUUAAAGGAAUUUCUCUUUUUUUCUGUUUUUUGUUGCUAUAUGGCACUUAGUUUGAAGGAAGGUAUGGAGAAACUUAUUGUUUAUGUGUAUCUUGGUUUCAGUUGUUGCGUAAAAAGUAUCCUCAAUUCGGCCAGUUGCAUGGUGUCUUCAUGCAGCAGGUUUUGUUCUUUUCUCGUUUUUUUAGUCAACUGUACCCAAUACUCUUUUGUCUUAGAUUUGUUUAUAUUCUGAUAUGUAAUUUGGGGUCUUUUACAGGAUGCUGAAGAGUGUUGGACACAACUUUUAUACACCCUUUCUCAGUCUCUUCGAUCAGCUGGUUCUAGGUAGGUUUCUUGUUCUUUGUCAUUUAGAUAUUCUGAGUUAUACUUACUGGCUAAAUUUGAGCAAGUCCAUGGUGCCCUUAACAACUGAAACUACUGAAACAGUUUGAAGCUGUUGCUUUUGGUUUAUCAAACUUUUUCUUCAAAAUUAGGGAUCUCUUAUUUGGAGCAGUGUUACCUUGCAUAGUUCUUUUGCCACUGCAAUGCUUCUCUAGCAUAUAUCUUUCUAAUUUAGCAGCAAACAUCUCUUUUAGAAAAAUAAUUCUAAUCUCUCGCUGUCUUUUUUUCUUCUUUCUACAGUGAAAAUAUAGAUACUGUAAAGGACCUUUUUGGUAUUGACCUUGCAAGCAGGUAGAUAUCUACAGAUUUGAUUGUCAUUUUUUUCUUUUUAAUAAUGAUGACAUUACCUAGUUAGACAAUUUAUAUAUGCUGAUGCCAUUUUCUAUAACUGUUGAAGAAUUGUUGCUGCUAUUCAAAUUUUCAAAUACCACUAGUGCCGUUCAUGUAAGAAAUACAUGUAAAAGUAUAUCAUCUUUAUACUGAGAGAAAAGAUAAAGAAUUUCAAAUUUCAACUAGUCUAAACAAGCAUAACCAGAACAUCCUUCCACUUAUGCUUACAUCGAUAUAGUUUGUGCAGUUUUUAAGUUCAAAUCUGUAUUCCUUUUUGUCCUAGCCACUGUUCCAUGCAGUUUUCAUUACAAAUUAAUGAUUCAUCGUUCUGUAGCUUCAUUGGCUUCCAAAUGAAGAAUACUAUUUCUAAUCGUUAACGCAUUUAUUGUUAACAUGAGUUAAUAAUAUUUCUGUAUUUUGGGUGUUUGGUUGAUGAGAAAAUAUAAGAAAAUUUGGUAAAAGAUUUUUGAUGAGAAAAAAAUUAUAAAUUUAUAAUUGUUAACUAGUAGAUUGAGCUAGGUAAUGAUGAUGGUGCUAAUUUUCCUGCAAUCAAAGAGAAGUUUGGUCAGUACAUGGUGAGUAGGUGCUCCACCUUUACAGCGCAAACAUGUUUACAACAUUGCUACAUAGUUCACUUAAGUUUUUAAUAAGAGCUUGAUCUGAAUUUCAGACCUUGCUUCAGGUGACGAUGAGUGGGAAUGGGCAAGUUCCAUUACUGGCUAUUUCAAGCUAUUUGUUGAAACCAUUAAUGUCUUCUCUACUAACAAAAGUCCUACUGCAAAUGUACAUUUUUUUCUGAAAUCUGUCAUGUUUACAUACUGUUGAUUGAAUUGUGCAAGAGCCCUAAUACUUUUCUUAGUUCAUUGGCAGGGAAGAGGAAAGCAAAGUUCUAUAAAUACUGGAGCAAUGCAAUUUAGCUUUGGCAGUAUCAUCUAUAUCUUACAUCCCCCAACCGUUGAAGCUCACUGAAUUGAUAUGCACACAAGAUUGGCUGCAGAUGCAAUCAGAUGAUAUGUAUGUGCAUUAUCUUUGAUUUUUUCACACAAUAUCAAUUUUGGUUCAUUAUAUAUCACUAAAAAGAUCUUCCUGCACAGGAGAAUGGGUGCGUAUUCUAGUAUCUGUUGCAAUACACUUUAGGGAGCAGUACUCGAAGUACUUGUUCUUCAUAAGCUUAUUUCUUAAACAAAAUAACUUAUAUUGUGUAGUAAUUGAUUGUGAGGUAGCUUUAUAGGUAUCUGAGUCUUUUUAUACUAACUAUUUAUUGCAAUUGGUUCCAAAUAUUUGGUGAAUUCAAUUAUUAAUUUGCACUGCUAGUUUCGUGGUGUCAUAUGCCUUUUGUGUUAGAAUUUGAAUUGUUCCCCCUAAACAAUUUUCUCUAUGUACAGGUUUGAUUGUGGCACGUUUAUGUUAAAAUAUAUCGAUUUCUAUAGCAAAGGCUUAAGUCUUUGUUUUGAGCAGGUAAGUCCAUGGAACAAUUUUUUAUUCUUGUAGUUCAUGUUUUAUUUUGAUUUUUCUGUGAUUAAACUCUAGUACUCAGGGCAGUAGUUGUUGGGAUGUAAAAUCUGUUGUCCAUCUGCCUAAAUAUAUGACAAAAGGCAGAAGUACAUAUUGGAGAUACUCUCACAUGCACAUUCAUUCGUUUGAAACCCAAUAUCUGGUUAUUUGUCUUUGAACUGAGUUGGAUUUUUCCAUGCUUAUGUAGGAACACAUGCCCUAUUUUCGUUUAAGGACUGCCAAGGAAAUUCUGAAACUGAAAGCUGAUUGAUCGGAUGUGUAUGCCGGCUUUCAUCAACUACUUUUGAUGGCCUUACUAGGAAUUGAAAUGGUUUGCAAAGAGAUUGCUUCUUCUGAUCUGAUUUUUCAAUAUAAAUACUGGACAAAGUAUGGAUAUUUCUAGUCAGUUGCAUUUACUGCUAUUAGUAAAAUAGGAUUCUCUUCUUAGGAUCUUAGUUUCUUCACUUGUAUUAGACUCAACAAUGGCUUGCAUUGCAUUGCAUUGGUGUUGAUUUUACAAUUUUUAAUUUUUAUUAAUUAUUUACGUUUUCUCACUUUUAGUAAUUUUUAUUAUUAUUUAAGCUUCCUUUAUUUGCCUUCUUUUAUCAUUUUCAUAGAAAAUUUAAUUUAAAUAAUAUUUUUUUAUUUAUCCUUAAAAGUAUAUUUAAAGUUCAAAUUUAAAAAAUAAAACAUAAUAUAAUAUUUAUCAUAAAAAUAAAUAUUAUUUGAUUAAAAUAAUUUUUUUAAAUGUUAUGUUUUUUGCGGCGUUUUUGCGAGAAGCGUCGCUAAAGGUUUGUUCUUUAGUGGUGUUUGUGACGAAAGCGUCGCUAAAAGUAAUAGAUUUUUAGGGCGUUAGUAAUAAAAGCGCCGCUAAAGGUCAUGGUCUUUAGCGGCACUUUUUACGACGCUUAAGACAACGCCGCUAAAAGUUUAUUUUGCUGUAGUGACUCAUCAUUAGAGUAACAAUAUUUCAACUUGUUAUAGUAACAAUAUCCAAUGAUUUACUUGACUCAUCAUUAGAGUUCUCACAACUAUGAACCUCCAUUGAUGUUUCAAGAUUGGAAGUUGAUGGAAUGACUUAGGAGGCAUCUCAAGGAGUUCAACAUCAGAUUCAAGCAUUUUCAAAACUUUACUCAUUGAAGGACGAUCAGAAGGCAGUAAUUGUAUACACCAAAAAGUUGUUAUUACCAUUUUCUUUACCAUUGCUUUUUCAUCGUCAGAAACAUCUCCCAACUCCAAGUCUUUUCCUUGAUCUAAUCGGUCAUAAAUCCAAGAUGGAAAAUAUAUUUGACUAGUGUGGUCAGCAAAUGCAUUCACAUUCUUUUUGGUCAGCAAAUGCAUUCACAUUCUUUCUCCUUCCAACCAUUUCCAUUAGUAACAUUCCAAAACUAUAAGCAUCGGUUUUGUAUGAGAUGCCUCCAAGAUUUUUGUAAACCAAUUCAGGAGCAAUAUAUCCUAUCGUUCCUCGUGCCACAGUGAGAGAGACAAUGUUAUCAUCUACUGAAUACAAUUUAGCAAUACCAAAAUCGAAAACUUUUGGAUUAAAAUUCUCAUCAAGAAGAAUAUUGUGUGGCUUAAUAUCAAAAUGUAGAAUUUGCAUGUCACAUCCUUGAUGUAAGUAGUGAAUUCCUUGAGCCACCCCAAGCACAAUAUCAAACAUUUUUUUCCAGCUCAAAGUUUUCUUAUUUUCUUCUGUAAAUAUGAUUUUAUCUAAAGAUCCAUUAAACAUGAAGUCAUAUACCAGACCUUGCUUUGAUCCCUCCACACAAAAUCUAAUAAGUUUUGCCACGUUAGCAUGAUGAAUUGUCCCAAUAGAAGCAACUUCGUUUAUGAAAUCUUGGCCACUACCCUUUGACUUGCCCAACAAUUUUAUUGCCACAUGAUGCCCACUACGAAGUUUUUCUUUAAACACUGAGCCAUAACCUCCUUCACCUAAUUUAUCUUUAAAAUUUUUAGUCAUUUUUUUAACUUCUUUAAAAGAAUACCUUAUCGGCACUAGAUUAUUUUGGCUUUGAAGGAACUCUUCGAUCGUAUCAUCCAUGAAUAAAUGUCUUCUUCUCCAUUUGUACGUAACAAGAGCAAACAAACAAAUUAUCCCAAGAAAUGACCUUAAAAAGAUAAUUCCACCUUUAAAGAAAUACAAUGUAAUACAUCAGUACUUGUGAAAUUAAUCAAAUAAUAUAUAACUUACAUUCUCGAAAAGGUAUAUAAUGUGAUAGUUUUAUGUUAGUUUUAUAAUUAACUACUACUUAAAAGAGGGGCAUAUUAAUUUCACUACUUUAUGGAAUUAAUUUAGAAAUAACAGUGAUGCCUUGUGUUUACCCUUCUAUACCAAAUGAAAAACUUUGAAUGGCCAUUGAGAACCCAAGAAAAAUAAUUCCGAAUUAUAUGUUAUGGUUUACAUUCUAGCAGGUGCACCUCAACAAAUUCAAACUUGGAACUGCACACACAAAGGAGUAAAUCAUUCAAAUUGGAUACCAAUUAUUCUAACCUCACCAUGGUCCAUCAAGGAUACUCAACUUUUAUAUUCAUGUCAAAUAUACUUGAAGAAGGACAAAGUACAUAUAUAAUAACCUUCAAUCUUUUUAAAUGAAACAAAGUCUAUAAUCACCAAAAGAUGCAAGACAACCGAAAAAAAAAAAGAAUGGAUCGAUUGAAGAGCUAAACUUUGUUGAAUGUUUUAGCAAUAUGAAUAUUCACCAAACUUACAACCUGUGAAAGUUCUAAACGAGACCAUUAUGAACACAAACUUAACCAAAACUCCAACAUCUUUCUUUACUUGACAAAAAAAUAUUCUUUCGUAUAAGUAGAAGAAGAUUGUUUUCGGCAUUCAAACUCCUUAAAGAAUGCUAUAGAUUUAUCAGUUUUGCAGUGAAAUUAAAUAUGAACUUGUAUAGUACGCGAUAGACUCCUUAUUCUUUUUUUCCCCCAAGAAUAUUGCUAAUAUCUUUUCUUAACUAGUGCUAGAAUUUGUAUCUGAAAAAAUGCAAAUCUGCAAAUCCAAAAUUAACAAUACCUGUUAUUGCCAAACAGAGAAUAUAAGUUCCUGUAAAAAAACGAAAUAUCAUUAUUUCAAGAGAGCAGCGAAAUAGUAAAAUCAAAGCACUUCUAAAUUCUAAUGAAUUUUGGGAAGCAUACUUCUUGGUAUAGAAUCGUUGACAUCGUAGUAGACAUGGGGGCCAUGGAAAUGGAAAUGUACAAAGCUGUCCAUAUAGUUUCUGAAGGCAUAUUUCAAGUUUGACAAUCUAAAUUAUAUAUGCAACAAAUCAAAGUAAAAUUAAUAAAGGGGUGUAAAGGAAAACUCUAAAUUUGUGUAAAAAAAUCAAUGGUAAUCUAAAACAUUAUAUUCUAUUUUGUGGUAUAUGCUCAAAAAAAUUACAACAAUUCUUUACAUAUUUUUGUUUGCAAAAAGUAUGCAACAUGUAUUACAGUACAAGAGUUUUUAGGUAACAAAAAUUAUUUAAUAUAAUGAAAGGUGAGACAAAAUUUAUUCAAUUAAUUAAUCCAAAUUAAAAAAUAUACAUUAUAGCAUUAAAAGACUGCGAAAAAAAUAAACUCAUCCACAACGGUGGAAUAUUUACGUACUGCCAACUAAAUUGCGAAAAAAAGUAACAUAAAAUAAAAGAAAAAAUAAAGGUAGGUCAUACAAAAAGAAAGGGAAAAAGAUAAUGGUUCAUAAUCAUAAGUAUCAUAAUAAUAAUAUACAGAGCUAAGAGGAAGAGAGUUGCAAUCAUCCGUGUCCAAGCUCGCAUCAACCAUUCGUAUUGUAUAAUUUUCGUAAAAGAUUUAUGGGACAGAGAAUUUCUCUCCUCUCUCAGCCAAAGUGGUGCGAUUAUGGUUCUCACACUCAAAUUCAAAGCCAUAAUGACCACACUGGGAAGGUUAGUUUUUAAAUCGGAAUGAAAAACUGAUAUUCAAAUUCCCACAAAAAGUUGAGCCACAAUCUUGGUUAAUAAGAUGCCGAGCAAAGCAAGCACAGGGAAUAGAAUUACAAAUGAAGCAAAAGCGGCCAUUAGGUGAACAAACAAUGGUAGUAUUGCUUUUAAUUUUGGCAUGCUAAAAUUUUGGGUAGGAUUGAAGAACAACAAUGGGAGCAAGGAAAUAUGUAAGAAAACUUUAUUGUGAGAGGAAGCAUUGUUGAGGACUGAAGACCCCAAUCAAGGCAUAUCAGAUUCCAAGAACAGAGCCAGGAUUACGUCACCAGGGAGACCAAGGGAGCAAGACUUUUCAAUAACAAAAAAAUCUUUUGUUUUAAGAAUAAAACUUCAUAAAUAAAAAAGAAAACUUUUUCUUUUGUAAUUUUUAAAAGGUACAAAUACCAAAACUUGAAUUUAAAAAUAGAUUUAGAGUUAGUUUCAUUUUAAAUGAAGCCAAUUUAGCAUUGAAUUGAUCAUAGAUCAGGUCAGGCUGAAACAAUAUUUAAUUCUAAAAAAAGUUUUAAGUCUUAGGCUUGUUUUCGACCCAACUCUCAAGAGCACAUUUUUUCUUAUUCAAAAAUAAUAAAAUAUUUAAAAUAUUUUUAAUUGAUAUUUUAUAUGUACUUUAUAAUUAAAUUUAAAUUUAAAAAAUAUUCUUUUUAUUAUUUAAAUUAAAUUUGAAUUGAGCCGAUCUAGAUACGAAAAUACUUAUCCAAGCCUAACUCAAAUUGAAUUGAGUUGUAUGGGGUCACAGCUGUAGUUUAGCAGAGUUUGUUUAAAUUGAAGGUGUGUAAAGUUGAAUGAUUAGAUAGGGAUUUAUGAAAAUGAAAUCGAAGGUAAGUUUAAUUUUUGAACUAAUAUAAGAUGUGAUUGAAGCCCAUUCUUUUACGAACUUUGGGCUCGUUGAUUUCUGUAUUCCCGAUUCAGCACCCAUUCAUUUAUUUUAAUUCUACAUACCUUCCGUAUUGUUAUUUAGGGAUAAUAUAGUUAAGUGCACUUGUACAUAUUUGUUUUGGUCUAUUUUCACACUUGAAUUUAACUAUUAGGUAUAUUUUAAUUUUUGAAAUUGAAAAAUAUGAAAGUUUUAUGAUGCGACUCUAUGAGAUUGUACUACAUCAUCACUUGAAAAUUAAAAAACUAUUUAUAUAAAUUUUUAGAGGAUGACGUGGUACAAUCUCUAAGUGCCACGUGUAUUAUUUAAUAAUCGGAUUGGUGGUUAAAUCAGUCAAACCACUAGUUCUCCAUUCAACCAGUUUGAUUAGUUUGACUGCCGGACCAACAAUAAUUAAAUAAAUCAUUAAACAUUCAUAAAAAUCUAAAAAACAAUAAAAGAAAUUUUUGUUAAACCGAUUAAUCAUGGUCAACAGUUGGGGGUUUUCUCAAUUUUCAAUUUUUACCAAUUUCAAGCAAUUUCUUAUUAAAUUGAUUCAAUUUCUUUGUUCAAACCAUCAUACCAAUCGAGUCUCAGUCCAAUCAGUCUGAUCAUUAUUCCAUGUGAGAUAUUAAAAUAAAAAAAUUUACCCUCUUUCAAAUCACUUGUAACAAAACUCUAAAAAUUUGGGAUAAAACACAAAAAAUUUAAGAUCCCAAAUAAAAUAAACGCAUUAAAAAUAUUAUUUGUACAGGUAGUAAUGCAGCCAAUUAGUCUAGAUAUGUUUCAAAUCAAUUGGUUUGAUUCAAUACAAAGCCUAAAUUAUAGUAAAUUUUAUUUGCUCGAUUAAUAGAAUUUAUUUAAAAAGAGCCAAAUGAAAACCACUAUACAACUUUAUGAAGUCGGCAACACAUCCAACACUCAAAGCACAAAGAAACUAGAUGUCAACAAUAAAACAAUAAUGCCAACAUUCUCAAACAUGUCAACAAAAAUAUUCUAAAAAAAAGGAAAUAGGACAUCCCACCUGGAGUGUUGAAAUUCUUGGACUCAGUCGUUAUAACAACAAAAAAGGAAAUAAGACAUCCAACAUUCUCAUCACAAUGCAUUUUCCUCUUACUCACCAACAACCUCUGCAGUGCGAUAACACAAUUAGAGGCUAUUGUGAUAGCAACUUUUAUAAAUAUUCAAAAAUUAACUUUUAAACACAUCUUGUCUUAAUAUAAGGUAAAGGGUUGAUUCAAACAUAAAAAUUUUAACCAAUUCAUCUCACCUCAAUUCAAUUGAUCACAUAACUAAAUUGAUACGAAAAUCUAUUCAUACAAUGUACAUUUAAUUUAUAUAUGAUUUCAAUUAUGGUUUAAAUUUAAAUAUUUUUUAACAAAAAUUUUAAAUAUUUAAUAUUGAACAAAUAGUCAAAUUUCGAAAUUAUGAACAAUAACUUAACACAUAGGUAAAAGUUUUUUUUUUACUUAAUAAUAUUAUUAGCAAUCGGACAUUAUUAAAUUGUAUAUGAAAAUAAUUAAGCUUAAAAAUUAAAAUUUAAAGGUAAUAUCAUUGUGAAAUUUACUCAAAAUUUAUAAUAUAGUUAUUUAUGUACAUAUGUGACACACAUAAUAAGAUAAUUAUAACACUCCUAACCCGUAUCUAUCACUGAAACAAGGUUACGGAGCAUUACCAGAGUUUACAAAUCAAAUAAAUAGACAUUUCAAACAUUUCAUAUCAUAUAAUAUUCAUGUCAGAAAUCAAUCGAAAACAAAUAUAUUGUUAUUUAUACGAGCCCUCGAGGCCCAAAAUAUGCGAUAGAAACAAGUUGGGAUACUCAAAGAAUUUUUUAGAAAACAUUGAAAUUUUUCAAAGUUGUAAGGGUCACACGCCCAUAUGGGCAUUCGAAAUAGGGGCAUACGGCCGUGUCCCAGCCCGUGUCUGUGCUCGUGUAACUCUCUGACUUGGGUCACACGGCCAAGCCACACACUCGUGUACUAGGCCGUGUGAGCAUACUGACUUGCAUUAUUAAGAAGAUAUAGGGGGCACACGACCGUGCCACAUAGCCGUGUGUCACAUACGGUUGAGACACACGCCCAUGUCCCUACUAUAGGUGUCCAUGGGCCGGGUGGCCCGGCCUGACCUGACGGCCCGCCCCGAAAUAUGGGAGGGUUCGGGCAAAAAUAUAGGCCCGAAAUAUGGGUUUAGGGAAAAAAAUGAGGCCAGUUUCGGGCCUCGGGCACCACUUUUUUGGCCCGGGCCCGGCCCGAAUAUAAUAAAUAUUUAUUUUUUUAUUCUUUCAAUUUUAAAAUAUUUUUAAAAUACUUUUUUUAAUUUUUAUUUUUAAAAUAAUUUUUUGGUGUUUAUUAAAAAAUGGGCCGGGCCAGACUUGGGCUUAGGAAUUUUUUCCUGGCCGGGCCUGGACAAAAUUUUAUGCCCAUAUUCCGGGCUAGACUGGGCCUAGGCCUAGGUCACGGGCAAAAAAAUUUCUGGGCCCAGCCCGGCCCAUGGACACCUCUAGUCUCUACCCGUGUGGACGAAAAUAAGCCAUUUUCCAAACCAUAUUUCUCAUCCAAUUUGAUACUAACCUAAACACAACAAUUUGCAUAUAACCAAGUCAUACUAAAUUAGAAAUGCUUUUUAGUUUUUUAGUUUUUUUUCAUUUGAUUGUUAGAUUUUCAUAAAUUUUAGAUGCAAAAUCAUGAUACUUGAUUAGUAUCAUAAAAUUUAAUUGUGAAAAAAAAAGUAACAUAAAAUAAAAGAAUAAAAAAACAAAGAUAGAUGUUGUAACUAAAAACUCGAGUCUGACACUUAAAAUGCAAACUGAAAUUAUUAAAGGAACAGACACAUCUUUAAACCAAACUUUGUAAUAGAAACACCCACCCAUCUUAUAUCUUUAAACCAAACUUCCCAUUUCUAUUUGGGAUAUCAAUGGAAACACCCACCCAUCAGUCUGAUGCACACCAAACUAGUCUUUAGCUUUAAUUGGGAUUAAUAUUUUAUUUUUGAUCAAUUUUUUACACUUUUUUUUUUUUUGGGAAACACCUCAAUCAAAGCACAUCUGAUUUUAUAAAAAUACUUUUGAUUGUUGUGUUCUGUCAUACCCGUAUCCUUAUUUUUAAAAAUUAUCAUAUCAUGCCGUACCCUCGUUACAUAUAUGUAUUUGUGCUUCAUAAGUAGGUUUUAAAUGUUAUUUUAGAAUAAUUAUAUAUGUCUUCAUUUAUUUUGCAUGAGUUUAAAAUAAUAAAAUUUAAAUAUAGGAUAUAAGUCCUAAUUAAUUUGUAUAAAAAAUUAUUUAAUUAAAUUAAAUCCAAAUCUAAAAUCUAAAUUUUAAUUUUAAUUAUCACAACAAUCAACUUAAAUUAAUUCAAAAGCUUAAAUUUGAAAAUACAUGCGUUUCAUUUUAAAUGAAGUCUAGCUUAGCACAGUUAAAUAUCAAAAGUCUAUAAAAGUUGAAUCAUUAGAUUGGAUUAUAUGUGUGCUUCGAGUAAUUACUUAUUUUGCCUGACUUGAAGCCCAUUUUUUUUGGAAUUUCGAGUCUCUUUAGUUACUUUUUGAAUAUUAAAUAUUACAAUUAUUUAAAUUUAUUUUUUUAUCAAAAAUAUUUUUUUUUAGAAUAAAACUUCAUAAAUCAAAAAGAUCCUAAGUCACAACGUAUCACUAAGUCACAAUGCAUCAGGCUUACACUAAUACACCUAGUACCGAUUCUUAGUUAUGUCUUUGAAAUAUCUUCACUAAACAAAUUCGAUUGUCUCAAUUUUAUUUAUUUAAAAUCAAAAUUAUAUAUAUAUAUAUUUAUUUAGCUCAUUUAAAUGAUAUUUAUUUAAAAUGAAUUAAAUGAGAAUCAUUAAACAAUUUUAUAAAGUUGACAACACAUCUAAUAUUUAAAGCACAAAAAAAUUCGAUAUGUCAAUUACAACAAAACAAUAAUACCAACAUUCUCAAAUACGGCAACAAAAUUGUUCUAAAAACAAAAGAUAAGGCAUCACAACUAGAAUGUACAAAUAUUUGGAUUCAAUCAUUAUAACAACAAAAAAGGAAACAAAACAUCAAACAUCCUCAUCACAAUGGAUUCUUCGGUGACUCGCCAACAACCUCUGCAAUGCAAUAAUACAAAAGGAGGUUAUUGUGAUAACAACUCUUACAAAUAUUCAAAAAUUAACUUUUAGAUGCAGCAUGUCUCAAUCUAAGGCAAAGGGUUUAUCCAAACAUGAAAAUUUUAACCAACUUAAUUCAAUUCAAUUCAACUCAAACCUCAAUCUAUCUAUGUAGUUUACUUUUAAUUUAUAUAUAAUUUCGAUUAUGGUUUAAAUUUAAAUAUUUUUUUGACAAAAAAUAUAAAUAAAACAAAUAGUGAUAUUAAUGAAAAUUUGUAAUUAUGAACAAUAACUUAACGCAUAGGUAAAAGCUUUUUUUUUUUUACUGAAUAAUAUUAUUAGCAAUAGUACAUUAUUAAUUGUAUGUGAAAAUAAUGAAGCUUAAAAAUUAAAAUUUAAAGAUAAUAUCAUUGUCAAAUUUACUCAAAAUUUAUUUUUAACUAUAGUUAUCUAUGUACAUAUGUGACACACAUAAUAAGAUACUUAUAUAUAUAUAUAUAUAUAAUAAUAAUAAUAAUAAGGCAAAAUAAUACAAAACCAAAAGGUAAGACAAUGAAGUGAAAUAUUUCUAACCUUAUGCAAUAUUUGAAAUUGUUAUAAUAACAGUAUCCAACGAAAAUUAGACAUCAACAGAAUGAUUACGUAAAAACUUAAAUCCAAUUGUUACAUAAUAUGAAAAAUAAAAUAAUUAUAUUAUGUAAAUAGAUCAUUCCUGAUUACAAUGAAUAAUAAUCCUUACAAAAAAAUUUAAUAAUUCAAAACUAUAAACAAUAAUUUAUAAACGAUAUUAAAAUAAAAAUAUUAGAAUUUUAAUAUACAAAAAUUUAUAUAGAAAUAUUUUUUGAAGUUUUACAUCAAUUUAAAAAAAAUUGAAAUUGGUAAACGUCCACACUUCAAAAAUCAUUUUUGAUUUUAUCCUUGUUAAUAAUUUUCUAUCGAUUUACAAAAAAAAAAAAAUAAUGAAAAUACAGACAAUAUCUCACAAAAACAUUUUGUAUUAAAAUAAAGAUUUAAUUCUUGUUUUCGAAAUCGUAACGGGUUUGUUUGAUCAAAAACCUGUUAAAGUAUCGGUUCAAAGAGAGGUAAAAAUUUGAUUGACUCGUGAGUCAGUAUGAACUAGUUGAAUCAAUUUAAAAAUCAAUUGAAUAGAUGAUUGAAUCAGUUGAACUAUAUUUUAUAAUUUUUAAUAAUUUUUAAUUAUUUAAUUUGAACCAGACGAAUUAAAUGGUUUGACUAGUUUGGCCAAGGUUGCUCAAAUGGAACUAAACAGAUUAGUCAUAUCAAUUAAAUUGGAAACUUAUAAUAGUGUUGAUUCAAAAAAUAAAAUAUUGAAUCAAUUAAUUUGAGAACUGAUACAAACCUAUUGAACCAAAUAAAAAAAUUAAUUAAACUUAAUUUUAGUAUUUUUAUUUUAAUAAUUUAUUUAAUCAUUAAGAUUAAUUAGAACAAUGAACCAAUGAUUUAAAUUUCGUCAUAAUCUAAUUCUAAAAAUUGUGGAUUUGAGCGCUCCCAAAUUUCCCUUCGCUUUCUCUCUCUCUCUCUGUUCUUCAACAUCGUGUUUAGAUCCGUCCCUCCCAUCCUUGAAAGAUUCCAUCUUUGACCCUUCUUCGUUGAAUCUAUCAAACAAAUUAGGGUUCCGAUCUGUUACUUGUUGUGUUCGUUUAAAAAAAAAAUUUCUUUGCCUCAAAAUUUCAUCUUCAGAAAAAGAAAAAAAAAGGAGAGAGAGAGAGAGAGAGAGAGAGUUUUCGAUUUUCCUUGAUUUUGCUUGAGAUUUAUGUUCUAAUCUGAAAUUCAUUACCUUAAUGAUUUGCUAUAUCGGUUCGAUCUCCAUUACGAUUGCUUGAUUUUGUGUCGGAUUUGGGGUUAAAUCCAAGCUUGGGCGUUUUUACAUUAAAUCAGUAACCAUCGGCCCAAACUCUACGCCUCUUUCUAUCUGGAAAAUUUUUACAUUAAAACAAACGGAGUUUGAAAGUUAAAAAUUGACAUUCCAUUGAAUUUAAGUUUGAAAGUUUGGCUCAACUCACCGAUUACACCCGCUUACAUGAAGUAGAAGCCCUUAUUACAUCGAUACAUCUGUGUGUGUGUGUGUUUUCCGCUUCCUCUUCUUUCUUUUGGCCCUUUUUUAUUUUUCUCAAAAAUCCUCACCUACAGCUUACUCCAUUCCCUGACAUUUUCUCUUAAAAUUACACUGAAAAAGCUCACAUGUUCCCCAAACUUCAUCUAUUACUCAAGUUUCGAUUCCUUGUCUCCGCAUCCAACCGCCACUGUACACAGUCAAACUCUGUUUUUCGAAUUACCGCCACCUAUUCGACGAUAUGCCCAAACCAAGUUGAAAGCCCGAAUGAAGAAGCUAUAGAGCAUCCGAGAGACUCCAUCGAGAUUUUCAAGCAAUGGGGUUGCUGUGAAAACGAUUUGUUGAAGAUCUUUUCACGCCAACCUUCUUUGCGCAACGCUCAAGCUACUUCCCUUUUAUCCAAACUCAACUUGCUGAGUAGCUUGGGACUCAGCGGUUCCGACAUUGUCAAGAUGGUCAAUUGUCGUCCUCGUUUCUUUUGUUCUCGUAUCAAUAAUUGCUUCGACGAGCGGAUUGAGUUCCUCGUUAACCUGUUCGGGUCGCGAGAAAUGCUUCGUAAAGCACUUGUUAGGAACCCUUCACUCUUGACCUAUGAUUUUCACAAUACCAUGAAACCAGUCAUUGCAUUGUACGAAGAGAUUGGCAUUAGUGGAAGUGAUUUGAUUGCUAUGCUCAUCUCACGUCCCACAUUGAUCCCAAGGACUUCUUUCAAUGAGGAGAAGAUGGAAUACAUAAAGAAAACAAGGGUUUCAAAAGGUUCCAAAAUGUACAAGUACGUAGUUUCACUCAUCGGAAUAUCGCGGAUCGAGACUACGUGAAAAGGUGACUAACUUGGAGAAAUUCGGAUGUUCAGAGGAAGAGAUUUGGAGUUUGUUGGGACGUUCUCCUCUUAUUUUGACACUCUCGGUUGAUAAGGUUCAAAGGAACAUGACAUUUGUUUUGGGAACCAUGAAGCUGUCUCCAAGAGUGGUUCUUGAGCACCCGUUUUUGUUGUUCAGCAACCUCGAAGCCGUAUUGAAACCGCGGAUAUCGUUGGCUCGGAAACUAAAGGAAAUGGAGCUUGAUCCGCAGAUUAAAGGAUCGAUCAUGUUGACAGCAUUGAGGAUGACGGAAAAUCGAUUCUUGAAUGUGUUUAUUAAAUGCCAUCCACAAGAUGUGGCAAAUGAACUGUUGGAGUUCUAUAAACAUGCCAAAGGUCUCAAGCCAUUGGCCGAAUCAUCGAAAAAAAUACUGCGUAAAGGAUUUCCAUUUUGAACAUUUUCGUUUGUUUGUUUGGUGCUGUCUUCGUUUUCUUUUUGUUCAUCCAUGUCAAGGGAUAUUUCGGUUAAAUUUUCAGAUUUAUAACUUUUAUUCUCAAAGGGAUAAUGUGAGACUCAAAAUUUUGGGAUAUAAAAAGGGAUGCCUCUUCGUGUUUCAUUGGUGUUCUCUCUCUGCCUAUAUCCCUUGUACUCCUCGUGAUGAAGAGUUGAAAUUUUUUCUAUGUAUGAUGGCUGGAGGGAAUAUAGAUUAUGAAACUCCACCAUUAUUAACUUUGUACGCUCAAUUGGCACCGGUUAAAGCGUGUUUAAAGGCGUAUUUUCUUUUUAUUUAAGAGUUUAAAAGAGAUUAUGAUUUGUGAACAAUAAUUUUUUAAGGUAAAUCUAAUUCUAUAUAUUUUGACCGAUGAUUAUUUUUAUCCUUAAGGUAAAUUUGUGUUAAUUUUGGUUUGGAUGAUGUUUAUUAUUUUUAUUAAUUACUUUUCAACACGGAUAAAAUCUUGCACCAAUUAAAAUUCAUAUAUUAUUAUUAAUAAAAGAUAAAUAAACAAAUUAAAUCUUUUUAAAUGUCUUUUAUAAAUUAGUUUCUUAUUUAUUUUUAAAGUUUAUUAAAUAAUAUUAUUUUAUUUUAUAACUAAUGUAAAGUAAUAUAUAAGGUAAAAUAAUAUAAAGCUAAAAUGAAGUGAAAUGUGUUAAGAAAUGGCUUAAAAUUGGUAGUGGAUUGUUGUUGUUGGUAGUGGGUUGUUGGUGGUAGUGGAUUAGUGGAUGGUUGUUGGUGUCCAUUUUCAACCACAAAUCUUUGCCAAAGUUUUGGACAAUUAUGUCCUUGAACUCUCUUAUAAAUAGAGAGGUUCAUUAGCCAUAUAAAUCAUCCCAAACCAAGAGAGAGCAAAGCUUGUUCUUUGAAAGCUAGGAUUUUAGCUUUCGGAUUUUCUAUAGGGGUUGAGAGUUGUGAGGUUCUCGGGUUGUGUCUUGAGUGUAAAACACUUGUAAUCUUCAUCUUGUUAUAGUGAAAUUUCUUUUCGCCUCUGCCCGUGGACGUAGGCAUUAAAGCCGAACCACGUAAAUCCUUGUGUUCACUUUAUUUUUCGUUUCGGUCAAUUUACUUGUAGUCAUAUCGGAGUUCUCGAAUCGAUCCUUUCCGCAACAAAUUGGUAUCAGAGCGUAGUUGAAGGAGUGAUAAUAUUUUCUGAAUUGCCCUGUGACUGCAGCUUUGUCUGAUCUUUCACAUCAGGAAGAAAAUAUUAUCAUUCAUUCAAAGGUUCCAAAUUAUGGCUACAAGUGUUUCAUCGACUAAGUAUGAUGUCGAGAAAUUUACCGGAAAAAAUAGUUUCAGUUUAUGGCGCAUCAAGAUGCGGGCAGUGCUGGUUCAACAAGGAUUGCUAAAAGCAUUGUCUGGUAAAGAUAAAUUACCAAGCACGCUUUCGGAAGAGCAAAAGGAUGACAUGCUAGAAAGAGCACAUAGUGCUAUUCUGCUAUGUCUAGGAGAUGAAGUGCUACGAGAAGUAGCGGAUGAGAAAACCGCGUCCGGUUUGUGGCUCCGGUUAGAGAGCAAGUACAUGACGAAGUCAUUGACGAACCGGCUCUACCUCAAGCAAAGACUCUAUGCCCUGAAGAUGGAGGAAGGUACACCUGUUUCCCAGCACCUGGAUAAAUUCAAUUCCAUUAUCAUGGAUUUGAAUAAUAUCGAUAACAAAAUCGAUGAUGAGGACCAAGCAAUAAUUGUUUUGUGUUCUUUGCCUCCCUCGUAUGAGAAUUUUGUUGAUACAAUGAUGUACGGUCGUGAUGACCUGACUCUAGAGGAGGUGAAAAAUGCCUUAAGUUCCAGUGAGUUGAGGAAGAAAAUCACUGGUAAGGUGGUCGAAAACAAUGAAGGCGAAGGCUUGGUUGCUCGAGGAAGAUCCAAGGCAAAGGGUGGAAGUUCAAGUAAAAGCCAUCCUAGAUCGCAGUCCAAGAAGAGAAUACAGUGCUACUACUGUAAGAAGUACGGGCACAUGAAGGUAGAUUGUCCGAAAAGGAAGGAGAAAUCAGAAUCACAGGAGCAACAAAAUGAUCGUGCGAAUGUAGCUGAUGCAGAUUCUUCAAGUGAUGCCGAGAUCGUUCUUGCAGUAUCCGACUCUUACGCUGGUGGGAGAUGGAUUCUUGAUACGGGAGCUACAUUUCAUAUAAGUACUUCGAAAGAUGCAUUCUCAACAUACGAGAAGCAUUCUGGUUCAGUACUAAUGGGAAAUGACCACGCAUGUCAAGUCAUGGGGAUUGGCACAGUUCGUAUAAAGAUGUUUGACGGUAUUGUUAGAACUCUAACUGAUGUUCGGCACAUUCCAGAAAUGAAGAAAAAUUUGAUCUCUUUGAGUACGUUGGACAAGAAAGGCUUUCGGUACUCUGCUGAAGGUGGAGUUCUCAAGGUAUUCUCGGGUGCUUUGACUGUGAUACGUGGUAAUUUGGAGCGGGGCCUUUACUUCCUCGAUGGUUCCUCGGUUACAGGUGUUGCGGGAGUGUCAUCAUCAGAUGAUCUAGAUUCUGACACCACGAAGUUAUGGCAUAUGCGGCUCGGGCAUAUGAGCGAGAGAGGCUUAUCGGUGCUAAGCAAACGAGGAUUAUUGUCUGGGCAGUGUACAGGAAAGUUGAAUUUCUGUGAGCACUGCGUCUUCUGUAAGCAGACUCGGGUAAAGUUCAGCACUGGGAUUCACAAGACAAAAGGCACAGUGGAUUACUUCCAUUCUGACCUUUGGGGGCCUUCUCCGACAAUUUCUAAAGGUGGUUACAGAUAUCUGCUUACCUUUAUCGAUGAUUACUCGAGAAAGGUUUGGGUGUAUUUUCUGAAGAGCAAGUAUGAGGUUCUCAUCAACUUCAAGCAAUUUAAAGCUUUGAUCGAAAAUCAAACAGGAAAGAAGAUCAAGCGAUUCCGGACGGAUAAUGGCUUGGAGUUUUGCUCAGGUGAAUUCAAUGAGUUCUGCAAAAAUGAAGGAAUAGUGAGACACCGCACUGUUCGUCGAACACCACAACAAAAUGGAGUUGCAGAACGCAUGAAUAGAACUCUCUUGGAGCGAGCUCGUUGCAUGCGAUCAAAUGCUGGGCUCGGUGAAGAAUUUUGGGCUGAAGCUGUUAAUACUGCUUGUUAUUUGGUUAACAGAUCUCCGUCAACAGCUAUUGAGCUGAAGACUCCUGAGGAAGUAUGGUCUGGUUCUCCUGCUGAUUACUCUGGUUUAAGAGUGUUUGGCUGCCCUGCGUAUGCUCAUGUAAAUGAGGGAAAACUCAAACCGAGGGCGAAGAAAUGCAUAUUUCUUGGAUACGGCCAAGGGGUGAAAGGAUACAGGUUGUGGUGUCCUGAUCCGGUUUCGUCCAAGUUCAUCAUCAGCAGAGAUGUGACUUUUGAUGAGUCAUCCAUGCUUCGAUCCACCACAAAUUCCCGGGAAAAGGAGGAGUCAGAUAGAAUGGGAGAUCACGGUGUUGAGAAGCAGGUGGAGUGUCAGGUGGACGCUCCAAUUCCUACGGAAGGUACUUCAGUCCAGGAUGAUCAAGUUGAGGUGCAAGAUUCCGAUGAAGAUGAGUCACCUCAAGAAAAACCAUAUAGCAUUGCCACUGGAAGAACGAAGAGACAAAUCAAACCAAAUCCGCGUUACGCUAAUCUGGUGUCUUUCGCGCUCAGUGUGGCGGAGUCCAUUGGUAUAGAACCUUCCAGUUAUAAUGAGGCUGUCACGUGUGAUGAGUCGGCACAGUGGGCAAUUGCUAUGAGUGAGGAGAUAGAAUCUCUUCACAAGAACCAUACUUGGGAGUUGGUUAAGCCGCCAAGUAACCAGAAGAUAGUUGGUUGCAAAUGGGUCUUCAAGAAAAAGGAAGGCAUCCUAGGGGUUGAAGCAACUAGAUUCAAGGCACGAUUGGUUGCUAAAGGCUUCACUCAGAAAGAGGGGAUUGACUACAAUGAAGUUUUCUCCCCAGUCGUAAAGCAUUCUUCCAUUCGUGUAUUACUUGCCAUGGUGGCCAAGUCUGAUCUAGAACUUGAGCAGCUUGACGUAAAAACGGCGUUCUUGCAUGGUGAGCUCGAGGAAACAAUCUACAUGCGUCAACCAGAGGGUUUUACAGUUCCUGGUAAAGAAGACCAUGUCUGUCUAUUAAAGAAGUCUUUAUAUGGAUUGAAACAAUCCCCAAGGCAGUGGUACAAGCGGUUUGAUAGCUUCAUGAUUCAGCAUGGUUACACAAGAUGUGACUAUGAUGCUUGUGUCUAUCAUCGGAAGCUCUCAGAUGGUUCGCACAUUUAUUUGUUGCUGUAUGUUGAUGACAUGUUAAUUGCUUCCAAAAACAUGUCGGAAAUCAACAAGUUAAAGUCGCAGUUGAGUGGUGAGUUCGAGAUGAAGGAUCUGGGUGCUGCCAAGAAAAUUUUGGGCAUGGAUAUUCACAGAGAUCGCAAGGCGGGCAAGCUUCGUGUGUCGCAGAAGAACUACAUUGAAAAGGUUCUUCAACGCUUCGGCAUGGAUAAAGCGAAAACUGUGAGUACUCCGUUGGCACCACAUUUCAAACUCUCUGCAGAGUUGUCACCACAAUCUGAUGAAGAAAAGCAGCAAAUGUCUCACAUUCCAUACUCGAGUGCAGUUGGAAGCGUGAUGUAUGCAAUGGUUUGCACUCGUCCAGACAUUUCACAUGCAGUUAGUGUGGUCAGCAGAUACAUGAGUUGUCCUGGCAAGGAACACUGGCAGGCCGUGAAAUGGAUUCUCAGGUACUUGAGAGGUUCUGCAGAUUUAUGCUUGGUAUAUGAUCAGAGUGACUGCACUAGCAGUGUCACGGGCUAUGUGGACUCUGAUUAUGCUGGAGAUCUGGACAAAAGAAGAUCUCUGACGGGUUAUGUUUUCACUUAUUCUGGAGGAGCCAUUAGUUGGAAAGCUGUGUUACAGUCUACCGUAGCCUUAUCUACGACUGAGGCGGAAUAUAUGGCGUUAGCAGAAGCAGUGAAAGAAGCAUUGUGGAUGAAAGGUCUAGUAAGCAGUUUGGGUUUACAACAGGAUUUCACUGUUGUAUUUUGCGAUAGCCAGAGUGCCAUACAUCUGACUAAAAAUCAGAUGUUUCAUGAACGGACCAAACACAUUGAUGUCAGAUAUCAUUUUGUUCGGGAACAUGUUACGCAAGGUGACAUUGUUAUCAGCAAGGUUGCUACCGAGAAGAAUCCUGCAGAUAUGUUAACUAAGGUGAUCCCUGCAUAUAAGUUCAAGCAUUGCUUGGACUUGAUAGGUAUUCGGGAUUGAUUAGCGCCAGAGAGGCGUUUGGAAGAGGUGAUCCAGUUCGAGGAAUUCACUAUGAUGUUCAGCUUGGUAAAUUUCAAGCCAAGGUGGAGAUUUGUUAAGAAAUGGCUUAAAAUUGGUAGUGGAUUGUUGUUGUUGGUAGUGGGUUGUUGGUGGUAGUGGAUUAGUGGAUGGUUGUUGGUGUCCAUUUUCAACCACAAAUCUUUGCCAAAGUUUUGGACAAUUAUGUCCUUGAACUCUCUUAUAAAUAGAGAGGUUCAUUAGCCAUAUAAAUCAUCCCAAACCAAGAGAGAGCAAAGCUUGUUCUUUGAAAGCUAGGAUUUUAGCUUUCGGAUUUUCUAUAGGGGUUGAGAGUUGUGAGGUUCUCGGGUUGUGUCUUGAGUGUAAAACACUUGUAAUCUUCAUCUUGUUAUAGUGAAAUUUCUUUUCGCCUCUGCCCGUGGACGUAGGCAUUAAAGCCGAACCACGUAAAUCCUUGUGUUCACUUAUUUUUCGUUUCGGUCAAUUUACUUGUAGUCAUAUCGGAGUUCUCGAAUCGAUCCUUUCCGCAACAAAAUGUUUCUAACCUCGUACAAUAUUUCAACUUGUUGUAAUACCAGUAUCCAGUGNNNNNNNNNNNNNNNNNNNNNNNNNNNNNNNNNNNNNNNNNNNNNNNNNNNNNNNNNNNNNNNNNNNNNNNNNNNNNNNNNNNNNNNNNNNNNNNNNNNNNNNNNNNNNNNNNNNNNNNNNNNNNNNNNNNNNNNNNNNNNNNNNNNNNNNNNNNNNNNNNNNNNNNNNNNNNNNNNNNNNNNNNNNNNNNNNNNNNNNNNNNNNNNNNNNNNNNNNNNNNNNNNNNNNNNNNNNNNNNNNNNNNNNNNNNNNNNNNNNNNNNNNNNNNNNNNNNNNNNNNNNNNNNNNNNNNNNNNNNNNNNNNNNNNNNNNNNNNNNNNNNNNNNNNNNNNNNNNNNNNNNNNNNNNNNNNNNNNNNNNNNNNNNNNNNNNNNNNNNNNNNNNNNNNNNNNNNNNNNNNNNNNNNNNNNNNNNNNNNNNNNNNNNNNNNNNNNNNNNNNNNNNNNNNNNNNNNNNNNNNNNNNNNNNNNNNNNNNNNNNNNNNNNNNNNNNNNNNNNNUAGUGUGGUCAACAAAUGCAUUCACAUUCUUUCUCCUUCCAACUAUUUCCAUCAAUAACAUUCCAAAACUAUAAACAUCGGCUUUGUAUGAGAUGCCUCCAAGAUUUUUGUAAACCAAUUCAGGAGCAAUAUAUCCUAUUGUUCCUCGUGCUGCAAUGAGAGAGACAAUGCUAUCAUCUACUGAAUACAAUUUAGCAAGGCCAAAAUCGAGAACUUUUGGAUUAAAAUUCUCAUCAAGAAGAAUAUUGUGUGGCUAGUUAUCAAAAUGUAGAACUUACCCAAAAGCUCGUUUUUUAUUCGAAAAUAUUAAUAAUGUUUUUAAUUGAUAUUUUACAUAUUUCUAUAAUUAAAUUUAAAUUUUAAAAUUUUUGUAUUAUUUAAAUUAAAAUAAAAAUAUUUAUCCAAGCCUAACCCAAAUCGAGUUGGGCCGGGUGGGCGAUCCGGUCAUGAUAGGAAAGGAAAAAAAAGGAAAGACGAAGCCUAAACAGGCAGUGUGCAGCCCACUAAAUUUAUUUUAAUUUUACAUACAUUCCAUAUUAUUAUUUAGGGAUAAUAUAAUUUUUGACCCCUAAUCUUGAUAGUUAGGUGGACUUUAGUACAUAUGUCUUUUUUGUUCUACUUUGACACUUGAACUUCACAAUUAAGUAUAUUUUGGUUCCUAAACUUAAAAAUUUUGAAAGUUUUAUGAUGCAACUCUCUGAGAUUGUGUUACAUCAUCACUUAAAAAUUAAAAUAUAUAUUUAUAUAUCAUCUAUUGAGCCUGCCCAAUCAUUGUCAACAAAACCAAGGAGCUUCAUGCUGUCAACCUUGAUAAACAUCAUCCCAAAGCUUAGAGUACCUUUGAUGUACCUGAUAACUCUCUUACCAGCUUGAAAAUGGCUCACAUUGCAGCAAUGCAUGACCCUGGACAGGAGGCUGACUGCAAACAUUAUGUCUGGUCUUGUGGCUGUCAAGUACAGAAGGCUACCUUCUCGAAAUCACCCUGGCUGGUCAACUUUUCUCCAAUAGCAACUGGUGUGCUAGUUGCUUUACUGUUCAACAUGGAGAACCUGUUUAGAAUUUUCAAGGCAAAAGCCUUUUGGCUUGGGAAAAUCCCUUGUUUAUUCUGAGAUACUUCCAUACCAAGGAAAUAGGUCAUUUCUCCUAAGUCUGACAUCUCAAACAUGCUCUCCAUUUUUCCUUUAAAGUCUGUCAACAUAGCAUUGUUACUUCCUGUCACUAGCAAAUCAUCCACAUCGCUUUUUCAUCGUCAGAAGGCAAUAAUUGUAUACACCAAAAGGUUGUUAUUAUCAUCUUCUUCACCAUUGCUUUUUCAUCGUCAGAAACAUCUCUUAACUCCAUGUCCCCUCCUUGAUCCAAUCUGUCAUCAAUCCAUGAUGGAAAAUAUAUCUGACUAGUGUCGUCAACAAAAGCAUUUUCAUUCUUUCUCCUUCCUAUCAUUUCCAUCAACAACAUUCUAAAACUAUAAAUACCGGCUUUGUAUGAGAUGCCUCCAAGAUUUUUGUAAACCAAUUCAAGAGCAAUAUAUUCUAUUGUUCCUCGUGCCACAGUGAGAGAGACAAUGCUAUCAUCUAUAGAAAACAAUUUAGCAAGAUCAAAAUCGAAAACUUUUAAAUUAUAAUUCUCAUCAAGAAGAAUAUUGUGUGGUUUAAUACCAAAAUCAAAAACUUUUGGAUUAUGUUGAUAAGUAUUAGUCCCAUAUGCAUGGGAGAGUAUUAAGUUGAAAUAUUAAAUUUAGAGUUUAUUAUAAUAAUUUUUUAUUCAAACGGUUUAUUCUAACAAGAGCGGAAACUUUUAUAAUUUAAUACAAUUAAUUUUAUUAUUUUAUAAUGAAAAGCAAAAGAAAAAGAAGAUUUUAAAUUGUAAAAAAAAUUUAAAUAAAUUUGGACCUUAUACUUGUAGAUAAACCUUUAUCAAUUUAAUAAAUUCCAACUAUAAUGUGGAUGACCAAGAGAAUGCACGUCUUAAGUCUUCAUUGAAACACAAAAGCAUUUAAGUCUUUGAGUUUUUAUAUCAUCGCUUUGGUCCUUUUGUGUUAUGUAAGUCGAGCUAGGCAUAUUCCACCCAACCCAUGGAUCACGCUAGACGAGAUUUCAUGUCUAAUUGUAUAGAUCUUUUAUUUUAGUCGACAACUACUCAAGUAUUUUUAAAAUAUUUUUUAAUAUAAUUACAUAGGUUGUUGAUUUUAUUUUAUAAUCUCUUUUUAUUUUGCUUAAUUUUAAUUUUAUUUUUCAAUUCUAAACUCCUUUAUUUUUAUUUUACAUGUUGAUUAAAGAAAUAAAAUUAUCGCCUUUCUUUAUGGAUAUGACCUUACUUGUUGCUAUCUACUAAUUUUAUAUUUUUUAAGUAGGUUUUUAUUGUUAUAGAUCUCCACAACUUAACAAAUAAGAAUUUGAGCCCAAAGAGAUAUUGAAUUUGGUGGUGCAAUAGAAUAUUUUCAUUGCUUUUGUGCAAUUCUAAACAUUCAUAACACUACUACGCCUAUUAGGAACAUAAAACAAAAAUAAAGAGAUCCCAUUGAAAAAUCCAAGUCCAUGGAACAGAGAGUAGAUUUCUUGGAUAUUCUCAUAUUCAAGUUCACACCUACAAUAACCACACUGGCGAGAUUGUUUUUUCAAUCGCACGGCAUAAAUGUUAAUUAAGUUCCCAAGAGCGGCAAAGCAUGAAAGAAUAAAUUUAGAAACAAAUCAAAAGCGGCCAUUAGGUGGCUAAACAAAGGGAGUUUUUUCCUAUAAUUUGGGAUGCUCGCUGCAAACUUUGAUAGGGAACAAAAAUAUAAAUCUGCCGACAUAUACAACACACAUGAUAAGAUACUACAUACGUAUAAAAGAAAAUUAAUAUAAAACUAUAAAGGUGAGAUAAUGAAAUGAGAUAUUUCCAACCUCAUUAGACAUUUGAAUUAAUUAUAGUAACAGCCGAGGAUGAUGUACUUGGCUUAUCAACAGAGCUCUCACAACCAUGGACUUCCAUCGAUGUCUCAAGAGGAAGUUGAUGGAAUGGCUUAGGAGGUAUCUCACAGAGUUCAAUAUCUCCUUCAAGCAUCUUUAGUACUUUGCUCAUUGAAGGACGAUCAAUAGGUAAUAAUUGUAUGCACCAAAAGGCUGUUAUUAUCAUCUUUCUCACCAUUACUUUUUCAUCAUCAGAAACAUCUCCCAGCUCCAUGUCCUCUCCUUGAUCCAAUCGGUCAUAAAUCCAUGAUGGAAAAUAUAUUUGACUAGUGUGGUCAGCAAAUGCAUUCACAUUCUUUCUCCUUCCAACUAUUUCCAUCAAUAACAUUCCAAAACUAUAAACAUCGGCUUUGUAUGAGAUGCCUCCAAGAUUUUUGUAAACCAAUUCAGGAGCAAUAUAUCCUAUUGUUCCUCGUGCUGCAGUGAGAGAGACAAUGCUAUCUUCUACUGAAUACAAUUUAGCAAGGCCAAAAUCGGAAACUUUUGGAUUAAAAUUCUCAUCCAGAAGAAUGUUGUGCGGCUUGAUAUCAAAAUGUAGAAUUUGCAUGUCACAUCCUUGAUGCAAGUAGUGAAUUCCUUGAGCCACACCAAGCACAAUAUCAAACAAUUUUUUCCAACCCAAAGUGUUCUUAUUUUCUUCUGUAAAUAUGAUUUUAUCUAAAGAUCCAUUAGGCAUGAAAUCAUAUACCAAAGCUUGCUUUGAUCUCCCUACGCAAAAUCCAAUAAGUUUAGCCACAUUAGCAUGAUGAAUUCUCCCGAUAGAAGCAACUUCAUUUAUAAAAUCUUGGCCGUUCCCCUUUGACUUAUCUAACAGUUUUAUAGCCACAUGAUGUCCACUACGAAGCUUUCCCUUAAACACCGAACCAUAGCCCCCUUCACCUAGUUUAUUUUUAAAAUUUUUAGUCAUUUUUUUAAUUUCUUUGAAAGAAUAUCUAAUUGGUGCUAGAUUGUGGCUUUGAAGAAACUCUUCAAUCUUAUCAUCCAUGGAUAAAUGUCUUCUUCUCCAUUUGUAGAUAACAAGGCCAGACAAACAAAGUAUCCCAGUCAAAACCCUCAAUAUGAUGACCCCAACUUCAAAAACAAGAAAGUAUUGUAGAACAUUAGUACUUUGUGAGGUCAAAAACGAAUUAUCUACAUUCUCAAAAUGUCUAUACACGUGACAAUCGCGUGCUCCCUUAAAAGAUAAAAUUAAGAUAGAUUUAAAUUUUUUAAAAAGUGGUUUGUAGUUUUUAUAACUUAAAAUCAAAUUAUUAAUAUAAAGAAUCUUUCAUUUUUUUCUCAAAUUAAAUGUGGAUAUAUAUAUAGUUUUUUUUCCCCUAUUUCUCAAUGUCUUGGAUAUAUAUAAAAUUGAGGCCAUAAGUAUACCUGUUACAACAAAACAAGUAUGAUCGGUAUCUGUGGAAACACAAAAACAAAAAGAUACAUCAAUAUUACCAGAGAGUAAAAAGUUCAAAGAUCAGUAAAAAACAAAUAAAACCUGCAAAUCACACCAUCUCAUCAGCCGACCCAAAAAAAAAAAAACCAUACCAUGAUAGUAAUAAAUUACAGCUGAAAUGCACCCAAAAUAGACACUGAUGUGAUAUGACACCGCGCACAAUCUGCAGUAUUCAGCACACCUAAAUAAGCCAAGCUAUUGUAGAUGGGACCAAUGAGUUAAACAUAAGAGUAAAUUUUAUGCAACACUGUAUUAACAUUUCUUUUUAAUGUAUUUUAUAUUAAAAUUACAAUAUAUAUAAAGUUACAAAUUUUAUUGUGAAAAAAAAAAGUAAAAGGGAUCAAAUUAGCUUAUUAUAAAAGUAGAUUAUGUUAUAUGUACCCAAAAGAAAUUUUGGCAGAUUGUCUUCUAAGAUUAUACAAAAAUUAUUAACAACUGAGUAUUAAUAACAUAUCAAAUAUUACAACAGUUAAUUUACGUAUUUUUAUAGUAAGAAGUAUGCAACAUCUAUUGCAUACAAAUUUUUUGUGUUUCGAAAAUAAAAGAUAUUAUCUAAACUAAAAAUUGUAAAAGAAAGAAAUGUUUGUUUAUAAUUUAAAAAAUUAAUUAUUUUAAGUAAUUUAAAUAAAGCUAAAUUAAGUUGGAGAAGAUAGUAAAUAUAAUUGAAUGUAUAAUAAUACUUUGUUAUUUUUAAAAUUUGUUGAUGUGACAUUAUUUUACUGGUGCAUAAAACUAUACUUUUUAGAAUUGUACUAAUAUUUAAAGAAGGUAUAAUUACCAAAUAAGUUAAUAGAAUAAAAGAAGACAAAACAGCAGAGGCAGUUGCAUUCAAUUUAAAGAAAAAUGUUUUUUUAAUAAAAAUUUAAAUUUACAAAUUUAAUAAAAUUAUAUAUUUAAUUUUUAUUAAUAUAUAUAGUGAAACAGGCCAUUAAAUUUCUAUUAAUAAAAGUUGUUGCCGUAAUUAUAGUAAUUACUACUAAAAAGCUAUGAAGGUAUUUUUUUCUAUGAUUGGGAAGUGCACAGAUUUUACGAACAAAAACAUCAUCUUUAAUUAGCUAAUAAAAUUUAAUUGCGAAAAAGAACAUAAAAGAAAUAGGUAGGUCAUACAAAAAGCAGAGGCAGAUACUAAAUUAGAAAUGCUAUUAGGUUUUUUUUUUUUUUUCAUUUGAUUGUUAUGUCUUAAUAAAUUAUAGGUAAAAAAAACAUGAGAAUUAGCAUGAUGAGAUUUAAUUGUGAAAAAAUAAUAACAUGAAAUAAAAGAAAAAUAAGUAAGUCAUACAAAAAGCAAAGGCAAAUGUUUUAACUAAAAAUAUCAGUUUGAUGAUGUAAAGAGCGAUGCACACUCAGAAUAUAAUUGAAAUCGUUGAAGAAACCUACACUUCUGUAAACCAAUUUUUGUUUUCAUUGCACUGGUAGUCAUGCCAGUAUCUAAUUGUCCAAAAAGAAGACAAAACAGCAGAGAAAGCAGAGGCAGAUACUAAAUUAGAAAUGCUUUUAGUUCAUUUGAUUGUUAGAUGUUGAUCAAUUUUAGAUGCAAAAUCAUCAUACUUAAUUACCAUCAUAAUAUUUAAUUGUGAUAAAUGUAACAUAAAAUAAAACAAAACAAAAAGUAGAUGUUGUAACUAAAAAUUCCAGUAUGAUUCACACUCAAAAUGCAAACUUAAAUUAUUAAAGAAACUUACAUAUCUUUAAACCAAACUUUGUUUUUAUUGUAGUAGCUACUCUCGCUAUCCCAUCCACUCCAUACGACCCAAAAACCCUCUGAUAGUUUUUUGUAGAUAUCCAGCGUAGACAUGCCUGUUAUACUAUUAACCAUAAUUGGAACCUCCGCUUCGAUAGUGCAAGCUUGAUUGAUAUCAGAUGGGUGGGUGUUUCCAUUUAAAAAAUAGAAAUGGGAAGUUGGAAGGGAAGAGGAGGUAUUGGAUUUGAUGGUACAACGAGAAGCCUCAAUAUAAAGUGAUGAUUUUAUAGGUUUCGUGCAAUUCAUAACAUAAAUAAUGCUACUCUCUAACCUUCCAUAAUCAUUAUGAUAAUAAUAAUGAUAAUUAUAAUAAUAAUAAUGAUAAUAAGUAUUAUAAGAAAAAUAAUCUACAGAAGUAAGAGGAAGGGAGUUGCAAUCAUCCGUGUCCAAGCUCGCAUCCACCAUUUGUAUUGUAUAAUUUUCGUAAAAGAUUUGUUGGACAGAUAAUUUCCCUCCUCUCCCAACCAAAGUGGUGCGAUUGUUAUUCUCACACUCAAGUUCAAAGCCAUAAGGACUACAGUGGAGAGGUUGGUUUUUUAAUCGGAAUGGAAAACUGAUAUUCAAAUUCCCACAGAAAGUAGAGCCGCAGUCAAGAUGCCUAGCAAAACAAACAGCAGGAAAUAGAAUUACAAAUAAAGCAAAAGCGGGCAUUAGGUGACCCAACAAUGGCAGUUUUGCUUUUAAUUUUGGCAUGCUAAAAUUUUGGGUAAGGAAGAAGAACAAUAAUGGGGGUUAAUGAUUAAGUUUCUAACUAAAUCAGGGAAAUAUAUAAGAAAACUUCAGUGGGAGAAGAAGCAUUAAUGGGGACACAAGACUUUGACUACUCUUCAGCUUUAUUUGGGAUGAAUAUUUUAUUUUCAAUAAAUUGUUUACACCUUUUAUUCUUUUAUCUUUUUUCUGGGAAACACCUCAAUCAAAUCACAUCUAAUUCCAAGAACAGUGCCAUGCAAGCAAAAGAAAAAGAAAUUUUAAUAUUAUUGAAAAAAUUUUAAAUAAAUUUGGACCAUAUGCUUGUAGAUCAACCUUUAUCACCUUAAUAAACUCCAAUUACAAUGAGGAGGACCAAGAGAACGCAAGUCUUUAGUCUUUUUUGAAGCACAAAAACAUUUAAGUGGCUGGGAACAACCUUUUGUGUUAUGUAAGACAACUAUUUGUUGCAUCUUUCUAAAAAGUAAGUUCAUAGUUAGAAGUGUCAAGCAAGGCGGCUCAAUGCCCAAUUGUAUAGAUUCUUUUUAUUUUAUUCCACGAAUACUUAACUACUUUUCAAAUAAUUACUUGAAUUUAAAAUAAAACAAAUUAAAUAUAAGAUAUAAUUUCUAUUUAUUUAAGUUUAAAUUCAAAACUAAAUUCUAUUUCUAAAUUUUAAUUAUCUAAAACAAUCGACUUAAAUUAAUUUAAAAACUUAAAUUUGAAAAUACAUGAAGAGACUUCAAAUUCCGUUUUAUUUUAAAUGAAAUCAGUUUAGCAUAGAGGUGUCUAUGGAUCAGGUCAAGUCGAACCGAAGUUCAGCUUCAAACAAUUUCUAAGUCCUAGCCUGUUUUUGAUCCAACUCACCCAAAAGCUCGAUUUUUAUUCGAAAAUAUUAAAAAUGUUUUUAAUUGAUAUUUUACAUAUUUUUAUAAUUAAAUUUAAAUUUAAAUUUAAAUUUUUUAUUAUUAUUUAAAUUAAACUAUAAAAAUAUUUAUCCAAACCUGAACUAAAUCGAGUUAGGCCGGGUGGGCGAUCCGGUCAACACAGGAAAGGAAAAAAAGGAAAGACGAAUCCUAAACAGGCAGUGUGCAGCCCACUAAAUUUAUUUUAAUUCUACAUGCAUUCCAUAUUAUUAUUUAGGAAUAAUAUAAUUUUUGACCCCUAAUCUUAAUAGUUAGGUGCACUUUAGUACAUAUAUCCUUUUUGCUCUACUUUGACACUUGAACUUCACAACUAAAUAUAUUUUGGUUCCUAAACUUAAAAAAUAUGAAAGUUUUAUGAUGCAACUCUCGGAGAUUGUGUUACAUCAUCACUUAAAAAUUAAAAAUAUAUAUUUUUAGAGAAUGGCGUGGUACAAUCUCUAAGUGUCACAUUCAUUAUUUUAAUAAUCAAAUUGAUAAUUGAACCAGUCAGACCACUACUACUCGAUUCAACUAGUUUGAUCAGUUCGACUGUCGGACCAAUAAUAAUUAAAUAAAUCAUUAAACAUUCAUAAAGUUCGAAAAAAAUAGAAAACAAGAUUUAUUAAACAGAUUAAACAUCGUCAACAGCUGGGGUUUUUCUUAGUUUUUUUUUACCAAUUUCAAGUUUUUUUUUAUUUAAUUGAUUCAACCUCUUUGUUCAAACCAUUAUACUGAUCGACUCUCAAUCCCAUCAGUCUAACCAUCCAAUCCACUCCUAUACUAGUAACACUGAUCACAUUAUCAAAUCUUAAUAGAAUUCAAGUUUAAGAGACCAUAAUAGACUUGGUUGCCAAGUCUAGAUGCCACAGUGGACCAAAAGAUUUACAAGUACCAAAGUAAACCUAAUUGUCAAGUUCAGGGCCAAAAUUUAUAUUAUCCUUUAUUUUUAUUAGUUUCACUACAAAAAUUAUAAGAGUUUUACAAAUUGCACAAAAAGAAAACCUGAAAAACAGAAUAGGUGCUUGAGGUAGAGUUUAUAUAUAAUUGGUAAAAAUACCAAGGAAGCUCCUGUACCUAGUGGUAAAUUGUAUUUCGGUUCAUCUACUGAAAAAUGGAAAAUUUAGUUUUUAUACAUUUUGAAAUGUGAAAAUUCUAUUAAAUGAUGACUUGGACAAGUGGAAAAUUAUUAUUUACUAGUAAACUAUAAAAAUGGUCACUCAACUAUUAAUUUUUUCGAUUUAGUCGCUAAACUUUUCAAAAUUAAAUAUUUUAAUUACCUUGAGCUUAUGUGGUUUUUUUUAUUAGUCUAGUAACAAAAUUAUCCCACUAAUAUUUACAUAUUUUAUCAAUUUGGUCUUAAACAUAAAAAAAUUAAUAAAUUUGGCCCUCCAUAUUUACAAAAUUGACCAAUUUAAUCCUAACUAUAAGAUUUUCUUAAAUAUUUCUUAAAAAAAAUAUUUUUAGCCAUUUAUAACACAUCCCAUGUGAGAUAUUAAAAUAAGAAAAAAAAUUAUCCUCUUUUAAAUCACUUGUAAAAAAAUUCGAAAAAUUCAGGAUAAAACACCAAAAAAUUUAAGAUCCAAAAGAAAACAAAUGCAUUAAAAACGUUAUUUGUACAGGUAGUACUAUAGCCAUUUAGUCUAAAUAGGUUCAAAAUCAAUUGGUUUGGUCCAAUGUGAAGUAUAAAUUAUAGUAAAAGAAAUUGUUACAAGUGACAUGAAAGAGGAUGCUAUUUUUCUUAUUUUAAUAUCUGACAUGGAUUAUCCCGGUGAAUUAUAAAAGACUAAUAAUGAUUUUUUAAAAUAUAUACAUUUAAUUUUUAAAUAUAUAUAAUAAAUUUUCUAACUGCAAAUAUAUAUAUAAAAAGUCAACAACAUUAAAAAUACCAAAUUAAGGGAAAACUUUGCAAUUUUAUGAAGGUUGAGGUGUAGCAUGCUAUGUUCCUAGCAUUUAAAACAAGUACUUGAACUUCAUACCAUGGUAUGUUCCUUAUGAUAUUGCAAACACCGUCUUAAUUAUAUUUAUGGCAUUUGUGGUAUAAUAUGAUACCAGGGAAGAAAGUUAGGUAAGAAAUUAAAAUUUUAUAUAAAAAUUAAAUAAUACUUUAAUUGAAAUGGUAAUAUUAAAAUUUUGAUAUGUAUAUGUUUCCGGUUCAAAUUUUAUCAUAGUAUUAUUUUAUUAAAAAGAUAUGAAAAAAUAAGAACACUCUCAUAUUUAAUAUUUCUUACUUUGUAUAUGAAAUGAUAUUUUAGUAAUAUCUCAAUUGAUUUCAUGACUAAUUGACUCAUGAUACGAACUCAACCAAAAAUUUAAUUUAAGUAUAGAUUUAACAAGUACUUAAUAGUAAUAUCCCUAACUAUGUAACUUGAAACCCAAUAAAUCAAACCUAGACCUACCCAUGGGUCGGGGCCACUAAGCCUAGUCGAAGCCCUACCUGAAAAAUGGGUUUGGGAAAAAAUAAUGCAUGUUUAGAAAACAAGUCGAGCCUUAAGUAAGACUUUUUUGUUUAGGCUCAGCCCAAAUUUGUAAAAAAAAAUUGUUGUUUUCUCACUGCCUUACUGUCAUUUCACUAUUAUGUUGCUACUAUUUUAUUAUUAUUGUUUGGAUAUUAUAUAAUUCUUAUUUUAUUGUUAAUUUUGCUACUAUUUUAGAGUCAUUUUCUUGUCAAGUUGCACAUAUUUUAGUGUUUUUUAAGUACAAAUAUUUUUAAUUUAUUUUCAAUUUGUUGAAAAACAUUUGUUUUAAUGUUUUUAGUGUUCUUGAUUAAUUAUAUAUUUUUAAAUGAUAUAAAAAAAUUUAAUACGGGUGAGCCGGUCUUGACUUGGGUUUUAUCAUUUUUAUUUAGGUUAGCUUGAACAAAAUUUUAGGCUCAUUUUUUAGGUCAAGCCGAACCCGAACCUAUCAAAUAGGUCUAAAAUUUUGUCAAAACCCAACUUGACUCAUGGACAGAUCUAAUCAAACAUACGUAAUUUCCAUUUCUUUAAAAAAAUCUUUCAUUAAAAAUUUUAAUUUUACUAAAUUCAAUUUAAAAAAAACAAGUUUAAUUUAAUCUCAUUCAUCAUUUCCUUUAUAGAAUAAUACUUAAUAUACUAUUAGAAUAUGAGUCUCAGACACUAUAAAUGAAUAGUAAUAAUAAAAUAGAUUAUUAUUGGGUAAAAAUAAUAAUGAAAAAUUUAUAAAUAAAUAUUAAAAAUCUUGUUAAUAUUAAAUAAGAAAAAUAAUAUAACAAUUAUACUACAUUUGAUUGGAGUAUUAUUUUCUUUCACAUGUUUUAGUCAUCUGUUAGAUAUAAAUUAAUCACAAUUGGUAAUUUUUAAGGGUAAUUAUACCAACAGUCAUUCAAAUUUGAUACAGCUGACAAAACAGUAACUUAGGUUUUAAUUCAGUCACUCAACUUUCAAAAAAUGACAAAACUGUCCUUUUAACCAUUUUUAUUAUAGACAUAACAGAAAAGUGACAUGGCAGUUGACGGCUUCCUUGUUGUCAUUAACCAACCAGUUGGACACUAAGCAACAAUUUAAACAACCCCUUUUAGCAUCACUUUAGGGUUUAGGCAAUAGAAGAAGAAGAAGAAGAAGAGGAAGAAAAAAUAGAAAGUUGCACCAAUUUGGGGACCUAAGUAAUACCAGAAAUCCAUUAGAAUUUCUGGAUUUGGCAUCAUGAUGACUGAAGCUCCUCAAAGUUGCAAAGUUCCUUUGCCUUCCUUGACUAGGAAAGUCCCUUUCCAGUAGCCGCUUUAUUUCAAGCUUGGAUUUUGCUUCGCCUAUAUCAAUAGAUGCAAACUUGAGCAGAGUGGAGAUAAAAAUUUGGGUUUGUGGGCAUUGUAUUAAGACCUUGGUUGACUCCAACUCAGUUUAAAUAGGAAAGACACCACGGUAGGGAUCGAGAAUUCGACAGCUUAAGGUUGUAGUCAAUGCAACAAGCAUUUGAAUGCUUAUCAAGGGUCUAAGUAACCUCUUCAUGAGAACAGUCACAUUGGAGGGAUGAUAAAUAAAGUUUGCUAAGUAUGGCCAAAAUAAGAAAAAAAAGUACAGAUCUUGGAUAAAUUUGUAUCAGAUUUAGACCUAUCUUCAGGUUUAGUAGACCUAUAUUCAGAUUUAGACCUAUCUUCAGGAUUAGGACCUUGGUUGACUCCAACUCAGUUGAAAUAGUAAAGACAUCGUGGUGGGGAUCGACAAUCCGACAGCUUAAGGUUACAGUCAAUGCAACAAGCAUUAAGAAGGAAAAAAGUACAGAUCUUGAAUAAAUUUGUAUCAGAUUUAGACCUAUCUUCAGGUUUAGUAGAUUUUGACAUCCCAAAUAGAGAAAGGCGUUUAAUCACAAAAAAGAUGUUAUCUCAGUAUUGGAUUUUACAGGAAAUGAAGAAAAAAUAUCAGAUCUUCCUCAUGAAAUGAGAAAUAAUUUCUUAUUUUUGAAUAAAACCUAGAAAGAUGAAAAGAUGAAAUCUUGAAGUGAGAAAUCUCGCAACAAAGUGAAAUGAAAAUUGCAGAUGAAAAAUACCAAUCAAUUUCUAACCCUUAACCCUGUUAAUCGAUUUUUAAUUUGAUUUUUUAAUCCUUAACCAACCUUGAACCCUGAAAUUGAUUUCUAACCCAACACUCUGGUUUGUUAACUAUUGUUUCUAAUCCACAAUAGCAACAACUAAAGGAAGAAGAAAAAGUAUAUCGGGGAAAAAAACGUUAACGGUUUUACAGUCUCUUCUUCUUCUUCUUCUUCUUCUUCUUCUUCUUCUGUUAUUAGGGUUUUUUUCUAUUUCUUCUUAAAUUGGGAAGGUUUCCACGUGGACAUAUCCAACGUGGGUAGUUCGUUGGCCAUGUUAGCUAGUUAACUGGUCACAUCACUUGUCUCCUUAGGUCUGUAACGGAAAAUAUUAGUAGGUGACUGAUUUGUCACUUUUUGGUAACGUUAGUGACCAGUUUGUCAAUUUUUAAAGUUGAGUGACUGAAUUUAAACCUAAGUGACUGUUUUGUCAACUGCAUCGAAGUUGGAUGAUUGUUGGUGUAAUUUACCCAAUUUUUAACCACUCUAUGACUUGUUUAUGAUAAAAAAGAGCAAAAUUUUUUGCUUAUUUUGAAGGGAUCUUAUUUUUUAAGUUUUUACUCUCUUUUUUAAUUCCUAUAUAAUUUGUACUAAUUAUUUUAAAACAUGUGUUAAAUAAUUUUUUUGUGAAAAUAGAAUGUUGGUAAUGACAAUAAAUCACAAAGAAAAGAGAAAUAAAAAUAAAGAACACAUAGAUUUUUACGUAGAAACCCUUUCGGGAAAAAACCACGAGCAGAGGAGAAGAAAGUUUAUUAUGUCGAAUUUGAAUGAUUUACAAGAGGAGUUUCGACUACAUCUAUUUAUAGGUUGAAAAAAAACUAAUUCUAAUCAAAGUCAAAUAUAUUAUGCUAAUAAAUGCUAAAUAUAUUAUGCUAAUAAAUGCUAAAUAUAUUAUACUCAUAAAUACUAAAUUUUCUAAAAAGAAGAUAUAUUUUGUUUAACUCGACUUGCAAGCAAUCUCUUAGAAUUUGGGUCACACAACUCUAGUAAUCUCCACCUUGACACGAAUUCUCAAUGAACAAUUUCUUCAUCGAGAACUCUCAACAAACAAGUUUUUCACCUCUUCUAUAAAACCCCUUAAAGGUUUAACUUCAACAAAGAACACUAAUCAAGUCUAAGCAAUGCUCAAACUUGGUUAUAGGAAGUGACUUAGUCAUCAUAUCUACAGGAUUUUCAUGAGUACUAAUUUUGCUCACAACAAUAUCAUCACGAGCAAUAAUAUCACGAACAAAAUGAUACCGAACAUCCAUGUGUUUUGUUCUCUCAUGGAGCAUUUGAUCUUUUGUAAGGAAGAUGGCACUCUGACUGUCACAAAAUACUAUAUUGAUUUGAAGGUCUUCAUUGAGAUCACUAAAGAGUCUCUUCAGUGGUUGAUAAAGUAACUGUAGUUUGCAAAGUGGCUUUCCAAUUGAUUGCACAACCUCCAAUUAUAAAGACAUAACCUAUGAGAGAUAUUCUUCUAUCAAGGUCUCCAGCAAAAUCAGCAUCAACAUACCCAAUGACUCCAUCUCUAGUUCUUCCAAACUGUUAGGAAACAUCAGCAAUACCUCGUAAGUAUCUUAAAAUCUACUAAACUGUUUUCCAAUAUUUUUUACCGAGAUUCACCAUGUAUCUGCUAACUGCACUAACUGCAUAUGAUAAAUAUGGACAUGAACAAACCAUAACAUACAUAAGAGAUCCUACUGUACUAGAGUAUGGAACAUGUGACAUGUACUCAAUCUCAUCAUCUGAUUGUGAAGACAAAGCUGAUGAAAGUCUGAAAUGGGCUGUUAAAAGAGUACUAGCAGGCUUAGCAUUCUGCAUAUUGAAUCUGGUAAGAACUUUCUCAAUCUACCCCUUUUGACUUAGGUACAAUUUACUUGCUUUUCUAUCUCUGAGAAUCUCCAUAUCAAGUAUCUUCUUUGUUGGUCCCAAAUUUUUCAUUUUAAACUCUUCACUUAGUUAGGCUUUGACCUUUCUUAUCUCUCCUUUAUCUUUUGUUGCUAUCAACAUGUCAUCAACAUAAAUGAGUAGAUACACAAAAGAACCAUCACUGUUUUUCUUAAAGUAAACACAACUGUCAAAGCUACUUUUUUUAAAAUCAUGAGAAGUUAUAAAGGAACCAAACCUUUUGUAACACUGUUUUGCUAACUGUUUCAAACUGUAAAGGGAUUUUUUUAGCAAGCAAACAUAGUCCUCUUUUUCUGAGACUGUAAAACCCUCUGGUUGUUACAUGUAAAUAUCCUCCUCAAGUUCUCCAUGCAAAAAUACAGUUUUUACAUCUAACUAUUCAAGCUCUAAAUCAUGUAUAGCCACAAUGCCAAGCAAAGCUCGAAUCGAACUAUGUUUCACAAUUGGGGAGAACACAUCUGUGAAGUCCACUCCUAAAAUUUGACUGUAACCCUUUGCAACAAGUUUUGUUUUGUAUCUAGGUUCUUCAACUCCUGGAGUCCCUUCUUUCUCUUUAAACACCCAUUUACAAUGAACAACUUUUUUACCGUUAGGAAGUUUCACAAGAUCGUAUGUUUUGUUUUUGUGGAGUGAUUUCAUCUCCUCUUGCAUAGCAAACAUCCACUUUUUUUAGUCUUCAUAGCUAAACGCAUCAGAAUAAUUAGAUGGCUCUUGAUUUGCAUCUAUAUCUUCAGCCACAUUUAAAGCAUAAGCAACUAGAUCAGUCUUAGCAUACUUCUUUGGAGGUUUAAUUUCUCUUCUAGUUCUGUUUUUAGCGAUAGAGUAUUAUGGUGAAGAAGCAGCUCUAUUUUAAAUUUUUUUGUACUGGCUUGAGGAGUAGACUCUGUUGUAGAUUCUAGAUUAAUCUAAUGCUCUACCUGCUUUUGAUUUUCUUUAUUUGAAGAGUCUUUAAGAGAUAAGUUAGGUCACAUGUAACAACCCGGUUUGACUCUAAUCGGAAUAGUAGUUUUGGGACCACAAAUCUGAGUCCUAAAAAUAUUUCAAUAUUAUUUUGUGUGUUUACUUUGUGUGCAUUUGAUUGUGUGAAAUUUUCGUGUUUUAGUUUUGUUGUUUGAGUGUCCGAUUAAAAAAAAGGAUUAAAUCGCGAAAAAUAAAAAUUUAGGGGUUAAUUAUAAAAGCACCUAAUUGUUGUUGUCUUUUUAAAUGGAAGGAUUUAUGAUGCAAUAAGACCAUAAAGUAGUGAGUGGGUGAUAAUGGUCAAAAAUGACCUUAUAUUAUAAGGUUUAUAUAAUUUGUAUUAAAGGUUAAUAUAGUAAACUAAUAAUUAAAUAAACAUAUGAUAUAAUAAAUCAAUUGAAGCCAUUAUUUUCAUUCUUCCUUUGCUGAAAGUUAGAAAAACAAAUAGGGUUUAAAAGCUUUGAGGUAUCCGGUCAUUAACAAGCUUAAUUCAAGGUAUGUUUUACUUCGGUUUUUGAUAAUUUUUACGUUUUUGAGAUCGUUGCUUCGUGUUCUUCAAAACCCAUAUCUUAAUUUUGUGAAUUGUGGAUGAUUUUGAAAUGUGCCAUUGAUGAAUGCUUGAGUUUUAUGAUGUUAGUAGGUGAAAUAUGAAAUAUAUUUGUUAGAUUAAUAUAUUUUGUAUUGGAAUUUUUAGUGAAAUUGAGUAAAUAGGGCUAAAUUGUGAAAUUAAAUUUUUGGGGAACUAAAGUGUGAAAUAAAUGCAAUGUGUGGACUUGUAUGAGAACCAUGAAUAUUCGGCCCUUGUGUGGUAUGGGCAAAUUUUGUAUAAAUUGUGUUUUAUGCAAUAGGGACUAAAUUGCAAAAAGUGUAAAUAUUAGGGGCAAAAUAGUAAUUUUCCAAAUUAUUUGUUUUUGGAUUAAAUUGAAUGUGUUAAUAAAUAAAUUAUCUUAUUUUGAAUAUAUUUAGAUCGAGAACCAAAGAAAUCGGAGUUAGAUCGGCGAAAAGCCAAAUUAGUCGAAUAAUCGUCCGACUUCGAUUUUCCAUCGUCCGAGGUAAGUCUAUUAGCUAUUUAAUGUUAUUAAAUCAAUAUAUAUAUGUAUGAAUAUCUAUUAUGUUGUUGUUGAGCUAUAAUUAAAAGUAAUUUAAUUGAAUAAAUUCAAAUUAUAAAUGGUAUAAAUAUGUAUAUACAAUGUUCAAAUAUAUAGGUAUAUGCUUAUAUAAAUUUUUGAACUAAGUUAAAGUAUGAAUGGUAUAAAGUUAUAUAUAUAUAAAUUCAAAUAAUUAUAUAUGUAUCUAUAUGUAUACAUAUACUUGAAUUUGGUUGGUUGUAUGAGAGUUAUAUAUAUGUGCACUUAAGAUUCAAAUAUAUGUAAGUAAAAACAUGUAAUUCUUGCUUAAAUUAAAGAUAUGUAUAAUACAUAUGUAUACAUAAGUUUCGAACAUAUAGAUGUAUGUAAAAACAUUUGGGUUUGAUUAAAAGUAUGUAUGUUGUAAUUGUACAGAUAAUUUCGAAUAAGUAAGUAUAUGGAGUUGGAACAUCUAUAUAUAUAUGAAUAAGUCUUGAUUAUAUUUUAAGGUAUAAAUGUUAAAAACGUACGUGGGAGUUCGAAUAUAUCUAAAUGUAUAUUUGUGUACAGAUUCUUGAAUUGAAUCGAAUGUAUGAUUCGCAAACUCUUUUGUGAUUGAAUAUGGACUACAAUGAAUGUGUGUUUGCUGUUAAUAAGUAUUUGAGGAAAUUAUUCUGUAUAUGGGAAAAAUUGAGAUUUUCAAGCAUAGCGCUUAGCAGGCUUAUUGCCGGUGAAACACUUCAGACUAUAUGUCUAGCAGGCUUAAUGCCGGUGAAAUAUUUCAGACUAUAUGUCUAGCGGGCUAAGUGCCGGUGUACUGAAUCAGGCUUAAAGCCUAGCAGGCUAAAUGCCGGUGAAUCUGUUUUAAGUAUGUGAUUAGGUGUACAAUUAUAUGAUUUUGGAUAUAUUUAAUUGAUAAGUAUAUUUAUAUAUAUACAUUUGGCUAAGUGCGUUUGAUGAUUAUAUAUAUAUCCGGCUUAUACAAUUGAGAAAUAUAUAUAUGCUCUGGGAUUAUGCAUUUGAUAAAUAUAUACUUUUAAAUAUUCGGUACACAUAUUUGAUUAGUAACUAUAUAUGCAUUCGAGAUAUAUAUAUACCUUGGUUUAUAAGUAUUUGAUGAAAAUGAAUGCAUUCGUUCAUAUGUAUUAGAUUUGUAUUGGUUUAAAGUUUAAAAUGAGUAUUCAUACACAUUCGGUUAUGAUAUGUGUAUAAUAUAUAUAUGCUCGGUUGUAUACAUUCGUUGUAAUGUUGUUUGGUAUAAAAAUAUAUAUUCAAUUGAUCGCUUUCGACAGGUAUGCAUAUCUGUCUAUAAAUGAAAUGGUCUGAGUACAAUAAUAUAUAAAUAUUAGUUAUUCGUGUUAAUUGAAAUCUCAGUGAAAUAGAUUAAAAAGUAACUUUAUUUAUAUAUUUAUAUACAUUUAGUUAUGCUGUAGACUUACUAAGCUAUAAAAGCUUACUUUGUUUGUUUUCGUCCAUUUGCUUUUAUAGAUUUUGGAGACGCGUUACGAGCUCGGGGAUCAUCAACAUAGUCCAUCACACUAUCGACUUCUUUUGGUAUUUUGUUAAAUAUUUGAACUCAAUCUUAUGGCAUGUAUAGGUUUGAGUAUGAUGUUAAUUACAUUUUGAUUGUAAAUUAUAAUAGUUAUGCGAAAGUAAUUAAAUUUUUACGUUGUGAUCAGUUUGGUUUUAACAUUGUUGAAUUUGUUCGGUAAUGCCUUGUAACCCUAAUUCGGCGACGGAUACGGGUUAGGGGUGUUACAUCACAUAACAGUUUCAUAAAAAACAACAUCUCUACUAAUCACAACAUUUCUAUUUUUAGGACACCAUAACUUAUACCCUUUUACACCAGCUUUAUAACCAAGAAAAACAUAUUUAAUGGAUCUCAAUUCCAAUUUUCCAUUAUCAACAUGAGCAUACGCAGGACACCCAAAGAUCUUUAAAUCAGAAUAGUCAGCAGGAUUACCAAACCAUACCUCUUGUGGAGUCUUUUUCUCAAUGGCAACGGAUGGAGAUUGGUUGAUCAAAAAACAUGCAGUAGAGGCUACUUCGGCCCAAAAUGACUUUGGUAAGUUGGCAUUUGACAACAUACAUCAAACCUUCUCCAUGAUCAUUUUGUUCAUUCGUUCUGCAACGCUAUUUUGCUGUGGAGUAUAACGAACUGUCAGGUGUCUCACAAUCCUUUCUAACUUGCACAAUUUAUUAAACUCAUCAGAGUAGAACUCUAAGCCACUGUUUGUGUGGAGGUAUUUUAUUUGUUUUCCAGUCUAUUUUUCAACCAUAGUUUUCCAAGACUUAAAUGCAAAAAAGACAUCGCUUUUCUGCUUUAAGAAGAACUCCCAAACUUUUCUGGAAAAACCAUAAAUAAAAGUUAGCAUAUUAAUUAGCUCCAUCUCUCGAAGGCACUCUGGAUGGCCCUCACAGAUCAAAAUGAAUAUACUCUAAUGUUUCUUUCGUGUUAUGGAUUCCUCUAGUGAAUUGAAUUCUCUUUUGCUUCCCAAAAACGUAAUUCUCACAGAACUUCAGUUUGUAAAAUCCUUGCCCAAGAAGAAGUCCUCUUUUUCCCAAUUAUGCCAUGUCAUUCUCACUCAUAUGCCCUAGGUAUAUAUGCCAAAGUUUAGUAAUAUCAUCAUCUGACAAGGAAGAGGAUGCGACAACUGUAUCACCAGUAACAAUAAAACUUUGCAAAACAUAUAACUUUGCAGUUUUUCUCUGCCAUUUCAUUACAACGAGGGAACCUUUGGAAAUCUUUAAAAACUCCACUUUCAGUUGUGUAUUUGUACCCUUUUGAAUCAAAUGCACUCAACGAAAUUAACUUUCUCUUCAAUUUUGGAACAUGUCGUACGUCACUAAGUGUCUGACAAGUCCAUCAAACAUCUUAACUUUAAUUGCUCCAACACCUGCAAUUCUACAUGAAGCAUUAUUUCCCAUCAAAACAACACCUUCAAACACUGUUUCGUAAGUUGUAAACCAAUCCUGAUUGGGACUCAUGUAGAAGGUGUAGCCCGAAUCAAAGACUCACUCCUCGCUCACUUUAGAAUUGUAGAUAGAAACGACUAAAAGUUCACCAUCGCUAUAGUCUUCUACAACAUCAAUUUUACCAAAAUUUUCUGGUUGUUUUCCAUUUUGAUUCGCAACCUCCCUUUUGAUAUUGUUUUGUAGCUUAUAGCACUCAGAUUUAAUGUGCCCUUUCUUCUUGCAGAAGUUACAAGAUUUACCUCUGUUUGAAGACUUUGAUCUACCUUUAGAUUUACCGUGAGGAUUCCAUUCUUGUGUCGUUCCAUGAUCAUUAUCAACAUUCCGAUCUUAUCUUCUAUGAACAAUGUAACCCUCUCACUGAGAGUUAGUUUUAACUACAAGAUGCUUCAUCUUAUCAUAUAAGGUUAAAGAAUCAUAAACCUCAUCAAUUGUGAGAGACUCAAGGCUAUAUAAAAUGGCAUCUCUAAAGGUUGAAUAAAACGGGGACAACAAACAAAGUAGAAUCAACUCUAGAUCUUCCUUAUCAUACUGAACCUCCAUGGCUUCCAAGUUUGAGAGAAUUUCUUUAAACAUUGUUAAGUGUUCGUGCACAGACGCACCUUCCUCCAAACGAUGAGCAUAAAAACGCUGCUUCAUAUGCAGCUUGCUAGUUAGAGUUUUUGACAUAAAUAUUUGUUCCGGCCUCUUUCAUAAUCUAGCGGUGGUAUUCUCCUUUAUCACAUCCUGUAAAAUUUCAUUAGACAAGUGCAGAUGUAACUGUGUUAACACGUUUCGAUCCUUGCGGUUCUUCUCUUCCACCGUCAAUGUUGAAGGCAUCUUAUCUAUCCCUAGCAGGGUUUCCUCUAAGUCUAUCUGUGCAAGAACUACCUGCAUCUUUAUCUACCACAACGCGAAUCUGGUUUUGCGAUCCAACAGCGAAAUUUCAUACUUCAAAUACGCCAUUACCGUGAUUGAGAUGAACAAAUCGAAAGCUCUGAUACCAAUUUGUGAAAAUAGAAUGUCGGUAAUGAUAAUAUAUCACAAAGAAAAGAGAAAUAAAAAUAAAGAACACACAGAUUUUUACGUGGAAACCCUUUCGAAAAAAACCACGGGCAGGUGAGAAGAAAAUUCACUAUGUAGAAUUCGAAUGAUUUACAAGAGGAGUUUCGACUAUAUCUAUUUAUAGGUUGAAAAAACCCUAAUUCUAAUCAAAGUCAAAUAUAUUAUGCUAAUAAAUGGUAAAUAUAUUAUACUCAUAAAUAUUAAAUCUUCUAGAAAGAAGAUAUAUUUUGUUUAACUUGACUUGCAAGCAAUCUCUUAGAAUUUGGGUCACAAAAAUAACAUUUUUAACCAUACUGAAAACCAUUUUUUAAUUAAAUAUAAGUACUUAAUAUUUAAUUAAAUUAAAAAGAAAAGAGAUCAAUUCUAAAAUUAUGUAUGGACUUUGAUUUAAUUUGCAAUUGUAUAUAUAAAUUUUAAUUUGGUGUAAUUAUACACGUGUAACUCUAAUUGUGGUUCAAAUAUAUACUUGAAACUUUAAUUUUAAUUUAACCAUAAACAUUUAAAGAAAUAAAAACAUCAAUUUAUUUUUAUAUUGAAUAAAUAUAAUUAUUUAAGUGUGCAAUAUAUAAAUAUAAAAUGAUGUUAUAUCAAUAAUUGUGUUAAUAAUUUAUAAGAAUUGGAUCAUAUCAAAAUUUCAUAUAUAAAAUUAUUAAAAUUUAUAUAUAGAAUUGUACAUUAAACCCAGAGUGCAUGUAUACAUAAUUAAUAGAUUGUACAUAGGAAGUAAGUUUUGCUUAGUGUAAUAUAACUGUCAUUCAAGAUUACGCAUUCAUUUCAGACAAAGCACACACCCUUUGAAAUUCAAGUUUUGAUUCAGAUUCUUUCUUCUUCUUUUUUUAAUAAAAUCUCUAUGAAAGGUUUUUUUUUUUUUUAAUUCCUUAACGGUAGUGAUUUUGGGUUAUGGAGAAAAAAGGAGUGAAAAGUUGUGAUUUUUGUGGAAGUAGGGAUUUUUCUGUUUUAAUAGUUUUAGAAAUGGGUUUGAUGGAGAUUUCAAUAAUGCUUCAUGUUGGAUUAGUUUUGUUGCUACUUUGGAUGCUUUCUCAAUUCAAUCUUUGCCAUCCACUCCCUUAUUUCCUGUCUCUCAUCUACCUCUAUUUGGUUAUUCAUUCAUCUUCUGCUGAGAAUAAAAAAUGAAUCUUUUUUUUCUUUAUUUUUGAACUUGGAUUGAACUUUUUUUUUUAUUGUUUUUGUUACAAAAAUUCCUUUUAUUUCUUUGUUCAUCAAAGGUUCAUGAAAUGUAUGUGACGAGAUUGAGGAAGAAAUUGGAGUUGGAGGAAAUAAUGCACAAAGAAACUAGACAUGUCAACAACAAAACAAUAAUGCCAACACUCUCAAACGCAACAACAAAAAUGUUUUCGAAAAGGAAAUAGGCAUCACACUUAGAGUAUAGAAAUACUUGGAUUGUAACCAUGAAAAACGAAAUAAGAUAUCUGUUGCGGAAAGGAUCGAUUCGAGAACUCCGAUAUGACUACAAGUAAAUUGACCGAAACGAAAAAUAAAGUGAACACAAGGAUUUACGUGGUUCGGCUUUAAUGCCUACGUCCACGGGCAGAGGCGAAAAGAAAUUUCACUAUAACAAGAUGAAGAUUACAAGUGUUUUACACUCAAGACACAACCCGAGAACCUCACAACUCUCAACCCCUAUAGAAAACCCGAAAGCUAAAAUCCUAGCUUUCAAAGAACAAGCUUUGCUCUCUCUUGGUUUGGGAUGAUAAAUAUGGCUAAUGAACCUCUCUAUUUAUAAGAGAGUUCAAGGACAUAAUUGUCCAAAACUUUGGCAAAGAUUUGUGGUUGAAAAUGGACACCAACAACCAUCCACUAAUCCACUACCACCAACAACCCACUACCAACAACAACAAUCCACUACCAAUUUUAAGCCAUUUCUUAACAAAUCUCCACCUUGGCUUGAAAUUUACCAAGCUGAACAUCAUAGUGAAUUCCUCGAACUGGAUCACCUCUUCCAAACGCCUCUCUGGCGCUAAUCAAUCCCGAAUACCUAUCAAGUCCAAGCAAUGCUUGAACUUAUAUGCAGGGAUCACCUUAGUUAACAUAUCUGCAGGAUUCUUCUCGGUAGCAACCUUGCUGAUAACAAUGUCACCUUGCGUAACAUGUUCCCGAACAAAAUGAUAUCUGACAUCAAUGUGUUUGGUCCGUUCAUGAAACAUCUGAUUUUUAGUCAGAUGUAUGGCACUCUGGCUAUCGCAAAAUACAACAGUGAAAUCCUGUUGUAAACCCAAACUGCUUACUAGACCUUUCAUCCACAAUGCUUCUUUCACUGCUUCUGCUAACGCCAUAUAUUCCGCCUCAGUCGUAGAUAAGGCUACGGUAGACUGUAACACAGCUUUCCAACUAAUGGCUCCUCCAGAAUAAGUGAAAACAUAACCCGUCAGAGAUCUUCUUUUGUCCAGAUCUCCAGCAUAAUCAGAGUCCACAUAGCCCGUGACACUGCUAGUGCAGUCACUCUGAUCAUAUACCAAGCAUAAAUCUGCAGAACCUCUCAAGUACCUGAGAAUCCAUUUCACGGCCUGCCAGUGUUCCUUGCCAGGACAACUCAUGUAUCUGCUGACCACACUAACUGCAUGUGAAAUGUCUGGACGAGUGCAAACCAUUGCAUACAUCACGCUUCCAACUGCACUCGAGUAUGGAAUGUGAGACAUUUGCUGCUUUUCUUCAUCAGAUUGUGGUGACAACUCUGCAGAGAGUUUGAAAUGUGGUGCCAACGGAGUACUCACAGUUUUCGCUUUAUCCAUGCCGAAGCGUUGAAGAAUCUUUUCAAUGUAGUUCUUCUGCGACACACGAAGCUUGCCCGCCUUGCGAUCUCUGUGAAUAUCCAUGCCCAAAAUUUUCUUGGCAGCACCCAGAUCCUUCAUCUCGAACUCACCACUCAACUGCGACUUUAACUUGUUGAUUUCCGACAUGUUUUUGGAAGCAAUUAACAUGUCAUCAACAUACAGCAACAAAUAAAUGUGCGAACCAUCUGAGAGCUUCCGAUGAUAGACACAAGCAUCAUAGUCACAUCUUGUGUAACCAUGCUGAAUCAUGAAGCUAUCAAACCGCUUGUACCACUGCCUUGGGGAUUGUUUCAAUCCAUAUAAAGACUUCUUUAAUAGACAGACAUGGUCUUCUUUACCAGGAACUGUAAAACCCUCUGGUUGACGCAUGUAGAUUGUUUCCUCGAGCUCACCAUGCAAGAACGCCGUUUUUACGUCAAGCUGCUCAAGUUCUAGAUCAGACUUGGCCACCAUGGCAAGUAAUACACGAAUGGAAGAAUGCUUUACAACUGGGGAGAAAACUUCAUUGUAGUCAAUCCCCUCUUUCUGAGUGAAGCCUUUAGCAACCAAUCGUGCCUUGAAUCUAGUUGCUUCAACCCCUAGGAUGCCUUCCUUUUUCUUGAAGACCCAUUUGCAACCAACUAUCUUCUGGUUACUUGGCGGCUUAACCAACUCCCAAGUAUGGUUCUUGUGAAGAGAUUCUAUCUCCUCACUCAUAGCAAUUGCCCACUGUGCCGACUCAUCACACGUGACAGCCUCAUUAUAACUGGAAGGUUCUAUACCAAUGGACUCCGCCACACUGAGCGCGAAAGACACCAGAUUAGCGUAACGCGGAUUUGGUUUGAUUUGUCUCUUCGUUCUUCCAGUGGCAAUGCUAUAUGGUUUUUCUUGAGGUGACUCAUCUUCAUCGGAAUCUUGCACCUCAACUUGAUCAUCCUGGACUGAAGUACCUUCCGUAGGAAUUGGAGCGUCCACCUGACACUCCACCUGCUUCUCAACACCGUGAUCUCCCAUUCUAUCUGACUCCUCCUUUUCCCGGGAAUUUGUGGUGGAUCGAAGCAUGGAUGACUCAUCAAAAGUCACAUCUCUGCUGAUGAUGAACUUGGACGAAACCGGAUCAGGACACCACAACCUGUAUCCUUUCACCCCUUGGCCGUAUCCAAGAAAUAUGCAUUUCUUCGCCCUCGGUUUGAGUUUUCCCUCAUUUACAUGAGCAUACGCAGGGCAGCCAAACACUCUUAAACCAGAGUAAUCAGCAGGAGAACCAGACCAUACUUCCUCAGGAGUCUUCAGCUCAAUAGCUGUUGACGGAGAUCUGUUAACCAAAUAACAAGCAGUAUUAACAGCUUCAGCCCAAAAUUCUUCACCGAGCCCAGCAUUUGAUCGCAUGCAACGAGCUCGCUCCAAGAGAGUUCUAUUCAUGCGUUCUGCAACUCCAUUUUGUUGUGGUGUUCGACGAACAGUGCGGUGUCUCACUAUUCCUUCAUUUUUGCAGAACUCAUUGAAUUCACCUGAGCAAAACUCCAAGCCAUUAUCCGUCCGGAAUCGCUUGAUCUUCUUUCCUGUUUGAUUUUCGAUCAAAGCUUUAAAUUGCUUGAAGUUGAUGAGAACCUCAUACUUGCUCUUCAGAAAAUACACCCAAACCUUUCUCGAGUAAUCAUCGAUAAAGGUAAGCAGAUAUCUGUAACCACCUUUAGAAAUUGUCGGAGAAGGCCCCCAAAGGUCAGAAUGGAAGUAAUCCACUGUGCCUUUUGUCUUGUGAAUCCCAGUGCUGAACUUUACCCGAGUCUGCUUACCGAAGACGCAGUGCUCACAGAAAUUCAACUUUCCUGUACACUGCCCAGACAAUAAUCCUCGUUUGCUUAGCACCGAUAAGCCUCUCUCGCUCAUAUGCCCGAGCCGCAUAUGCCAUAACUUCGUGGUGUCAGAAUCUAGAUCAUCUGAUGAUGACACUCCCGCAACACCUGUAACCGAGGAACCAUCGAGGAAGUAAAGGCCCCGCUCCAAAUUACCACGUAUCACAGUCAAAGCACCCGAGAAUACCUUGAGAACUCCACCUUCAGCAGAGUACCGAAAGCCUUUCUUGUCCAACGUACUCAAAGAGAUCAAAUUUUUCUUCAUUUCUGGAAUGUGCCGAACAUCAGUUAGAGUUCUAACAAUACCGUCAAACAUCUUUAUACGAACUGUGCCAAUCCCCAUGACUUGACAUGCGUGGUCAUUUCCCAUUAGUACUGAACCAGAAUGCUUCUCGUAUGUUGAGAAUGCAUCUUUCGAAGUACUUAUAUGAAAUGUAGCUCCCGUAUCAAGAAUCCAUCUCCCACCAGCGUAAGAGUCGGAUACUGCAAGAACGAUCUCGGCAUCACUUGAAGAAUCUGCAUCAGCUACAUUCGCACGAUCAUUUUGUUGCUCCUGUGAUUCUGAUUUCUCCUUCCUUUUCGGACAAUCUACCUUCAUGUGCCCGUACUUCUUACAGUAGUAGCACUGUAUUCUCUUCUUGGACUGCGAUCUAGGAUGGCUUUUACUUGAACUUCCACCCUUUGCCUUGGAUCUUCCUCGAGCAACCAAGCCUUCGCCUUCAUUGUUUUCGACCACCUUACCAGUGAUUUUCUUCCUCAACUCACUGGAACUUAAGGCAUUUUUCACCUCCUCUAGAGUCAGGUCAUCACGACCGUACAUCAUUGUAUCAACAAAAUUCUCAUACGAGGGAGGCAAAGAACACAAAACAAUUAUUGCUUGGUCCUCAUCAUCGAUUUUGUUAUCGAUAUUAUUCAAAUCCAUGAUAAUGGAAUUGAAUUUAUCCAGGUGCUGGGAAACAGGUGUACCUUCCUCCAUCUUCAGGGCAUAGAGUCUUUGCUUGAGGUAGAGCCGGUUCGUCAAUGACUUCGUCAUGUACUUGCUCUCUAACCGGAGCCACAAACCGGACGCGGUUUUCUCAUCCGCUACUUCUCGUAGCACUUCAUCUCCUAGACAUAGCAGAAUAGCACUAUGUGCUCUUUCUAGCAUGUCAUCCUUUUGCUCUUCCGAAAGCGUGCUUGGUAAUUUAUCUUUACCAGACAAUGCUUUUAGCAAUCCUUGUUGAACCAGCACUGCCCGCAUCUUGAUGCGCCAUAAACUGAAACUAUUUUUCCCGGUAAAUUUCUCGACAUCAUACUUUGUCGAUGAAACACUUGUAGCCAUAAUUUGGAACCUUUGAAUGAAUGAUAAUAUUUUCUUCCUGAUGUGAAAGAUCAGACAAAGCUGCAGUCACAGGGCAAUUCAGAAAAUAUUAUCACUCCUUCAACUACGCUCUGAUACCAAUUUGUUGCGGAAAGGAUCGAUUCGAGAACUCCGAUAUGACUACAAGUAAAUUGACCGAAACGAAAAAUAAAGUGAACACAAGGAUUUACGUGGUUCGGCUUUAAUGCCUACGUCCACGGGCAGAGGCGAAAAGAAAUUUCACUAUAACAAGAUGAAGAUUACAAGUGUUUUACACUCAAGACACAACCCGAGAACCUCACAACUCUCAACCCCUAUAGAAAACCCGAAAGCUAAAAUCCUAGCUUUCAAAGAACAAGCUUUGCUCUCUCUUGGUUUGGGAUGAUAAAUAUGGCUAAUGAACCUCUCUAUUUAUAAGAGAGUUCAAGGACAUAAUUGUCCAAAACUUUGGCAAAGAUUUGUGGUUGAAAAUGGACACCAACAACCAUCCACUAAUCCACUACCACCAACAACCCACUACCAACAACAACAAUCCACUACCAAUUUUAAGCCAUUUCUUAACAAUAUCCAACAUCCUCAUCACAAUGGAUUCUCCUCUGAUUCAUUAGUAGCCUCAACAAUGUAAUAACACGAUUAAAAGUUAUCGUAGCAGUAACUCUUAUAAAUAUUAAAAAAUUAAUUUGUAAAUACAUCGAUCAUGUCUAAAUCUAAUCUAAGUCACGGUUGAUCUAAACAUGAAAAUUCUAACCAAUUCAUCUCAAUUCAAUCCAACUAAACCUAAACUAAAUUGACACAAAAAUCUAUUUAUAUAAUUUACUUUUAAUUUAUAUAUAAUUUUAGUUAUGAUUUAAAUUUAUACAUUUAAUAUUGAACAAAUAGUCAAACUAAAGAACAUUGGCAAUUAUGAUCAAUAACUUAACACAUAGGUAAUUAAAGAAAAUACUAAUAUAUAUUUAUAUUUAUAUUUAAGCCAAAAUAAUAUAAAGCUAAAAAGUGAGAUAAUGAAGUAAAAUAUUACUAACCUUAUGCAAUAUUUGAACUCGCUAUAGUAACACUAUCCAAUGGUGUACUUGGCUCAUUAUUAAAGUUCUCACAAUUAUGAACCUCCAGUGAUGUUUCAAGAGGAAGUUGAUGGAAUGGCUUAGGAGGCAUCUCAAAGAGUUCAACAUUAGAUUCAAGUAUCUUCAAGAUUUUACUCAUUGAAGGGCGAUCAGAAGGUAGUAAUUGUAUACACCAAAAAGCAAUUAUUAUCAUCUUCUUCACCAUUACUUUUUCAUCGUUAGAAAUAUCUCCGAACUCCAAGUCUUCUCCUUGAUCCAAUCGGUCAUAAAUCCAAGAUGGAAAAUAUAUUUGACUAGUGUGGUCAGCAAAUGCAUUCACAUUCUUUCCCCUUCUAACUAUUUCCAUCAAUAACAUUCCAAAACUAUAAACAUCGGCUUUGUAUGAGAUGCCUCAAUAUAAAGUGAUGAUUUUAUAAGUUUCGUACAAUUCAUAACAUAAAUAAUGCUAACCUCUAACCUUCCAUCAUAAUAAUUACCAUGAGGAUAAAUAUAAGAAUAAGAAUAAGAAUCUACAGAAGUAAUUAAGAGGAAGAGAGUUGCAAUCAUCCGUGUCCAACAAUCAACCCCUCCCAGAGUAGGCUGUCGAGGAGCCUCCUGCACAUCAUAAAUAGCACGAGUUGUACGCCCCAAAGCAUUUGCCAAGGACCAUCAAGAUGAAGGUCAAUAACAUUUGUGUAAAUUUGGAGUGCUACCUUACAGCCAAGACUAACAGAAUAGUGACUGUUUGGAUUGAAAUGCCAAAUGAGUCAGUUCGGAGUCGGAUACAAGCAAAGUAGCAUUCGAAGCAUCCGUUGCGCAUCAUAGGAGAUAGAAGACCUUGAGUUACAUGAUUUCAUUUUGAGUAUUGAAAAUUGAAAAUAGGAUAAGUACCAACCACUAAUAUAUUAUCAGCAAAAUCUCCCAAUUGAAAGAACAAAAGAUGCAUCUAUACUAUGUUUAAAAGUUUAAUAGAGUUUAUGGUUAUCUAUCAAUGAGGUAUCAACUCAAUUGUAAAAUCAUUAAAAUCUUAUUAUUUUGUUAAAAUAAAAAUAUUAUAUUGAGAGUAUUUUAUUUUUUAUUAAACUUUAUAAAAUUCAUCCAUUUAAUAGAAUUUGAACCCAAAACAUCAUAAUCCUUAUUACCUAAAUUUUACCAUAUUAAACAAAGCCACAUUUAGCUUUUAUAUCAUUUUUUAAAUAAGCUUGUUAUAUCAUUUUUUUUCACCCAUGUGAGGGUGCCAUAAUCUAAUAUAUCUUUAUUUAAUAAGUAAUAAUCCCAUAUGCAUUAGAGAGUAUUAAGUUGAGUUAUUAAAUUUAGGGUUUGUUAUAUUCUAACGACUAAUUUUCAAUUCCAUUGAAAUGAUUUAUAGGUGAUAAAUUUUACAAUUUAAUACGAUUAAUUUUAUUAUAUUACAAUGAAAAACAAAAGAAAAAGAAGAAUUUAAUAUGGUUCAAAGUUUUUAAAUAAAUCUGGACCAUAUACUUGUAGACAAACCUUUACCAUUAAUCUAUUCCAACUUCAAUGAGAACGACCAAGACAAUGCAAGUCUCAAUAGUCCUGUUUGAAACGCAAAAGCAUUCAAGUGGUUGAGAGCAGCAAGCCUGAUCCCUUUUGUCCUUUUGUGUUAUGUAAGUCAAUUGUAGAGAACGAUUGUUGGAUAUUUCUAAAACGUAAGUUAAUAGUUAGAACCCUUGAGCAACGCACAUUCCACCCCAACCCAUGCAUAACGUUAGACAAGACUCAAUGACUAAUUGUAUAUAUUUUUAAUUUUAUUCAACAACUACAUAAGUAUAUUUUUAAAUGAUUGUUAAUAUAAUUACAUGUAUUUUCAUCUAUUUUAUAUGAAUUUAAAAUAUUACAAAUUAAAUAUAAUAUAAGAUAUAAGUUCUAUUCAAUUAAAUUUAAAUUUAAAUUCAAAUUUUAAAUUAUCCAACAAUAUAAAUAGUAGACAUAAAUUCAAAGAAAAAAAUUUGGGGUUUAGCUGGAAAAUUACCUCUCAAAUUCCACUAAAAUAAAUAAAUAGAGUUUAACUCGAAGAUUACCUCUCAAAUUUAACUGAAAUAUGAAACAUACUCAAUAAUAAAGGUAUCAAUUCAAAGGUAUAAAGCUACAUAAAUUCUUAGUUAUGUCUUUGAAAUAUUUUCAUAAAGGCACGUGCAAAAACUUUUUGAUUCUAAACAAAUUCAUUGUCUCAACAUUACUUGUCGAAACCGUUUUUUGAAAACAAAGAUCUAGUUGUCGACUUUAAAAAUAAAACAGCAGUCGCCACCGAUCCUUUAUUAAGGUGUGAUCGGCUCACCUUUAAAAAUUAUUUUGGUCUACGAAUUUUGAGAAAACGAGUUCGGGAGUCAGUUACGCACGAGGAAGGGUUAGCACCCUCGUAACGCCCAAAAUCGGUACCAAAUUGGUUAUUUGAUGUCUUAGUGUCGAAGGUUAAAAAGAUUUUUAAAAUAAACUCAAUUGAUGGAAUUUGAAAAAGGAUAAUCAAUUGUUCAAGUCAUGUAAAGAAAUCGAGUCCCAAUACGUUAGGGUACAAUUCCUCAUAAUCCCCGAACUUUGAAUAUCACUUUAUUUUAUGUGAAAAUCUUCCUUUUGAGAAAGUAACAUGCCACACCAAAUACGUUAGGACACGACAUGUUAAGUUCCAAAAAAUGAUUUUUAUACUCAUGCAUUUUGAAUAAAGAAUAUUCUCGGUUAUUUUAGAUUGACAAAGAAAAUCGGAACCCAAUACGUUAGGGCUCAAUUCCCUCGAAAAUCCCAAACUUCGAAUAUUGCUUUUAUUCAAAAAAAAACUUUGAAUCAAGAGAAUAAUUUCAAUGUUUUGUCAAAAACCAAAAUAUAUCUUCUUGUUCAAAAGGAAAUGACAUAAUGUUAAUAGACAACAUGGAAUACAUACAUUAAUUUAAAUUAUACAUGUACAUGUAUUAUGAAAUGUCAAUGCAUAUAUAUACAUGUAUGCAAAAAGUUAUGGAAAUAAAAUAAUAAAAUAUAUAAAAUAUGGACAUGUAUUUACCAAAUAUGUAUAUAUAUACACACAUAUAUUUAUGAAAAAUAAAAACGUAUUUAGAGUCAUACAGAUAUAUAUAAAUCAUUAAAUAUAUGGAAAAAAAUGAAAAUAUGUAUAUAAAAGAUGUAUGUAUAUAGGUAUAUAUUUACAAAAUAAAAAAAAUGUAUAAGUAUACACGUAUUGGUAAAUCAUGAAAAUACAUAUAUGUAUAUUAAAAUACUUAUAUAUAUGUACAAUAUAUGUAUAAAUAAUGGAGUAUAUAUAGAAUAAUAAAAUAUUUAUAAUAACUCAAAAAUACAAAAAAAAUGUAUAUAUAUAAUAUAAAAAAUGUGUAUUUUGAAUUGUAAAAUAUGAGAAACAUGUGUGGAUUUUAAAAUGUAUAUGUAUACAUACAUAUAUAUAUGUUUGUAAAAAAAAUAAAAAUUAUGAAGAAUAAUAUAAAAACAUACAUAUACACGUAUUUACAAAAGUAAAAAAAAAUUUGAAGCUGAAAUAUAAAAGUAUAUAUAUAACUGUCAUUGAAGGGCGAUCAGAAGGUAGUAAUUGUAUACACCAAAAAGCAAUUAUUAUCAUCUUCUUUACCAUUACUUUUUCAUCGUCAGAAAUACCUCCGAACUCCAAGUCCUCUCCUUGAUCCAAUUGGUCAUAAAUCCAAGAUGGAAAAUAUAUUUGACUAGUGUGGUCAGCAAAUGCAUUCACAUUCUUUCUCCUUCCAACAAUUUCCAUCAAUACAUUCCAAAACUAUAAACAUCAGCUUUGUAUGAGAUGCCUCAAUGUAAAGCGAUGAUUUUAUAGGUUUCGUGCAAUUCAUAACAUAAAUAAUGCUAACCUCUAACCUUCUAUCAUAAUAAUUACCAUAAGGAUAAAUAUAAGAAUAAGAAAAGAAUCUACAAAAGUAACUAAGAGGAAGGGAGUUGCAAUCAUCCGUGUCCAACAAUCAACCCCUCCCAGAGUAGGCUGUCGAGGAGCCUCCUGCACAUCAUAAAUAGCACGAGUUGUACGCCCCAAAGCAUUUGCCAAGGACCAUCAAGAUGAAGGUCAAUAACAUUUGUGUAAAUUUGGAGUGCUACCUUACAGCCAAAACUAACAGAAUAGUGACUGUUUGGAUUGAAAUGCCAAUUAUGAGUCAGUUCGGAGUCGGAUACAAGCAAAGUAGCAUUCGAAGCAUCCGUUGCGCAUCUUAGGAGAUAGAAGACCUUGAGUUACAUGAUUUCAUUUUGAGUAUUGAAAAUUGAAAAUAGGAUAAGUACCAACCACUAAUAUAUUAUCAGCAAAAUCUCCCAAUUGAAAGAACAAAAGAUGCAUCUAUACUAUGUUUAAAAGUUUAAUAGAGUUUAUGGUUAUCUAUCAAUGAGGUAUCAACUCAAUUGUAAAAUCAUUAAAAUCUUAUUAUUUUUAAAAACAAAAAAAAUUAUAUUGAGAGUAUUUUUAUUUUUUAUUAAACUUUAUAAAAUACAUCAAUUUAAUAGAAUUUGAACCCAAAACAUCAUAAUCCUUGUACAGACCCAAUUUCUGCCCGGCCCACUAACAAAAAGAACCCAAUACCCACAAACCCAAUAACCCACCUAAACACUAACCCAUACCAGCAGACCCAAUUACCAGGCCCAGUGGCCCAAAAUUUUAAAAUCAUUUCAGAAACCCUAAUCCCCUUAACCCUAGCCGCCUCUUCUGAUCUUUCUGCUACUACUGCCGCCAUCACCUACCCUCUGCCACCGCCACUGUUUCGCCCACUUGCACCACCUGCUCCACCUGCAAAACAAAGGAGAACACGCAAACAAAGAAGGACAAAACAGUAGAAACAAUAAUAAAAUAAAUUGUGUAAAAAUGGCUAUAUAAAGGCCAUUCAAACGAAUUGUAAGGGGUUCGGCCCCUCUUUCACUAUUUCAAGAAAUAAAAAGGGCAAAGAAAACGGAUUCAAGAAAUUUUUCUUUUGGUAUAAACUCUAUUUUCUUUUAUUUAUAUUUUUCUCUUUAUUUUUCUUCCAUCCGAAACUGUUUGAUCCUUUAUUCUUAUUUUUAUUUUUCUUUUAUUUUUAAAAACAUAUAUAUAUAAAUAUAAUAUAUAGAUUUUAAAAUAAAAAAUAAUACCUUUUUUGAAUUUUUUGGCCACCAUACACGGUGGCCGGCGCGACGACGGAGCGGCGGCGACGUGGUGGCCAAGUUCGUCGGAUUCUGGGCAGUGCUGGAGAGGGGGAGAGAAUAUUUUUGAGAAGAAGAGUUUUUUUUUUUUAAGGAAAGCUGAAAAUGAUUUUUUUGGGGGGAAACCUUGACUUUUAUAGGCCCCCCAAAACGACGUCGUUUUGGGCAAGCCUCUUAGGUACCAAAACGGCGCCGUUUUAAGGCCGGCCUGAAAACCGACCCGACCCGCCUGAAGGAUCCGCGUGUUUUCGACGGAAGGGAUAAUUGCGUUUUCAGGCCUUCCGCUUUUAAAUAAUUUUGCAAUCAAGUUCUUUCCUUUUUUUAAAAUUCGCCCUAUAUUUUAUUUUCAUUCACAAUCUGGUCCACUUUGAAAUGCAGUGUUUUGGAGGGUGGGGAUUAUUUCCAUUUUGGUCCCCCUCUUUCCGAGCGUGUCACAAUUUAGUCUUUUCAGUCUUUUUUAUUUGAAAUUCGCUCAGUAUUUUUAUUUUUACUUCGAUUUAGUCCCUUUUUUAGUAGUAUUAUUAUUAUUAUUAUUAAUUAUUGCUAGUUUUAUUUUCCUUAAACCUAUUCGUCACUGCUUUGAUUAGUAUGUUAACUUGUUUCAUUAUUAUUAUAGCUUUCUUUUUUAUAAUAUAUGUACAUAUACCUAUGAAUAUUUUAUAUAUAUAUAUGCAUACAUAAUUAUAUACAUAUAUAUACCUUAUAAUAUUAAUGCGUACAUAGUUUUAUUUAUUAAAUAUUUUUAUACUCUAUAUUUUUAUACACUUGUAUAUAUACAAACAUCUAUGUUUCAAUUCAUAUAAAUAUAUGUACGUAUACAUAGUUAUGUGCUUUAUGUACCUAUUAUAAUUUGUUUACAUGUUUAUAUAUAUCUAUACAUAUAUUUUUAUAUUUCGUGAUAGUUAUAUGUACACAUAUACAUGUAAAUACUUAUAUUUUAUGCCUCAUAAUAUAUAUAUUUUCAUAUUUUCAUAUUUUAUGAUUUUCAUCUAUUUUCCUUUAUUGUUAUUGUAAUUUUCAUGUGUAUUUGUUUAUUUAUUUAUAUGUCUAUUUUUUUAUGUUUUAGUUUUUUUUAUUUGUUAUGAUAUAUGCACAAUUAAUUUAGUUUAUUAUUUGUUUUGUUUUUUUUUAUUCACACAAUCAUGUUCAAUAUUUCAUUAUGCAUAUAAAUAUCAUAUUUCAAAAGGAAAAAUAUUUCUAAAUGAGGCAAUGUUUUGCGUUUGGAAGUUCGAGAAAACAUGCCCUAAGGUGCUGGGUGUCGAUUUUUCUUGUUCAACCAAAUAGCUUAAUAUCCUUUUAAAUUUUUAAAAUAAGGCAAUGUUUUGCGUUUGGAAAUUCGAGAAAACAUGCCCUAAGGUGCUGGGUGUUGAUUUUUCUCGUUCAACCAAAUGGCUUAAUAUCCUUUUAAAAUUUUUAAAAUAAGGCAAUGUUUUACGUUUGGAAAUUCGAAAAAACAUGCCCUAAGGUGCUGGGUGUCGAUUUUUCUCGUUCAACCAAAUAGCUAAACAUCCUCUUGAAUUUAAAUUCAUGCCAUUCGAGUUUUUAGGAUCGUAUUUUAAAUUUCUUUGAAGUUUUCAGUUUUUCGACACUAAGACAUUAAGUAAUCAACUAGGUACCAAUUUUGGGCGUAUCGAGGUUGCUAAUCCUUCCUCGUGCGUAAUCGACUCCCGAACCCGUUUUUCUGAAUUUCGUGGACCAAACUUGUUGUUUUAAUAAAAUCAAAUUGUUUAUUAAAAACAACCACUUUUUGAGGUGAUCCGAUCACACCUCAACAAAAAGGAUCGGUGGCGACUCCCGUUUUCGUUCUCAUUUUUCAAAACCCAAGUCGACCCCAUUUUCCAUCCAAAAAAAUGGUGUCAACAGCUUGGCGACUCCACUGGGGACUUUAAAUAAGAGAGUCAAGCCACGAGUUGAUUAUUUCUUGUCUUUUUUGUCGAAAGUUGAAAAUUUGAUUUAAAUAUACGAUCCUCUCAUUGCAUUCCAUUUGUUUUGAGUUAUAGUUUUCAUUAUGUUUUGUAUUUUAAAUUUUUAUAUCUUUCUGCACAUUGCAUUGCAUGACCGUUAGUCACACCUUUUAAGUGGGAGUGAGAAGCUACUCCUUCGUGAGGUUUUCACCUCCGUACAGGAUAGUGGAUCGCUUUCGGGAUACAUCCGUACCUGUGUCUUCGUGAGAUUUUCAUCUCCGUGCAGCCAUAGGGAAAUGUAUUCCCCUGAAUUGAACUCGGUCUGUAUGAGCCUAUAAUGGGUGAAGAUCGAGGAAUAUGCUGGUUCGGGUACCUUAUCUUUAGAACCAACCCACAUAUAGUGGACUUAGGAACUUAACCUAGGUAGAGCCACUCCAAAUCCCUAGUAUUUACCUGAUUAGGUUUUUUUUUUGUUUUCCGUGCUUGCUUAUGUUUUGUUCUAACCCUUCUUGUUGUGUUUUGAUUAUGAUUGCAUUACAUUGCAUUUGCAUCUUAGGAAAGAGAUAUUGAUUCAAGUUCGAUUACUAAAUUAGAAAGCUUGUCAUGGAAUACGGAUUCCUUGAUAAAGUGGAAAACAAUACGACUGCCCGAAUAUAUUCUGAGAAACACAAGAAUGGCGAUGUAAGAGUUUGUGAUCCUACUUCGUGGCCUAAGGAUUCAAGGAAAUUGUCUAAGAGCCUUCAACAUUCCACUCACUUAAAGAAGCUGACGAGCCUUAUGAAGAUGGGCAGAUGAUGGAUCACGACCAAGAUCAAGAAAAUGAGCUAGCAGUGACAUUUAUUGAAAAUUGGCGAGAUUACCUUAAACAUGCGGAUAAAGAAAAAAGGACCGAUGUUUCUUGGAAUAUGACGGUGAGGCCGUACAUAUAUCCGUUUUAUGUAAGGGAAUUUGUUUUCUAGAAAAGUUUCCUAAAUGUAAUUGAAUCAGAAUCAACGUCUCUUUAGGCAUUCAUUUCAUGCAUUUGCAUUACAUUGCAUUACAUGCAUUGAAAGAGUCUAAACGAGUAAAUUUAUUUCAGCUAACCUGGAAAACCAACCAACCAAACAAAGACUAGAGAAAUGGAACGAAGGUUGGAAAAAUUAGAGCGAAUGCAGAUUCAGAUGCAGGAGCAAUUAACUGAAUUUCAACAGGAGACGAGAGAUCAGAUGCUAGAAUUACGGAGAACUAUGAUAAACCAGUUUAACCGAUUGCUAGCUGGAAAGUCAAAAGAAGUGAAAGACCCGGUGGUUUACUUUGGGGUUGAUAAUGAGGAUCUUGUCUAUUCCUUAGAUUGUACUCCGACAAGUGUCCAGGUUCAGCUAGAUGGGCGUCCACAAUGAGCACUUUUUACUGUCGGAUCCCAAUAUUAUCAGACUGGUACAUCGACACCAGUGAAUUGCCUGACAGGCUUAGAAUCCAAUUUGAGGAAUGAUUUAGCUAGUCCUGUUGCUAAUCUAGCCGAAAUAAAGAAGAUGAGGAUAGAAUACCCAGAUACUAAAAAGGCACUAGGGAAGAAGGCGAAUAAAGAGGAUAAUGCAGGCAGAUAUAACAAGGGCCACUCAAAACCAAUCACUACAGGCCGGCCAAAGACAGAAACCACCAGACAUCGGAAUCCUUUAAAGCAAGAAUCUGGAGCGAAACCAGGUACUGAGAAGCUCCAGUUCAUACCAAUUCUGAUGUCAUAUAGUGAGUUAUACCGAAGCUUAUUUGAUGCACGUGUGGUGUCCCCCUUCUACUUAAAACCCAUACAGCCUCCGUAUCCCAAAUGGUAUGACACGAACGUAUAAUGCGACUACCAUGCGAGAAUUACGGGGCAUUCAAUAGAGAACUGCAUUGCCUUUAAGAAACUGGUUGAAAAGCUCAUUAAUAUGGGGGUUGUCAGAUUUGAUGACUCGUCUAGCGCAGAAAAUCUACUACCUAGCCAUAUUGAUAAUGGGGUAGACAUGAAGGUAGGAAGGGGAUCAGUUAUUUCUGAUUCAGGAGGAAAUAAGGGAAAGACACGGAACCAUUGCGAUUUCCAUCAUGAGAGAGGGUUCGAGACCCAAGAGAGUGUGGAAUUCAAGGCCUUGGUUCAGGACAUGAUGGACGAUAAGGGGAUGAAGCUUCGUGAGGAAAUUAAAGAGGAGGAAAACAUACGUUCAAUGUUGGCAAGCGUUCACACCAAUGACAUAUUUGAAGACACGAAUGAAAAGGAACCUUGUUAGAUAUCUGCCCUUAUAAAUCUGGAGUGUUCUAAGCAACUGGGCUGCGAAAAAAAUCCCUUUAGUUUUUAGGGCUUAUCUAGAGUAAUGUUCAGAACAUUUUGUUGUUUUAGCCUAAAGCGAUAUAAAUUCCUUUGUGAAAUAGGUUAAUGUAUGAACGUUAUUAUUCUAAUAAAAUACAUCUUUGCAUUCCUUUUUGAGCUAAUAUUCUUUCAUUUAUUUUGAAUAAUUAUUUCUGAUUCUUUCAUUCUUUUGAAUUUUCUUCCAAACCAUCAUUCAUUCAUUCAUUCAUAAUUAUAUGAUACAAAUAAUUAUUCAUGAAUCUAUACAUUCUUUUGUAUAUUCUUUGGUACUUGCUAUGGGUCCCCGGAUAUCAAUUACGUGAAUGACUGCUACAGACCCAGAUUUUCCUUUUGAGUGAGGCAUGUGUUCAGAGGGAUCUCAAUGCUUUGAAAAUGAUAAAGAUUGUAGUUUAUCUCCUAACUUGUUAAGGAUGGUUGAACAAGAGGAUAGACAGAUCCUACCUCACAAGGAAUCAUCAGAAAUUGUGAGCUUAGCGAGGAUUAGAAUUGACCUGAUCGCAGAGACGAAGCAACACCUUGUUGAGGCACCUCUAGAUUUCGAAGAGAUCUUUGUAGGAUCAUACCAGGAUAUGCCUGGGUUAAAUGCCGAUAAUGAAAUCUGCACAACAGCACGAUGUCAGAAAUUUACAGUAUGAAUGAUGUAAUUCUUUACCGGGGCAAUGUCUUUCUCGUGGAGUCAGCAUAGUUUUGCCCAUUUGAAGUUGAAUUUCCGUCUCUUCAAGUUGUUGUUGGGUCCAUCCUGAUUAAAGAGGAAGAUCCAAAGUUUUUUGUCGAAGUUGCAUCCCAAAAGGCUCAGAUCAAAAAAGUGAAGAAAAAGAAAAAUCAAAAUCAAAGUCAAAAUGAAAAUGAAAAUGAAAAUGAAAAUGAAAAUGAAAAUGAAAAAAUCAAAAAUCAAAAUAAAAAAAACAAAAAGAAGAAAGAAGAAAAAAAUCAAAAUCAAGAUCAAAAUAAAAAUGAGAAAAAGAAAGAAGAAUGAAAAAGGAGAAAUCUAGAUGAAAAAAUCAGAAUGAAAAAGAAAAGAAAAAAGAAAAGGAGAGGCUAAAGCGAAAACUCGCAAAGGGCGCUUUGUGACCAAAUGAGGUUUUGAAUUGAAAACCCGAAAAGGGCGACUCAAAUUUCGAGCACAAUGAGGCAUGAACAUCACCAUUAUCAGAGACUUCUAAUGGGCAUUGCUUCAUUUUGAGAGGCUACUUCAUGAGCCAAAGUCAUCGUAUACCGAUACAGAAUUUCAGAGAAGAGGUUAUUGGAGAAUGCAUUGAGCUUAAACAAUAGCACGAUCGCUGAGGUCUCAAAUUAACUCAGAAGUGGACACCACGAUUCGUCACUGAAUUGCCUAGAAUUGAACAUCGAAAAUUGAAGGAAAAUGACUGAGACUUAGGGUCUGUUUGAUUGCCAGUAAAAUGUUUUCCGUAAAAUGAUUUCUGGAAAAUGGUUUACUUUUCUGUAAAAUGAUUUACUGGAAAAUAUUUUCUGGUGUUUGACUGAAUCUGUGUAAAAUAUUUUUUGCUGUUUGGCAGAUUUUCUGAAAAUAUUUUCGAAAAAGUUGUUUUUACAUAUAUUAAUAUAUAUUAAUAAUUUUUUAUAUUUUAAAUUAUUUUUACAUAUAUUGCAAUGAUUUAUUUAUAAUAAUACUCAAUUAUUAAGCUACAAUAUUAGUCGUUAUAAAUUGAAAAAAACUAAUAUCAAAUAAAUUAUUUGUAAUUGUGUUAAAAAAACAAGUAUUGAAUAAUUAAAAAAACAAGUUAUUGGAAAAUCGAUAAACAGAAGCAGUUUUCUACCGGAAAUGAAGGAAGGAAUGAAGGAAGCGAUAAAGAGGAGAGCACGGAAAAUGUCUUACGGAAAUUGAAAGGGUAAGACAUUUUCCCUAAAAUGUAACCCAUUUUCCCUUGUUUUGGAGUUCAUUUUCCAAAUGGAAAAUGUUUUCCGCCAAUCAAACGCUGAAAAAGUUGAAAAUGAUUUUCCGGAAAAUCAAUUCCGUCAAUCAAACAGACCCUUACAAGGAUUGGCAUGAGAAAUUACUAUUUGCCUUCCUUGCUUGUCGAACAUCUGUACCGGGGCAAUACCUUUCUCUUUGGUUUGCGGGGUUUAGGUAGUUUUACCUAUUGAAAUCCUUUCUCUCCAGGUAUUAUUUGAGCUAGAAUUGGAUGAAGCAGAAUGGAUCCAAUCGCGAUGAGAUCAGUUGAACCUAGAAAAAAGGUUAAAAGCUAUUCUUCAGGGUCGGAUGUACCGGAAACAAGUGAUACGAGCCCAUAAUGAACAGUGUCAUAUCAGAGAAUUCCACGAGAGGGUUGGAUGUCGAAAAAGAUCAUUCCUCUCUAAAAAUGAUUCCAGAGGGAAAUAAAUGCCAAACCGGGAAUGUCCCUACGUUGUAAAGAAGACAUUCUUCAGAAGAGCACUGAUCUUGAGUAAGAUUGCUAGUCCUAUAAACUCGGAUCCAGUCAAGAAAUACUUCGUUUAAAGAAUGAGGAAGGACCAAGGUGAAAACCCGCAAAGGGCACUCUAAGUCAAAAAAAAUGAAAUGAAAAAUGAGAAUGAAAAAUAAAAAAUAAAAAAUAGAGAGGCUAAGGGGAAAACCCGGAAAGGGCGCCUUAGGCCAAAGGGGAUUUGAGUUGAAAACCUGAAAAUGGCGGCUCAAAUAUUUGUUCAGAAUGGGGCAUGAGGCGAUCAGAGCGAUUCGAAUUUUGAUCAUAUUGGGGCAUGUGGUGAUCUUGCUAUGCCUGAAUCAACAGGAAAGGAUAGACGACAUCUUGGGGCAUCGACAGAGCACUGUAGAUCUCCUAAACACAUGUCCAACUCAAAAUGGUCUUCAGAAAGUUUGUACAGAGAAGUUCAAGUAGCGAUAUCUGGAGCACCCAAUCCUCACAUUAUUUGUUAUUCUUGGAAUAUUUUUUCUUUCCAAGAUAUACAUCCCCAAUUAAUUUCUUCGUCAUCCUUCUUUACAAUUUUUGGUAAUUUAUUCCUUUUGAGCUAUGCUCAGAAUCAAUUUUAUUCUUAUCCAUUGUUAUGACCCUUUUUGCAAAGCAUGUUGCAUUAGAAUAAUGAUUAAUGGACUAAUAAUACUUUCACAAUGGAAGUUUUGCAUAUUACUCUAGAAGUUUCUAAAUAAUAUAGGAGCCUAAAGCAGUACUAUUGUUUAGAACACACCAAUUUUUAAAGGUUGGAAAUUUGAGAAGGAAUAGUCUAAAUUUAGACUUUCUCUUUGGAUUUUUGUUUUCAAGUGCACUGAAUGAACAAAAUGACAAGAUGCCAUGUCAAUGGCAAAGCUUAAACGAACAAACAAGCAAUGAUCAUCAGGCAAUAGGAAGAGGUUACCUCGGAGAAGAGAGCCUUCAUUUGUGCAUGAGCAUUUGGUAUGACACCUUGGGGAUGAGGUAAAGGACCAAAGAGUUUCACAUUCAAUAUCAUUGAAUUGCGAUAGGAGAAGAUUGAGAAAGGCCAUACAUUUCUACCCUUUGGUUAUAGUGGGAGAUUGAUGGUGCAAAUUUUAUGUCCCAGUGGAUUGAACUUUGACGUUCAUAGUGGGGGGCAAUCAGAUUAAGUGAUCCUUUGGAUAUGCUAGCCGAGCAAGAAGGUGGUAUAGCACGUCAGUAAUAAAGCCUUAAUAUGCUUUUGUGUGAUGAUAACCUAAGCAUUAAGGAAUCAUUUUCAUGACAUUUUGCAUGUCAUUCAUACACAUCUAGUUAGGAGCAUUUGAUUCGUUCUGAUCAUGUCAUCCUAAUCUCUAGGCACAAUUAGGUUCAUAAAAUAGAACAUACAGGUCAUGUUCCCUAGAGAACAAAUCAGUGAACAUCGAAAACAAAGCCUUGCCUUCAUUGGUUACAGUGAAGCUGGUUAAAGAAGCAGAUCUUGCCUUCCAGCAUUAACAGCGAAGCAGAUCGAAAACAAAUCAUUGCCUUCAUUGGUUACAGUGGAGCUGGUUAAAGAAGCAGAUCUUGCCUUCCUGCGUUAACAACGAAGCAGAUCGAAAACAAUCCUUGCUUCAUUGGUUACAGUGGAGCUGGUUAAAGAAGCAGAUCUUGCCUUCCUACGUUAACAACGAAGCAGAUCGAAAACAAGCCUUGCCUUCAUUGGUUGCAGUGGAGCUGGUUAAAGAAGCAGAUCUUAUCUUCCUACAUUGACAGCGAAGUAGAUCGAGGACACAAGCCUUGCCUCCCUUAGUUGUAGGGGAGCAGAUCAAAGACAGCAAAUCUUAUCUUCAAGUGUAAGGAAGCGGAUUUAAGCCACAAGUCCUAUGUCCCUGACCAGCAGUGGAAUAGGUUGGAAAUUUCAGAUCUUAUCUCCCUGAGGUUACAGCGGAGCAGAUCGAAGACAUAAUCCUAUCUCCCUGAAGUUACAGUGGAGCGGAUUAAAAUAAAGGAUCUUAUCUCUCUGAAGUUACAGUAGAGUAGAUCGCAUCAGGUCUUAUUUCCCUGAGGUUACAGCGGAGUAGACCGAAAAAUUUCAGAUCUUAUCUCCCUGAGGUUACAGCGGAGCAGAUCGAAGACAUAAUCCUAUCUCCCUGAAGUUACAGUGGAGCGGAUUAAAAUAAAGGAUCUUAUCUCUCUGAAGUUACAGUAGAGUAGAUCGCAUCAGGUCUUAUCUCCUUGAGGUUACAGCGAAGUAGACCGAAGAAUUGCAGAUCUUAUCUCCCUGAGGUUACAGCGGAGCAGAUCGAAGAUAUAAUCCUAUCUCCCUGAAGUUACAGUGGAGCGGAUUAAAAUAAAGGAUCUUAUCUCUCUGAAGUUACAGUAGAGUAGAUCGCAUCAGGUAUUAUUUCCCUGAGGUUACAGCGGAGUAGACCGAAGAAUUGCAGAUCUUAUCUCCCUGAGGUUACAGCAGAGCAGAUUAAAGACAUAAUCCUAUCUCCCUAAAGUUACAGUGGAGCGGAUUAAAAUAAAGGAUCUUAUCUCUCUGAAGUUACAGUAGAGUAGAUCGCAUCAGGUCUUAUUUCCCUGAGGUUACAGCGGAGUAGACUGGAGAAUUGCAGAUCUUAUCUCCCUGAGGUUACAGCGGAGCAGAUUAAAGACAUAAUCCUAUCUCCCUGAAGUUACAGUGGAGCGGAUUAAAAUAAAGGAUCUUAUCUCUCUGAAGUUACAGUAGAGUAGAUCGCAUCAGGUCUUAUUUUCCUGAGGUUACAGCGGAGUAGACCGAAGAAUUGCAGAUCUUAUCUCCCUGAGGUUACAGCGGAGCAGAUUAAAGACAUAAUCCUAUCUCCCUGAAGUUACAGUGGAGCGGAUUAAAAUAAAGAAUCUUAUCUCUCUGAAGUGGCAGUAGAGUAGAUUACGUCCAAGUCAAAUCUCCCUGAAGUUGCAGUGGAGUAAGUUAAAAUCCCAAACCUCACCCCCUGAAGGUACAACAGAGUGGAUUGAAGCUACAAGUCUUGUCUUUUUGAAGUUGCAGCGGAAUGGAUAGAAGCAACAAUGUACAGUGGACUGGAGUGAAGCUACUUGAAGAGAAGCGUCAAGAGAAGUCAAGACUCGGCGAAACCGGGCAAAAAAUUGGUCUUUCUUAGUCUUUGCUCUGUUAUCGUUACACGACAAUGAGCAAAGAGGGGCAGCUGUACAAACCCAAUUUCUGCCCGGCCCACUAACAAAAAGAACCCAAUACCCACAAACCCAAUAACCCACCUAAACACUAACCCAUACCAGCAGACCCAAUUACAAGGCCCAGUGGCCCAAAAUUUUAAAAUCAUUUCAGAAACCCUAAUCCCCCUAACCCUAGCCGCCUCUUCUGAUCUUUCUGCUACUACUGCCGCCAUCACCUACCCUCUGCCACCGCCACUGUUUCGCCCACUUGCACCACUUGCUCCACCUGCAAAACAAAGGAGAACACGCAAGCAAAGAAGGACAAAACAGUAGAAACAAUAAUAAAAUAAAUUGUGUAAAAAUGGCUAUAUAAAGGCCAUUCAAAUGAAUUGUAAGGGGUUCGGCCCCUCUUUCACUAUUUCAAGAAAUAAAAAGGGCAAAGAAAACGGAUUCAAGAAAUUUUUCUUUUGGUAUAAACUCUAUUUUCUUUUAUUUAUAUUUUUCUCUUUAUUUUUCUUCCAUCCGAAACUGUUUGAUCCUUUAUUCUUAUUUUUAUUUUUCUUUUAUUUUUAAAAACAUAUAUAUAUAAAUAUAAUAUAUAGAUUUUAAAAUAAAAAAUAAUACCUUUUUUGAAUUUUCCGGCCACCGUACACGGUGGCCGGCGCGACGACGGAGCGGCGGUGACGUGGUGGCCAAGUUCGUCGGAUUCUGGGCAGUGCUGGAGAGGGGGAGAGAAUAUUUUUGAGAAGAAGAGUUUUUUUUUUUAAUGAAAGCUGAAAAUGAUUUUUUUUGGGGGAAACCUUGACUUUUAUAGGCCCCCCAAAACGACGUCGUUUUGGGAAAGCCUCUUAGGUACCAAAACGGUGCCGUUUUAAGGCCGGCCCGAAAACCGACCCGACCCGCCUGAAGGAUCCGCGUGUUUUUGACGAAAGGGAUAAUUGCGUUUUCAGGCCUUCCGCUUUUAAAUAAUUUUGCAAUCAAGUUCUUUCCUUUUUUUAAAAUUCGCCCUAUAUUUUAUUUUCAUUCACAAUCUGGUCCACUUUGAAAUGCAGUGUUUUGGAGGGUGGGAUUAUUUCCAUUUUGGUCCCCCUCUUUCCGCGCGUGUCACAAUUUAGUCUUUUCAGUCUUUUUUAUUUGAAAUUCGCUCAGUAUUUUUAUUUUUACUUCGAUUUAGUCCCUUUUUUAGUAUUAUUAUUAUUAUUAUUAAUUAUUGCUAGUUUUAUUUUCCUUAAACCUAUUCGUCACUGCUUUGAUUAGUAUGUUAACUUGUUUCAUUAUUAUUAUAGCUUUCUUUUUUAUAAUAUAUGUACAUAUACCUAUGAAUAUUUUAUAUAUAUAUAUGCAUACAUAAUUAUAUACAUAUAUAUACCUUAUAAUAUUAAUGCGUACAUAGUUUUAUUUAUUAAAUAUUUUUAUACUCUAUAUUUUUAUACACUUGUAUAUAUACAAACAUCUAUGUUUCAAUUCAUAUAAAUAUAUGUACGUAUACAUAGUUAUGUGCUUUAUGUACCUAUUAUAAUUUGUUUACAUGUUUAUAUAUAUCUAUACAUAUAUUUUUAUAUUUCGUGAUAGUUAUAUGUACACAUAUACAUGUAAAUACUUAUAUUUUAUGCCUCAUAAUAUAUAUAUUUUCAUAUUUUCAUAUUUUAUGAUUUUCAUCUAUUUUCCUUUAUUGUUAUUGUAAUUUUCAUGUGUAUUUGUUUAUUUAUUUAUAUGUCUAUUUUUUUAUGUUUUAGUUUUUUUUAUUUGUUAUGAUAUAUGCACAAUUAAUUUAGUUUAUUAUUUGUUUUGUUUUUUUUUAUUCACACAAUCAUGUUCAAUAUUUCAUUAUGCAUAUAAAUAUCAUAUUUCAAAAGGAAAAAUAUUUCUAAAUGAGGCAAUGUUUUGCGUUUGGAAGUUCGAGAAAACAUGCCCUAAGGUGCUGGGUGUCGAUUUUUCUCGUUCAACCAAAUAGCUUAAUAUCCUUUUAAAUUUUUAAAAUAAGGCAAUGUUUUGCGUUUGGAAAUUCGAGAAAACAUGCCCUAAGGUGCUGGGUGUUGAUUUUUCUCGUUCAACCAAAUGGCUUAAUAUCCUUUUAAAAUUUUUAAAAUAAGGCAAUGUUUUAUGUUUGGAAAUUCGAAAAAACAUGCCCUAAGGUGCUGGGUGUCGAUUUUUCUCGUUCAACCAAAUAGCUAAACAUCCUCUUGAAUUUAAAUUCAUGCCAUUCGAGUUUUUAGGAUCGUAUUUUAAAUUUCUUUGAAGUUUUCAGUUUUUCGACACUAAGACAUUAAGUAAUCAACUAGGUACCAAUUUUGGGCGUAUCGAGGGUGCUAAUCCUUCCUCGUGCGUAAUCGACUCCCGAACCCGUUUUUCUGAAUUUCGUGGACCAAACUUGUUGUUUUAAUAAAAUCAAAUCGUUUAUUAAAAACAACCACUUUUUGAGGUGAUCCGAUCACACCUCAUCAAAAAGGAUCGGUGGCGACUCCCGUUUUCGUUCUCAUUUUUCAAAACCCAAGUCGACCCCGUUUUCCAUCCAAAAAAAUGGUGUCAACAAUCCUUAUUACCUAAAUUUUACCAUACCAAACAAAGCCACAUUUAGCUUUUAUAUCAUUUUUUAAAUAAUCUAAUAUAUCUUUAUUUAAUAAGUAAUAAUCCCAUAUGCAUUAGAGAGAGUAUUAAGUUGAGUUAUUAAAUUUAGGGUUUGUUAUAUUCUAACGGGUUAUUUUCAAUUCCAUUGAAAUGAUUUAUAGGUGAUAACUUUUACAAUUUAAUACGAUUAAUUUUAUUAUAUUACAAUGAAAAACAAAAGAAAAAGAAGAAUUUAAUAUGGUUCAAAGUUUUUAAAUAAAUCUGGACCAUAUACUUGUAGACAAACCUUUACCAUUAAUCUAUUCCAACUUCAAUGAGAACGACCAAGACAAUGCAAGUCUCAAUAGUCCUGUUUGAAACGCAAAAGCAUUCAAGUGGUUGAGAGCAGCAAGCCUGAUCCCUUUUGUCCUUUUGUGUUAUGUAAGUCAAUUGUAGAGAACGAUUGUUGGAAAUUUCUAAAACGUAAGUUAAUAGUUAGAACCCUUGAGCAACGCACAUUCCACCCCAACCCAUGCAUAACGUUAGACGAGACUCAAUGUCUCAUUGUAUACAUUUUUAAUUUUAUUCAACAACUACAUAAGUAUAUUUUUAAAUGAUUUUUAAUAUAAUUACAUGUAUUUUCAUCUAUUUUAUAUGAAUUUAAAAUAUUACAAAUUAAAUAUAAUUAAUAUAAGAUAUAAGUUCUAUUUAAUUAAAUUCAAAUUCAAAUUCAAAUUCAAAUUUUAAAUUAUCCAAUAAUAUAAAUAGUAGACAUAAAUUUAAAGAAAAAAAUUGGGGUUUAGUUGAGAAAUUACCUCUCAAAUUCAACUAAAAUAAAUAAAGAGAGUUUAACUGGAAAAUUACCUUUCAAAUUUAACUGAAAUAUGAAACAUACUCAAUAAUAAGGGUAUCAAUUCAAAGGUAUAAAGCUACAUAAAUUCUUAGUUAUGCCUUUGAAAUAUUUUCACAAAGGCAUGUGCAAAACUUUUUGAUUCUAAGCAAAUUCAUUGUCUCAAUAUUACUUAUUUAAAAUCAAAUCCACAUUUAUUUUUAAACAAAAUCCAACAAUGUAUUUGGCUCAUCCAACAAUUUAUUUUUAAAUGGCAUUUAUUUAAAAAGAACCAAAUGAGAAUUAUUAUACAACUUUAUAAAGUCGAUGACACAUCCAACAUUAAAAGCACAAAGAAACUAGAUUGGCCAACAACAAAACAAUAAUGCCAACAUUCUCAAAUACCGCAACAAAUUUGUUCUAAAAACAAAAGAUAGCGCAUCGCACUUAGAGCGUAGAAAUACUUGAAUUCAAUCAUUGUAACAACGAAAAAGGAAACAAGACAUCCAACAUCCUCAUCACAAUGGAUUCGCCUCUCACCCGCCAACAACGUCUGCAAUGCAAUAAAACAAGAAGAGGCUAUUGUGGUAGCAACUCUUAUAAAUAUUCCAAAAUUAACUUUUAGAUGCAUCAGGUCUUAAUCUAAGGUAAAGGGUUUAUCCAAACAUGAAAAAUCUAACCAACUCAAUUCAAUUCAACCUAACCUCAACCUAUCUAUAUAGUUUACUUUUAAUUUAUAUAUAAUUUCUUUUAUGAUUUAAAUUUAAAUAUUUUUUAACAAAAAUUUUAAAUACUUAAUAUUGAACAAAUAGUCAUAUUAAUGAAAAUUUGUAAUUAUGAUCAAUAACUUAACACAUAGGUAAAAGUGUUUUUUUUUUUACUUAAUAAUAUUAUUAGCAAUAGUACGUUAUUAAUUGUAUAUGAAAAUAAUGAAGCUUAAAAAUUAAAAUUUAAAGACAAUGCCAUUGUCAAAUUUACUCAAAAUUUAUUUUUAACUAUAGUUAUCCAUGUACAUAUGUGACACACAUAAUAAGAUGCUAAUAUAUAUAAGGCAAAAUAUUAUAAAGUUAAAUGGUGAGAUAAUAAAGUGAAAUGUUUCUAACCUUAUGCAAUAUUUGAACUUGUUAUAGUAACAGUAUCCAAUGAUGUACUUGGCUCAUCAUUAGAGUUCUCACAGCUAUGAAUCUCCAUUGAUGUUUCAAGCGGAAGUUGAUGGAAUGGCUUAGGAGGCAUAUCAAGGAGUUCAACAUCAGAUUCAAGCAUCUUCAAAACUUUACUCAUUGAAGGACGAUCAAAAGGCAGUAAUUGUAUACACCAAAAGGCUGUUAUUACCAUUUUCUUUACCAUUGCUUUUUCAUCGUCAGAAACAUCUCCCAACUCCAAGUCCUCUCCUUGAUCUAAUCGGUCAUAAAUCCAAGAUGGAAAAUAGAUCUGACUAGUGUGGUCAGCAAAUGCAUUCACAUUCUUUCUCCUUCCAACCAUUUCCAUCAGUAACAUUCCAAAACUAUAAACAUCAGCUUUGUAUGAGAUGCCUCCAAGAUUUUUGUAAACCAAUUCUGGAGCAAUAUAUCCUAUCGUUCCUCGUGCCGCAGUGAGAGAGACAAUGCUAUCAUCUACUGAAUACAAUUUAGCAAGACCAAAAUCGGAAACUUUUGGAUUAAAAUUCUCAUCAAGAAGAAUAUUGUGUGGCUUGAUAUCAAAAUGUAGAAUUUGCAUGUCACAUCCUUGAUGUAAGUAGUGAAUUCCUUGAGCCACCCCAAGUACAAUAUCAAACAUUUUUUUCCAGCCCAAAGUGUUCUUAUUUUCUUCUGUAAAUAUGAUUUUAUCUAAAGAUCCAUUAGACAUGAAGUCAUAUACUAGAGCUUGCUUUGAUCCCUCCACACAAAAUCCGAUAAGUUUUGCCACAUUAGCAUGAUGAAUUGUCCCAAUGGAAGCAACUUCGUUUAUGAAAUCUUGGCCAUUACCUUUUGAUUUGCCCAACAAUUUUAUUGCCACAUGAUGGCCGCUACGAAGCUUUCCUUUAAACACUGAGCCAUAACCCCCUUCACCUAAUUUAUCUUUAAAAUUUUUAGUCAUUUUUUUAAUUUCUUUAAAAGAAUACCUUAAUGGCACUAGAUUAUUUUGGCUUUUAAGGAACUCUUCGAUCAUAUCAUCCAUGGAUAAAUGUCUUCUCCUCCAUUUGUACGUGACAAAAGCAAGCAAACAAAUGAUCCCAGGAAAUGACCUCAAGAUAACUCCACCUUUAAAGAAAUACAAUGUAACAUGUUGAAAUUAAUCACAUAAUAUAUAACUUACAUUCUCAGAAAAAAGGAUAUAGUGUGAUAGUUUUAUGUUAACUAGUAUUUGAGAGAGUGGCAUAUUUCACUAGUCUAUGGACUUAACCGAGAGUAGUCUGAAUUAUAUGCAUUGUUUUUGUCAUUAGCAGGUAUAUCUCAACAAAUUAAAAUUCAGAAUUUGAAACACAAAAGGAGUAAAUCAUGCAAAGUGGAUGCCAAUUAUUCUAACCUCACACAUUCCAAUAGAUUUGACAGGGUCAUGACAUUCACCCAAAUUAACACAUUCGUAACCCCAUCCAAUUAGCAAAUUCUAAAGAAAGAACAUGAUUCUUAACCAUGAAGGAUACUCAACUGUUGUUUCUAUUCAUGCCAAAUAAAAUUGAAGAAGGACAAAUUAAAAAUAUAAUAACCUUCAAAUUUCAUAAAUGAAACAAAAUCUAGAACCACCAAAAGAUGCAAGAGAACCCCCCAAAAAACAGAUUUGAUAAAUUCAAGAGCUAACUUUGUUGAAUGUUUUAGCAAAAUGAAUAUCCACCAAACUUAUAACCUGUGAAAGUUCUAAACAAUACCAUUAUGAAAACAAGCUUAACUAAAACUCUAACAUCUUUCUUAACUUGACAAAAAAUUUCUUUCAUAUAGAAGAAGAUUGUAUUCUGCAUUCAAACUCCGUAAAGAGUGUCAUAGCUUUCUUAGUUUUGUAGUGAAAUUAAAUAUAAACUUGUAUAAUAUGAUAGGCUCCUUAUUCUUUUUUUCCCCCAGAAUAUAGCUAAUAUUUGUUCUCAACUAGUGCAAAUGCAAAUCUGCAAAUCUAAAAUUAAAUAUACCUGUUAUUAGCAAACAGAGACGAUAAGCUCCGAAGAAUCUGGAUUAUAUAUUCAACAAAUCAAAGUAAAAUUAAUAAAGGGGUGUAAAGAAAAAUUCCAAAUUUGUAUAAAAAAAUCAAUGGAAGGUAAUUUAAAAAAUUAUAUUAUGUUUUGUGGUAUAUACUCAAAAAAGAAAUACAACAAUUCUUUACAUAUGUUUGCUUGUAAAAAGUAUGCAACAUGUGUUACAGUAUAAGAGUUUUUAGGUAACUAAUAUGAUUUAAUAUAAUGAAAGGUGAGACAAAAUUUAUUCAAAUUAAUUAAUCCAAAAAGUAUAUAUUAUAGCAUUAAAAGAGUUUUUGCCAAAAAAAAUAAACUCAUCCACAAUGGUGGAAUAUUUACGUACUACCAACUAAAUUGAAAAUUCAUCAAAAAUAAAGACAAAAUAAAAAGAUAGACAUAAUCAAAUAUAAUUGUCCAAAAAGAAGACAAAACAGCAGAGAAAGCAGAGGCAGAUACUAAAUUAGAAAUGCUUUUAGUUCAUUUGAUUGUUAGAUGUUGAUCAAUUUUAGAUGCAAAAUCAUCAUACUUAAUUACCAUCAUAAUAUUUAAUUGUGAUAAAUGUAACAUAAAAUAAAACAAAACAAAAAGUAGAUGUUGUAACUAAAAAUUCCAGUAUGAUUCACACUCAAAAUGCAAACUUAAAUUAUUAAAGAAACUUACAUAUCUUUAAACCAAACUUUGUUUUUAUUGUAGUAGCUACUCUCGCUAUCCCAUCAACUCCAUUGGACCCAAAAACCCUCCAAUAAUUUUUUGUAUAUAUCCAGCGUAGACAUGCCUAUUAUAUUAUCAAUCAUAAUUGGAACCUCCGCUUUGAUAGUGCAAGCUUGAUUGAUAUCAGAUGGGUGGGUGUUUCCAUUUAAAAAAUAGAAAUAGAAAGUUGGAAGGGAAGAGGAGGUAUUAGAUUUAAUCGUACAACAAGAAGCCUCAAUAAAAAGUGAUGAUUUUAUAGGUUUCGUGCAAUUCAUAACAUAAAUAAUGUUAAAAUUAUAAGAAAAAUAAUAAUGAUAAUUAGAAAAAAGGUAAAAAUAUGGUUUAAAAUAAGGAUAAGUAUCAUAAUAAUCAGGAUAUACAGAAGUAAGAGGAAGGGAGUUGCAAUCAUCCGUGUCCAAGCUUGCAUCCACCAUUCGUAUUGUAUAAUUUUCGUAAAAGAUUUGUUGGACAGAUAAUUUCCCUCCUCUCCCAACCAAAGUGGUGCGAUUAUUGUUCUCACACUCAAGUUCCAUGACAGGAGAACCACAGUGGGGAGGUUGGUUUUUUAAUCGGAAUGGAAAACUGAUAUUCAAAUUCCCACAGAAAGUAGAGCCGCAGUCUUGGUUAAUAAGACUCCUAGCAAAACAAACAGCAGGAAAUAGAAUUACAAAUAAAGCAACAGAGGGCAUUAGGUGACCCAACAAUGGCAGUUUUGCUUUUAAUUUUGGCAUGCUAAAAUUUUGGGUAAGGAAGAAGAACAGUAAUGGGGGGUUAAUGAUUAAGUUUCUAACUAAACCAGGGAAAUAUAUAAGAAAGCUUCAGUGGGAGAAGAAGCAUUAAUGGGGACACAAGACUUUGACUACUCUUCAGCUUUAUUUGGGAUGAAUAUUUUAUUUUCAAUAAAUUGUUUACACCUUUUAUUCUUUAAUCUUUUUUCUGGGAAGAGCCAUGGUUAUCACAAGCAAAAGAAAAAGGAAUUUUAAUAUUAUUCAAAAAAAAAAAAAAUUGGACCAUAUGCUUGUAGUCGUAGAUCAACGUUUAUGACCUUAAUAAAUUCCAAUUACAAUGAGGAGGACCAAGACAAUGCAAGUCUUUAGUCUUCUUUGAAACACAAAAACAUUUGUUGCAUCUUUUGUAACUAUUUGUUGCAUCAUUCUAAAAAGUAAGUUAAUAGUUAGAAGUGUCAAGCAAGGCGACUCAAUGCCCAAUUGUAUAGAUUCUUUUUAUUUUAUUCCACGAAUACUUCACUACUUUUCAAAUAAUUACAUGAAUUUAAAAUAAAACAAAUUAAAUAUAAGAUAUAAUUUCUAUUUAUUUAAGUUUAAAUUCAAAACUAAAUUCUAUUUCUAAAUUUUAAUUAUCCAAAAUUAAUUUAAAAACUUAAAUUUAAAAAUACAUUAAGAGACUUCAAAUUCCGUUUUAUUUUAAAUGAAAUCGGUUUAGUAAAGAGGUGACUAUGGAUCAAGUCAAGCCGAAUCGAAGUUCAGUUUCAAAAAAUUCCAAGUCCUAGAGCCUAUUUUUGAUCCAACUCACCCAAAAGCUCGUUUUCUAUUUGAAAAUAUUAAAAAUAUUUUUAAUUGAUAUUUUACAUAUUUUUAUAAUUAAAUUUAAAUUUUAAUAAAAAUUAUUAUUUAAAUUAAACUAUAAAAAUAUUUAUCCAAAUCUGACCCAAAUCGAAUUAGGCCGGGUGGGCGAUCCGAUCAUGACAGGAAAGGAGAAACAAGAAAGACGAAGCCUAAACAGGCAGUAAAUUCAUUUUAAUUCUACAUACAUUCCAUAUUAUUAUUUAGGGAUAAUAUAGUUUUUGACCCUAAUCUUGAUAGUUAAGUGGACUUUAGUACAUAUAUCUUUUUUGUUCUACUUUGACACUCGAACUUCAAAUAUUUUGGUUCCUAAACUUGAAAAAUAUAAAAGUUUUAUGAUGCAACUCUGUAAGAUUGUGUUACAUCAUCACUUAAAAAUUAAAAAAAUAUAUAAAUAUUUUUAAUUAAUAUUUUAUAUAUCUCUAUAAUUAAAUUUAAAUUUAAAAAAUAUUUUUUAUUAUUUAAAUUCAACUCAGAUUAAAUCAAAAUAAAAUGUAAAAAUACUUAUUCAAAUCUGACCCAAAUUGAGUUGGGCCGGGCAGGCUACCCAGUCAUCUCAAGUCUACUUUAGCACAGGUAAGUAAAGUUGAAUCAUUAGAUUGGGAUAUAUGUGUGCUUCGGGUAAAUACUUAUUUGGGCUGAAUUAUUUGGACUUCAAUUAUGAAUUUAAUUUUUUACUAAUAUGUGUGAGAAGCCCAUUCUUUUAUGAAUUUUGGGCCACUUCGGUUUCGUCUUCAGGAAUUAAACAUUCAUAAAAAUCUAAAAAAAUUUAUUAAAUUAUUAUUUAUUAAUUAAACCAGUUGAUUAUUCAAUCGGUUUGACCACUAGUUCUUGAUUCAACUCAUUUGAUCGGUUCAACUACCCAACUAACAAUAAUUAAAUGAAUGAUUCAACAUCCAUAAAAAUCUAAAAAAGAAUAUUAAAUCGAUUACAUAUGUUCAAUAGCCAAGUUUUUUUUUUACUAAUUUCAAACAAUUUUUUUAAUUUAAUUGAUUCAACCAUUUUGUUCAAACUAGGGUGUUCGCAAAAGUCUCGACUCUCCUAAAAUGGAAAAGUUUUUAUUUAAGUCAUUUAAAAUUUUUAAAAUUUUAAAUUAAUAAAGGUAAAUUACACUUUGGCCCCAUAAAAAUAUAAAAAUUUGAUUUAAUCCUUUAAAAAUUAUAAAGAUAUAGGCUAUUAAAAUGGUGAAAUUAUAUUUUUACUUCGUAAAAAUUACAAUUUAAUUUCGACUCCCUUUUUUUUUUUUGAUUUCGCCCCUAAUUCAAACCAUUAUACCGGUUGGUUCUUAGUCCAAUCAAUCCAACCAACCAAUCCACUACUAUUUCAGUAAAAUUGGUCAUAUCAUCAAAUCUUGAUAGAAUCCAAAUUUAAAGGACCAAAAUAGAUCUAAUUGUCAAACUCAAAUACCAAAAUGGAUCUAACUUAAAAGCAAUAUUGAAACAUGUCUUUCUUGUUUUCUCCGUCUCUUAAAACCCCCUGACCUUUGUUUUUUUUUUUUUUUAGUCUUUGAGUUCCUUAGAGAGUUGGUUCAUAUUUUAGGAUAUUGUUUCAUGCUUUUGGCUUGCGAGUUCUUUGUAUUGUAAUGGUAUUUUUUGUAUUAGUGUGAGGAGUAUUGUGGUGUUAUUUUGCUAUCCAUUGAUUCGUUUUGGGUGAAGGUUUUAUUUUGAGCCUUUGUGUUUGUAUGGGAUACCUUAUCUUCGAGUUCUGGGUUUUUCUUUAAUAUAUUUCUAUCGGUUCGAAAAAGAUGGAAGUCUAGAUUUGAUUUGGAGAUAAAAUUGUGUUUUAAUUUUUGUGUACUUUCCUGAUUUUUCUAAAUAAUAUUUUUUUCUGCUUCAAUCCAACUACAAUACUUGCAUUAUAAACAACUAUUUCAUUGAAUUUCUUUUUUAUUUUAAAAAUACUUUUUAAACUGUUUUUUUUCUAGAGAUUCUCUAAAAUUUUCUAUUAAAAACUUUAUAUAUUUGGUAAAAGGAUUAAAGAAGUUCCUGUACUUAGUGAUGGAUUGCAUUUCAACCCUUUUAUCGAAAAAAAUUGACAAAUUAAUUUUUAUACAUUUCAAAACAUACAAAUUUGUCGCUUCGUUAAAAUUUUUCUACAUUUUAACCUAUUCAUCAUUUCCUUUGCAGAAAAAUAGUUGAUAUACCAUUAGAACAUGAGCCUCAAACAUUAUAAAUGAAUAAUAAUACCUCGGUCUAUGAAGAAGUUAUGUUACAUUUGAUGGAAUAUCAAAGGAAAAUUUUUCGUUUAUUUUAAAAAGAUUUUAUUCAAUUUUCUAAUUGUAUAUAUAAUUGAUAUUAAUUAUUUUUUAUUUUAAGUUUAAUUAUUUUAAAACAUAUUUAUUAAAUAACUUUUUUUGGUGUUAUUAAUUAAACAUCAAAUGCAGCAUUAAUAUUGUAAGUCUUCCGUUAUUUAAUAUUUAAAUAAUAUGAAAUUGAACAUUUAAACGUAAAAUAUAAAAUUAUUCUUAAUAAUUUAUAAUAAAGGGAAUAAUAAAACAGAUGAUUAGAUGAAAUCAAGAAUCAGGUUAAAUUCACACCUGACCAUGGAAAUAUUUGUGUCGAUAUGAUUUAUAAACAGGGUUUAGCCAUGAUACUUUUCUGUGAGAGGCAAAAUCAAAAUUUUUCUUUUCACUUAAAAACUUAAUAUUUUAAUUUUUCCUCAAUUUUGUCCAUUCAAACAUGUUAAGACUGUAUGGUUUGAUUUACCUGUUGGUACGUAAGCUUAUUCAUGCAAAAGUGUCCUUUUAUCAAUUAAAAAGAACAGCAAUAAGGUAAAACGUCAGUUUUUAAUAGAGUCUGACUGCGUCGUCGGCAAAUGAGUGUAGAAUCUUUUACGGUAAGCAAAAGCAUGCUAUCCUAUUUUCCUCCAAUAGCAUAUUUAUUUAUCAUUAAUAAUUACUUUCAUUUUAAUUGUAAUAAAAAUUUAUGACAUAAUUCAUCGUUUACAAACACCAUCUUCAUAUAAUAUUUAAAUUUUCUUUUAGAUAAUUUAUGAUUAUAAUUCUUGAACACAUAUGACAUAAUGGAUGAUUAUUUGGUAUAGCUGAUAGUAAAUUUUUAAUUUCAUAAAUAGAUUUGAAAGUUUGAUAUAUAUUUUAAGUUGUAUUUAAAAAAAAUAGGAUAUAUGAAAAUUUUUCAAUCUCGCUUAUUGAGUUAAUUAAUAAUCCAUAAAAAAAUAUUACUUUGUAUGUUUUAAUUCUUAAUUAAUUUUAGAUAUUUGACUUCUAUUAAUUUAAAUGUUUUAAUGUUUUUUUUGAAUUAAAAAAAGUGUGUAUUUAAUUCUUCAUAAAACAAAUUAUUUGUAAAUAAUCAUAAAUCGGUAUAAGAAGAUCAAACCUAAUAUAUCAAAGCAACUAAUAGCGGAUUGAUUGUUUGAUUUCAAAUGUUUAAAUUUGAUAAUCAAUCAAUUUAAAGAUACAAUGAGAUGUAAUUUUGUAAAUUAGAUAUCUCAAUCUUAGUAUUAAAUGAUUGAUGACUCUAAGCUACUUAAAAACAAGAAGACAAUCAAUCUUCACUUUAAUUUAUAUGAUCCAAAGUUCUUAACACCAUUUCAAAGAACCGUUCAGAAAUUAUAGAUACAAGAUCUAAUCAAAACAUCAAGUAACGGCCAAAUCAAAACCCACCAAAGAGAUAUCCAAAGUCUCAAAUCUGGAAUUAAAGGUCAACGUAACCACAUCAUACAAAGAAAUGCUCCCACCACUCCACUUCGGGACAUGUACAAAAUCUGAUUUCUUCGAUCACUACUUGAAAGAGUUGAUAAUUCUCAUAUUUAGAAUUAUUUUAAUUUAGUUUUUAUAGUAUUUUAGGAGUAAAAUCUUUUUUAUUAUAGUUUAUAGUUUUUGAAAUUAAUUAGAUUUUAUUUAAUUUUCCGGAUUUAUUAGCUAUAUUUUUCUCCAUUGUAAAUUUGAGAUAAAAAAAAUGAAAGAGUUGAAAUAUAAAGUAAGAAAGGAUGAAAUCUUCUACUCCACUUGAUCAACUUUACAGUGAACAUAUUUUUAAAUUCAGAAAUUUUGAUAGCAAUUAUUCCUUCUACCAUAAUUUUUUAUUUGGUGGAGCUCCUAAUAAAAGUCAAAAAGAAAAAAAAAGUAUGGGUUUGACCAAUAUUUUAUGGUUCAUUUUUUAUAUAUUUACUCUAAUCUCUGUUUCUAAAAAAUAUCUUAAAACAUUGAAAAAAUAUAUAGUUUAAUUAGCAACAAAUACGCGUUUUUUAUUCUCAAAUUAUUGGUCCAAUCGGUUGAUUUAGUUAGAGAUUCAAAUAUUAUUUAUGAUUUUAAUAUAAAAUAUGAGAAAUGAUGUUCACAUUUCAAAUGAUGUUCAAAUUGAUGGAAACAGUCAAAAAAGAAAAAAUCCUGAGAUGUCAAGUUUACAUUUUAAAACUGGAAGAAAGAAAUCCUCAAAGCAAAUUGGAGGGGCUGCAAGAUUGUCCAGUCAAAUAGAAAAACUAUGCAAUGCAGCUGACAAUAUGAGUCAAGCCACAUCUAGUUUGACUCCUGUUAUGGAUCCAUAUGGUAUUCCACAAGCAGUCAAAAUGCUUGACAGCAUGUCGGAAGAAGUUCCAGAAGCUAGUCCGCUAUACUUUUUCGCACUUAGAUUAUUGCUCAAUAAGGACAAGCGAAUUAUGUUUUUAUCAAUUAAUCCUAAUAUUAGAGCUUUGUGGCUUAAGACGGAAAUGGAGGAUAGUUGAAAAUUUUUUGAUCUUCUAGGGUUUAAAGAUAUCUAUUUAUGUGUAAUCUUCUAGUUAUAAUGGCUUAAGCGAAUUAUGUUUUUAUCAAUAGUUAUUUAUGUUUAGUUUUUGGAUAUUGAAUUUAUGUGCGAAUUAUGCUUUUGGAUAUUGAAUUUAUGUGUAAUCAAUUAUGUUUUAUUAAUAGUUGUUUAUGUUUGGUCUUUAGAUAUUGAAUUUAUGUUCCACUUAUUUUUUAUUAAAUUAAUUUUAUUAAUGGUUGUUUAUAUGUGAUUUUGGAUAUAAAAUUUAUUCACAGGUGAUGAGUAUAGUUGAGGAUUAUAGCAGUGAUGAAAGUGAUGAUCAAAGGGAAAAGAAAGAGAUGUUACAACGCAUGGAAUGUUUUAACCGAAUAUUUGUUGUUGCAUCUUCUUCCAUGCAAUUAUAUUACGAGAAGUAUAUAUUGAGGCAACCAUGCAUGGAUUCAAAACAGUCAGGUGAGACAUGGAUCCGAGAGAUCCUUGACGGUCACGAAUCACGUUGUAUGAUUAAUUUUAAGAUGUCUAAAAUGGUAUUCACAAGUUUGUUGAGAGUUUUGGAGACAAGAUACAACUUGCAAACUUCAAGAAACAUAUCUUCUACUGAAAUGUUGGGAAUUUUUUUAUACAUCUUGGGCACCGGUGCAAAAGUUUCCCAAUGUCGAGAAAGAUUUCAAAGGUCUGGAUCAACAAUAAGUCGAUACUUUGCAGUUGUGCUUGAGAAAGUUUCAAGGAUGGCCAUUGAUCUAAUUGCACCUGAAGAUCCUUUUUUUAGCUCAAUACCCGAACAAAUACAUAAUGAUUCUAGAUAUAUGCCGCAUUUUAAGGUUAAAAUUUAAUUUCAUAUUAUUAUAUUUUAAUAUAUUUGGUCGACUAAAAAUAUGCACGAGAGUAAUAUGAUUAUUUGUUCAGGAUUGUAUAGGUGCAAUUGAUGGUACUCACAUUGCGGCUAUUCUUCCACCAAAUGAACAAAUUCCCUAUAUUGGAAGAAAAGGUAUCCCGACUCAAAAUGUUAUGGCAGUAUGUGAUUUUAAUAUGUGUUUCACAUUUGUCAUGGCUGGAUGGGAAGGAUCGACACAUGACACUAGAAUAUUUCUUGAUGCAAUUCGAGAUCUAAAAUACAAAUUUCCGCACCCUCCAAAUGGUUAGAUAUUUUAUUUAUAUGUGAUUUUUUAAAUAAUAAAGUAAGUUCUUUAAUUGAUUUUUUAUUAAAAAAAUUCUUGAAUUAAUUGUUUGUUAUAUUAUGACUUGUAGAAAAAUAUUAUCUUGUUGAUUCUGGAUAUCCUCAAAUGAAAGGUUAUCUUGGACCAUAUAGAGGUCAACGAUAUCAUUUACCUGACUUCCGAAGAGGUAGACCGAUUUCUGGUAAAGAAGAGAUAUUCAAUCAUUCACAUUCAUCAUUACGUAGUGUGAUUUAACAAACUUUUGGUGUUUUAAAAAAAAUGGGCCAUUUUAAGGGAUAUGCCAAGUUAUAGUUUUGAAAAGCAAACGGUGAUCGUUGUUGCUAUAAUGACGAUACACAAUUUUAUCCGAAAACAUGUUGGUCAAAAUGAUGUAGAUUUUAUGGAAUACGAAGAUAUUAACUCGGCAUAUGAGAAUAGUAUUGAUUCAGAAAAUGCGCAUGGGCCACAAAGUGAUGAUGAUGACGACGACGACGACGAUGAUAGUAAUGAUGAUGGUGAAUCAAACAUUUUUAGUGGUUUUGAAAUGGAAUUAACAAGAGAUGCUAUAGUUUCUAGUUUAAUGAAUUCAAUUUAAAUUGUAAAUGCUAUUGUAAAAUUUUUAGUAUUUAUAUCUGAUAUAUAAAUAUUAUCCCCUUUUUAAAACUUCAAUCCAAAUAUAUCUAAUAUUUUAAUUUGUUAAGUUUAUGUUUUCUAUGUUAUAUUAAUAUCUAAUAUGAGUUAUAUAUUCAAAUAUAUUUUAAAAUAAAAUAAUACAAGCGUGUUAAAAGUAUUAAUUAAAAAUAAAAAAUAAUUUUUAUAAUAAUACAAUCGUGUCAAUAUCUAAUUACAAAUAUUUAAAUAUUUAAAUAUAGUUUAUAUAUUCUAAUUAAAUUUUAUAAAUAAUUAAUAUUAAUUACUUAGAAAUAUUUAAAAUUAAUAUUAUAUAUUAAAAUAUUAACAAUAAGUUAUAAUAAAUUAUUUUUUUAUAUUUUUGCUAAAAUAUCAUAAUAUUAACUAAUUUGAACAUUAUUUAAAAACAUAUUUGUUACUUUAUAAUCUCAUGUCUAAAAUGGACAUUUUAUUCUUCAAAAAUACUUUUUAACACUAAUAGCAAACACUCAAAUUUUUCAAAAGCACUUCUUAAAAAUAAUUCUCAAAAGCAUUUCUCAAAAGUAACGAAAAACUAGCCCUUAACGCCCCGUUCUUCUGCACGUUUUAGAAGUGCUUUUGGCUGAAAAAUCCUUUUCCUUUAAAAGGAAUGAAGAACAGCCUCCUUUUCUUCUGAAAAUUUCACCAUCAGAAAAGGACUUCUCUCCAGAUGAAAAGUUAAAAUUUCUCUUUUUUUUCAGCUUAAAGUGCUUUUGGCUGAAAAUUGACCAAAUUAACCUAUCGUCUUCUCCCACAAACUUUCUUUCCCCUCCUCUGCUGGUUCUUUGGAACUGUCUUCUCCCACAAACGUGCUUUUGGCUGAAAAGAACAGAAAUUUGAUUUCUCAAAUUUUUCCACAAACGUGCUUUGGAACUGUCUUCUCCCACAAACGCUCUCCCACUCCCGCGACGGGGCGCUGUCAAUCGGCUGUGCUUCAGGGUCGAAGGAAGCAUAUGGAAGGUCUCACUGUCUGCAUGCUCGAUCUCCACAUUCCCUUCCCGAGUAUCUCUCUUUCUUCAUAUCUUUUUUUUUGUGCGGCUUCGUGGUUUUAUUAGAAUGCGUUCAUAGGGGAAUUAGUCUUACGAUUAAUAUUUUCUCUUGUAAAAAGGAUAAAUUGAUGUUGCAAUUUAAUGACAGUUUUUAUGCUAUGGAUUGAGAAUGAGAUUCUAGGGUUUUUCAUUGAAUGAAUUUGCUUUUGGUUGUUUUAUUAACAAACUUCAUCGCUUCGCUUAAGAAAAAAAAAAUCCUUCUUUUAAGAUUGAAUUUAUGAAGUUUUAUCGGUUAAUUAAAUGCUUAGCUCUUUUCUAAUGACUGUAACCAAUGUAGCAAUGAUAUUAAAGAAGGUUUAGUUAUAAAAGUGGAGAGAUAUUAUGCUAAACCGAACUACUAACUUCAAUAGUUUACUUCUUAGUGUUCUUAUAGAGGCAAUUUUGUUUGAAAAGGAUCUUUCUAAACAAUGUAAGAUUUGGUAUUUUUGCUUAUUUUGUGAUGGUUGAAGAAGUUUGUGCGUAUCACUGAUUUAAUAACUUUGUCUAACGUCUCAUCCUAUGUUUUAUUUUUAAUACAUAAAUUUUUGAUACAUUGGAGCAGGCAAAAUUGGGGUUAAGGAAGUUUCAGUCGGAGUUGUUGCAGUUUUUGAUGGUCAUAAUGGUGCUGAAGCUAGUGAGAUGGCUUCAAAACUUUUACUGGAGUAUUUUGCUCUAUAUACAUAUUUCCUUUUGGAUGCAACUUUUUCCUUUGUAUUGAAGAAGCAGUCAAGUAGGUUGCCAAAUGUAGGAGAAGGGGAUAUUGUUUUCUGUUGCGGAAAGGAUCGAUUCGAGAACUCCGAUAUGACUACAAGUAAAUUGACCGAAACGAAAAAUAAAGUGAACACAAGGAUUUACGUGGUUCGGCUUUAAUGCCUACGUCCACGGGCAGAGGCGAAAAGAAAUUUCACUAUAACAAGAUGAAGAUUACAAGUGUUUUACACUCAAGACACAACCCGAGAACCUCACAACUCUCAACCCCUAUAGAAAACCCGAAAGCUAAAAUCCUAGCUUUCAAAGAACAAGCUUUGCUCUCUCUUGGUUUGGGAUGAUCAAUAUGGCUAAUGAACCUCUCUAUUUAUAAGAGAGUUCAAGGACAUAAUUGUCCAAAACUUUGGCAAAGAUUUGUGGUUGAAAAUGGACACCAACAACCAUCCACUAAUCCACUACCACCAACAACCCACUACCAACAACAACAAUCCACUACCAAUUUUAAGCCAUUUCUUAACAAAUCUCCACCUUGGCUUGAAAUUUACCAAGCUGAACAUCAUAGAAACUCCAAGCCAUUAUCCGUCCGGAAUCGCUUGAUCUUCUUUCCUGUUUGAUUUUCGAUCAAAGCUUUAAAUUGCUUGAAGUUGAUGAGAACCUCAUACUUGCUCUUCAGAAAAUACACCCAAACCUUUCUCGAGUAAUCAUCGAUAAAGGUAAGCAGAUAUCUGUAACCACCUUUAGAAAUUGUCGGAGAAGGCCCCCAAAGGUCAGAAUGGAAGUAAUCCACUGUGCCUUUUGUCUUGUGAAUCCCAGUGCUGAACUUUACCCGAGUCUGCUUACCGAAGACGCAGUGCUCACAGAAAUUCAACUUUCCUGUACACUGCCCAGACAAUAAUCCUCGUUUGCUUAGCACCGAUAAGCCUCUCUCGCUCAUAUGCCCGAGCCGCAUAUGCCAUAACUUCGUGGUGUCAGAAUCUAGAUCAUCUGAUGAUGACACUCCCGCAACACCUGUAACCGAGGAACCAUCGAGGAAGUAAAGGCCCCGCUCCAAAUUACCACGUAUCACAGUCAAAGCACCCGAGAAUACCUUGAGAACUCCACCUUCAGCAGAGUACCGAAAGCCUUUCUUGUCCAACGUACUCAAAGAGAUCAAAUUUUUCUUCAUUUCUGGAAUGUGCCGAACAUCAGUUAGAGUUCUAACAAUACCGUCAAACAUCUUUAUACGAACUGUGCCAAUCCCCAUGACUUGACAUGCGUGGUCAUUUCCCAUUAGUACUGAACCAGAAUGCUUCUCGUAUGUUGAGAAUGCAUCUUUCGAAGUACUUAUAUGAAAUGUAGCUCCCGUAUCAAGAAUCCAUCUCCCACCAGCGUAAGAGUCGGAUACUGCAAGAACGAUCUCGGCAUCACUUGAAGAAUCUGCAUCAGCUACAUUCGCACGAUCAUUUUGUUGCUCCUGUGAUUCUGAUUUCUCCUUCCUUUUCGGACAAUCUACCUUCAUGUGCCCGUACUUCUUACAGUAGUAGCACUGUAUUCUCUUCUUGGACUGCGAUCUAGGAUGGCUUUUACUUGAACUUCCACCCUUUGCCUUGGAUCUUCCUCGAGCAACCAAGCCUUCGCCUUCAUUGUUUUCGACCACCUUACCAGUGAUUUUCUUCCUCAACUCACUGGAACUUAAGGCAUUUUUCACCUCCUCUAGAGUCAGGUCAUCACGACCGUACAUCAUUGUAUCAACAAAAUUCUCAUACGAGGGAGGCAAAGAACACAAAACAAUUAUUGCUUGGUCCUCAUCAUCGAUUUUGUUAUCGAUAUUAUUCAAAUCCAUGAUAAUGGAAUUGAAUUUAUCCAGGUGCUGGGAAACAGGUGUACCUUCCUCCAUCUUCAGGGCAUAGAGUCUUUGCUUGAGGUAGAGCCGGUUCGUCAAUGACUUCGUCAUGUACUUGCUCUCUAACCGGAGCCACAAACCGGACGCGGUUUUCUCAUCCGCUACUUCUCGUAGCACUUCAUCUCCUAGACAUAGCAGAAUAGCACUAUGUGCUCUUUCUAGCAUGUCAUCCUUUUGCUCUUCCGAAAGCGUGCUUGGUAAUUUAUCUUUACCAGACAAUGCUUUUAGCAAUCCUUGUUGAACCAGCACUGCCCGCAUCUUGAUGCGCCAUAAACUGAAACUAUUUUUCCCGGUAAAUUUCUCGACAUCAUACUUAGUCGAUGAAACACUUGUAGCCAUAAUUUGGAACCUUUGAAUGAAUGAUAAUAUUUUCUUCCUGAUGUGAAAGAUCAGACAAAGCUGCAGUCACAGGGCAAUUCAGAAAAUAUUAUCACUCCUUCAACUACGCUCUGAUACCAAUUUGUUGCGGAAAGGAUCGAUUCGAGAACUCCGAUAUGACUACAAGUAAAUUGACCGAAACGAAAAAUAAAGUGAACACAAGGAUUUACGUGGUUCGGCUUUAAUGCCUACGUCCACGGGCAGAGGCGAAAAGAAAUUUCACUAUAACAAGAUGAAGAUUACAAGUGUUUUACACUCAAGACACAACCCGAGAACCUCACAACUCUCAACCCCUAUAGAAAACCCGAAAGCUAAAAUCCUAGCUUUCAAAGAACAAGCUUUGCUCUCUCUUGGUUUGGGAUGAUCAAUAUGGCUAAUGAACCUCUCUAUUUAUAAGAGAGUUCAAGGACAUAAUUGUCCAAAACUUUGGCAAAGAUUUGUGGUUGAAAAUGGACACCAACAACCAUCCACUAAUCCACUACCACCAACAACCCACUACCAACAACAACAAUCCACUACCAAUUUUAAGCCAUUUCUUAACAUUUUCCAAGUGCUUAAUUGGGACAAAGAGAUUGGAAAGCAUGGCUUGAACCUUGAAAGGUGAUAUCAUGUGUAACUCAGACCAUAUUUAUGUUUGAGUUCCUUGUUUUAGAAAAUGGAUAUAGCUGUUGCUUGCUGUUGACGAUUCUUAACCCAAAGUAUUAAUGCUUGCUCAGAUUAUUAACCCAAUGUUUAUUUCAUCAUCUUAAAGUUGCUUCCUGUUUGCUUCUACCUGCUAUUCAGCUGGUUGUGGGAAUUAGCCAUCCCUGGUGGAUUUCUCUGACAUUUUUCAUUGGAAGCUGUAUUAGGCUAGUGGAUUGGUCUUUGACUAGCAAUUUUCUAGGACUAUUCAGGUGAUUGCUUCUUGACUCUUUGUACAUUGUUCUAUUUCAUUUUCUUUGUCAAUGAAUUUGGUUUUAUCAUUGGUUAAUGUUUUUAGUAGCUUAUGUUCUGUUUCUUUUUUGUCAAGGUUGUGGAAGGCUCUCCAGUUUUAUGCAGGCUUCAGCAUUUUCAUGCUUUAUGUGUAUCAACUCCUUAUAGAGUUCUCAAGUAUGUUACAGUGGAUAGCUGAUUUUGUUGGUCUAUUCAAAAUAUGUUCAACAUCUGAGUGGACUGAAAUUUGCUCUUCUGUUUCUCUUGUACUUUAUUACAUCAUGGUAUGUACUAGUUUUAUUACUAUAGGUCUGAUUCUGUUUAAAGAUUUUAGCUGAACCUUUUAAUGAAAUGCAAUUCACUCUUCCCUCUUCCUAGAAUCUUAUAUUAUGAAAUUGACUUCAUUUGAGUCUUUCCUGUGUCUGACAUUUGUCUAUCUAAUAGUCUUUUCCCCAUAUUACUAAUUUAAGAUGGUUUGAAGUGUUUUCUUUCUAUAAGAAAAAUUUCCCGAACAGAUAUGAAGUAAUUAGUUGCAAACUAGACUUUGGAGAUUGAUGACAUUUUUGCCAUUCUGGAUGCAAUUUUUAUUCAAUUUGCUCAAUGAAAUUGCAAUUGAAAAUUUGAGAGCUUCCUAGUUAGAAACCACAUAUUUAUAUAAUAUAUGUUUUUAAUAGUUUUGAACAAGUUAAAUUAAUUAUAAAGAAAUAAUAUAAUUGAGAACAAGAUUAGAGCAGCUCGUUUGUACAUCUCAAUCUUAAUAUUAAGUGAUUGAUGACUCUAAGCUACUUAAAAACAAGAAGACAAUCAAUCUUCACUUUAAUUUGUAUGACGCAAAGUUUUUAAAACCAUUUCUAAGAACCGUUAAGAAAUAAUAGAUACAAGAUCUAAUCAAAACAUCAUGUAACGACCCAACCAAAACCCACCAAAGAGAUAUCCAAAAUCUCAAAUUUGGAAUUAAAGGUCAACGUAAACACAAAAUUCUCCAAAAGUAUUAUGAGUUCUAACCUUUUAAUGGGUAUAAUUUUUAAGGUUUUACAAUAGCCUAUUUACAUGCAAAAUUUGUAGCCCAAAUAAUAAUAAAAUAAUAUAAACUAAUCAAUGUUUAACUAAAAUAAAUAAAUAGAGUUUAGCUGAAAGAUUACCUCUCAAAUUUAAUCGAAAUAUGAGGCAAGGUAUCACUUCAAUGGUAUAAAGCUACAUAAAAUCUUAGUUAUGUCUUUGAAAUAUUUUCAUAAAGGCAUGUGCAAAAACUUUUUCAUUCUUAACAAAUUCAUUCCACUCAAUAUUAUUUAUUUAAAAUCAAAACCACAUUUAUUUUUAAACAACAUCUAAUAAUGUAUUUGGCUCAUCCAACAAUUUAUUUUUAAACGACAUUUAUUUAAAAAGAACCAAAUGAGAAUCAUUAUACAACUUCAUAAAGUCGAUGACACAUCCAACAUUUAAAGCACAAAGAAACUAGAUAGGCCAACAACAAAACAAUAAUGCCAACAUUCUCAAAUACGGCAACAAAUUUGUUCUAAAAACAAAAGUAAGCGCAUCGCACCUAGAGCGUAGAAAUACUUGAAUUCAAUCAUUGUAACAACGAAAAAGGAAACAAGACAUCCAACAUCCUCAUCACAAUAGAUUCUCCUUUGACCCGCCAACAGCGUUUGCAAUGCAAUAAAACAAAAAGAGGUUAUUGUGAUAGCAACUCUUAUAAAUAUUCCAAAAUUAACUUUUAGAUGCAUCAAGUCUUAAUCUAAGGGAAAGGGUUUAUCCAAACAUGAAAAAUCUAACCAACUCAAUUCAAUUCAACCCAACCUCAACCUAUCUAUAUAGUUUACUUUUAAUUUAUAUCUAAUUUCAAUUAUGGUUUAAAUUUAAAUAUUUUUUAACAAAAAUUUUAAAUACUUAAUAUUGAACAAAUAGCCAUAUUUAUGAAAAAAUUUGUAAUUAUGAACAUAACUUAACACAUAGGUAAAAGUAUUUUUUUUACUUAAUAAUAUUAUUAGCAAUAGUACGUUAUUAAUUGUAUAUGAAAAUAAUGAAGCUUAAAAAUUAAAAUUUAAAGACAAUGUCAUUGUCAAAUUUACUCAAUUUAUUUUUAACCAUAGUUACCUAUGUACAUAUGUGACACACAUAAUAAGAUGCUAAUAUAUAUAAGGCAAAAUAUUAUAAAGUUAAACGGUUAGAUAAUGAAGUGAAAUGUUUCUAACCUUAUGCAAUAUUUGAACUUGUUAUAGUAACAGUAUCCAAUGAUGUACUUGGCUCAUCAUUAGAGUUCUCACACCUAUGAACCUCCAUUGAUGUUUCAAGCGGCAGUUGAUGGAAUGGCUUAGGAGCCAUUUCAAGGAGUUCAACAUCAGAUUCAAGCAUCUUCAAAACUUUACUCAUUGAAGGACGAUCAGAAGGCAGUAAUUGUAUACACCAAAAGGCUGUUAUUACCAUUUUCUUUACCAUUGCUUUUUCAUCGUCAGAAACAUCUCCCAACUCCAAGUCAUCUCCUUGAUCUAAUCGGUCAUAAAUCCAAGAUGGAAAAUAUAUUUGACUAGUGUGGUCAGCAAAUGCAUUCACAUUCUUUCUCCUUCCAACUAUUUCCAUCAGUAACAUUCCAAAACUAUAAACAUCGGCUUUGUAUGAGAUGCCUCCAAGAUUUUUGUAAACCAAUUCAGGAGCAAUAUAUCCUAUCGUUCCUCGUGCCGCAGUGAGAGAGACAAUGCUAUUAUCUACUGAAUACAAUUUAGCAAGACCAAAAUCCGAAACUUUUGGAUUAAAAUUCUCAUCAAGAAGAAUAUUGUGUGGCUUGAUAUCAAAAUGUAGAAUUUGCAUGUCACAUCCUUGAUGUAAGUAGUGAAUUCCUUGAGCCACCCCAAGUACAAUAUCAAACAUUUUUUUCCAGCCCAAAGUGUUCUUAUUUUCUUCUGUAAAUAUGAUUUUAUCUAAAGAUCCAUUAGACAUGAAGUCAUAUACUAGAGCUUGCUUUGAUCCCUCCACACAAAAUCCGAUAAGUUUUGCCACAUUAGCAUGAUGAAUUGUCCCAAUGGAAGCAACUUCGUUUAUGAAAUCUUGGCCAUUACCUUUUGAUUUGCCCAACAAUUUUAUUGCCACAUGAUGGCCGCUACGAAGCUUUCCUUUAAACACUGAGCCAUAACCCCCUUCACCUAAUUUAUCUUUAAAAUUGUUAGUCAUUUUUUUAAUUUCUUUAAAAGAAUACCUUAAUGGCACUAGAUUAUUUUGGCUUUUAAGGAACUCUUCGAUCAUAUCAUCCAUGGAUAAAUGUCUUCUUCUCCAUUUGUACGUGACAAAAGCAAGCAAACAAAUGAUCCCAGGAAAUGACCUCAAGAUAACUCCACCUUUAAAGAAAUACAAUGUAACAUGUUGAAAUUAAUCACAUAAUAUAUAACUUACAUUCUCAGAAAAAAGGAUAUAGUGUGAUAGUUUUAUGUUAACUAGUAUUUGAGAGAGUGGCAUAUUUCACUAGUCUAUGGACUUAACCGAGAGUAGUCUGAAUUAUAUGCAUUGUUUUUGUCAUUAGCAGGUAUAUCUCAACAAAUUAAAAUUCAGAAUUUCAAACACAAAAGGAGUAAAUCGUGCAAAGUGGAUACCAAUUAUUCUAACCUCAAACAUUCCAAUAGAUUUGACAGGGUCAUGACAUUCAGCCAAAUUAACACAUUCGUAACCCCAUCCAAUUAGCAAAUUCUAAAGAAAGAACAUGAUUCUUAACCAUGAAGGAUACUCAACUGUUGUUUCUAUUCAUGCCAAAUAAACUUGAAGAAGGACAAAUUAAAAAUAUAAUAACCUUCAAAUUUCAUAAAUGAAACAAAAUCUAACCACCAAAAGAUGCAAGAGAACCCCCCAAAAAACAGAUUUGAUAAAUUCAAGAGCUAACUUUGUUGAAUGUUUUAGCAAAAUGAAUAUCCACCAAACUUAUAACCUGUGAAAGUUCUAAACAAUACCAUUAUGGAAACAAGCUUAACUAAAACUCUAACAUCUUUCUUAACUUGACAAAAAAUUUCUUUCAUAUAGAAGAAGAUUGUAUUCUGCAUUCAAACUCCGUAAAGAGUGUCAUAGCUUUCUUAGUUUUGUAGUGAAAUUAAAUAUAAACUUGUAUAAUAUGAUAGGCUCCUUAUUCUUUUUUUCCCCCAGAAUAUAGCUAAUAUUUGUUCUCAACUAGUGAAAAUGCAAAUCUGCAAAUCUAAAAUUAAAUAUACCUGUUAUUAGCAAACAGAGACGACAAGCUCCGAGCAAUCUGGAUUAUAUAUUCAACAAAUCAAAGUAAAAUUAAUAAAGGGGUGUAAAGGAAAAUUCCAAAUUUGUGUAAAAAAAUCAAUGGAAGGUAAUUUAAAACAUUAUAUUAUGUUUUGUGGUAUAUACUCAAAAAAAAAAUACAACAAUUCUUUACAUAUGUUUGCUUGUAAAAAGUAUGCAACAUGUAUUACAGUAUAAGAGUUUUUAGGUAACUAAAAUGAUUUAAUAUAAUCAAAGGUGAGACAAAUUUUAUUCAAAUUAAUUAAUCCAAAAAGUAUAUAUUAUUGCAUUAAAAAGAGUUUUUGCGAAAAAAAUAAACUCAUCCACAAUGGUGGAAUAUUUACGUACUACCAACUAAAUUGAAUAGACAUCAAAAAUAAAAAGAAAAUAAAAAGAUAGACAUAAUCAAAUAUAAUUGUCCAAAAAGAAGACAAAACAGCAGAGAAAGCAGAGGCAGAUACUAAAUUAGAAAUGCUUUUAGUUCAUUUGAUUGUUAGAUGUUGAUCAAUUUUAGAUGCAAAAUCAUCAUACUUAUUUACCAUCAUAAAAUUUAAUUGCCAAAAAAGUAACAUAAAAUAAAACAAAACAUAAAGUAGAUGUUGUAACUAAAAAUUCCAGUAUGAUGCACACUCAAAAUGCAAACUUUAAUUAUUAAAGAAACUUACAUUUCUUUCAACGAAACUUUGUUUUGGUAAUCGCAUCUUUUCCAUUCGACCCAAAAACCCUCUAAUAGUUUUUUGUAGAUAUCCAGCGUAGACAUGCCUAUUAUAUUAUCAACCAUAAUUGGAACCGCCGCUUCGAUAGUGCAAGCUUGAUUGAUAUAAGAUAGCUGGGUGUUUCCAUUUAAAAAAUAGAAAUGGGAAGUUGGCAGGGAAGAGGAGGUAUUGGAUUUGAUGGUACAACGAGAAGCCUCAAUAUAAAGUGACGAUUUUAUAGGUUUCGUGCAAUUCAUAACAUAAAUAAUGCUAUAAUCUAACCUUUUAUAACCAGAAAGAAAAUAAUUAUUAUUAUAAAAAAAAAAUUAUUAUUAUUUUUAUUAAUACCAUUAUAAGAAAAAUAAUCUACAGAAGUAAGAGGAAGGGAGUUGCAAUCAUCCGUGUCUAAACUCGCAUCGACCAUUCGUAUUGUAGAAUUUUCGUAAAAGAUUUGUUGGACAGAGAAUUUCCCUCCUCUCCCAACCAAAGUGGUGCGAUUAUUGUUCUCACACUCAAGUUCCAUGACAGGAGAACCACAGUGGGGAGGUUGGUUUUUUAAUCGGAAUGGAAAACUGAUAUUCAAAUUCCCACAGAAAGUAUAGCCGCAGUCUUGGUUAAUAAGACUCCUAGCAAAACAAACAGCAGGAAAUAGAACUACAAAUAAAGCAAAAGAGGGCAUUAGGUGACCCAACAAUGGCAGUUUUGCUUUUAAUUUUGGCAUGCUAAAAUUUUGGGUAGGGAAGAAGAACAACAAUGAGGGUUAACGAUUAAGUUUCUAACUAAACCAGGGAAAUAUAUAAGAAAGCUUCAGUGGGAGAACAAGCAUUAAUGGGGACAGAAGACUUUGACUAGUCUUCAGCUUUAUUUGGGAUGACUAUUUUAUUUUCAAUAAAUUGUUUACACCUUUUAUUCUUUUAUCUUUUUUCUGGGAAACACCUCAAUCAAAGCACAUCUAAUUCCAAGAAUAGAGCCAUGGUUAUCACAAGCAAAAAAAGGAAUUUUAAUAUUAUUCAAAAAAUUUUAAAUAAAUUUGGACCAUAUACUUGUAGAUCAACCGUUAUCACCUAAAUAAAUUCCAAUUACAAUGAGGAGGACCAAGACAAUGCAAGUCUUAAGUCUUCUUUGAAACACAAAAACAUCACUGCAAAAUAGACUUUUAGCGGCAUUUUUUAGGCCUAUAGCGGCGCUUUUAGGCGUCGCUGGAAAUAGAGCGUCGCUAAAACUAUUUCCGGCGCUUUCACAAGCACCACAAAAAUGCCGCUAUAAACAUCGCCGCUAAAUUUUGCGGCGUUUAUAUGAAAAAACGCCGCUAUAGAACAUGAUCUUUAACGACGCUUUUAUCACAAACGCCGCUAAAGAACAUGGCCUUUAGCAGCGUUUUUAUCACAAACACCGCUAAAGGUAAUAAUCUUUAGUGGCACUUUUAUCACAAACGCCGCUAAAAUAAUAUGAUCUUUAGCGGCGCUUUACCCACAAACGCCACUAAAGAUCAUUACCUUUAGCGGCGCUUUUAUAAAAAACGCCACUAGCUUUUAAAAAUAUUAAAUAUUAAAAAUCACACAUUAUUAAUAUUACAAAUUAAUUAGUAUUGGAUAUAUACUUCUAGUCAAAAAGAUGGUAUUUAAUCAUAUAAUAAAUUAAUAUUUUUUAGUCAAAAUAUUGAAAAAUCAUGUUAAUAUUUAAAUAGCAAAAUUACAAGUUCAAAUAGUGCAACUAAUUGAUUGGAAAAAAAAUGCACAAGUUCAAAAUGUGCAGUAAUAAACUUAAAAAUUUAUAGGCUAAAAUGGAAAUUACCUUUUGAAAUUAGACUAAAAUAGGUUUACUACAUUCACUAUUUACUACAUGGGUUUAUUGCUUCUAUAAACUCCAAUUAGGCAUUGAAACAGGGGUGUUUAUAUAUUACAAAAAAGCAUGAAAAAAUAGGAGUCCAUCUCCACACCUCAGAAACCAGGGCAAAUGCAUACCCCAACAUUGCCCUCGUAUUCAGCAUCCAUCUCCAGCUGCUUCGACGAAUACGGAACGAGAAUACAUGUUGCAAGUUCCGUAUUCUAAUGCAGUGGGUAGCUUGAUGUAUGCAAUGGUGUGUACAAGACCCGACAUUUCACAGGCAGUUAGUAUAGUGAGCAGGUAUAUGCAUAAUCCUGGAAAAGGACAUUGGCAAGCUGUGAAAUGGAUUCUACGGUAUAUUCAGAAGACCGUGGAUGUUGGAUUACUGUUCAAGCAGGAUAAUACACUUGGUAAAGGUGUUAUUGGGUACGUUGAUUCUGACUAUGCCGGUGAUUUGGACAAGCGAAGAUCAACCACCGGUUAUGUGUUUACACUUGCUGGAGGACCAAUAAGUUGGAAGUCUACACUACAGUCUACAGUUGCAUUGUCAACCACAGAAGCCGAGUACAUGGCUGUAACAGAGGCUGUAAAGGAGGCUGUUUGGUUAUAAGGUAUGGCUAAAACCUUGGGGUUGGUUCAGGAGCAUAUUAACGUGUAUUGUGAUAGUCAAAGUGCUAUUCAUUUAGCAAAGAAUCAAGUCUAUCAUGCACGUACAAAACAUAUCGACGUACGAUUCCAUUUUGUGCGAGAAAUUAUUGAAGAGGGGAAAAUUUGUCUUCAGAAGAUCAAGACUGCAGAUAAUCCCGCAGAUAUGAUGACCAAGGUGGUAACAGCAACCAAGUUCGAACAUUGUUUGAACUUGAUUAAUAUCCUGCAAGUUUAACAGUUGAAGAAGGCACUAUCAAGUAUUGUGGCUAGGAAAGACUUGGUAUUUAAGUGAUCUUCGUGAUCUACCUCUCUUUCCUGGGAAUUGAACUUAGUGUGAUUUUUCAGUACAAUAAUUUUACUCUUUCACACGCUUCCGCGCAACACACAAUCUUGGUUAAUAAGUUGCCUAGCAAGACAAACACCAGGGAAUAGAAUUACAAAUAAAGCAAAAUGGGGCAUUAGGUGGCCCAACAAUGGCAGUUUUGCUUUUAAUUUGGGCAUGCUAAAAUUUUGGGUAGGGAAGAAGAACAACAAUGAGGGUUAACGAUUAAGUUUCUAACUAAACCAGGGAAAUAUAUAAGAAAGCUUCAAUGGGAGAAGAAGCAUUAAUGGGGACAGAAGACUUUGACUACUCUUCAGCUUUAUUUGGGAUGAAUAUUUCAUUUUCAAUAAAUUGUUUACACCUUUUAUUCUUUUAUCUUUUUUCUGGGAAACACCUUAAUCAAAGCACAUCUAAUUCCAAGAACAGAGCCGCGGUUAUCUCAAGCAAAAGAAAAAGAAGAUUUUAAUAUUAUUCAAAAAUUUUAAAUAAAUUUGGACCAUAUACUUGUAGAUCAACCUUUAUCACCUUAAUAAAUUCCAAUUACAAUGAGGAACAAGACAAUGCAAGUCUUAAGUCUUCUUUGAAACACAAAAACAUUUAAGUGGCUGAGAGCAACAACUGUUAUUGCUUUGGUCCUUUUGUGUUAAGUAAGACAACAGUUUGUUGGAUAUUUCUAAAAAGCAAGUUCAUAGUUAGAACUGUCAAGCAAGGCGACUCAAUGCCCAAUUGUAUAGAUUUUUUUUUCUUCCACGAAUAAUACUUAACCACUUUUCAAAUAAUUUUAUUAAUAUAAUUACAUGUUUUUAUCCAUUCGACUGUGAUACUCGAACUUGACAACUAGUUAUAUUUUGGUUCCUAAACUUAAAAAAUAUGAAAGUUUUAUGAUGCAACUCUCUAAUAUUGUGCUACAUCAUCACUUGAAAAUUAAAAAAAAAAUUAUAUAAAUUUUUAGAGAAUGGCAUGAUACAAUCUCUAAGUGUCACGUUCAUUAUUUUAAUAAUCAAGUUGAUGAUUGAACCAGUCAGACCACUAUUACUCGAUUCAAUUAGUUUGAUCAGUUCGACUGCUAGACCAACAAUAAUUAAAUAAAUCAUUAAACAUUCAUAAAAUUCUAAAAAGGUAGAAAACAAAAUUUAUUAAACUGAUUAAACAUGGUCAACAGCUGGGGUUUUUUUAAAAUUUUUUUAAUUUUUACCAAUUUCAAGUAAUUUUUAUAUUUAAUUGAUUCAACAUCUUUGUUCAAACUAUUAUACCGAUCGAUUCUCGGUCCAAUCAAUCUAACCAUCCAAUCCACUCCUAUACUAGUAACACUAAUCAUAUUAUCAAAUCUUGAUGGAAUUCAAGUUUAAGUUUAAGGGACUAUAGUAGACUUAGCUGCCAAGUUUAGAUAUCAAAGUGGACCAAAAUUUUCGCUUAUUUUAAAGAGAUCUUAUUUUUCUAAAAGUUUUUACUCUUUUUUUUAAUUACUAUAUAAUUUGUACUAAUUAUUUAAAACAUGUGUUAAAUCAUUUUUAACCAUACUCAAAACCAUUUUUUUAAUCAAAUAUAAGUACUUAAUAUUUAAUUAAAUUAAAAAGAUCAAAGAGAUAAAUUUCAAAAUUAUAUAUGAACUUUAAUUUAAUGUACUGCAAUUGUAUAUAUGAAUUUUAAUUUGGUGCAAUUAUACACUUGUAACUCUAAUUGUGGUUCAAAUAUAUACUUUAAACUUUAUAUAUACAAUUACACAUUAAACCAUAGUGUAUGUAUACAUAAUUCAUAAGUUGUACAUAAGAAGUAAGUUUUGGUUAGUGUAAUAUAACUGUGAUUCAAGAUUACGCAUUCAUUUCAGACAAAGCACACCCUUUGAAAUUCAAGUUUUGAUUCUGAUUCUUUCUUCUUCUUUUUUUAAUAAAACCUCUAUGAAAGAAUUUUUUUUUUAAUUCCUUAACGGUAGUGAUUUUGGGUUAUGGAGAAAAAAGGAGUGAAAAGUUGUGAUUUAUGUGGAAGUAGGGAUUUUUCUGUUUUAAUAGUUUUAGAAAUGGAUUUGAUGGAGAUUUCAAUAAUGCUUCAUGUUGGAUUAGUUUUGUUGCUACUUUGGAUGCUUUCUCAAUUCAAUCUUUGCCAUCCACUUCCUUAUUUCCUGUCUCUCAUCUACCUCUAUUUGGCAAUUCAUUCAUCUUCUGCUGAGAAUAAAAAAUGAAACUUUUUUUCUUUAUUUUUGAGCUUGGAUAUUGAACUUUUUUUUUAUUGUUUUUGUUACAGAAAUUCCUUUUAUUUCUUUGUUCAUCAAAGGUUCAUGAAAUGUAUGUGACGAGAUUGAGGAAGAAAUUGGAGUUGGAGGAAAUAAUGCACAAAGAAACUAGACAUGUCAACAACAAAACAAUAAUGCCAACAUUCUCAAAAGCAACAACAAAAAUGUUUUAAAAAAGGAAAUAGACAUCACACUUAGAGUAUAGAAAUACUUGGAUUGUAACCAUGAAAAACGAAAUAAGAUAUCCAACAUCCUCAUCACAAUGGAUUCUCCUCUGAUUCAUUACUAGCCUCUGCAAUGUAAUAACACGAUUAAAAGUUAUUGUAGCAGUAACUCUUAUAAAUAUUAAAAAACUAACUUGUAAAUACAUCGAUCAUGUCUAAAUCUAAUCUAAGUCAAGGUUGAUCUAAACAUGAAAAUUCUAACAAAUUCAUCUCAAUUCAGUCCAACUAAACCUAAACUAAAUUGACACAAAAAUCUAUUUAUAUAAUUUACUUUUAAUUUAUAUAUAACUUUACUUAUGAUUUAAAUUUAUACAUUUAAUAUUGAACAAAUAGUCAAAUUAAAAAAUUUUGGUAAUUAUGAACAAUAACUUAAGACAUAGGUAAUUAAAGAAAAUACUAAUAUAUAUUUAUAUUUAUAUAUAAGGCAAAAUAAUAUAAAGCUAAAAAGUGAGAUAAUGAAGUAAAAUGUUUCUAACCUUAUGCAAUAUUUGAAUUCGCUAUAGUAACACUAUCCAAUGGUGUACUUGGCUCGUUAUUAGAGUUCUCACAAUUAUGAACCUCCAUUGAUGUUUCAAGAGGAAGUUGAUGGAAUGGCUUAGGAGUUCAACAUCAGAUUCAAGUAUCUUCAAGAUUUUACUCAUUGAAGGGCAAUUAUUAUCUUCUUCACCGUUACUUUUUCAUCGUCAGAAAUAUCUCCGAACUCCAAGUCCUCUCCUUGAUCCAAUCGGUCAUAAAUCCAAGAUGGAAAAUAUAUUUGACUAGUGCGGUCAGCAAAUGCAUUCACAUUCUUUCUCCUUCCAACUAUUUCUAUCAAUACAUUCCAAAACUAUAAACAUCGGCUUUGUAUGAGAUGCCUCAAUAUAAAGUGAUAAUUUUAUAAAUUUCGUGCAAUUCAUAACAUAAAUAAUGCUAACCUCUAACCUUCCAUCAUAAUAAUUACCAUAAGGAUAAAUAUAAGAAUAAGAAUCUACAGAAGUAAUUAAGAGGAAGGGAGUUGCAAUCAUCCGUGUCCAACAAUCAACCCCUCCCAUAGUAGGCUGUCGAGGAGCCUCCUGCACAUCAUAAAUAGCACGAGUUGUACGCCCCAAAGCAUUUGCCAAGGACCAUCAAGACGAAGGUCAAUAACAUUUGUGUAAAUUUGGAGUGCUACCUUACAGCCAAAACUAACAGAAUAGUGACUGCUGUUUGGAUUGAAAUGUCAAAUGAGUCAGUUCGGAGUCGGAUACAAGCAAAGUAGCAUUCGAAGCAUCCGUUGCGCAUCAUAGGGGAUAGAAGACCUUGAGUUACAUGAUUUCAUUUUGAGUAUUGAAAAUUGAAAAUAGGAUAACUACCAACCACUAAUAUAUUAUCAGCAAAAUCUCCCAAUUGAAAGAACAAAAGAUGCAUCUAUACUAUGUUUAAAAGUUUAAUAGAGUUUAUGGUUAUCUAUCAAUGAGGUAUCAACUCAAUUGUAAAAUCAUUAAAAUCUUAUUAUUUUUAAAAACAAAAAAUAUUAUUUUGAAGGUAUUUUUAUUUUUAAUUAAACUUUAUAAAAUACAUCAAUUUAAUAGAAUUUGAACCCAAAACAUCAUAAUCCUUAUUACCUAAAUUUUACCAUAUUAAACAAAGCCACAUUUAGCUUUUAUAUCAUUUUUUAAAUAAGCUUGUUAUAUCAUUUUUUUUCACCCAUGUGAGGGUGCCAUAAUCUAAUAUAUCUUUAUUUAAUAAGUAAUAAUCCCAUAUGCAUUAGAGAGUAUUAAGUUGAGUUAUUAAAUUUAGGGUUUGUUAUAUUCUAACGAGUUAUUUUCAAUUCCAUUGAAAUGAUUUAUAGGUGAUAAAUUUUACAAUUUAAUACGAUUAAUUUUAUUAUAUUACAAUGAAAAACAAAAGAAAAAGAAGAAUUUAAUAUGGUUCAAAGUUUUUAAAUAAAUCUGGACCAGACAAACCUUUACCAUUAAUCUAUUCCAACUUCAAUGAGAACGACCACGACGAUGCAAGUCUCAAGUCCUGUUUGAAACGCAAAAGCUUUCAAGUGGUUGAGAGCAGCAAGCCCGAUCCCUUUUGUCCGUUUGUGUUAUGUAAGUCAAUUGUAGAGAACGAUUGUUGGAUAAUUCUAAACGCAAGUUAAUAGUUAGAAUCCUUGAGCAACGCACAUUCCGCCCCAACCCAUGCAUAACGUUAGACGAGACUCAAUGACUAAUUGUAUAUAUUUUUAAUUUUGUUCAACAACUACAUAAGUAUAUUUUUAAAUGAUUGUUAAUAUAAUUACAUGUAUUUUCAUCUAUUUUAUAUGAAUUUAAAAUAUUACAAAUUAAAUAUAAUAUAAGAUACAAGUUCUAUUCAAUUAAAUUUAAAUUUAAAUUCAAAAUUUAAAUUAUCCAACAAUAUAAAUAGUAGACAUAAAUUCAAAGAAAAAAAUUUAGGGUUUAGCUGGAAGAUUACCUCUCAAAUUCGACUAAAAUAAAUAAACAGAAUUUAACUCGGAGAUUACCUCUCAAAUUUAACUGAAAUAUGAAACAUACUCAAUAAUAAAGGUAACAAUUCAAAGGUAUGAAGCUACAUAAAUUCUUAGUUAUGUCUUUGAAAUAUUUUCAUAAAGGCAUGUGCAAAAACUUUUUGAUUCUAAACAAAUUCAUUGUCUCAAUAUUACUUAUUUAAAAUCAAAUCCACGUUUAUUUUUAAACAACUUCCAACAAUGUAUUUGGCUUGUAAUACCCAAUUUUAGCUCGGGCUCACAUAUGGAAACAUAAUCUUCAAGGAUAUGUAAUCUUAGAUAUGAUAUGUGCAAUCUUGGAUAUGAUAUGUGCAAUCUUGGAUAUGAUAUGCAAUCUUAGAAGAUAUGAUUUUGUAAUAUUAGAGAUUUAAUUUGUAGAUACCCUUUAAUCUUAGCCGUUGAUGUAAUUGGUCUGUACCGUUGGAUUUGGGGAGGCUCAACUAUAAAUAGAGGCCUCUCCCUUUAUUGUAAAGGGGGGAGAAAAAACAAUAAAAAAGGGAGAACGAUUGGCAGUUUUUUAAAGGUGACUUACUGUUUUUUUUUCAAUUAUUUAUUUAUGAUUUUAAAAAAGGAAGAAGGUGAUACCACUACGAAUUUUAUUUAUUUAUUUUUAUUUAGCCCUAAUAAAGUGACGCGUUUCAAAGGAUGGGAAUAUUUUUCCAUUCGAGGCCUAUGAGUUAUUCGCGCCUUUUAAUUGGGCCCUACAUUUUUUUCCCUUUAAUUAUGUUUUUGUUGCAAUUUAAUCCCUUUUGUAUUUGUGCUUUUACUAAUUAAUUGAUUAUUAUUAUUAUUUAUUAAUCCUAUUAUUAUUUCUACUAUUAUUGUUAUUAUUAUUUUCAUUAUUUCUUCUUAUCAAUUUACUUAAAUUUCAUGCGCAUAGCUUUAUCUUACUUUGUAUUUUAAUUUAUAUUACUAUUAUAUGUCAUUAUUUAAUUUUAUAAUAUAUUUUUCCUAUUCCUUUUAUAUAUUUGCCUCCAAAUAUGGUAUAUCUUCAACGAUUUUGGUUUUAUUUUUUAUUCAUUUAAAUAUAUUUCUAUAUUUUAAUAGAUUUAUAUAAUAAUAUUUUUUUACAAUACCAUGCUUUGUAUAUAUACAUGAUUGAUAUUAAAUUAUUCUUGUUAUAAAUUAUAGAUUUCAUUUUCGUCUUAUUACCAUAUAUAACUUUCCUCUUAAAAAACUAUUUUAUUAUAUUUUACCUAUUUUAUUGUAUUUCGUUUACUUCAAAUUCUUUUUACAUAUAUUAUUGUAUAUUAUUAUAAAGUCUUCUACUUUUCUAAAUAUACGUAUUUUACAUAUAUCACUUUUUUUCCCUAUUUAUUGCCAAUAUGGUGCAAGAUUGUUGUACUUGUUAUUGCGACAUUAUUACACACAUUCAGUAUCACAUUACAUCAUCUUCUUAUUCAAAUUUAAAAAAAAUAGGAAUUUUAAAAAUUGAGAUAAUGCUCGUAUUUAGGAUUUUCAAGGAAAUUGAGCCCUAACGUACAUUGGGUUUCGAUUUUUUUUGUUAAAUCUAACGAUCGAGAGUUGCUCAUUAAUCAUAAAAAAAAUAAAAUGAAAAGCUUGUUGUCGGGAAUUUAAUAUGUUGUGUCCUAACGUAUUGGAUGUGAUGUAUUUUUUUCUCGAUACAAAGAUUUUUUUUUAAAUAAUAACAAAGGAAGUAUUCCAAGUUUAGGAUUUUGAGAAAUUGUGCCCUAACGUAUUGGCCCGCGAUUUCUUAAAUCUUAAACAAAUGAAUAUUCUUUUAAAUUUUAUCGCUCGAGUAUUUUGGCCUAAUUCAUUUUUGAGGGAUUAGAAUGUCGUGCCCUAACGCAUUGGGUGUGACAUUUUUUUUCCUCCGAAAUGAUAAGAGUCUUAAUAAGUAACGUUUUUAAGUUUUUGCUAAGGAUUAUAUUUUUCAAAAUUUUUGACAUUAAGACACUAAUUAAUUAACUAGGUACCAAUUUUAGGCGUUACGAGGGUGUUAAUCCUUCCUCGUACGUAACCGACUCCCGGAUCCAUUUUUCUAAAACUCGUAGACCAAAUCUAUUUUUUUAGGUGAUCCAAUCACACCUCAAUAAAAUAUUGGUGGCAACUCCCAAUUUUUUGUUUUUUAAAAGUCGACAAAUAAAUUUUUGUUUUUCAAAAAAAUGGUUUCGACAUGGCUCAUCCAACAAAUUAUUUUUAAACAACAUUUAUUUAAAAAGAACCAAAUGAGAAUCAUUAUACAACUUUAUAAAGUCGAUGACACAUCCAACAUUUAAAGCACAAAGAAACUAGAUAGGCCAACAACAACAAAAAUAAUACCAACAUUCUCAAAUAUCGCAACAAAUUUGUUCUAAAAACAAAAGAUAGCGCAUCUCACCUAGAGCGUAGAAAUACUUAGAUUCAAUCAUUGUAACAACGAAAAAGGAAACAAGACAUCUAACAUCCUCAUCACAAUUGAUUCUCCUCUGACCCUCCAACAGCGUCUGCAUUAAUGCAAUAAAACAAGAAGAGGCUAUUGUGAUAGCAACUCUUAUAAAUAUUCCAAAAUUAACUUUUAGAUGCAUCAGGUCUUAAUCUAAGGCAAAGGGUUUAUCCAAACAUGAAAAAUCUAACCAACUCAAUUCAAUUCAACCCAACCUCAACCUAUCUAUGUACUUUACUUUUAAUUUAUAUGUAAUUUCAAUUAUGGUUUAAUUUAAAUAUUUUUUAACAAAAAUUUUAAAUACUUAAUAUUGAACAAAUAGCGAUAUUAAUGAAAAUUUGUAAUUAUGAACAAUAACUUAACACAUAGGUAGGUAAAAGUGUUUUUUUUUUACUUAAUAAUAUUAUUAGCAUUAGUACGUUAUUAAUUGUAUAUGAAAAUAGUGAAGCUUAAAAGUUAAAUUUUAAAGGUAAUGUCAUUGUCAAAUUUACUCAAAAUUUAUUUUUAACUAUAGUUAUCUAUGUACAUAUGUGACACACAUAAUAAGAUGCUAAUAUAUAUGUAAGGCACACUACACCAAAACAGGUUUUUAGCGGCAUUUUUUUAUGCCUUUAGCGGCGCUUUUUAGCGUUGCUAAAAGUAUUUGUGGCGUUUUUGGAAGCGCCGCAAAAAAUGCCGCUGUUCUCAACGCCGCAAACGUUUGUGGCUUUUUUAUAAAUAAACGCCGCUAUAGAUUAAGACCUUUAGCGGCGCUUUUUCAACAAACGCCGUUAUAGAUCAGGAUCUUUAGCGGCGCUUUUUUACAAACGCCGCUAUAGCUCAAGACCUUUAGCGGCGCUUUUUCAAAAAACGCUGCUAUAGAUUACGACCUUUAGCGGCGUUUUUUUCACAAACGCCGCUAUAGCUCAAGACCUUUAGCGACGCUUCUCGCAAAAACGCCACUAAAAACAUAACAUUUAAAAAAAGUAUUUUAAUCAAAUAAUAUUUAUUUUUAUGAUAAAUAUUAUAUUAUGUUUUAUUUUUUAAAUUUGAACUUUAAAUAUACUUUUAAGGAUAAAAAGUAUUAUUUAAUAGAAAAUUUUAACUUUAAAACUAAAUAUAAAAAUUAAUGAAUUUAGUUUUAGAAUUUAAAAUAAUAAAUUAAUAACACAAUUAAAAUCCAAAAGUUAGAACUCAAGUUGUCGUAAAUAUUAAAGUAAUAUUUACACAUUGCAAGGUAAUAAAAAAUACAAUGCAUUUUCUUAAUCAAGUAAAUCUUGGUAAUAAAAAAUACAAUGCAAACUACAUCUGCUACAUUCCUGGUUAUCCAAUCUUCAUGUACCCUGCAGAAUUGGGAAAAUAAUUAUAGUGCAUUAAAACAAAAAUUGAUAUUGACAAGUUAAAUGUGAAAGGAAAACAACAUGAAUGCAAAAAUUAAUACUCGAGGAAAUUGACAACUUAGCUAUCUCAACCAUGGAAAUGAAUUAGAUAUUGAAUAAGAGAGAUUACAGCAAUGAAACCAAUGAAUUCCUAGUUUACAUAUGUAUGUGCCACUGGACUUGUUAAGUGAAGAAUGAGAACCAAAUUUUUUUCAAUGACUACAGGACAUAAGACCAAGAGCAUCAAAAGUUUCCAAACAUGAAACAACUAAUCUAUUAAGCAAGUCAGAAAAUCAACGAGCUUAUUGUUUUAGCUAAUAGUGGAACAAGGAGACAAUUGAGAUCAAUUGAGACUAACCUCGGCUGAGAUGCAGAAGUUUCACGACAAUCAGAAAAGAUCACCUUGAUAUACUUAUAAUCUUCGCACCAUAAAUAAUCAAAGUAAUAAUCAUCGAUAUUAUUCACCUUGUUGCCUAACCUCACAUAAUAAUCAAAAUAAAUUUUAAAACCGCUCAAAAAUUUUAAAUAGAUUACAUCAACAUAUAUUGAGCAUAGCAACCUUCUAAAGAGAAAAUCAAACAAAUCAACUAAACGAACAUAGAAAAAUUGAUGCUUCAAACCAAAACACCAGAAUUUACUUUACCUCCAUCCCAUGGGGUGUCAUCAAGUCUGCAAAUCCAUCAAGUAAAGACAUUAGCACAAUUUAAUAGAACUUUAAUCUAAAAAGAAAGUACAUAAAGAUUCUCUAGUCUUAUUUCAUAAUAUACCCAAAUAUAACAGCAUUCCAAAGCAUAAUGUUGUUAUCUUGAGGUGCACCACUAAUUCCUGCACAAAAUAAAUGAUAAAAAAGGCCACAGUUCUUUAGCAUAAACAGCAAACAAAUUAGAUGAAAACCGGACUUCUACAACUAAACCGAGUUGUAGUAACAGUAUCCAAACGCCGCUAAAAGCCUGUUUUGGUGUAGUGGCAAAAUAUUAUAAAGUUAAACAGUGAGAUAAUGAAGUGAAAUGUCUCUAACCUUAUGCAAUUUUGAACUUGUUAUAGUAACAGUAUCCAAUGAUGCACUUGGCUUAUCAUUAGAGUUCUCAUAGCUAUGAACCUCCAUUGAUGUUUCAAGAGGAAGUUGAUGGAAUGGCUUAGGAGACAUCACAAGGAGUUCAACAUCAGAUUCAAGCAUCUUCAAAACUUUACUCAUUGAAGGACGAUCAGAAGGCAGUAAUUGUAUACACCAAAAGGCUAUUAUUACCAUUUUCUUUACCAUUGCUUUUUCAUCGUCAGAAACAUCUCCCAACUCCAAGUCCUUUCCUUGAUCUAAUCGGUCAUAAAUCCAAGAUGGAAACUAUAUUUGACUAGUGUGGUCAGCAAAUGCAUUCACAUUCUUUCUCCUUCCAACCAUUUCCAUCAGUAACAUUCUAGAACUAUAAAUGUCAGCUUUGUAUGAGAUGCCUCCAAGAUUUUUGUAAACCAAUUCAGGAGCAAUAUAUCCUAUCGUUCCUCGUGCCGCAGUGAGAGAGACAAUGCUGUCAUCUACUGAAUACAAUUUAGCAAGACCAAAAUCAGAAACUUUUGGAUUAAAAUUCUCAUCAAGAAGAAUAUUGUGUGGCUUGAUAUCAAAAUGUAGAAUUUGCAUGUCACAUCCUUGAUGUAAGUAGUGAAUUCCUUGAGCCACCCCAAGUACAAUAUCAAACAUUUUUUCCAGCCCAAAGUGUUCUUAUUUUCUUCUGUAAAUAUGAUUUUAUCUAAAGAUCCAUUAGACAUGAAGUCAUAUACCAGAGCUUGCUUUGAUCCCUCCACACAAAAUCCGAUAAGUUUUGCCACGUUAGCAUGAUGAAUUGUCCCAAUGGAAGCAACUUCAUUUAUGAAAUCUUGGCCAUUACCCUUUGACUUGCCCAACAAUUUUAUUGCCACAUGAUGCCCACUACGAAGCUUUCCUUUAAACAAUGAGCCAUAACCUCCUUCACCUAAUUUAUCUUUAAAAUUUUUAGUCAUUUUUUUAACUUCUUUAAAAGAAUACCUUAUCGGCACUAGAUUAUUUUGGCUUUGAAGGAACUCUUCAAUUGUAUCAUCCAUAGAUAAAUGUCUUCUUCUCCAUUCGUACGUGACAAGAGCAAACAAACAAAUUAUCUCAGGAAAUGACCUCAAAAAGAUAACUCCACCUUUAAAGAAAUACAAUGUAACACGUUGAAAUUAAUCACAUAAUAUAUAACUUACAUUCUCAGAAAAAAGGAUAUAGUGUGAUAGUUUUAUGUUAACUAGUAUUUGAGAGAGUGGCAUAUUUCACUAGUCUAUGGACUUAAUCGAGAGUAGUCUGAAUUAUAUGUUAUGUUUUGGUCAUUAGCAGGUAUAUCUCAACAAAUUAAAAUUCAGAAUUUCAAACACAAAAGGAGUAAAUCAUGCGAAGUGGAUACCAAUUAUUCUAACCUCACACAUUCCAAUAGAUUUGACAGGGUCAUGACAUUCACCCAAAUUAACACAUUCGUAACCCCGUCCAAUUAGCAAAUUCUAAAGAAAGCACAUGUUUCUUAACCAUGAAGGAUACUCAACGGUUGUCUCUAUUCAUGCCAAAUAAACUUGAGGAUGGACAAAUUAAAAAAUUAAUUAAACUGAAUUUUAGUAUUUUUAUUUUAAUAAUUUAUUUAAUCAAUAAGAUUAAUUAGAAUUAGAGGUGUUCAUGGGCCGGGCGGCCCGGCCCGGCCCGGUCCGGUCCAACAGCCCGUCCGAAAUAUGGGAGGGUUUGGGUAAAAAUAUAGGCCCGAAAUAUGGGCUUGGGCAAAAAAACGAGGCCCGAUUAAAAAACGGGCCGGGCCUCGGGCACAACUUUUUUUGGCCCGGGCCUGGCCCGGCCCGAAUAUAAUAAAUAUUUUAUUAUUUUUUUAAUUUUAAAAUACUUUAAAAAUACUUUUAUUAAAUUUUUUAAAUUUUAAAAUUUUUUUAAAAUGCUUUUUUAAUUUUUUUAAUUUUAAAAUAUUUUUAAAAUACUUUUUUUAAUUUUUAUUUUAAUUUUUAAAAUAAAUUUUUGGUAUUUAUUUAAAAAAUAGGAUAGGCCCGGGCUACAAAAUUUUUUCCUGGGCCCGACCCGAACCCGACCCAUGAGCACCUCUAAUUAGAACAAUGAACCAAUGAUUUAAAUUUCAUCAUAAUCUAACUCUAAAAAUUGUGGAUUUGAGCGCUCCCAAAUUUUCCUUCGCUUUCUCUCUCUCUCUGUUCUUCAACAUCGUGUUUAGAUCCGUCCCUCCCAGCCUUGAAAGAUUCCGUCUUUGACCCUUCUUCGUUGAAUCUAUCAAACAAAUUAGGGUUCCGAUCUGUUACCUGUUGUGUUCGUUUAAAAUUUUUUUUUCUUUGCCUCAAAAUUUCAUCUUCAGAAAGAGAGAGAGAGAGAGAGAGUUUUCGAUUUUCCUUGAUUUUGCUUGAGAUUUAUGUUCUAAUCUGAAAUUCAUUACCUUAAUGAUUUGCUAUAUCGGUUCGAUCUCCAUUACGAUUGCUUGCUUUUUGUAUCGGAUUUGGGGUUAAAUCCAAGCUUGCGUGUUUUUACAUUAAAUCAGUAACCAUCGGCUCAAACUCUACCCCUCUUUCUAUCUGGAAAAUUUUUACAUUAAAACAAACGGAGUUUGAAAGUUAAAAAUUGACAUUCCAUUGAGUUUAAGUUUGAAAGUUUGGCUCAACUCACCGAUUACAGCCGCUUACAUGAAGUAGAAGCCCUUAUUACAUCAAUACAUCUGUGUGUGUGUUUUUUUCCGCUUCCUCUUCUUUCUUUUGGCCUUUUUUUUCCUCUAAAAGCCGCACCUACAGCUUACUCCGUUCCCUGACAUUUGCCCUUAAAAUUACACUGAAAAUGCCCACAUGUUCCCCAAACUUCAUAUAUUACUCAAGUUUCGAUUCCUUGUCUCCGCAUCGAACCGCCACUUUACACAGUCAAACUCUGUGUUACGAAUUACCGCCUGCGCCACCUAUUGGACGAUAUGCCCAAACCAAGUUGAAAGCCCGAAUGAAGAAGCUAUAGAGCAUCCGAGAGUCUCCAUCGAUAUUUUCAACCAAUGGGGUUGCUGUGAAAACGAUUUGUUGAAGAUCUUUUCACGCCAACCUUCUUUGCGCAACGCUCAAGCUACUCCCCUUUUAUCCAAACUCAACUUGCUGAGUAGCUUGGGACUCACCGGUUCCGACAUUGUCAAGAUGGUCAAUUGUCGUCCUCGUUUCUUUUGUUCUCGUAUCAAUAAUUGCUUCGACGAGCGGAUUGAGUUCCUCGUUAACCUGUUCGGGUCGCGAGAAAUGCUUCGUAAAGCACUUGUUAGGAACCCUUCCCCCUUGACCUAUGAUUUUCACAAUGCCAUGAAACCAGUCAUUGCAUUGUACGAAGAGAUUGGCAUUAGAGGAAAUGAUUUGAUUGCUAUGCUCAUCUCACGUCCCACAUUGAUCCCAAGGACUUCUUUCAAUGAGGAGAAGAUGGAAUACAUAAAGAAAACAGGGGUUUCAAAAGGUUCCAAAAUGUACAAGUACAUAGUUUCACUCAUCGGAAUAUCGCGGAUCGAGACUAUACGUGAAAAGGUGACUAACUUGGAGAAAUUCGGAUGUUCAGAGGAAGAGAUUUGGAGUUUGUUGGGACGUUAUCCUCUUAUUUUGACACUUAUUUUGAAACUCUCGGUUGAUAAGGUUCAAAGGAACAUGACCUUUGUUUUGGGAACCAUGAAGCUGUCUCCAAGAGUGGUGCUUGAGCACCCCUUUUCUUGUUGUUCAGCAACCUCGAAGCCGUAUCGAAACCGCGGAUAUCGUUGGCUAGGAAACUAAAGGAAAUGGAGCUUGAUCCGCAGAUUAAAGGACCGAUCAUGUUGGCGGCAUUGAGGAUGACGGAAAAUCGAUUCUUGAAUGUGUUUAUUAAAUGCCAUCCGCAAGAUGUAGCAAAUGAACUGUUGGAGUUCUAUAAACAUGCCAAAGGUCUCAAGCCAUUGGCCGAAUCAUCGAAAAAAAUACUGCGUAAAGGAUUUCCAUUUUGAACAUUUUCGUUUGUUUGUUUGGUGCUGUCUUCGUUUUCUUUUUGUUCAUUCAUGCCAAGGGAUAUUUCGAUUAAAUUUUCAGAUUUAUAACUUUUAUUCUCAAAGGGAUAAUGUGAGACUCAAAAUUUUGGGAUAUAAAAAGGGAUGCCUCUUCGUGUUUCAUUGGUGUUCUCUCUCUGCUUAUAUUCCUUUUACUCCCCGUGAUGAAGAGUUGAAAUUUUUUCUAUGUAUGAUGGCUGGAGGGAAUAUAGAUUAUGGAACUCCACCAUUAUUAACUUUGUAGGCUCAAUUGGCACCAUUGUUGUGGUGCAACUAGAAAUAUGUGGGUUAAAACGUGUUUAAAGGCGUAUUUUCUUUUUAUUUAAGAGUUUAAAGGAGAUUAUAAUUUGUGAACAGUAAUUUUUUAAGGUAAAUCUUAUUCUAUAUAUUUUGACCGAUGAUUAUUUUUAUCCUUAAUAUAAAUUUGUGUUAAUUUUGGUUUGGAUGAUGUUUAUUAUUAUUUUUAAUUACUUUUCAAUGCGGAUAAAAUCUUGCACCAAUUAAAAUUCAUAUAUUAUUAUUAAAAAAGAUAAAUAAACAAAUUAAAUCUUUUUAAACUUCUUAUUUAUUUUCAAAGUUUAUUAAAUAGUAUUAUUUUAUUUUAUAUAAUUAAUGUAAAGUAAUAUAUGGGGCAAAAUAAUAUAAAGCUAAAAUGAAGUGAAAUGUUUCAAACCUCAUACAAUAUUUGAACUUGUUAUCGUACCAAUAUCCAAUGAUUUACUUGACUCAUCAUUAGAGUUCUCACAUGAUGUUUCAAGAGGAAGUUGAUGGAAUGGCUUAGGAGGCAACUCAGGGAGUUCAACAUCAGAUUCAAGCAUCUUCAAGACUUUACUCAUUGAAGGAUGAUUAGAAGGCAAUAAUUGUAUACACCAAAAGGCAGUUAUUCAUCUUCUUCACCAUUACUUUUUCAUCGUCAGAAACAUCUCCUAGCUCUAUGUCCUCUCCUUGAUUUAAUCGGUCAUAAAUCCAAGAUGGAAAAUAGAUCUGACUAGUGUGGUCAGCAAAUGCAUUCACAUUCUUUCUCCUUCCUACCAUUUCCAUCAGUAACAUUGCAAAACUAUAACCAAUUCAGGAGCAAUAUAUCUUAUCGUUCCUCGUGCCGCAGUGAGAGAGACAAUGCUAUCAUCUACUGAAUACAAUUUAGCAAGACCAAAAUCGGAAACUUUUGGAUUAAAAUUCUCAUCAAGAAGAAUAUUGUGUGGCUUGAUAUCAAAAUGUAGAAUUUGCAUGUCACAUCCUUGAUGCAAGUAGUGAAUUCCUUGAGCCACCCCAAGCACAAUAUCAAACAUUUUUUUCCAGCCCAAAGUGUUCUUAUUUUCUUCUGUAAAUAUGAGUUUAUCUAAAGAUCCAUUAGACAUGAAGUCAUAUACCAGAGCUUGCUUUGAUCCCUCCACACAAAAUCCAAUAAGUUUUGCCACAUUGGCAUGAUGAAUUCUACCAAUAGAAGCAACUUCAUUUAUGAAAUCUUGGCCAUUACCUUUUGACUUACCCAACAAUUUUAUUGUCACAUGAUGCCCGCUACGAAGCUUUCCUUUAAACACUGACCCAUAACCCCCUUCACCUAAUUUAUCUUUAAAAUUUUUAGACAUUUUUUUUAUUUCAUUAAAGGAAUACCUUAUCGGCACUAGAUUAUUUUGACUUUGAAGGAACUCUUCGAUUGUAUCAUCCAUGGAUAAAUGUCUUCUUCUCCAUUUGUACGUAACAAGAGAAAACAAACAAACAAAUUAUCCUAGGAAAUGACCUGAAAAAGAUAAUUCCACCUUUAAAGAAAUACAAUGUAAUGCAUCAGUACUUGUGAAAUUAAUCAAAUAAUGUAUAACUUACAUUCUCAAAAAAGUAAAUAAUGUGAUUGUUUUAUGCUGUUUUAUAAUUAACUACUACUUAAAAGAGGGGCAUAUUAUGUAAUGGCCUAAAUUUUCAGUGGUGUCGGAAUGGUGAUUCGAGAUCACUAAAUCUAAAAAAAAUGAGUAGAAAAUAUUAUUAAUUUAGUGAGAAUAAGUAAAUGUGAAGUUGGGAAAAUUUUUGAAAUAGUGAAUAGUGUACUAAGAAUAAAUAUUAAAAUAAUUAAAAUAAAAAAUGAGGUAUCGAGACCUUGAAGAUUUUAAACCGAGCCAUAAAUAUUUUUAGAAAUAUUUUUAGAGUGUCAUUGAGUUGGUAUUAAAGUUUCGUUAGAAAAUUUUAACGUUUGGAUAGUCAAUUAACUAAAAAGGACUAAAUUGAAAAUAGUGUAAAAUUUGUUAAAUUGUGAUUAAAUAGCCUAAGUGAUUAAAAAUGAGGGAUUUAAAAGACAAUUAGGCCCAAACUAUAUGGGCUGGACGGUUGGGCAAGAAAAAUCUGGAAAAGUGAUGUAAUAAGGGUAAAAUUGGAAAUUUUGUAAAAGUUAACAAAUAAAAAUCUCAAUUAAAAGAGUUUCUAGGCAAUUCUUCAUAAUUAUCAGCCAAAAAAUGCCAUUUAAGUGUCCUUCCAAGCCGGUUUUUCAUAUAUUUGAAUCAUGUAAGUUUAAUUCUUGAUUAUUUCUUCUAAUUUUUGUGGUUUUGAUACUUUUACAAUUAGGUCCAACUAAUUGUUUCAUUAGUUAUUGAUUUUAUGGAUGAUUUUGAAAGUUACCAUUGAUGAGUACUGAAUUUUUAUGAUGAAUAAACAUGGAAUUAAAGCUUUGAUUUUGUUAUAUGAUGAUUCUAUUAAAGUAAUUUUGAUAGAAAUUGAUUUUAGGGACCUAAUUGUAAAAAGUUGGGAAUUAGGGUUUGGGGUUGCGGUUUUGAAUAUGGAAGGCUAUGUAGUAGUCUAAAAUAGUUGGAAAAUGUGUUAAUUGAGAAAAAUUAGAUCAAUUGAGGGGUUAAUUGAGUAGAGACCAAAUUGUAAAAAUUGUAAAGCUUGGGGUAAAAGUGUAAUUUUGAGAAUUUAAGGGCAGAAACUGUGAAAUGAAUUAGAAUAGAAUUAAAUGCUGAUGAAUGAAUAAAUUUUAAUUUUAGAUCGAGAACCUGAAACAAGUCGAGGAAAAGAAAAAGUAGCUAAUUAGUCCCUGAACUUUUACAAAUUAAGCAAAUCAACCCAGGUAAGUUCAUAUGGCUGAAAUUUAAUGAUUAAAUGUUAAUUUCAUGAAUUAUGCAAUGUAUGAUGAAAUGUAUUUAUUGUUGAAAUGAGAAUAAAAUAAAAAUGUAAAAAUCGAAUAAAUGAUCAAAUUAAGUGGAACGCCGGAUUUAAGUACUUCUGAUCAAGAGAUAAAGUGAUAAGUGGUAGCUUUAGCUACACUUAUCUGAUCAAGUGAAAAAGUGAUAAGUGCUACACUUAUCUGAUCAAGAGACAAAGUGAUAAGUGGUAGCUUUAGCUACAAUUAUCUGAUCAAGUGAAAAAGUGAUAAGUGCUACACUUAUCUGAUCAAGUGAAAAAGUGAUAAGUGCUAUACUUAUCUGAUAAAGUGAGAAAGUGAUAAGUGCUACACUUAUCUGAUCAAGCGACAAAGUGAUAAGUGAUAGCUUGCUACACUUAUCUGAUCAGGGACGUAAGACCAUAGUUAUACUAUGGCAAAGUGAAAGUGAAGUACUCAAUUUUCUGUAACUGUUCUUUAAUUUUGAUCAAGGAUGGUAAGUGACAAACGGGCCCAAAGGAAUUAUGGUAAAAGAAUAAGUAGUAGUGAGUUCAUACCAAGGAAUUCACCAAAGAUUGUGGUUGACAGGUAAACUUAGUAAUUGUGUAUAUUGUAAGUGUACAAAUGUUUGGUAAGAUUUAUGUUUUAUGCCUAUGAACUUACUAAGCUUUUCUAUAAGCUUACAUGUGUGUGUUUAUUGUCUUUGUAGAUUAACAUAUUUAUACAUUCGGAGGAUCGGAUCUACAUCGAGAAUCACACUAUCCAGAUAUACUCCGGUAGAUUAUGUUAAGCAGCUUUUUGGAUUUAUAUGGCAUGUAUAGGGAAUUGAAGUAAAAAAAGUAAUAGAAUGAAUGACUAAGUAUGCAAAGUAAAUUUGAAUGUGAUGAUUGUGUUAGACAUUGAAAAAUACAUGUUUUUAGUUUGAAAUGGUUGAUUGGUUGAACUUCAUUAGUAUUCAAGCUAAGUAGUUGAAAUACUGAAAUUGGUUGUGAUUUGAAAUUUGCAGGGAAGGUUAGGUAAUUAUAAAGGGGUUAUAUUGAAAUUUUUUUUAAAAUUUCAAUGGAAUUGUUUUUGGACAGCAGCAUUGAUGUAACUUUGAAAAAUCACUAAAAAUAGUGGAAAUAGAAUUAGAAGUUGAGUGAGAUAUGAAAUUAAAGCUGAAUGAGUCUACUUUCACAUAAAAGAAGUAAAGUAAGCAAAAGAAUUAUAUACUUUUAGAUAUUUGAAUUUUAGUGAAACAGGGAAAAAAUGUUUUUGAAGUCCCUUAUUCUGACUUUAAAAAUUCAUUAAAAAUUGUACAGAAGUAAUUAUGAGUUAUAAUUUAUAUUUAUAGACUCCUUAAUGAGUCUAUUUUCAGUAGAAAUAAGUGGAAGCACCAUAUGAAGUCUGUAAUAAGAGAUAAUUGAAUUUUAGUGAUGAGUGGUCAAGAUAGUUGAUCAGUGAAACAGGGGAGACUUCAACUAAUAAAAUUUACUAAUUGGAUAAACCAAAAAUUCUGAAAAAUUUAUGGUGAAUAGAUAUAUGAGUCUAGUUUGAAGAAAAAUUUACGGAUCUAAAUUUCAAGUUUCGUAGCUUGAGUUAUAAUUAUUUUAGUGACUGCUGCGCAGGUGGAUAGCUUUAUUAUGAAUGGUGAAAUUAAUUUUGAAAGUAAAUUUUUAUGCCCGAACUUUUAAGUUAAGUCAAGUAACGCCUCAUGCUCGACUCCGGCAACGGUCUCGGGUAAGGGGUGUUACAUAUUAAUUUCACUACUUUAUGGAAUUAAUUUAGAAAUAACAGUGAUGCCUUGUGUUUACCCUUCUUUACCAAAUGAAAAACUUUGAAAGGUCAUUGAGAACCCAAGAAAAAUAAUUCCGAAUUAUAUGUUAUAGUUUUAUAUUCUAGCAGGUGCACCUCAACAAAUUCAAACUUAGAACUGCACACACAAAGGAGUAAAUCAUUUAAAUUGGAUACCAAUUAUUCUAACCUCACCAUGGUCCAUCAAGGAUACUCAACUUUUAUAUUCAUGUCAAAUAUACUUGAAGAAGGACAAAGUACAUAUCUAAUAACCUUCAAUCUUUUUAAAUGAAACGAAGUCUAUAAUCACCAAAAAAUGCAAAACAACCAAAAAAAAAAUUUUGGGCCGAUUGAAGAGCUAACUUUGUUGAAUGUUUUAGCAAUAUGAAUAUUCACCAAACUUACAACCUUUGGAAGUUCUAAACAAGACCAUUAUGAACACAAACUUAACCAAAACUUCAACAUCAUUAUUUACUUGACAAAAAAAAUUUUCUUUCGUAUAACAGAAGAAGAUUGUUUUCAGCAUUCAAACUCCUUAAAGAGUGCUAGAUUUCUUAGUUUUGCAGUGAAAUUAAAUAUGAACUUGUAUAGUAUGAUAGGCUCCUUAUUCUUCCCCCCCCCCCUCCCCCAAAGAAUAUUGCUAAUAUCUUUUCUUAACUAGUGCUAGAAUUUGUAUCGGAAAAAAUGCAAAUCCAAAAUUAACAAUACCUGUUAUUGCCAAACAGAGAAUAUAAGUUCCUGUAAAAAAACCACGAAUAAAAACGAAAUAUCAUUAUUUCAAGAGAGCAGCGAAAUAGUAAAAUCAAAGCACUUCUAAAUUCUAAUGAAUUUUGGGAAGCAUACUUCUUGGUAUAUAGAAUGAUUGACAAACGUGCUUUUGGCUGAAAAGAACAGAAAUUUGAUUUCUCAAUUUUUUCCACAAACGUGCUUCAGGGUCGAAGGAAGCAUAUGGAAGAUCUCACUGUCUGCAUGCUCGAUCUCCACAUUCCCUUCCCGAGUAUCUCUCUUUCUUCAUAUCUUUUUUUUUUGUGCGGCUUCGUGGUUUUAUUAGAAUGCGUUCAUAGGGGAAUUAGUCUUACGAUUAAUAUUUUCUCUUGUAAAAAGGAUAAAUUGAUGUUGCAAUUUAAUGACAGUUUUUAUGCUAUGGAUUGAGAAUGAGAUUCUAGGGUUUUUCAUUGAAUGAAUUUGCUUUUGGUUGUUUUAUUAACAAACUUUAUCGCUUCGUUUAAGAAAAAAAAUCCUUCUUUUAAGAUUGAAUUUAUGAAGUUUUGUCGGUUAAUUAAAUGCUUAGCUCUUUUCUAAUGACUGUAACCAAUGUAGCAAUGAUAUUAACGUAACCAAAGAAGGUUGAGUUAUAAAAGUGGAGAGAUAUUAUGCUAAACCGAACUACUAACUUCAAUAGUUUACUUCUUAGUGUUCUUAUAGAGGCAAUUUUGUUUGAAAAGGAUCUUUCUAAACAAUGUAAGAUUUGGUAUUUUUACUUAUUUUGUGAUGGUUGAAGAAGUUUGUGCGUAUCACUGAUUUAGUAACUUUGUCUAACGUCUCAUCCUAUGUUUUAUUUUUAAUACAUAAAUUUUUGAUACAUUGGAGCAGGAAAAAUUGGGUUAAGGAAGUUUCAGUCGGAGUUGUUGCAGUUUUUGAUGGUCAUAAUGGUGCUGAAGCUAGUGAGAUGGCUUCAAAACUUUUACUGGAGUAUUUUGCUCUAUAUACAUAUUUCCUUUUGGAUGCAACUUUUUCCUUUGUAUUGAAGAAGCAGUCAAGUAGGUUGCCAAAUGUAGGAGAAGGGGAUAUUGUUUUCCAAGUGCUUAAUUGGGACAAAGAGAUUGGAAAGCGUGGCUUGAACUUUGAAAGGUGAUAUCAUGUGUAACUCAGACCAUAUUUAUGUUUGAGUUCCUUGUUUUAGAAAAUGGAUAUAGCUGUUGCUUGCUGUUGACGAUUCUUAACCCAAAGUAUUAAUGCUUGCUCAGAUUAUUAACCCAAUGUUUAUUUCAUCAUCUUAAAGUUGCUUCCUGUUUGCUUCUACCUGCUAUUCAGCUGGUUGUGGGAAUUAGCCAUCCCUCGUGGAUUUCUCUGACAUUUUUCAUUGGAAGCUGUAUUAGGCUAGUGGAUUGGUCUUUGACUAGCAAUUUUCUAGGACUAUUCAGGUGAUUGCUUCUUGACUCUUUGUACAUUGUUCUAUUUCAUUUUCUUUGUCAAUGAGUUUGGUUUUAUCAUUGGUUAAUGUUUUUAGUAACUUAUGUUCUGUUUCUUUUUUGUCAAGGUUGUGGAAGGCUCUCCAGUUUUAUGCAGGCUUCAGCAUUUUCAUGCUUUAUGUGUAUCAACUCCGUAUAGAGUUCUCAAGUAUGUUACAGUGGAUAGCUGAUUUUGUUGGUCUAUUCAAAAUAUGUUCAACAUCUGAGUGGACUGAAAUUUGCUCUUCUGUUUCUCUUGUACUUUAUUACAUCAUGGUAUGUACUAGUUUUAUUACUAUAGGUCUGAUUCUGUUUAAAAAAUUUAGCUGAACCUUUUAAUGAAAUGCAAUACACUCUUCCCUCUUCCUAGAAUCUUAUAUUAUGAAAUUGACUUCAUUUGAGUCUUUCCUGUGUCUGACAUUUGUCUAUCUAAUAGUCUUUUCCCCAUAUUACUAAUUUAAGAUGGUUUGAAGUGUUUUCUUUCUAUAAGAAAAAUUUCCUGGACAGAUAUGAAGUAUUUAGUUGCAAACUAGACUUUGGAGAUUGAUGACAAUUUUGCCAUUCUGGAUGCAAUUUUUAUUCAAUUUGCUCAAUGAAAUUGCAGUUGAAAAUUUGAGAGCUUCCUAGUUAGAAACCACAUAUUUAUAUAAUAUAUGUUUUUAAUAGUUUUGAACAAGUUAAAUUAAUUAUAAAGAAAUAAUAUAAUUGAGAACAAGAUUAGAGUAGCUCGUUUGUACAUCUCAAUCUUAAUAUUAAGUGAUUGAUGACUCUAAGCUACUUAAAAACAAGAAGACAAUCAAUCUUCACUUUAAUUUGUAUGACGCAAAGUUUUUAAAACCAUUUCAAAGAACCGUUAAGAAAUAAUAGAUACAAGAUCUAAUCAAAACAUCAAGUAACGACCCAACCAAAACCCACCAAAGAGAUAUCCAAAGUCUCAAAUUUGGAAUUAAAGGUCAACGUAAACACAAAAUUCUCCAAAAGUAUUAUGAGUUCUAACUUUUUAAUGGGUAUAAUUUCUAAGGUAUUUACAUGCAAAAUUUGUAGCCCAAAUAAUAAUAAAAUAAUAUAAACUAAUCAAAGUUUAACUAAAAUAAAUAAAUAGAAUUUAGCUGAAAGAUUACCUCUCAAAUUUAAUCGAAAUAUGAGGCAUGCUCAAUAAUAAAGGUAUCACUUCAAUGGUAUAAAGCUACAUAAAAUCUUAGUUAUGUCUUUGAAAUAUUUUGAUAAAGGCAUGUGCAAAAACUUUUUGAUUCUAAACAAAUUCAUUCCCUCAAUAUUAUUUAUUUAAAAUCAAAACCACAUUUAUUUUUAAACAACAUCUAACAAUGUAUUUGGCUCAUCCAACAAUUUAUUUUUAAACGACAUCUAUUUAAAAAGAACCAAAUGAGAAUCAUUAUACAACUUCAUAAAGUUGAUGACACAUCCAACAUUUAAAGCACAAAGAAAUUAGAUAGGCCAACAACAAAACAAUAAUGCCAACAUUCUCAACUACGGCAACAAAUUUGUUCUAAAAACAAAAGUAAGCGCAUCGCACCUAGAGCGUAGAAAUAUUUGAAUUCAAUCAUUGUAACAACGAAAAAGGAAACAAGACAUCCAACAUCCUCAUCACAAUAGAUUCUCCUCUGACCCGCCAACAGCGUUUGCAAUGCAAUAAAACAAAAAGAGGUUAUUGUGAUAGCAAAUCUUAUAAAUAUUCCAAAAUUAACUUUUAGAUGCAUCAAGUCUUAAUCUAAGGGAAAGGGUUUAUCCAAACAUGAAAAAUCUAACCAACUCAAUUCAAUUCAACCCAACCUCAACCUAUCUAUAUAGUUUACUUUUAAUUUAUAUCUAAUUUCAAUUAUGGUUUAAAUUUAAAUAUUUUUUAACAAAAAUUUUAAAUACUUAAUAUUGAACAAAUAGUCAUAUUAAUGAAAAUAUGUAAUUAUGAACAAUAACUUAACACAUAGGUAAAAGUAUUUUUUUUUACUUAAUAAUAUUAUUAGCAAUAGUACGUUAUUAAUUGUAUAUAUGAAAAUAAUGAAGCUUAAAAAUUAAAAUUUAAAGACAAUGUCAUUGUCAAAUUUACUCAAAAUUUAUUUUUAACUAUAGUUAUCUAUGUACAUAUGUGACACACAUAAUAAGAUGCUAAUAUAUAUAAGGCAAAAUAUUAUAAAGUUAAACGGUUAGAUAAUGAAGUGAAAUGUUUCUAACCUUAUGCAAUAUUUGAACUUGUUAAUAUCCAAUGAUGUACUUGGCUCAUCAUUAGAGUUCUCACAGCUAUGAACCUCCAUUGAUGUUUCAAGCGGAAGUUGAUGGAAUGGCUUAGGAGGCAUCUCAAGGAGUUCAACAUCAGAUUCAAGCAUCUUCAAAACUUUACUCAUUGAAGGACGAUCAAAAGGCAGUAAUUGUAUACACCAAAAGGCUGUUAUUACCAUUUUCUUUACCAUUGCUUUUUCAUUGUCAGAAACAUCUCCCAACUCCAAGUCCUCUCCUUGAUCUAAUCGGUCAUAAAUCCAAGAUGGAAAAUAUAUUUGACUAGUGUGGUCUGCAAAUGCAUUCACAUUCUUUCUCCUUCCAACCAUUUCCAUCAGUAACAUUCCAAAACUAUAAAUGUCGGCUUUGUAUGAGAUGCCUCCAAGAUUUUUGUAAACCAAUUCAGGAGCAAUAUAUCCUAUCGUUCCUCGUGCUGCAGUGAGAGAGACAAUGCUAUCAUCUACUGAAUACAAUUUAGCAAGACCAAAAUCGGAAACUUUUGGAUUAAAAUUCUCAUCAAGAAGAAUAUUGUGUGGCUUGAUAUCAAAAUGUAAAAUUUGCAUGUCACAUCCUUGAUGUAAGUAGUGAAUUCCUUGAGCCACCCCAAGUACAAUAUCAAACAUUUUUUUCCAGCCCAAAGUGUUCUUAUUUUCUUCUGUAAAUAUGAUUUUAUCUAAAGAUCCAUUAGACAUGAAGUCAUAUACCAGAGCUUGCUUUGAUCCCUCCACACAAAAUCUAAUAAGUUUUGCCACAUUAGCAUGAUGAAUUCUCCCAAUAGAAGCAACUUCAUUUAUGAAAUCUUGGCCAUUACCCUUUGACUUGCCCAACAAUUUUAUUGCCACAUGAUGGCCACUACGAAGCUUUCCUUUAAACACUGAGCCAUAACCCCCUUCACCUAAUUUAUCUUUAAAAUUUUUAGUCAUUUUUUUAGUUUCUUUAAAAGAAUACCUUAUUGGCACCAAAUUAUUUAGGCUUUGAAGGAACUCUUCGAUCGUAUCAUCCAUGGAUAAAUGUCUUCUUCUCCAUUUGUAUGUGACAAGAGCAAGCAAACAAAUGAUCCCAGCAAACAACCUCAAAAAGAUAACUCCACCUUUAAAGAAAUACAAUGUAACACGUUGAAAUUAAACAAAUAAUAAAUAACUUACAUUCUAAGGAAAAAGUAAAUACUGUGAUAGUUUUAUGUUAACUAGUAUUUGAGACUAGUCUAUGGACUAAGCGAGAGUAGUCUGAAUUAUAUGUAAUGUUUUUGUCAUUAGCAGGCAUAUCUCAACAAAUUAAAAUUCAGAAUUUCAAACACAAAAGGAGUAAAUCAUGCAAAGUGGAUACCAAUUAUUCUAACCUCACACAUUCCAAUAGAUUUGACAGGGUCAUGACAUUCACCCAAAUUAACACAUUCGUAACCCCCUCCAAUUAGCAAAUUCUAAAGAAAGAACAAGAUUCUUAACCAUGAAGGAUACUCAACUGUUGUCUCUAUUCAUGCCAAAUAAACUUGAAGAAGGACAAAUUAAAAAUAUAAUAACCUUCAAAUUUCAUAAAUGAAACAAAAUCUAGAACCACCAAAAGAUGCAAGAGAACCCCCAAAAAACAGAUUUGAUAAAUUCAAGAGCUAAUUUUCUUUACUUGACAAAAAAAUAUUCUUUCGUAUAAUAGAAGAAGAUUGUUUUCAGCAUUCAAACUCCUUGAAGGAUGCUAUAGAUUUCUUAGUUUUGCAGUGAAAUUAAAUAUAAACUUGUAUACUAUGAUAGGCUCAUUAUUCCUUAUUUCCCCCAAGAAUAUUGCUAAUAUUUUUUCUUAACUAGUGCUAGAAUUUGUAUCUGAAAAAAAUGCAAAUCUGCAAAUCCAAAAUUAACAAUACCCGUUAUUGCCAAACAGAGAAUAUAAGUUCCUGUAAAAAAACCACGAGUAAAAACGAAACAUCAUUAUUUCAAGAGAGCAGUGAAAUAACAAAAUCAAAGCACUUCUAUUGAAUUUUGGGAAGCCUACUUCUUGGUGGGUCCAAUGAAUUGUAGUAGACAUGGGGGCCGUGGAAAAGGAAAUGUACAAAGCUGUCCAUAUAGGUACUGGAGGCAAAUUUCAACCUUGACAAUCUGAAUUAUAUAUUCAACAAAUCAAAGUAAAAUUAAUAAAGGGGUGUAAGGAAAAUUCCAAAUUUGUGUAAAAAGACAAAUGGAAGGUAAUUUAAAACAUUAUAUUAUGUUUUGUGGUAUAUACUCAAAAAAAAAAAUACAGCAAUUCUUUACAUAUGUUUGCUUGUAAAAAGUAUGCAACAUGUAUUACAGUAGAAGAGUUUUUAGGUAACUAAAAUGAUUUAAUAUAAUGAAAGGUGAGACAAAUUUUAUUCAAAUUAAUUAAUCCAAAAAGUAUAUAUUAUAGCAUUAAAAGAGUUUUUGCGAAAAAAAUAAACUCAUCCACAAUGGUGGAAUAUUUACGUACUACCAACUAAAUUGAAAAUUCAUCAAAAAUAAAAACAAAAUAAAAAGAUAGACAUAAUCAAAUAUAAUUGUCCAAAAAGAAGACAAAACAGCAGAGAAAGCAGAGGCAGAUACUAAAUUAGAAAUGCUUUUAGUUCAUUUGAUUGUUAGAUGUUGAUCAAUUUUAGAUGCAAAAUCAUCAUACUUAAUUACCAUCAUACAAUUUAAUUGCGAAUAAAGUAACAUAAAAUAAAACAAAACAUAAAGUAGAUGUUGUAACUAAAAAUUCCAGUAUGAUGCACACUCAAAAUGCAAACUUUAAUUAUUAAAGAAACUUACAUUUCUUUCAACCAAACUUUGUUUUUAUUGUAGUAGCAACUCUGGUAAUAGCAUCUAUCCCAUUCGACCCAAAAACCUUCUAAUAGUUUUUUUAGAUAUCCGGCGUAGACAUACCUAUUAUAUUAUCAAUCAUAAUUGGAACCUCCGCUUCGAUAGUGCAAGCUUGAUUGAUAUAAGAUGGGUGGGUGUUUCCAUUUAAAAAAUAGAAAUGGGAAGUUGGAAGGGAUCGAAGAGGAGGUAUUGAAUUUGAUGGUACAACGAGAAACCUCAAUAUAAAGUGAUAAUUUUAUAGGUUUCGUGCAAUUCAUAACAUAAAUAAUGUUGCCCUCUAACCUUCCAUCAUAAGAAUUAUAAAAAUAAUAAUACUUAGAAGAAGAAGAAGAAGAAAGGGAAAAAAAUGAGUGUUCAUAAUGAUAAUAAUAAUUAUCUACAGAACUAAGAGGAAGGGAGUUACAAUCAUCCGUGUCCAAGCUCGCAUCAAUUAUUCGUAUUUUAUAAUUUUCCUAAAAGAUUUGUUAGACAGAGAAUUUCCCUUCUUUAUCGACCAAAAUGGUGAGAUUAUUGUUCUCACACUCAAAUUCAAAGCCAUAAUGAUCACAGUGGGGAGGUUGGUUUUUUAAUCGGAAUGGAAAACUGAUAUUCAAAUUCCCACAGAAAGUAGAGCCGCAGUCUUGGUUAAUAGAUGUAAAAAAUCAAUUGAAUUUGAAGGUAAUCUAAAACACUGUAUUUUGUUUUGUGGUAUAUCUUAUUCUAAAUAUUCCUUUUUUCAGCCAAUAAAUUUUAUUAAAACCUCAAGAGGAAACUGACCAAAAGGUCAUUCAUACACCUAAAUCAUCAAUAGCUCGACAACAAGUAUGAAAAGUUAGAACUCCCAAGGAACAAGUCAGCAUAGAAGAAAACUCAACCCAAAACCCAACAUUGAAGAAGAAACAAAUCGCAUCAUCUAUUCCAUAUUUUUAACCAACCUUAUUCUAAAAAACAUUAUACCAAUUAUUUACCUAUUUUUUUUGUUUCUAAAAAGUAUGCAGCAUCUUUUACAGUAUAAUAAUUUUUACAUAACCAAAAUUAUUUUAUAUGAUGAAAGGUGAGACAAAUUUUAUUCAAAUUAACUAAUCCAAAAAUAUAUAUUAUAUAGCAUUAAAGGAUGUAAUAGUGAAACAUACUCAAACAUAAUGUUAUGUUUUUUUAUAAACAUGCUGUUGUUUAUAUUAGGAGCCAUUUCAAGGAGUUCAACAUCAGAUUCAAGCAUCUUCAAAACUUUACUCAUUGAAGGACGAUCAGAAGGCAGUAAUUGUAUACACCAAAAGGCUGUUAUUACCAUUUUCUUUACCAUUGCUUUUUCAUCGUCAGAAACAUCUCCCAACUCCAAGUCCUCUCCUUGAUCUAAUCGGUCAUGUAAAGCCCAAAAUCUGCCCGGGCCCAUACCAGCAAAAUAGACCCAAAUAAUAAAAUACAACAAACCCAAAAUUCAAUCCCAACUACCCAAACCUUAAGCCCAAACCUAAUAGCCCAUAACAAACUUUCAGCAACAGCAAACCCUAGCCCCAACUGCCCAUGAGCGCCGCAUGUGUGCCGCGCCAUCUCCCCGUCUGCCACGCCCACUCGCACGCCUCUGCCACCAUUGUCGGCCAUGGCCACCUGCAAGAAGCCAAGUAGAAAUAAACAAAUAGAAAAUAAACAAUGGUAAUCGGUUAUAAAAACCGAAAAUCUCACCAUUGCUGGUGGGGGGGAUUUUUGUAUAAAAAAAACAGCGUUUUGAAACAAAGAAAUAAGAAGAAUAUAGAUCGAAUUCUGAGAAAGUUUUUUUUAGGUGCGAAUCUUUCGUUUUUUUUUUCGUUAUUUGGUUUUUAUUUUAUUUUAUAUAUGCAUUUGAUAAAUCAAAAAUAAAAAAGGGAAAAGACGGAGAGUUCUUACCGUGGCGCCGUCGAAGCUCUUCUUCUCUCCGUCCAAAUCGGAGUUGAGGAAGAGUGGCUCUUAGUUUCUCAAGCGGUGGAGAGAAAAAGAAAGGGGGCUAGGGUUUCACAUGUUUGCUUUAUUUUCUUAAAGAAUGGCAGAUUAUAGUGAUUUGAAGGUUUUAUUUUUUUAAAAUAUCAAACGGCGUCUUGUAAAGGAAAGAGGGUUGUGCAUUAUUACCCUAAUGGGUAUUUUACACAGUUAGUCCCUCCAAUUCUGUGACAGAUGCGACGCACUCUUUUAUUUCUUUUAAUUUCGGCCACGUAAUUUCUCGCCUGUUCCAAUCUGGUACCGUGCAAAUCAAUGCGCAUACGGGAUGGGGAAUAUUGCGCAACCGGUCCCCAUGCCCUCAGUGCCUUUUAUUUCAGCUCCUUUACCACCUAUUUCAUAUAUUCGCAGUUUAGGACCUGAUUUUUUAUUCUGUUUCAACCAUGUCCUCGAUAUAUUUAGUUUGUUUUUAAUUUUUUUUAAAAAAAUAGGCUAUUUUAUUAUUAUUUGUUUUAAGUCCUUACAUUUAUUAUUUAAAUUUGUUUUACAUUAAACUCAUCUAUAUUUUUCAUAUAUUUUUGAACUGUUUCUUUUAUCAUUUAUGAUUUUCUUUAUAUAUUAUCUUAUUCUAGAUUGUUUUAGAUUAACUAGUAUUUGUCUCGAGUCUUAUAUUUUAUUUAUUUCAAAUACAUGUGUACAUUUUUAUUUUUAUAAAUACAUACACGUUUAUAUCUUUACAUUCACAUAUAAUAUAUACUUCUUAAAUUUUUACAUAUAUGCAUACAUUUUGUGAAAUAUAUCUGUAUGUAAAUAUUUUAUAUAAACAUGUACUCACUUUCAUAUUUUUACAAUUUGUAUACAUCUCCAUAUAUACCUAUAUACAUUUUAUUUUCAUGAAUAUAAAUAUACGUACCUUUUAUCUAUAUUUAUAUGCAUAUAUUCUUUAUAUUUUAUGAUCUUAAACUAUGCAUACGUCUAUAUAUUUUUGUAAUACACAUACAUACCUAUAUCUUAUAAUUUAUAUAUUUAUUAUAUUUUGUAAUUUUAAAAUAUGUAUAAUAAAAACAUACAUGUUUUAUUUUAUUUUAUUUUUCUUUUACUCGAUGUUUAUUUAUUAAUUUGGCUACAUGUUUAUUAUUAUUUUAAAAGGACAUUUUAAUCCUAUUUGCUUAUUCAUUUGUUAUGAUGCGAUUGAUCCAACUCUUAUUUAUUUAUUUCAUUGUUAAUGUUUGUUUGUAUUGUUUAUCCUUAACUUGCUGCAUUCAUUAUUGUUUCGUCACACAUGUUAACACCAUGCAUCAAAACCUUUUUUCCUAAGUAAGGCAAUAUUUCGCGUUUGGAAAAUUCGAGAAAACGUGCCCUAACGCGCUGGGUUUCGAUUUCUCGUUCGACCAAAUAGCCAAAUAUCCUUUUUAAACUUUCAAUCAAUAUUAUUAGAGUUUUCUUUAAGGAUCGUAUUUUUAAAAUUCUUCAAAGUUUUCAAUCUUCGACACUAAGACACUAAUUAAUCAACUAGGUACCAAUUUUGGGCGCAUCGAGGGUGCUAAUCCUUCCUCGUGCGUAACCGAUUUCCGAACUCGUCUUUCUGAAUUUCGUAGACCAAAAAGUGUUAUUUUAAUAAAUCGAAUCGUUUAUUAAAAAUAGCCAUUUUUCUAAGGUGACCCGAUCACACCUUAUCAAAAAGGAUUGGUGGUGACUCCUGUUUCAUUUUUACUUUUCAAAACCCAAGUCGACCCCGUUUUAUCCAAAAAAAAAUGGUGUCAAUAGCUUGGCGACUCCACUGGGGACUAAUAAGAGAGUCAAGCCACGUGUUGAUUAUUUCUUGUCCUUUUGUUGAAAGUGGAAAAUUCGAUUUAAAUUUACGAUCCUCUCAUUGCAUCUCUUUUGUUUUGAGUUAUAUUUUUUAUCAUGUUCUGUAUUUUAUUUUAUACCUCUGCACAUUGCAUUGCAUGACCGCUGGUCAUACCCUUUUAAGUGGGAGUGAGAAACUACGCCUUCGUGAGGUUUUCACCUCCGCAUGGGAUAGUGAAUCACUUCCGGGAUACAUCCGUACCUAUGUCUUCGUGAGAUUUUCAUCUCCGCAUGGCCAUAGGGAAAUGUAUUCCCCUGAACUGAACUCGGUCCAUAUGAGCCUAUAAUGGGUGAGGAUCGAGGAAUCUGCUGGUUCAGGUACCCUUACUUUAGAACCAAACCACACAUAGCGAGCCAUAAGAACCCACCGAGAUAGAGCUAUUCCAAACCCUAGUGCUUACCGAAUAGAUGCUUUAUUUAUUAUUGUUUACUUUAAAUCCUAGCUCUGAUUUGCUUUGUUUGUGAUUGCAUGGCAUUUUCAUUUCAAAAGAGGUGUCGAUUCACGUUCAGUAUAGAUAGAAAGCUGAUCAUGGAAAAGAGGUUUCUUGAUAAAGUAGAAGACAAUGCAGCUGUAUGAGUGUGGGCUGAGACGAUGUGGAGAGAGAAAGGCGAUAGUCUUGCAGAAGGGUACGUAUCAGAGUUAUGAGACUUCACCCGUAUCAGCGUAAUCCAAAAUGAUCUUCGAGAAAUGAAGGAAAUAUGGGAUCAAUGGGACGAUGGGACCAAGCAGAUGUUUUACUGUGACUACAGGGACUUGCCUUACUUACUUGGUGUCAAAGUGGACAAGCAUUUAUUCCGAGCCCUAGCCCAGUUUUGGAAUCCUGCUUACAGUUGUUUCACUUUUGGAAAAGUGGAUUUGGUGCCCACCGUGGAAGAAUAUACGACCUUGCUUCGGUGUCCAGAGAUUCAAAUUGACAAGGCCUAUUCUAGAGCUGCUAGUGUCCCGACAUUAUUAAAAAAAUUGAUGAGCAUUACAGGGAUGAGCGAACAGUGGGUCGCUGCCCGAAUCCAACAGAAAGGAGACAGUAAAUGCGUUCCUUGGAAAAGCUUGCGAGAUUUAGUAUUAGCACACGCUGAAUAUAUAUUAAAUUAUUUUAUAUGAUGAAAGGUGAGACAAAUUUUAUUCAAAUUAACUAAUCCAAAAAUAUAUAUUAUAUAGCAUUAAAGGAUGUAAUAGUGAAACAUACUCAAACAUAAUAUUAUGUUUUUUUAUAAACAUGCUGUUGUUUAUAUUAAGCACUUUUAAAACAUUUUUUUAUUUUAUUUAUCCAUUAUUUCUUUUGAAAAGAAAGUUUAAUUUUAAUAAUUAUUUUUUAAUUAUUAUUAAUAUAAUUAAAAUUACAAUUAACCCAUGAGACAAUAGAAACUAAAAAAUAAAAAUGUUAGAUUAAGGGUAUUUACCUUUUCCACUGUCUUUUUUUAUAAUUAACUUUAAUGAAAAAUACUCAUCUAAGCGAUAAAAUUGGAGGAAAACUCUUACAUUGAUUGAAAAGGUUUCUCUGUUUCCUCGCGGCAAAAGUCUAAAUUAAGGCCUUCCAAUUCUAAAUCAAAGCCGAGUAAUAGCUUCUCGUAGAUGUCCGAAGUAGACAUGCCGCUGAUAUUGUCAACCAUAAUCGGAACCAGGGCAUCCAUUGUGCAAGAUUCACCGAAAUUUCCAGACGUGGUUUUGCUAUCUAAAAAAUAAAAGUAGGAAGAUAUAGUGGGACAACGGGAGGCAUUAAUAUACGAAGAAGAGUUCAUCGGUUCCGAGCAGUUCACAAGAAACAUGACGCUAGACGGAAUACCCAACAUAUAGGGUACUUUACAGGAGUCAUCAACGCGAAAGGAAUUGCGAGGAAGGGAGCAAUUAUCAUCCUUGCUGAGAUUUGCAUCCAUAGCUUGCAUCGUUUCACAUGAGAUAUUUUGGGAUCCGAGAUUUGGACUGAUAUAGUCGACCGUGCAAAUAUCAUAAGAGAUGUUUUGGACAUAGAAUCUCCCAUACUUCAUGACUAAAUUGGUGUGGUUGUUAUUGUCACACUCCAGUUCGAACCUAUGGUCACCACAGUUGGAAGGUUGGGUUGUUAAUCGAAAAGGGUAGCUGAUGUUAACGUUUCCACACAUUGUAGAGCCGCAAUCCUUGUUUGUGUUUCUACCUAUGCAAGCUUCUGGUAGUAGAAAUAAAGCGAUGACGGCCAUAAGGCCAAACAAUGGCAGUUGGGGUUUUGGUUUUGGCAUGCUGUAAUUUGGGAAGAGACUAAGAAUGAACGAAGGCUAAAACAUUAGCUCUUUUUUUUUGGGAGGGGGGGGGGGGGGGGGAGGAAUAAAUUAAAGCAAGUCCACAUAUUUGAAAACCCAUAUUCAUUUUUUGAUUUUUUUAAAAGACAUUUAUAUUACUUUUAAUUUAAUAUUUAAUAUUUUAAUAUUUUUAUUGAUUAAAAUUAUAAUAUAUAAAAAUAGUUUAUUAUAUUAUAUUAUAAAUACUGAAAAUGGCUUAAUUUUUAUAUUUAUUUGUGAUAUAUUUUUUGAAUUAUGUUAUUUAUUCUUUUAAUAAUAUUAUUUAUAUUUAUAUUGUUUAUUAUUGAUUUAGGGAAUAAUUUGAGAAAAAGACUUUGACUAGUCUUCAGCUUUAUUUGGGAUGAAUAUUUUAUUCUCGAUCAAUUGUUUACACCUAUUUUUUUCUUAUUUUUUUCUGGGAAACACCUCAAUCAAAGCACAUCUGAUUUCAAGAAAGGUAAUGUCACCAAGUUAUUUCUCUAAUGUAUCUGUAUUAUGUUUAAGAGUUUAAUCUUUUCAUUUUAUGGUUGAUUUGAAUAUUUAUUUAAAUUUUACAAUUUAAUACGAUUAAUUUUAUUAUAUUACAAUGAAAAACAAAAGAAAAAGAAGAAUUUAAUAUGGUUCAAAGUUUUUAAAUAAAUCUGGACCAUAUACUUGUAGACAAACCUUUAUCAUUAAUCUAUUCCAACUUCAAUGUGAACGACCAAGACAAUGCAAGUCUCAAGUCCUGUUUGAAACGCAAAAGCAUUCAAGUGGUUGAGAGCAGCGAGCCUGAUCCCUUUUGUCCUUUUGUGUUAUGUAAAUCAAUUGUAGGGCCCUUUUACCCAAAUAACCCAAAAAAAUAUUAUAUUUAUAAAAAUAACCUAGGUUUAAAAACAAUCACUAAAAUAAUCUAAAAUGAACAGUACUCACUCUUUUUUUGCACCAAUGAUUGGCUAAUCAUUGUGUCAGAGUUAAAAAAAUUAUUUUUUUGGGUUCUGGCCUGUCAAUGGCCGGAACCCAUGUAUUUUUUUUAAAAAUUGUGUAAUACUGAAAUACGGAUAUACGAAAAAGAAAAAAACCAAAAAAAAAAUUUUUUUGGGUGCUGGCCUGUCAAUGGCCGGCACCCAGUACACAGUACAAAGGAAAAAAAAAAAUUAUUUUUUCGUAUCAGAAUCAGAUAAAAAAAUACGAAAAAAAUUUAAAAAAAAAUUUUUGGGUGCUGGCCUGUCAAUGGCCGGCACCCAGUACACAGUAGAAAGAAAAAAAAUUAUUUUUUUCGUGUUAGAAUCAGAUAAAAAAAUAUAAAAAAAAUUUUAAAAAAAAAAAUUGGGUGCUGGCCUGUCAAUGGCCGGCACCCAGUACGCAGUACAAAGAAAAAAAAAUUAUUUUUUUUCGUGUCUGAAUCAAAUAAAAAAAUACGAAAAAAAUAAAAAAAAAUUUUUGUACUGUGUACUGGGUGCCGGCCAUUGACAGGCCAGCACCCAAAAAAAAAAAAUUUUUGAUCAUUAUUUUAUGGUUCAAUUUUUUAUAUUUACUCAAAUCUCUGUUUCUAAUAAAUCUCUAAACAUUGAAAGAAUAUAUAGUUUAAUUAAUAACAAAUACGCGUUUUUUAUUUCCAAAAUUAUUGGUUCAAUCGAUUGAUUUAAUUAGAAAUUCAAAUAUUAUUUAUGAUUUUAAUAUAAAAACAAACUUAGUUAGCAGUUUGAUCCAUAAAUAUUGCAAAUUAAAAAUAUAACAUCAUUUUCACUCAAACUUAUUUUUUUUCCAUCAUCACCCAAACUUAAUUGAACACGAAAGAAAUAAUGACAUGUUUGCACAUGAUGUUUAAGGAAGAGUUAGAUACAACAAAAUACAAGAAUGUCAACUUCCCCAACGUGAUCCCCAUGUGAGAACAAAUUCUUCUAAUCCGUCAUGUUAAUUAUUACUUUUAUAUUUUUGUUACACUUUAAAAAACAUUAUUAUAUUCUCUUAUAAUUUUUUUUAAAUUGUAUCCAAAUAGGAAAAACAUUAUUGUUUUAUUAAAUCAAACAUACCAUAAAUGUCUUAAAAGUUAAGAUUUAAGACCAUAAGUACUACUAACAAAUCUAGUAUUAAUUAGAAACGAGUAAAAAUGGUUAACCCUCAUGUCUUUUAUGUACUUAGACAACCCAAAAUCUGAUAAUAUUUUUAUUAAAAAAAUUCAAAAAUAUGCGUUUUAAGGUAUGAGCUCACAUAUUACAUAUACUCUAUUUAAAUUCUGUCUUUAAGCCUAUCAUUAUCCUUUUAUGUGUCUUUAACCUUUUAUCUUGCAAACUUUUAUUCACCUUUAAUAAAAAAAAUCCUUUCAAUCUAUCAUUGUGUUAUAGUGUCUGACAGAAUUACUUAAUUUGGUCAAAUAUAAAUAAAGCAUAUAGCAUGAAAUUACUAAUAUAAAUUUAUGAAGCACGACUAAUGUCACGAAUUAAGUGUGUCGAAACCGUUUUUUGAAAAACAAAAAUUUAGUCGUUGACUUUAAAAAACAAAAUUGGAGUCGCCACCGAUCCUUUAUUAAGGUGUGACCGGCCCACCUUAAAAACUAUUUUGGUCUGCGAAUUUUGAAAACAGGUUCGGGAGUCAGUUACGCACGAGGAAGGGUUAGCACCCUCGUAACGCCCAAAAUCGGUACCAAAUUGAUUAUUUGAUGUCUUUGUGUCGAAAGUUAAAAAGAUUUUAAAAUAAGCUUGAAUGAUGAAAUUUGCAAAAGGAUAACCAAUUGUUUAAGUCAUGUAAAGAAAUCGAGUCCCAAUACGUUAGGGUACAAUUCCUCAAAAUUCCCCAAACUUGAAUAUCACUUUUAUUUUAUACGAAAAUCUUCAUUUCGAGAAAGUAACAUGCCACACCCAAUACGUUAGGGCACAACAAGUUAAGUUCCCAAAAAUGAUUUUUAUGCAUUUUGAAUAAAAAUAUUCUCGGUCAAUUAGGAUUGACAAAGUAAAUCAGAACCCAAUACGUUAGGGCUCAAUUUCCCUCGAAAAUCCCAAACUUCCAAAAAUGCUUUUAUUCAAAAAAAAACCUUUAAAUCAAGAAAAUAACUUUGAUGAAGGGUUAAAACCAAAAUAUAUUUUCAAGAGGGUAUGUUAAAGAGCUAAUAUACAAUAUGAUACAGAUCCUUUAAUUUUCAGCAUACACGAAUAAAUAUUUGCAGAUAUAUAUAUAUACAAAUAUAGUAUACAAGUAAACUAGCAAAUAUGCGUACACAUAUAUUUAAUGCAUACAUAGAAGUGUACAUAUAAAAAGGAAGGUAAAGAAAUAUAUACAACAAGCUCACAAUAGUUUCUAAGAAUAUGCAUGCAAAACACGUGUAUGUAUAUGUGAAAAUUGUGAAGAUCAAAAUAUCAAAAUAUGCAUAUGUAUAUAUUUACAAAGAAAAGUAUAAGUAUAUAGUAAAAAACAAAAUAAAAAUAAAAAACAUAUGUACAUAAAUAAAAAAAUUAAAAUAUAAAAGUUUUAUUUAUAUAUAUGUAAAAGUAAGAAAAUAAAAUAAAAAAUGUAUAAAAUAUAUAGAGGUAUUAUAAAAAAAAGUGCAUAUAUAUAUUAUAUAUAAAAGUCAUGCGUAUGAACAUGUAUUAUAAAAAACAAUGCAUGAAUGUUAUAAAAUAAUAAUAAUUACGUAUAUAACAUAUGCGUAUAAAACAUUUAAAUAUAUAUACAGUAUAUACAUAUUUACAAAAGUAAAAAGGCUUUUGAAAUUAAAAAUAAAAAAAUGUUUGUACGUACAUGAAAAUAAUAAUUACAAUAUUAAUAUUAAUAGUAAUAGUAAAUAAUAAUAAACAAGUAAUAAUACAUUAUAAUAACAACAAAUAAAAAAAUUUAAAUAGUGAAAUAGUUUAAAAAAUGGAUUAAAUUGAAAAAAAGACGAAAAACGGGGAAAUUUUGAAAUAAAUGAAAAAAACCAAUUUGAAUGCGCAGGAAAUAAUGGAGGAUCGAAAGGGAAAUUAUCCCUGCCUUCCCAAAACGCUGCGCAGAUAUGGGCCAGAUUGAAACAAAAAUUAAAUAUGCGGCUCAAUUUAAAAAGAAACAAAGGAGUUCAAUUGAAACACAACGCAAAAAAGGGGGACUAAACACGAAAUUUCCCCAUUCAGGCCAGAACGCGCGGAUCCUCCCCUCCGGUUCGGGUCACUGCACGGGUCUGGCCCCUUCAAAACGGCGUCGUUUGGCUUUUAAUAUAAAAUUAAAAUUUCUUAAAAAAAACCAAUUCUGCUUCAUUUUUUCUUUUCUCAAAACGACAGAGGGAAAAGGGGGAAGGUUGCUCUGCUAGGUUUUCUUAACCUAGCUUCGCGCCGCCGCUUGGCCUGCACCUCCACGCCUCGAUUUCGCUGGAGAAGACACCGGCCUGACAACUCCGGCGACCAGGUAAGUCUCUCCUCCUUUCUUUAUACCUUAAUUGAAAAAAAAAUAAAACAAAAAGGGAAAAAAAAUAGACUCGCCUUCAAAAAUAUCUUUGUCUCAGUAUAUUUUUCUCUCUAUAUUUGUCUCUGUUAAACUGAAAAUUCCCCCCCCAUUACACAAAAUUUGACUCGGUUUUAUAGCCGACCUAGAGAAAUAACAAUAAAAUCAAUAAAAAAUCCCUUGAUUCUCUGUAUUCUGUUGUUAUUUGUUUUUGAGUCUCGUUACAGGUACUGUUGGAGGAGAAUGCGCGCGACGUGCGCGGAGUAAUGUGCGCAACAUGCGGAGGCAACAGACGUGACGUGCGGGGGGCUGUUGCGGCGUGCGUGUAGGAGCUACUGCGGCGCGAGUUUGCUGCAGCGCCUAGGGUUUUUUUGGUUUUAGGCUAAUGGGGCUUGGGUUAAUUUUUAUUGGGCCAUACGGGUUGUAUGUUUAUUUGGGCCCGGGCAUAUUUGGGCUUGUAAAAAAAACUUGGACUGCCUUAUUUUUUGUUUUGUAAGGGCCCGGGCCAAUUGGGCCUGUUACAAAGUGCUAUGUUGAAUUUUGUUGGAAUAUUGUAGGUGUUACACAUUGUUAUAUUGAGUGGUACAAGUAUUUGAGUGCACCACAAGAGUUGUGAUUAUGUUGGUAAUUUUAUCUUAUAAUAAUAAUAAUAAUAAUAAUAAUUUUCUAUUUGAAGAUUUAGUAGUAACAAAUAUAUAGAUUAUAUUUGUAUUAGAAAUUAGAUUAUAUAGAGUGAAUUCUUGAAAUGGAUAAUUUGAAGGACAUUCAACUAAUAAGAAACCUAUGUCGAAUACAUCUCAGUUUGUAGUGGCUCGUGAUGUGAAAAUGUUGAUUCAUAAACAAUGGAAAAUUAAGGUUCAACAAGUUAACAAGGAAGGUAAUAGAGUUGCAGAUGCAUUGACUAAACAAAUUCUUAGUUGGGAGAUAUGUCUUUAUAGUUUUCUACAACCAUUCGUGUCUUGUCUCUUGUUCAUGACAACUUAAUCGAAGAUGACAAAAACAAUAUGACUUUGAUGUAAUGAAUCAAUUUGCUUUAUUUACCAAAAUAAACAUAUCAUUCUUUAUAUGAAGCACAAAAAAAGUUGAUGUAUUUACUGGGUAAAUAAUUUUUAUUGUUUUUAAUGAAUCAAUUUGUUUAUAUAUUUAUUGUUUUAUUUUUUUAUUUAAAAAGUGUAAUAUUUCAACACAUAAAAUUAUGAACAGCCACUCAAAAAGUUAUACUUAUUAAAUAAUUUUAAUUGAUUAAGAAUAUGUACAUUAGAGUCUUAUCCCUUACUAGAUAUAGUUGAAGAGUCAUCUUAUACAUAAAUGAAAGUGGAACUGAAAAUCUAUUUGUAGCUAAAAUGGUCAAUAAUUUCUUACAAUGCUCAAAUUAAAUGUAUUACAACGUAAAUUUAUCUUUUAUUAUAUUUUGAUAUACUAUCAUAAAUGUUUAAAUCUAACCUCACUUAUUUUCUUUUUCAAAUAAUUUUAAAAAAAUUUAAAAUUAUUCAAUUUAUAUAAAAAUUUCAAGUGACAUUAAUUAACACACUAAAACUUAUAUAUUUUGUAUUGACAAUAAUACUAAAAUCAAUCGAGAUGGAUUGUUAAGUUAAAAUAUUGAUUCCAAAAUUUAUAAAUAUUUAAUUAUUCUAAAGUAUAAAAUAAAAUAUUAGCUCCCAAGUCCCAACAUUUUAUCCCACAAAAGUUAAAUAAAAAUAAAAGAGUACGUUUCCCUAAACACUUCUUACAUUUCCCAACCAAAAAUGCAGUUCGUUUAGUUUGCUUCGGUAAUACGGUAGCGUUUUCCUAUGAGGAAAUCAGUCAAACUCCAUCACCAUACUCAAAACGAUUUCUUUAAAUUAAAUAUAAUUACUUAAUAUUUAAUUAAAUUAAAAAGAAAAACAACUCUGAUCAAAUGUAUAUAAGAAGAAAGUUUUGCUUAGUGUAAUCUGACUGUCAUUCAAGAUUUACGCAUUCAUUUCAGACAUAGCAGACCAUUUUGAAAUUCAAGUCUUUGGUUCAGAUUCUUUUUUCUUUCUUUUUUUGAAUAAAAUCUCUAGGAAAGUUCUUUUUUUUUUUUGGUGAAAUAAAAACAUCAGUUACAUACAGCAACCAUUCGUUUUAUCUACUUGUAAUAAAUCUAAAAGAUCCUUAGGAGCCUCAUCAAUAACUUGCAAGCUUGAUUUCCAACUCAAACUGAGUUUAGCAAGACGAUCUGCUACCAAAUUUUGAUUUCUUGGAAUGUGUUUUAUCCUCCACUCCCCUUCUGAAUGCAUAAUACGAAGAGUUCUUCGAAGCAUAGCAAUCCCUGAAUCUUCCAAAUCCAUAUUAGACAAGAUCUGAGCAACUUUAAGAUUAUCUGUCAUAAUAGUGAUUCGUUUAUAGCCCUUAUUAAGUAAAAUGAGGAUCACGUCAAGAAUAGCCCAAAAUUCAGCUUCGAACGAGGAGCACAUGCCAAGGAAUCGGUUAAAACCCACUAUCCAAUUUCCAUCUCGGUCCUGAGCCACUCCUCCUGUUGCAGCAUAGGCAGAAUCUCUUGCUACAGCUCCGUCAAUAAAAACACCCAAUUGUCAGCUGAAUUGAUCAUCAAGGAAGAGCCCUGCUUGCUCUUAAAGUGAUCUCCAAUAUGGUAGGUGUAGUGUCGGCCCCAACAAUAAGAGACUUUCACCACUUCCGUUGCUGUCCAAGAUAUAUGCUGGAAGAUGAAUAGAUUUCUAUUCUUCCAUAUACAAACCAAGCGACUAACCCAAACAGGCAUGACCACAUGAGACCAUAAUCCUGCAAUCUUUCAUGAAAACAAAGGUUAAGAAUAAGCCAAUCCUGAAAAGAAAUGGAAAAAAACCUUUGUUUUAACUGAUCAGGAAUCACAAGCCGCCACACAUCUUGCGCGGAGGGACAAUCUUUGAGAACAUGAACCAAAUCUUCAAUAUCAUGACCACAAAUAGAACAAGAGCUACAAUGAUAGAUUCCCCUUCUAGCUCAUUCUGAAUUUGUAAGAAGUUUUUGAUUGAAAGCAAGCCAAAGGAAGACUCAUACUCUCUGAGGACCUCGAUAUUUCCAAACAAUCUUCCAGUAAUCCUCCUGCGGAUUCCAAGAAUUCUCUUUCAAAUACCAAUAAGCACUACGAACUGAGAAGACACCAGACGCAGACUGAGUCCAAAUAAUCCUAUCCGAACCAGAGUUAGGGUGAGGAGGAGGAAUGCUAACAAUUCUAUUUAUUAUAACUUCAGGCACCCAGACACGAAAUAAAUCCAAAUUCCAGCUACCAUCUGAAUUGACCAUCUCCCUAACACAACAAUCCAAAUCAAGGUUAGCAGAAGGAUGAAUUUUUGAAAUUAAAGGGCCCAUACCUGGAAUCCAAGGAUCUUUCCAACAUCGAGCACUAGCACCGUCUCCAAUAGACCAAGCAAUAUUUUCUCUAAGAAGUGGCCAUAUCUUAGAAAGUGCCCUCCAUAAAAGAGAACAUUGGUUUCUUUUUAUAGAAUCCGGGAAUUGAUCUUUCCAACCAUAUUUGGCACGAAGAACACGGACCCAUAGUGCAUUACUUUUAGAAAUAAGAUUAAAUCCAAUCUUCAUAAGAAAAGAUAAAUUUUGAUCUUCCAAAUGUCUGAAACCAAGGCCUCCUCGAGACCUUGGUUGGAAAAUAGAAUUCCAACCCACCAAAGACAUUUUGGGAUGCCCAUCAGUACUACCCCAAAUAAACUGCCUGACCAAUCUUUCAAUGUCUGCACAAACACCUUUCGGAAUCAUCAAGGACUGCAUGAAAUAAUUAGGAAUAGAAAGAAGAACUGAUUGGGCCAAAGUGAUUCUACCAGCAAUGGAUAAAUUCCUAGCGUCCCAACUCUGUAAUUUCUUCCUCACUUUAUCCACAAUGAAGCUCAAGGUACUUUUUGAAAUCCUUUCGUGUAAAAGAGGAACACCUAAAUAAAUGCCAAGAUUUCGGACUUCCUGAAAUCCAAAAAGUUGGUUAAUUUGAUUACGAACAUUACCUUCUGUGUCUUUGGAAUAGAAAAUGCUACUUUUCCUAACACUUAUUUUGUGACCUGAAAUCACACAAAAUUGAGUUAGAAUAUUAUCCAGGAGACUAGCUUGAUCAAGCUGAGCUUUACAAAAGAUCACUAAAUCAUCCACAAAGAACAAAUGAGAAACUGAAGGACCUGUACAAGAAAGAUGAAUUGGAUCCCAUUUCCUAGAGUCAAUUUCAGUCCAAAUAAAAUGUCCUAACCAUUCCAUGCAAAGCACAAAGAGAUAAGGCGAUAAAGGACAACCUUGACGAAUACCUCUCUUAGGUAUGAACUUUUGAGUAGGUGUCACAUUCCAUAGAAUUUGCAUAGAAGAGGAAGAAAUAGCGGACAUGAUUACAUUCCUUAAGAAGACAGGAAUUCCAGCAUCAACCAAAGAAGCUCUUAUAAAGUCCCAACUAACUCUGUCGUAAGGUUUCUCCAAACCUAACUUAAUAGCCAUCCACUUUCUUACUUUCCUAUUACAACGCAUAAAAUGAAUGAUCUCUUGAGCUAAGAUAAUAUUAUCAAAAAUGUUACACCCAGCUAUGAACCCAGCUUGUUCUUGGGAUAUAAGCUUAGGAAAUAUAACUUUGAACCGAUUCGCAAUUAUUUUCAUUACCAACUUGUAGAGAACAGAACAAAGACUAAUAGGCCUAAAGUGGCUAAAGUCCUCAGGGUUCUCUUUUUUAGGAAUUAACACAAUCAGCGUAUUGUUCAAUUCAGCUUCAAUCGGACGUCCAUCAAAAAUAUCUUUGACCCACUGACAAACAUCAUUCCCAAGAAUAUCCCAUUGGCUUUGGAAAAAGUGAGCAUGGAAGCCAUCACUUCCAAGAGCUUUCAAAGGAGCCAUAUCAAACAAAGCCCUUUUAAUCUCCUCAUUAGAAAUAGGAGUCUCUAGGAAAGUAAUCUUAGAAGAGUUAAAGCGAGGAAAACCAAUAUUUGGAAUAUCCCUCGAUGUAGAAGAAAUCUCUCCAAAAAGUCCUUCAAAGAAUUCCACCGCCUUAGCCUGCAGAAUAUCUUGAUUAGUACACCAAUCCCCAUUAUCAACGCGUAAGGUUAUGAUAUGAUUGAAUUUCCUUCUCCUCAUCGUGCGACUAUGAAAAAACUUUGUAUUUCGGUCCCCCAAUUGAAGCCAAUCACAGUGAGCCUUUUGUCUCCAAAGUAAAUCUUCAUGAUCAAGCACAUUUUCCAGCUCAUCCCGAAUUUCCAAUUCUUUUCCAGCUAAAUACGUAGAGGAAGAAUGGUCCAUGGUUUUUUGGAUAUUAUUAAGAGAUCUCAUAAGAUUUCUCUUACGAGUACCCAUAAAACCAUAAAUAUUCUUGUUCCAAUCUUUAGCAAAAAAAGUGAAGUUAUUCAAAGAUUCAAACAUAUUACCUGCAAAAUUCCACUUUUCUUUAACAAGGUUAGAGAAAUUACGAUGUUUCGUCCAUCCCGCUAAAAACCUGAACGGUCUGCUUUGAGAAAUGUUAAGGUCGGAUGCAGUAGAUAACAAGAGGGGCCUAUGAUCUGACUUGAUACGAGUAAGAUGAUGGACAGAGAAUUGAGGAAAAGCAGACACCCAAGCAUCAUUAGCUAAGGCCCGAUCAAGUCUAACAAAGGUACCACCUCUUUGCCAAGUGAAAGCAGGUCCAUUAAACCCCAAAUCCUGCAACUCACAAGAUUCAACAAAAUUACCAAAUAAAUCACAGUGUUUACCAAUAGAGAUAGGACUCUUUUUAUCAAAAGAAGAUAAGAUAGCAUUGAAAUCUCCCAUAAUUAACCAAGGAGAAGAAAGAUUAGAAUUAGUUGAUUUUAAGUCAUCUCAAAGAAGCUUUCUUUUAGACCUAUCCGGACUGCCAUAAACAAAAGAAAUAAAAAAGAUUUAUUAGGAAUAAUAUUAUUAACACGUAAGAAAAUAAAUUGCAGAUGAUUUCGAACAAUAUGAAUUUGGAUAAAAUCUUUCCAACCAAUCCAUAUGCCACCUGAAAAACCAAUAGCUUCAACCCGAUGUGAAUAGUUAAACCCCAAUUUUUCAAUAAUAAGAUUAGCCUUAAUACCACUCACUCUCGGUUCCACCAAACAAACAAUAUCAGGCCUGUGCUCUGCAUUGUAUUCUUGAAAGGCUCGUAAAAACUUCCUGCUAGCACACCCUUGACAAUUCCAUGUAAAAUUUUUUAAAUUUAAAGGCAUAAUAAAAUAUAAAAAUAAAGAAAAUAAAGUAAAAUGAACCAAAACCCCAAUAUCAAAUUAUCAAAAUAAAACAAAACCUAUAAGGACUAAAAGAACAUCCUUACUGUCCAGGAGCAUUAGCUCCCUCUAUCUGCACAACAGAAUCCCCUCUAUUUACAACCCCAAGGUUAGGAGAUGCAAAGGUCGAGAUGCUCUCGGCUAGAUGUUCCAUCGACUCCUUCAAAGAUGUUCACUGGGAACCUGAAAUUUUGAAGCGAGUAUUGCUGCCAUGAAGGAUCUUAGACUGUUUUUUAGCUUGACCUCUUCCUCUGUUUUUAAGAGCUUUACCCGAACCGGAGGAUAGUACCAGAGAAGAAACAAAAUUUUUAGGUGAAUGGACAUUGUUAUUUUCCUUGCUUUGAAGGCUUUUAUGAAAUACCACCGCCGAGUGUCGACCAGAAUCUAGAUUACCAACAUCUAGAGAAACAGCAAAACUAUCUAAUUUUUAGAACUUUCUCCUUCAGGCCUGAACCCCACUCCGUCGCCCGGGAUUGUUUGUAUUUCAGCUGCAGCAAAAGACCGACUGCCGCUUCCAUCAGUAGUAAAGAGUUGCUGGGCUUCCAGUUCCAGAGUAGGUGAGCCCAAAGCUCCUCGGGCCUGACCCGCAGAUAAGUCCCCAUUGCCCAAACUGCUAACAGACUUAUCUAUAUUGCGAGAAUUUUCCUUCAGAACAGAAUUGGAUUUGUUGGGCUCCGAAAUUGGCCUGCCAUUAACUUUAGAGUUGGGUCCACCAAUCUCCUUCAAACCCACCUCCUUUGAAUUAUUUUUACUGUUUUUUCUCCACUCUAUUCGGCCAUUAAAGAAGGCAGUAGAAUCUUUACCCAUAGAAAUAUCUUGUGAAAUCUCUUUACGUUUGUCACGCUUGGAAUCCAGCAAAAAACCUUCAUCAUCCUUUUUGUACGAAUCUUUAUCAUUAAGGACUCUAAAACGAGAUCCUUCUUUUCCACUCUGUAGGCUAUUGAAGGAAUUAUUCACGUUUUCUCUAAUUUUCCUCCUUGAUUUCUUUUCAACGAUCAUCCAAGGACCGAAAUUCCCGUUUUCCUUCUCCACGCCAACCUUGUUCGUGUUCUGAAACUCCGAUGACAAUUCCGAUGGAGCAUUCUCCUUUUCACUAAGGCUUUUAGAGAUUUUAAAAGGGCAAGAAUUCUCCACAUGCCCAAAUCUCCCACAGUGAAAACAAAUUGUAGAUAAAGAUUCAUAUUCAACAUUCUGCUUUCGGCCGUUGAUCAAAAUAUAGGAUACCAACGGCUUUUCCAGGUCAACAUAAACAGCCAAUCUAGCAAAACGUCCCCUAGUCCUAUUAUCCGUGUUCAUAUCCAAUAUAACCACUUUUCCAGCCGUUUCCCCUAUCUCAGUGAUGAUCUUAUGAUUGUAUAAAUACCCAGGUAACCAGGGAAUCUAAUCCAUGCCAUCACAACAUUAGGGUAAGCUUGUGUGGGAUCAAAGGUUGGACUGUCAAGUAUUGACCAAAGAUGAUCCAAGGACCUUCAGAAAGCGCCUUUUCACAGUCCAACUUAUUCUGAAAUUUAACCAAGAAAUAUCCAUUUUCUAUGUCCAUCAUAUGUAACGCCGCUGAAGGUUUCCACAGAUUAUACAGUUUAUUCUGUAAAACCGAAAAACCAAUAUUACGACCAAGAAGCUUUAAAAUCACUGUGUUAUCCAUACCUUGAAUAAAGAUUUUGUGAAUCCUAUCCGAGAAGGAAAUAGAGGGUACGCCAUUCACAAAAGAUUUUUGAAUAUCCCCUUCCAAAAUAUCUAGAUCAUCUUUUCCUUCCAAAUCAUUGAAAGUCUCCUUUGACGAUUGGCCAACAAGCAUGUCCUUCCACGAGAUAGGUUUUUCCGGGGACGAGUCGAUCAUCAUAAUAUUAUUUGUAUCAACAUCUUCGCCUCUGAAACGAACUUUCUUAGGAAUCAACUCCUCAGAAAUAGAUUUUUCAAAGUCAAAAUUUUCACAGAGAGAACUCGUUCUUUUUUUUGUCCCCUCUUUUUUUUUUUUAAUUCCUUAACGAUAGUGAUUUCGGUUAUGGAGAAAAGGAGUGAAAAGUUGUGAUUUAUGUUGAAGUGGGCUUUUUUUUUCCUCUUUUACUAGUUUUAGAAAUGGGUUUGAUGGAGAUUUCAAUAAUGCUCCAUGUUGGAUUAGUUUUGUUCCUGCUUUGGACGCUUUCUCAAUUCAAACUUUGCCAUCCGGUUGCUUAUUUCGUGUCUCUCAUCUACCUCUAUUUGGUAAUUCAUUCAUCUUCUUCUAAGAAUAAAAAUGAAUCUUUUUUUCUUUAUUUUUGAACUUGGAUUGAACUUUUUUUUUAUUGCUUUGUUACAAAAAUUCCUUUUAUUUCUUUGUUCAUCAAAGGUUCAUGAAAUGUAUGUGACGAGAUUGAGGAAGAAAUUGGAGUUCGAGGAAAAGCGGCAACAAUUUAGGAGAAGGGUGAUUCUCCAAAUUUUAUUUUUUUCUUCUUUUUUUGCUUUACUUUUUAAGUUCUUAAAAAAUAUUGAUUUAUGCUGAUUGUUAUUGUAUUAUUUAUCAAUCAUUUUGGAUGUAUUUUUCCUUCUGGGUAAUUCUAAUUCUGAUACUUAGGGCACGUUUGGUUCGCUCUAAUAGAAUAGAGUUGUAAUUGAAUAGAGUUAUAAUGGAAUAGAAGCGUAAUAGUAAUUUAAUUGUUUGGUUGAAUGGAAUGGAAUAGAACUGUAAUAGCAUUCUUGUCUCUGGUUGAAUAGAAUAAUGUUGUAAUAGCAUAAGAAAAAAACUAAAAUGAGUAGAAUACCCUUAGCAGAAUUGUUUUAGUAAGAUGAUUAUUGUUAUUGUUAUUAAACUUUAAUAUAAAUAAUAAAUAAUAAAUAAUUUAAUCAUAUUUUAACAAAACUAUUAGUAAAUAUAAUUUAAUAAAAAUCUAUAAUUUAAUAAAAUUCUUAAUAAAAUUAUUCUUAUAUGAAUUUACUAAAAUCAUAAUAUAUAAUAAUAUAAAAUAUAAUUUAAAAUAAUUAUUAUUAAAUAUAAUUUAAUAAAAAUAUAUAAUUUAAUAAAAUUCUUAAUAUAAUUAUCCUUAUAUGAAUUUACUAAAAUCAUAAUAUAUAAUACUAUAAAAAUAAUAUAUAAUCUACUUUAUUAUUUUUAAACUAUAAUACAUAUUUAAUGUGCUAAAACAUCAUUAGUGAAAUAAAUAAUUUAAUUAUUUUACAAUAAAAAAUAUGAACAGUAAUAAAUAACUUAAGAAUUAUAUGCAAGGAGGAUGAUACAUGAAAAAAUUAAAGUACAAUUCAUCCGUAAUGAGUGUUUUAUUUUACAAAAGAUAAUGAUUAAAGAAAAUUCGUAAUUCAUUUUAUAACCAUUAAUGGCUUUUCUGUGUUUAAUAAAUUGAAAUUGACGAGAAAAAAAUGGAUCGGAGAGGGAAAAUAUCCUACAAUUGUCAAGGUGAUAAGGUAUUUUAAGAUUAUAAAAUACCUUAAGUUGGAUAAUAGCUCAAGGUUUCUUCUUCGGUACAAGUUAAACAACCAAUAGACGGAUCAAAUUGAAUGACUUAAUACAAACCUGAGCUAAAUUAUUUAAUUCAAACCAUAAUUUUAGUUGACUAGAAUGCAAUAAUUAAAUAACUUGAAUUAUUUAAUUUCACGAAAACAUAAAAAAUAAAAUUUAAGACAAUUUUCCCGUACAACAAAUCAUGUAAAAGGAGAUGAUCGACUCAUAAGCUCUAAAUAUUAUUCCCUAUAAAAUUUAGGACUCACAACCAACAGGUGUCUGUACCAUUUAAGAGGCAGUAAUUAUAUUUCAUUUAAGCUCUCUCCAAUCAGCACAUAAAAUAGGCUAGAAUACAUGCAAAUAAAAGUUUGAACAAGUCAUUUUUCAUCUAUUUUGAUUCGGGUACAAUCUUUUUAAAAUAAUUGAAAUAGUCAUAUUUUCAAAUUAUACUGGGAUAAAUAAGAACUUAAAAUAAUCCAAUCCACUAAUUUUAAACGCGGAACGAUAUUCAUUGACUGGAGUUCCUGAAAAAAUGACAUGAAAGGGGAAAGAUGUUGGGUAACAGGGGAAAAAAAAGCAAUGAAUGCAUAAGAAAAGAAAAAUAGUACAGACGUCAAAAAAAGACAAUGGAAUUGAAAAGUAUUCUUAUUAAAUGUGACAUGACUUUAGAAACAAUAUUAACCUCCUCUAUCUCCUUUAACAUGUUUUUAUUCAGAAACCAAAUUGAAUGACAACCAAUAUCUGUAUUUGUAUCACUGUUGGACAUAACUAACACAACCCUUCAACAAGCAAACAAAAGUACAUAGCUUCAUCUCAUAUGAAAUUCUUCACUUUUCUUUAAAUACCACAAAAGAUCAUGAAAAAAACAUUCAAAGAGUUGAACGUACCCGUAUCUGACUUAAUCAAACUCCAAGUAACAUAGAUGAAAUGCAUGCCUUUCGACUACAUGUGUUCAGGAGUGGUACUAACAAGUGCCAUAUGCAUCGACAAGCAUUAUAGAACAAAUGCCCUUUAAUUUCAGUAAGCAUUCUACUUUUUUUUUUUUCAAGAAAAAAAACCCCAUAUUUUAUUUGAGUAGGUCAGAGUGCGGCGUGAUACUUUCAAACAUGUCAUUUGUAUAACAAAAAUGUUUGCCAAAGUCUACCUGGAUUAAAAGCUUGCAUGCGUAUGGUAGUUUCAUGCUAGAAACAUUUUCUCCAAUUUUACAUGAAAAACAAAACCCAAUUUUCAGCUUAUGGCUGUAGUAUCCUAUCAAACCACAUUUUCGGCAAACCUGUGUCAAAAGAUGGUUAUUAUGAGAUUGAAGCUGAUUCCAAUCAAGCAGUAAAAGUGUAAAAAGAAAGCACCAUAACAAAGAUAUUACAUCCGAGCCAUUGCAAAGUACAAAUUGAACAUAUAACCGUAAACCAAAUUAACUCUGGACAGGCCAAAAUAAAUCUGACAGAGACCACACAUGAUUUACAUAAGGUGAAACUCAACCCGGACCCUCACCCUUUCGCAGCUGUGCCAACGCCUCAUUGGCCCCAUCACCGGAAAAUUAUAAAUAAAAAAUAUUCAAGCUUAAUAAUUAAACCAAUGUCAAGAAAUAUGAAAAUAACAGCUAUUUGUGAACUACAACGAUUAAUAUGAGCAACAUCAACGAGAAUUUUACUCUGGGUUUUCCAGACUAGAAAAAGCAAGAGACUUUUGCAACCUCUGGUCUUUAAGAGACUAGAUAGAAUUCAAGUACGCACAAAGGCAAACUUUUGAGUAGUUAUAUCCGGAAGUGGUUUGAUGCUGGAUUUAACUUCUUAAGUGAAUUACGUGUGGAAAAUAUUACAAUAUAUGCUAAGUACCUUAAGCAUUAUUUUUGCUGCUAUUUCUCAAUCAGUAAAACAUAACAUUCCAAUCCAAUGCUCCAUAAUUCAAAACAAAUCAUGAACAGCACAUGCACGUAGAAUCCAAUAACAUAAUUCACAUCCACCAAAACCAUAAUCAAAUACCUGGACAUCAUAUGGAUCGCUGGAUAGCAUCAUUACAGCUUUUCUGUAAUGUUAUUACAGCCAACCAAACGCCCGUUUGGUUCACAAAAUCUAAACAGAGAAAUGUUAUUCCGAAAUCUUACAUUACACUUGAGAAUGUGAAAUUACUUGAACCAAAAGCACUUAAUAUUUAGAGGCUACCUGUUAACCAUUUGAUUGCUAAUCUUUAAAAGCUAUUUGAACAAGAAGGAAAUAUUAAAAGUGCCACAAAAUUGCUGCCACUCUUGCUACACAUUUGACUUCUUCACCAUUAACAAUCGACGUUUUCAAUAGUAAACGAACAAGACAGUAGCGAAUACAAAGGUCCUAUUACUUAAAUUCUGGCUAUAAAUAUUGCCGAAAAGGAAAAAAACCUUGGAGUGUUGCUGGAAGAGUUGCCUCCUGUACCAAGGUGAUCUUCUCGUAUCCAAGAUCCUUUACUCCAUUCAGUAAUAUAGAUGAAAGUGAAAGUCGAUCAAAUCUGCAAGCGUAGCAAGGAAAAGAAACCAGACACUUAUAAAAAUCCUAGAUAAUAAGAAUCAUGUCUCAGAAAACUGAUAAUUAAAAAAAAAAGGCCUUGUUUCACUCAAAAAAGACUCGAAUUUCUCUGGUGAACCUCUUGGAUUCUCUGUCUCCGGUCCCGGUGUGGAACUAGCAUUCGUAUUUCCAGAAUCGAAACCAGUCUUAAUUCUUUUUCCGUCCAACGAAUACAAAUUAGCAGAGGGGUCCCCAGUUCCAUCAUGUUCGACUCAAGACUCACUCUUUCUUUUCCUCUUCGAUGAACCCAUAUCUCCCUCUCUACCUCUACUCCUAUUUCUAUUUCGUGCUCUAUCCGCAGCUAAUCCUCGUCUUCGCUAGUAAGUCAGUCAAGGAACAAGCGGUUCCCAACUCGCGAACCCAGUCACUGAAUUGGACUAGUCCUCGACAACGACCUUCGAGGCUCGGAUAUCUUCUCUAUUUUCAGUGGCCUACGGGCAGUCAGAGGCUCCGAUUACUGAUGUCCCGCAAUAAAGGCUGUAAGCCGAAAACUUGAGUGCGAGCAUUUUUCGUUGUUGAUAAAAUGGAGAAAAGAAAAGAAAUGUGAGAAGAAAAGAAACGUACGAGAAGAAGAAGCAGAAACGAUGGAAGGGAAAAAAAUUACCUUGCAAUUCUUCUAGAAACGUCGGAGAGGAUGAGGGCAGAAAACAGAAGAGAAAAUUCGGAAUUGGGGGGAAUCCCUAAUCGGCGCUUAAACAUCAGAAUGGCUAUUACAGCCAAUUUGGAUAAUAGGGGCGGAAACAAAAAAAGAAACUUCAUAGAAGUCGAAAUAUGAAGAAAUAUAUAUGCCUAGAUACUUUAUUCUAUGGAUAAAGAUCUAAUUGAUAGAGGAAGUGCCGUAAAGAUCAAUUAGCGAAGUUUUGAGCAGAUACAAUAAAUAAGAACUGCUUAUUUAUGUCAUGAUAAGAGAUAAAAAUUAGAAAUCGACUUAUGUAAUAGAGCCGAUCCCCUAAGUUAUUAAAUAGCGGUGUAACAUCAGAUCCCAAAUACAGUAAGUCUUUUUUAUGAGGAAGAAGUUUUUUUCAAGGAUUCUAUAUAAAUUUCUAUAUGAAACCGAGAUAGUUACCUUUCAGGUAAUAACAUUACACCCAACUAAACACCCGUUUGAUGGUGGGUCCGGGGAAUUGGGUGGAAUGCAUACCGAUUCCCCCAACCAAACAUGCCGACUGUACCAGAUCAUUUUUCUUCUUUAAUGGAUGUUUUAGCUUUCUUUAUUUGGUUCAAAUGGUUACUUUUUUUGCGGUCAAUUUUAGUCUUGGAUGUUGAGAAAAAAUGUUUAGAAUUAACCUUUUUAUGAAAACAAGAAAAAGCAUAUGAUUUGCAGCUUUUUAUGUUGUUUUAUUUUCUUUGUGUAGUAUACAUAGGCAGAUUGAAGUUUUAGAAUCUUAAUUUUAAAUUCUGAUCUUGUAAAGUCUGUCCCUUUAAUGCUUUGUUGGCCUUUUUCAUUAGGUACUUUCGGAUUCCAAAUCUGUUCGGUGGCUAAGGCUUAGUUUGAAUGGGCGGUGUGUUUAGCUCUGGUGAGGUUAAAAACAGCGGUGGCGGUGAAAUUGGGUACUGUAGCGGUGAGAUUGGGUACUGUAGCAGUGAGAUUAGAAACAGCGGUGGAGUGUGUGUUUGGAUUCAAACGCAGCUAUAACAGUGAGGUGAAAAUAGAAAAUGACUUUUAAAGAUAUUUGAUUAAAAAUGAUAUAUAAUAGAAGUUUUUAAAAUUAUUUAACAAUUACAAAAUUAAUAAAUGAUUAAAAAUUAUUACAAUUAUAUUUAUUUUUAAUAAUAAAUAAUUAAAAAUGAAUUAAAACUAGAGAAAAAUUCAAAAAUUUAUUUUAUUUAAUAUUUCAAAAUUAAUCAUAUAUUUAAUUAUAGGGGCUCAAUUCAUUAUUGAAAGAUUAUUGAAAUUAUUGAGCCUUUAGAAAAAUAAAACAUUAUUGAAAGAUAAAAUAAUAAAACAACACUAAAAUAAGGGUCUUAAUGCAUGUUAUUUCAAAUGUUUGUCAUUAGUAACUCAAUGCAAGACAUUGCUAGCACCAAAUAACUUUAAAACUAAAAUCAACCGUUGGCUAGUAACUGAAAUAGCCUAUGGCCACCAUGUAGAAUGUGCAAUGUCGAGCAUUGAGCUGGUCAUCAAUGCUAAAGGGAAGAGUUAAAAAUCACAUCUGAUGGGGUUUUGACAACAGAGGAAGAAAACAGAAGCAAGUAACUCGGAUGAUGUAAAGAUUAACUUCAUUACUUGAAUAAGCAAUAUGCCAUAUACAUAAGUAGUCCGGAUUACAUGUGUUGGUUUUUUUAGCAGAAAACUAAGGAGAAAAAAAAAACGAAUGCAAAGAAGUUUGAACAAUAAGAAAACUGAAUUUGAUUUCCAAAAAUCAGAUCUUUUUCAUUGACUUGAGAAGCAUUUAUGUUACAAUGAAACAUGGCAGUUAACUAAUGUAUAACUGCUCCCACUAAUACAUGACUAAAGCCUAGAUAGAAUUACAAACAAAAUGUAGCUGACAUACCAGCUAUAACAUCAAACAUAAAUCCAACCCUAUCAAAAUGUAUUAUAACAAGAGAUAGAUGUCUAAGGUGUCAUGCUACUAAAGACAUCUAAAAUUGAACGUCCAAGUAAAGAAGCACAAAUCUAUGAAUGUUUAUUUAGGUACAAAAAAAUUCCUGAAAAAUGCAGGCACAAAAGAUGAAAAGAUAUUAUCUUUGCAUACUGCAUGCCAAACUAGUUUAAAACCUUCUGUCCAAAAAUACUAAACCUUUUAAGGAAGCAGUUUUCAACUGAUCUUAACAAUGGAAAUUGAGUUGUAGCAAAGUAAGGUCAUAAUAAAUGGUUGCUAACAUGAAAGCAAAAAUAACCAUGAAGAAAUAAAUCUAUCAAGUGAACCUCCUCAAUUGCCGAGGUAUGUUCCUCUAGGCGCAAAUCAUGUACUUUUGGAAGAGCACUAGCUGCACAUUUUCUAACAUAGACAGAUGGAUCUCUAGCACACUUGCCCACAGCCACCAGAACAAGAGGCGCAAUAACAUGAAGACGAAUUCCAGCCAUGGUGCGAAGUGCCCAUGCUCUCACCAAGGGAUUAGGGUCCACCAAAUCCUCCUGGAAACAAUUAAUUGACAAUAAUGCUUCGUUGGGACGCCUACAAAAUUAAACACAGAAACAUUAACAAUAAGUUCAAUCUACCUGCUUAAAUACAAGAAAUACAAUCCAGGUCACUCGUCACCUCUCCUUUGAGCCACUAUUAUUUUAAACUAAUGAGUUUCCACCAUCUCAAGCACUGCUUUUAUUAAGAAAAAGAACAAUUCUUCAAAAUGAAUUGUAAUUAAUUAAACUUGAAAAGUGCUUAAAAACAAUGAUCUAAUAACUACUCUUAUCUAAUAACUAGUUAAACUUGAUACCGUUUCUAUCCGGUGCAAUUAGAGAUAGAUUUCAAGCAAACAUGUUCUUUGUUCAUACUAAUAAUUCCCUCAUUUACUAAUAUUGCUUCUUAACAUAUGGAAGCAACCAUUGGAAAAUAAAAAGAAUAUUGUAAGAGAAGUUUGCGAAACAUACUUUUCAGCAUAAUGCAGUAGAUACAAAUAAACAAGUUUCUUUACUUCCAAAGAUUGAGAUGCCACGUUUUUAACAACCUGUAAUUCAAGCAACCAGAGAGAUGAAAAACAUAUAUACACCUCAAUUAACAAACAAAUAUAAUAUUUAAAAGUAUCCAUUACCAAACCCUGAUUUCAUAUCAUGAAUGUAAUUAUGAACAGCUAUCUGUAUUUUAUCCACAGUCCUAGACCCGAUUCAACCAUUUCUUCACUAAACAGAGUACAUCUAUCAAUAAAGAUCCAAUGAAUUAUAACUACAACACUCGAUAGCUUAAUUUUCUUUCUCAAUUAUCCUGUGAUAAGUUCACUACACCUAUUAAACAAUGAUAUUUAAACUUUUAGACACUUAAAUUUAUUUACACUUUCCAGAAACCUUAUCAGCUGUCAAAACGGUGCUCUGAAUGAAAUUACAAAAUCCAGAUCACUUCAAUAUUAAAUUUUAAGUAAUUUUUUCAGAGUUCAUUCAAUAAAAAGAAACCAAAAAUGAAAAACAAAUUACCUGAGGGAAGUAAUUGGAGACGUCGAAGCCUUGAGCGAUGAGAGCGAGGAGUCACUUGAGAGCCUCACACUUCUCCGAAUCGAAUUUACUAUCUAAAAGCGGAGCUAUGCUGACAUCAUCCGGAUCGUCGUAGAGGUGAGCAUCGGUUCCGAUCCGGAACACCAUCGUCGACGCCUUGCUCAACGUCUCCGCCGUCGCUCCGAACUGUGGAAACAUUUCCGAUUAGUUUUUCCUUUUUCUUCUUUACACAAAUUAAGAAUUCAUCAAAAUUGAAUUUGAAAAAUUAAUUUCAAGGGGGAAAUUGAGAAGACUUUGUGAUCUCUUGAUGUACUAAUGGAAGCAUUCAUGGUAGAUUUGCCUGAGAAAGAGAGAAAGAGAGGAAACAAAACAGAAUAUGCUGAGAAGAGAAGAUGAAGAACGGAAGAAGAAAAAGGAAUAAAGAACGGAAGAAGGAGAAGGAGCCUUACCUGGAUGAAGGAGGAACCGGAAGAAGUCCUUGACCAAACUGAUUUGCAACCCAAGGGGAAGGGGAAAGGGAAGGGGAAGGGGAAAGGGGAGAAGCAGGUAACUAAACAUCAGAAAAGCCUGAAGAAUGCAACUGAAGAAUAUAUGGGUAAAAGAGGAAAACAAAAAGUAAUUGAAGUUGCUUAAUUUUUACUGGAACAAAAGGCUCCAGUCUGGAUUUGAGACUCCGGCAAGGUGAAAUGCAUUUUCAACGCACUAAACAAAGCUUUCCAAACAGCCUUGCGUUUACUAAUAUUUCAGUUGUAAUUUUUUUUAGCGUUAAAAAACUAACGUACUGAGAUGCAGUUGCAUCCAAAGGGAGCCUAAACCAUGCUGUUGAAAAAAUAUGGCCUAUUUGUAUGAAACAGAUUGCAUCACAGAAGAUUCUGCUUCCCAUCAUACCUUGGUUCUUGGCUAAGUACAAACCUUGGACUGCUGUAUGAAUUUUGCUUCUCUUGGCUAUCUCUGGAAAAUUAGUACAUAAAGAUUCUGAUUUAGUUAAAUGUUCAAUUUAGUGCAAGAAUUAUGAGCAAUUUGUACUUUUUCAAGACUUGCAUUAGCUCCUAUGAAGUUACUUUCAAUGACCAUCAGAUGAUUAUUUUUUGAUCCAUUUUGGGUGUGCUUAAAAACUUAAUAUUUUAAUUUUUCCUUAAUUUUGUCUGUUGACACCAUUUUUUGGAUGAAAACGGGGUCGACUUGGGUUUUGACGAAAACGAAAAAAACGGGAGUCGCCACCGAUCUUUUUGAUGAGGCGUGAUCGGGUCACCUUGAAAAAUGGUUGUUUUUAAUAAACAAUUUAAUUUUAUUAAAAACAACGAGUUUGGUCCACGAAAUUCAGAAAAUGGGUCCGGGAGUCAGUUACGUACGAGGAAGGAUUAGCACCCUCGUAGCACCCAAAAAUUGGUACCUAGUUGAUUAGUUAAUGUCUUAAUGUCGAAAAACUGAGAACUUUAAAGAAAUUUAAAAAUACAAUCCUUAUUUUGAAAUAAAAUUUAUAAAAAUCGAGCUGCUUAUUAAGACUUUUUCGUUUCAGAAAGAGAAAAUGUCAUACCCAAUACGUUAGGGUACGAUAUCUUACCUUUUCAGAAAUGAGCAAGUCUAAACUCGCAUAGAAAAGUUUAAAAGAGUGUUUAAUUGUUUAAGUCAUAUGAAAAAAUUGCAACCCAAUACGUUAGGGUACAAUUUCUUCAACUAUUAAACAUUGAAUAUUGCAUUUAUUUUGAAAAAUCCUCGUCUCGAGAAAUCGAUGUAUCAUGUCCAAUACAUUAGGACACGACGUAUUGAAUUCUCGUUAAAGAGUUUUCGUUUAUGUCUUUUUUAUAAAAAAAGGUAAUCUCGAUUAUUUAGAUUCAAUAAAGAAAAUCGAAACCCAAUACGUUAGGGCUCGAUUCUCUCGAAGAUCCCAAAUACCGAGUGUUGUUUUUAUUUUUGAAUUUUCCGUUUUUUUUUAUAAAUAAAUAAGAUGGCAAACAUAUAAUAAAAAGAAAUCAAUAAAUAAAAGUAAAUGAACAAAUAAAAAUUAAAGCACCUAAGCAAAUAAUAAUAAGCAUGUAGAUAAAUAAAUUAAUUAACACCAAAUGAAACAAUAGUAAUGGAUAACAUUAUAGUAUAUAUAUAUAUAUGUAUGUGUAUGUGUGUGUAUUAGAAUUAUAAAGCAUAAAAAUAUACGUAUGUGCAUAUAAGAAUAUGUAAGCAUGUAUUUGUGAAAAUUAAAAAUAUGCAUAUAUAAGAUUAUUAAACAUAUAUAUAUGAAAAUUAGAACGUAUAUAGGACAUACAUAAUAUAUUAUAUAAAAUAUAGUAUAUAUUAGGGAAAUAUAUAAAUACAUAAAUAUGUACAUGAAUAAUAACAAAGGGAUAAAUGUACACUUGUAUAUAUAUAUAUAUCCUAAAACAUGUACGUAUAUAUUAAGAUAAUAAAAAUACAUGCAUAUAUAUAGAUUGUAAGAUAGAUAUGUAUAUAAAAAUGAGUAUUUGUAUUAAAUAAGUUAAAAAAAGAAGAUAUAUAUAUACGCAUAUAUAUAAACAAUUAUAUAAUAAAAAUAAUAUAAUAAAACAUAUAUAUCUAAGACUUUCAUAAGAAAAUAGAAAUAAAAAAAACAUAACAAUAAUAUCAAUAAUAUUAAUAAAUAUACUAAUAACAAUAAUAAUAAUAAUAAUAAAAUUGCUAAAUAUGGACUUAAUCGAAAUAAAAACGAAAGUACUGGGCGAAAUCGAAAUAAAAAAACAAAUAAGGAUUAAAUUGUAACUCGCGCCAAACAGAGAGGGACCAAAACAGUAAAUAGACGGAGUUCUAAAAACGCGGCGUUGCAUUGGACUAAAUUGAAACAAAAAUAAAAUUGUAGGGCUAGAUUGAAAAUAAAAGAAAAUAGCAAAAGGGGGCUUGAUUGAAACGCGCUGCAGAGUCGAAGGUCUGCGCGCGCAAUUAUACCCUUUAAAGAAAACACGCGAAUCCUCCCCCUGGGUCGGGUCACCGCGCGGGUCAAGGCCAAAACGGCGUCGUUUUGGCACCUGACCCCUAAGGGCAAAACGGCGUCGUUUUAAAAGGGCUAUUUAAGCCCAAAAAUUUUCUAAAAACUCAUUUCAACCCCCCCAUCUUUAAAAAAAAACAACAGAGCUCCCCUCCUCCUCUCAAGGCUCCGGCUUGGAUCCGAUCAAACGCUCCGGCGUUCCUCCGUCGUAUCCUCGCCGCAGGCGGUGGCCGGAGGUACAAAAUGGAACCUUUUCGGUUCCUUUUUGAUGCCGAAGGCCUCCUAAACACGGAUCCAACGCCGAAUCUUGUAAAAGGCGAGCCUAACCCCACAAAACGAGGAGUAACCGUCCGUCUCCUCUUCCUCCGGCGCGGCGCUAAAAGGUAUUUUUUACUCCUUUUUUGUUUUUUAAAGAAAUAAAUCGAAAAAUAAUGAUAUUUUUAUGAAAAGUGUAAGAAAAACAGAGAAGUGAAAGGCGAAAAUCACCUUCAAUCGCUUUGUUUGCUUUUGAUUUCUGAGAAUAUUUGUAAAAGAGGGGAAUCCGACCCCUUACAAUGAUAAUCACUAGCUUUUUAUAGCCCAAAAAUUACAUGUUUUUUAUAUUCUAUUAUUUCUCUCUCUUUGGUUGCUGUGGCUUUCUUUGUUUUCUUCCUUGCAGGUGACGGCGCAAGUGGGACGAUGGGACAGUGGCGGUGCAAGGCGAUGGCGGUGGCGGCUGAAAUCUAGGGGUCAAAGACCCUAGAUGCGGCGUUAGGGUUUCAGACUUUCUGAAACCCUAAGUAACUUUUUUAGGAUGUUGGGCCUGAGCUAUUGGGCUCCGAGUUUGCUGGGUUAGGGCCACUUGAGUUUGAUGGGCUGUUCGGGUUUGGGCUGGUCUGUUUGAGUUUUGUAAUGGGCCCGGUUUUGGGCAAAAUUGGGUUGUACAUUGUCCAUUCAAACAUAUUAAGACUAUUUGGUUUGGUUUGCCUGUCGGUACGUAAGCGCUUAUUCAUGCAAAAGUAUCCUUUUAUCAAUUAAAAAGAACAGCAAUAAGGUAAAACGUCAAUCUCUAAUAGGGUUUGCGGCGUCGGCAAACGAGUGUAGAAUCUUCUACGGUAAGCAAUAGCAUGCUAUCCUAUUUUCCUCCAAUAGCAUAUUUAUUUAUCAUUAAUAAUUAAUUUUAUUUUAAUUGUAAUAAAAAAAUUAUGACAUAAUUCAUCGUUUACAAACACCAUCUUCAUAUAAUAUUUAAAUUUUAUUUUAGAUAAUUUAUGAUUGUAAUUCUUGAACACAUAUGACAUAAUGGAUGAUUAUUUGAUAAAGCUGAUAGUAAAUUUUUUAAUUUCAUAAAUAGAUUUGAAAGUUCGAUAUAUAUUUUAAGUUGUAUUUAAAAAAAAUAGGAUAUAUGAAAAUUUUUCAAUCUCGCUUAUUGAGUUAAUUAAUAAUCCAUAAAAAAUAUUACUUUGUAUGUUUUAAUUCUUAAUUAAUUUUAGAUAUUUGACUUCUAUUAAUUUAAAUGUUUUAAUGUUUUUUUUGAAUUAAAAAAAGUGUGUAUUUAAUUCUUCAUAAAACAAAUUAUUUGUACAUAAUCAUAAAUCGGUAUAAGAAGAUCAAACCUAAUAUAUCAAAGCAACUAAUUAAGCGGAUUGAUUGUUUGAUUCCAAAUGUUUAAAUUUGAUAAUCAAUGAAUUUAAAGAUAUAAUGAGAUGUAAUUUUGUAAAUUAGAUAUCUCAAUCUUAAUAUUAAGUGAAUGGUGACUCUAACCUACUUAAAAACAAGAAAACAAUCAAUCUUCACUUUAAUUUGUAUGACGCAAAGUUCUUAAAACCAUUUCAAAGAACCGUUAAAAAAUAAUAGAUACAAGAUUUAAUCAAAACAUCAAGUAACGACUCAACCAAAACCCACCAAAGAGAUAUCUAAAGUCUCAAAUCUGGAAUUAAAGGUCAACGUAAACACAAAAUUCUCCAAAAGUAUUAUGAGUUCUAACCUUUUAAUGGGUAUAAUUUCUAAGGUUUUACAAUAGUCUAUUUACAUGCAAAAUUUGUAGCCCAAAUAAAAAUAAAAUAAUAUAGACUAAUCAAAGUUUAACUAAAAUAAAUAAACAGAGUUUAACUGAAAGAUUACCUCUCAAAUUUAAUCGAAAUAUGAGGCAUGCUCAAUAAUAAAGGUAUCACUUCAUGAUAUAAAGGUAUCACUCCUUCAAUGGUAUAAAGCUACAUAAAAUCUUAGUUAUGUCUUUGAAAUAUUUUCAUAAAGGCAUGUGCAAAAACUUUUUCAUUCUAAACAAAUUCAUUCCCUCAAUAUUUUUUAUUUAAAAUCAAAACCACAUUUAUUUUUAAACAACAUCUAACAAUAUAUUUGGCUCAUCCAACAAUUUAUUUUUAAAUGAAAUUUAUUUUAAAAAACCAAAUGAGAAUCAUUAUACAACUUCAUAAAGUCGAUGACACAUCCAACAUUUAAAGCACAAAAAAACUAGAUAGGCCAACAACAAAACAAUAAUGCCAACAUUCUCAAAUACCGCAACAAAUUUGUUCUAAAAACAAAAGAUAGCGCAUCGAACCUAGAGCGUAGAAAUACUUGAAUUCAAUCAUUGUAACAACGAAAAAGGAAAUAAGACAUCCAACAUCCUCAUCACAAUAGAUUCUCCUCUGACCCGCCAACAGCGUUUGCAAUGCAAUAAAACAAAAAAAAGAGGUUAUUGUGAUAGCAACUCUUAUAAAUAUUCCAAAAUUAACUUUUAGAUGCAUCAAGUCUUAAUCUAAGGGAAAGGGUUUAUCCAAACAUGAAAAAUCUAACCAACUCAAUUCAAUUCAACCCAACCUCAACCUAUCUAUAUAGUUUACUUUUAAUUUAUAUCUAAUUUCAAUUAUGGUUUAAAUUUAAAUAUUUUUUAACAAAAAUUUUAAAUACUUAAUAUUGAACAAAUAGUCAUAUUAAUGAAAAUAUGUAAUUAUGAACAAUAACUUAACACAUAGGUAAAAGUAUUUUUUUUUACUUAAUAAUAUUAUUAGCAAUAGUACGUUAUUAAUUGUAUAUAUGAAAAUAAUGAAGCUUAAAAAUUAAAAUUUAAAGACAAUGUCAUUGUCAAAUUUACUCAAAAUUUAUUUUUAACUAUAGUUAUCUAUGUACAUAUGUGACACACAUAAUAAGAUGCUAAUAUAUUUAAGGCAAAAUAUUAUAAAGUUAAACGGUUAGAUAAUGAAGUGAAAUGUUUCUAACCUUAUGCAAUAUUUGAACUUGUUAUAGUAACAGUAUCCAAUGAUGUACUUGGCUCAUCAUUAGAGUUCUCACACCUAUGAACCUCCAUUGAUGUUUCAAGCGGCAGUUGAUGGAAUGGCUUAGGAGCCAUUUCAAGGAGUUCAACAUCAGAUUCAAGCAUCUUCAAAACUUUACUCAUUGAAGGACGAUCAGAAGGCAGUAAUUGUAUACACCAAAAGGCUGUUAUUACCAUUUUCUUUACCAUUGCUUUUUCAUCGUCAGAAACAUCUCCCAACUCCAAGUCCUCUCCUUGAUCUAAUCGGUCAUAAAUCCAAGAUGGAAAAUAUAUUUGACUAGUGUGGUCAGCAAAUGCAUUCACAUUCUUUCUCCUUCCAACUAUUUCCAUCAGUAACAUUCCAAAACUAUAAACAUCGGCUUUGUAUGAGAUGCCUCCAAGAUUUUUGUAAACCAAUUCAGGAGCAAUAUAUCCUAUCGUUCCUCGUGCCGCAGUGAGAGAGACAAUGCUAUUAUCUACUGAAUACAAUUUAGCAAGACCAAAAUCCGAAACUUUUGGAUUAAAAUUCUCAUCAAGAAGAAUAUUGUGUGGCUUGAUAUCAAAAUGUAGAAUUUGCAUGUCACAUCCUUGAUGUAAGUAGUGAAUUCCUUGAGCCACCCCAAGUACAAUAUCAAACAUUUUUUUCCAGCCCAAAGUGUUCUUAUUUUCUUCUGUAAAUAUGAUUUUAUCUAAAGAUCCAUUAGACAUGAAGUCAUAUACCAGAGCUUGCUUUGAUCCCUCCACACAAAAUCCGAUAAGUUUUGCCACAUUAGCAUGAUGAAUUGUCCCAAUGGAAGCAACUUCGUUUAUGAAAUCUUGGCCAUUACCCUUUGACUUGCCCAACAAUUUUAUUGCCACAUGAUGGCCGCUACGAAGCUUUCCUUUAAACACUGAGCCAUAACCCCCUUCACCUAAUUUAUCUUUAAAAUUUUUAGUCAUUUUUUUAAUUUCUUUAAAAGAAUACCUUAUUGGCACCAAAUUAUUUAGGCUUUGAAGGAACUCUUCGAUCCUAUCAUCCAUGGAUAAAUGUCUUCUUCUCCAUUUGUAUGUGACAAGAGCAAGCAAACAAAUGAUCCCAGAAAACAACCUCAAAAAGAUAACUCCACCUUUAAAGAAAUACAAUGUAACAGUUAAAAUUAAUCAAAUAAUAUAUAACUUACAUUCUCAGAAAAAAGUAUAUAGUGUGAUAGUUUUAUGUUAACUAGUAUUUGAGAGAGUGGCAUAUUUCACUAGUCUAUGGACUUAACCGAGAGUAGUCCAAAUUAUAUGUUAUGUUUUUGUCAUUAGCAGGUAUAUCUCAACAGUUUAAAAUUCAGUAUUUCAAACAAAAAAAGAGUAAAUCAUGCAAAGUGGAUACCAAUUCUAACCUCACACAUUCCAACAGAUUGACAGGAUCAUGACAUUCACCCAAAUUCUAAAGAAAGAACAUGAUUCUUAACCAUGAAGGAUACUCAACUGUUGUCUCUAUUCAUGCCAAAUAAACUUGAGGAAGGACAAAUUAAAAAUAUAAUAACCUUCAAAUUUCAUAAAUGAAACAAAAUCUAGAACCACCAAAAGAUGCAAGAGAACUCCCCCAAAAAAAAAAGAUUUGAUAAAUUCAAGAGCUAACUUUCUUUACUUGACAAAAAAAAUAUUCUUUCGUAUAAUAGAAGAAGAUUGUUUUCGGCAUUCAAACUCCUUAAAGAAUGCUAUAGAUUUCUUAGUUUUGCAGUGAAAUUAAAUAUAAACUUGUAUACUAUGAUAGGCUCCUUAUUCUUUUUUUCCCCCCAAGAAAAUUGCUAAUAUCUUUUCUUAACUAGUGCUAGAAUUUGUAUCUGAAAAAAUGCAAAUCUGCAAAUCCAAAAUUAACAAUACCUGUUAUUGCCAAACAAAGACUAUAAGUUCCUGUAAAAAAAACCACGAAUAAAAACGAAAUAUCAUUAUUUCAAGAGAACAGCGAAAUACUAAAAUCAAAGCACUUCUAUUGAAUUUUGGGAAGCCAUAUUUGUUCUCAACUAGUGAAAAUGCAAAUCUGCAAAUCUAAAAUUAAAUAUACCUGUUAUUAGCAAACAGAGACGAUAAGCUCCGAAGAAUCUGGAUUAUAUAUUCAACAAAUCAAAGUAAAAUUAAUAAAGGGGUGUAAAGAAAAAUUCCAAAUUUGUAUAAAAAAAUCAAUGGAAGGUAAUUUAAAAAAUUAUAUUAUGUUUUGUGGUAUAUACUCAAAAAAGAAAUACAACAAUUCUUUACAUAUGUUUGCUUGUAAAAAGUAUGCAACAUGUGUUACAGUAUAAGAGUUUUUAGGUAACUAAUAUGAUUUAAUAUAAUGAAAGGUGAGACAAAAUUUAUUCAAAUUAAUUAAUCCAAAAAGUAUAUAUUAUAGCAUUAAAAGAGUUUUUGCCAAAAAAAAUAAACUCAUCCACAAUGGUGGAAUAUUUACGUACUACCAACUAAAUUGAAAAUUCAUCAAAAAUAAAGACAAAAUAAAAAGAUAGACAUAAUCAAAUAUAAUUGUCCAAAAAGAAGACAAAACAGCAGAGAAAGCAGAGGCAGAUACUAAAUUAGAAAUGCUUUUAGUUCAUUUGAUUGUUAGAUGUUGAUCAAUUUUAGAUGCAAAAUCAUCAUACUUAAUUACCAUCAUAAUAUUUAAUUGUGAUAAAUGUAACAUAAAAUAAAACAAAACAAAAAGUAGAUGUUGUAACUAAAAAUUCCAGUAUGAUUCACACUCAAAAUGCAAACUUAAAUUAUUAAAGAAACUUACAUAUCUUUAAACCAAACUUUGUUUUUAUUGUAGUAGCUACUCUCGCUAUCCCAUCAACUCCAUUGGACCCAAAAACCCUCCAAUAAUUUUUUGUAUAUAUCCAGCGUAGACAUGCCUAUUAUAUUAUCAAUCAUAAUUGGAACCUCCGCUUCGAUAGUGCAAGCUUGAUUGAAAUCAGAUGGGUCGGUGUUUCCAUUUAAAAAAUAGAAAUGGGAAGUUGGAAGGGAAGAGGAGGUAUUGGAUUUGAUGGUACAACGAGAAGCCUCAAUAUAAUAUAAUGAUUUUAUAAGUGUCGUGCAAUUUAAAACAUAAAUAAUGCUACCCUCAAACGAAUUAAAAUAAUAACGAUUAUAAUAAUUAUUAAAAUAAUAAUUAUCUAUAGAAGUAAGAGGAAGGGAGUUGCAAUCAUCCGUGUCCAAGCUCGCAUCCACCAUUUGUAUUGUAUAAUUUUCGUAAAAGAUUUGUUGGACAGAGAAUUUCCCUCCUCUCCCAACAAAAGUGGUGCGAUUAUUGUUCUCACACUCAAGUUCCAAGACAGGAGAACCACAGUGGGGAGGUUGGUUUUUUAAUCGGAAUGGAAAACUGAUAUUCAAAUUCCCACAGAAAGUAGAGCCGCAGUCAAGAUGCCUAGCAAAACAAACAGCAGGAAAUAGAAUUACAAAUAAAGCAAAAGCGGGCAUUAGGUGACCCAACAAUGGCAGUUUUGCUUUUAAUUUUGGCAUGCUAAAAUUUUGGGUAAGGAAGAAGAACAAUAAUGGGGGUUAAUGAUUAAGUUUCUAACUAAAUCAGGGAAAUAUAUAAGAAAACUUCAGUGGGAGAAGAAGCAUUAAUGGGGACACAAGACUUUGACUACUCUUCAGCUUUAUUUGGG